rnacentral:lncRNA from 1 species
AUCUAGUUCGAGCAUUUCAUCAAACAAGUAAUAUGCAUUUUGAUCAAGGAGCUCAUACGCAAAUUUAUGGCAACGAUUGACUUUCAGAUCAUCACGACAAUAACAGUACAAGUUCGAGUUGCUAAUAGAGCUUCAAUCUCAACUGAUUUACUCACAUACAUUAGCUAAAGCUAACAGGCUCUGUUUCGUUCAUGAGCGCGGCAGAAACAGAGUGUAUGGGAUUUACCUUGACGACAUUUAAGUUUUUGACCUCGGACGAUGAUCAGAUCACUGACAAAGUUCCCGGUGGUGUCAACGCCGAUGAUCGGGGCCAACGAAAGGGGAACGACCAAGGUUCGUGAACUUGCAAGCGUCCUGACCAGAAAACAGAGCAGAACGAGAGUCGGCCUUGCUACAACGAAACCGACAAUGGCGGAGCGGCUACAGGGAUCGCUAACGGUGCCUGAAGAACGACGGAGAAGGAGAGCCGAUCUAGAAGCCUCAAGAAUUCCCGAGAAAGAGAGUUUCUUCGUCAGGUUCAGCGUACGCGUACUGUUGUGUCAUCGCUGAGCCUGUGGCGACCGUCAAUGGGGGCUCAACUGUGGCUGGUUUGGCGAUUGGAGAUGGCGGACGGUGGAUUUCUGGUGUCGAUUAGUAGUGGAGAAUCUUUUGGAACUCGGCUAAUCAAGAGGGAGAGAGAGAGAGAGAGAGAGAGAGAGACUGUGGAUUGUGGGCUGCGAUGAGGGAAAUUGUCUGGGCCGAGGUUUACUCUGAUGGGCCUGGCAUGAUCUGGGCUACGAUUAUGGAUCAGACCCAACAGAUCGGACCACGGGACCAGGCCCUCUCAAUUCUGACCGAGGGGGGGGGAGCUUUUUUAUUGCUUUCUUUUUUUUUAUUUUCUUUAUUAUCUUAUAUACCUUUAAAAAAAAAACCAUGUUCAACUUGCUGGCAAAAGAAUAACUUCACAACCGACUCUGCCACAAUCCCUUAUUUGUGCAAUAUUGCGACAUCAUUCAGUGAGGAUAGUUAUCAUACCUAGCUCUAUAGUCCUUGAUUUGAAUUUGAGCAUUGAUGGCAUGGUUGUACUCAUGCUUGAGUUGAUUUCUUGCAAAAUCAAUUAGGUCAAUAGCCCAUUGCACACUCCCUGACCAAAGCAAUCCGCAUGCCAAAUGUGGCUUCGUUAGAAUAGGCAAACCCCUCAAGUUCAAUAAUAAACCUCAUAUCGAGACAUAAUCCAAAACUUGUGAGUAAGUUUCCAAUUCGCGGUUCUCCAUUGCUAGACUUUCGGGACACUUGUAUGAUACUCAAAUUACAUAAAUUGCCCAUGACCAUAAGUGUAAUUCUAUGUGAUGUAGUUCUUUGAUUCACUUUUGUUUAUACUAUAGAGAAACACACCAUUGGAAUUUAGCUAUAGAAAGUACUCAUUCUUAUAGGACACUCUGUCACUUUUGAUUGAACAUGAAUCUGCAUGGCUUUCAUUGUUUUGAAAUUUGACUAUCUUCCAUUUCAUGAAUAGGCGAAUUUCGCAUUUGUCAUUAAAGAUAAAUUUCAUGACGCCCUUGCAAACCCCCAAUCUCAUUUCCUUAUAUAAAGUGGAAUCUUCUUGCUGAAUGUUUCUAUUUAUUUCCUAAAAUUCGCAGGAGCUAUAAUUGCAUAAUAUAUUGUCUCCCCAUAAAUUUAAUUUGUAUAAAAUUUCCAAGACCCUCCUCACGUUGGUGCCCAGUUCACACACCACUUACCACUUUGCAUGCUCUUGAUAUUUAGAAUUCCCACUUCGUAUCUUAAGAUUGACUAAAAAGACCGAAUCACCCUUCAAUUAAUGUACAUAAAUUCAAUCGGGGUGAGAGAAGCGGAAGGGCCUUUUUUAAAGAAAAGUGACAGUUCAGUCUAAUUUUAAACUCUAAUAAAUAAAUUCUAAAUGAUGCUCGAUUAAUUGAGUUUCAUGCAAGUUAUAUCACCUUGUUUUUCUUUUUAAGAAAACACGCCUAGGAGAAUGUCUCCAUCAAAUAAUACCCAGACAAACCUCAUGAAUUAGAUAAUAUAGGCAAGAACCCUUAUGAAUUAACCCAAGCAAAAGAUGACUUGCAAUUGUUAGUGUGAAAAAAACUGAUUCAUGUGAGUUUCCUACGGUAAUAAGCCUAAGAAAUUUCUAUGUGCACAUUAACACUACAUUUGUUUUGCGAAAAACAAGUUUCGAGAAAAUAUUUUCCGGAUUUUCCGACGUUCGUUUCAUGGAGAAUAAAGUGACUAGGGGAAUACAUUUUCCGUCAACAGAAAAAACUUCUUCAAAAGUGGAAAAAAUGUUUUCCGUUUUUUUUUCCAUCCCCUUUCUUUCACUUCUAAACCAAACACUUUUUUUAGCCAAACACAUUUUCCUUUUAUUUUUAUUAUUUUAUUUUAUAAAAAACUCGAUUUUUUUAAAUUAUUUUAAAAAAAAUUCCUCCUUCUUCAUACUCUCCUCAUGUCCGCGCACAGUUGGCAUGUGUCCGCACACCACUGCACGCACCGUGGCCGAAGCACCCGGCCACGGUGGAAAGAAGCAUGCGUAGUAGUCGAACCCCUUUUCCGCGACAGUGGACCUCAGAUCGCACGGGAUGGUGUAGAACGCCACAGCAUAAUCGUCCUGAUCAGAUUGCUGCUCUCCACUGCAUACUUCGUCCACAAAAGUCAAGCGUCCGAGUAGCAGAGCAUCGACGCUCACGAGGCGCGUGCAUUCGGGAAAGAGGAACACACGAACGGGAGCCUCAGCAGAAAAUUCUCUAUCGGAUCAACCCCAUUUCCUGACGCUUCUCCAUCUUCGCUCUCUCUCUCCGUCGCCUCAGUCCACCGGUUGCCACCGUCGCUCAUCCUCCAUCGCCAGCCAGAACUCUUAUGCACUCGGCACAAAUCACACACGGUGGGAAGGCUCAGAGAUUUCUGAACGUCCGGAGAGUUAUCUCUCUCGGCUUCUUGCUUCGUAUGGUGGCCUUCAACAAACCUCCCGGCACCGUUAGCAUCAUCUCCGAUCAUUGCUCCACCAGCAGGCCGUGGCUCUGUUAGAACCUGUUUUCCAGUGAGUUUGCUCGGACUGCUCUGAACUUUGUUCGUUUCUCCUUCGCUGGCUCCAAUCCUCAGCAUCAUUGUCUCAGACAACCUCUUCCUCUCAUCCGAUAGUCCUUCAUGCAUCGGAUAAAAUAAACACUACAAUCUUCUUCUUCGUUCUCAGUUUCAUGAAGAGAGACUCAGGCAUUUUUGUGUGAUUUUUAUUGUCAAAUUCACUGCUGGCGUGUCAAUAUGCACGCUACAAGUGCUUUGUAUGAUUGUCGCUGAAGUGCACACCGUGAACUGUUCACAAUAACAAUCUGAAUCACAAAUCAACAUCCACUGCAAUGCAUGUUUGUCUCAUAGAUGGUCGAUGCUUGUUUAGUUCUUCCUGCAAAAUGUCUUGCAAAGAUGAUUCCGUCUACAUCUAUGUUACUUUGAGAUCGCCAAGUGUAGGUUGCUCUCUUUGGCGGUUUCUGGAGUAAUGUUCCAUAACCUGUACAAUCUGUUCUACUGGGAGAAGAAAGAAAUUCUCAGCAUUAUCUCCCAAAUGCUGAAAAUAUAUUUUCUGCAUUCUGUUAUGUCAUUCUUUGUUUUAAAUUCGAAAUCAAGUUCCGUAGGCUUAUUAAAAUCAUGGGUUUUAUUUUUUCCCAUGGGGAACUUCAAAGAGGUUCAUGAGAAAAUAUGGUCAGAAUUUCUGAGAGCGUCCAACGGUGCAAUUAUUUAGCCUAUGGAAUUGGGAAUAUUGCGACAAAGUUAGAAUGAAUCCAUGAAAUCGUACUUGAUAAAAGCUCGUCCCAGAUAGAAUAUCCGCGAUUGACAGCGAAUGCCAAUGGCGAGGAACAGAGCCAUGGCUAUUGUUGAUUUGUCUCGAUGAAAGUGGAAGACGUCGGCGACGGCCAUGAUGUUUUGGUCUGAGCUUGAAGUCUUGGGGAUGAAAUGCAUUCGCCUAAGAAUCCUCAGCUUUGUGAGUUUGCAAAGUUCAUGACAGUUCCCAUUCGCGUUAAUUUUAGCAGAGUUUGGGGAGAGACAGAUGCUCGAACUGCUCGUCAUAAGAUUUGCGAGGUGCGAGUCAUAGUUUACGAGCUAGAGCUAAACCUCCCCAUGCGACUAUGUUGUUCUCUUGUUUGAUUCGAAUUCCGUACAUAAUCUGUAUGGGUUGGGGGAUCUCGGAAAUGUCAAGCUAAUGGAAACAAACUGAAUCGGUCAUAUAGGAUAUGAUUGUGCUGGAAAAUGACGUUGGUGUUGUGCUUAUAGGUCUCGAAAGCUAGAUCAUUAGAAAGACUCGAUCUAUUGUUUUAGGUCACUAUGCCGGUAGAUACCAGUCGCACAUAACAAGGUAUGCCUAGAGAUUGAAAGCUUUCUUCUCUUGUUUUAUUUGCAAUCGACGCAGGUAAAGCUGAAAGAGCAAGGUGCAUGCAUAGCCCUCAAACCAGCAAGCAAUUUAAAUCUAGGUAUUCUAUCUUGCAACUUGCGGUGAGCCAAAUAUAUAUGAAGUAAACAAUGUGGUAAAAUCCUCAUGGUCAUGACUGCUCUUGGAUUUAGUAAAUGAAAACAUCACCUAAUAAACCAAGCUCAUAAUCAAGGGAUUGAAAGUAAGUAAAUACGGAAAUUAAAGUCCGAGAAUUCAACUUGAUACAAUGUUGCGUAAAGAAUAUAUAUUGUCUCAUUAUCAAGCCUUGGGACAAAAAAUCUCAUAAGUUAAGUCCGGAAAUUAAAACCAAGCCUAAUGAAGACAUAUGUCGAAGUGACCCCGAAUGUAAUCCUAAUAUUAAUGCAAACAGGAUUUUUUUAUAUAAUUUAUUUUCAUUUUUUUUAUAUUUUCUUUAUCCAUUUCAUAUGAGAAAAACACAAUGUAAAAUUUCAAUUUAUUUCAAGAUUCAAGAGCUAUGACCUCCCUAAACUUGGAAAACAUGAAUAAAAUGAAAUUCAAAUAAUAUAUAUAUAUAUUUUGGUGCUGGAGGAACCACUUUGGCUGACAGCCGCCAUGUAAACCCCCAGCAUGAAUAAAAUGAAAUUCAAAUAAAAUCAUUUUUUUUUGUGCUGGAGGAACUGCUUUGGCUGACAACCGCCACAUAAACCCUCAGAUGUUGCUAGCGGGGGAUCCACCACCCCGACGCCACGCGUAAAUCACCUAAUAGCCCGCUAGCCUCCCUACAACUUGUGUUGCAGGGGCUUUAAACUCCUGACCUUUCCUCAAAAGUUUGAAGCCUACCCAGCGAAGCCAUCAUGGCCGGUGGUAAAUUCAAAUAAAAUCAUUGUUAAAACAUAACUGCCCAAUUGAGACUUGCGUAUUUCUACCAUUUUUAUUUAUUUUUAUCUUUAGUUAGUGAAAACAAAAUAGGAGAAUUUAUCUGGAAACAAAGAGCCUGCAUGUUUUCAUUCUUUUUUUUUUUUUUUAUGAACAUAAAAUUUGUUUUUUUGUUUCCGGGAACAAAAAAAGAAUAGAAACGCGUUUGUUUGCGUUUUUGUUCAAAAUCAGAUUUUUUGUUCUCGGAUCACAAAAAGAACAGAAAUGAGAAACAAAAAAAAAUUGUUUCUUGCUCCAGAAAUACUUUUGAAGAAACACUUCUCUAUUUUCAUCUUUUCUUCUUCUUCUUCUUCUUUUUUCUUCUUCUUUUCUUUGGCCGGUCGCCGGCCUUAGCCAUGGCCGGCGACCAGCUGUCGAGGGCUGGCGACGCCGUCGAGGGCCGGCGACGCCGUCGAGGGUCGGCGACCUCGCCGGUGGCUGGGCGAGGCUCGGCCUUGUCGGAUCUGGGCGAGCCUGAGCUCACCCAGCCAAGGCGAGGCCGAGCCUUGCCCAACCACGGCGAGCCUCGCCGUGGCUGGGCGAGGCUGUCGGCCCCGUCAGCUGGUCGCCGGAGGCCGGCCAAAAGAAGAAAAAAUAAAAAAGAAAGGAAAAAAGGAAAAAUAAAAUAAAAAUAUUAAAAAAUUAAAAGAAACAAAAAAAGAAUAUAAUCUACCAAACGUGUUUCUAUUCAUUUUUUAUUCCCAGAACAAAUUUACCAAACGCAUCUUUCUGGUUAAAAAUUGUUUCUCGGAACAGAAACACUUUUUUCUAUUUCUGUUCCUCGAAAUAAUUUUUGAACAGAAACGUUACCAAACGCGCCGAAAUGUGCCCCAAAUAUAUCCACUUCAACUAUUUGACUCACGAACAUUAUUAGCUAAAGCUCAUGGGCUCUGUUUUUUGUUCAUAAGCGGCAGAAACAGAUUGUGUGGAAUUUACCUUGAUGAGAGUGAGGUUUUGACCUCGAUCCGUGAUCAGAUCAGAGACGAAGUUCCUGGAGGUGUCGACAUCGACGAUCGAGGCUGGCGAAGGGGAAGCGACCAUGGGUCCGUGCUCUUUCGACCGUCCUGACCAGAAAACAGAGCAGAACGAGAGGAGGCCUUGCUGCAAUGAAAUCGGCGAUGGCGGAGUGGCUACAGUGGCGGCUAACAGUGUCUGGAGGACAAUGGAGAAGGGAAAACUGAUGAAGAAGCCUCUAGAAGCCUAUAUGUGAUGUGCACAAAGAUGAAAUCAUUACGGAUGAAUUCGUUGCAGGCCUCGAUUCCCUUCUUCCUUCACGACCGCUCGUAAAGAUGAUACCCUGUCAAGGUUAGCAUUUUCAUCCGAGUUGAGGUCCUUUCUUCUGGAUAUUCAUUCUAUUUAGAUUGGCCUCUUUGUAAAGUUCAGUCCAUGGUGUCGCGUUUAUUUCAAUCAAUCUCGCGAUUGUGCUAAAGAUUAAUUUGCCCCAGUUGCUCAUCCUUCUCCCAUUAGAGAUCGUCAUGUGAUCUUAAAUGCCUAAAAAUCUCUCACACGGCUCAUCAAUAUUUAAUUUCAUCGACUUGCUCACUAUCUGGAAAAAGACAUUGAAAAAAUGAAGACAAAAUAUUAGGUCUCCCAUUUUACAUCUGCCUUACAAAUGUUCCUUGGCUAGAUACAAAACGAGAUGGAUUUACUCCUAUGAAACAUAAUUGCAAUGUACACAAUUAGGUCCUUUGAUUUGUUAGAUUCGUAUUAUUCAAUUGUAUGUCCUUUAAUUUGUUGGAUUAGUUCAAUUCAUAUUGUUUGCAUCUCUUCCUUACAUAGCAUAUUCACAGAUGAUUUGGUUAUCGACUCAAAAACCCCUGCAUACUCCAAUAAAUCAAUUAUCGUACUCACAUGAUUCUGGGUUCUCAUUGUAUUAAAAAACAACAAUAUGACAAAAAAGACAGUGAAUAAUUUGUAUCUCGUCUAUUUUCUUUUUGUCCUUUUUUGUUGGCCUCUGAAUGCGUAUUGUACUACAUAUUACUUGUAAUAUCGUUGUGGUUGUGUCCUAAGUACGUAUAAUAUAUGCCUUUUCAUGAAAAAAGUGCACUAAUCGGGUCCCUUCAUUGAUGCUUCUAAUUUUCAAUUGACUGCAAAUUAUAUGUGGUCUAGCGCGAAUGGGUUGACAGGCCGAGGCUUAUUUUGAUGGGCUUGGUACGGUCUGGGCUGCGCUUGUGGAUCGGGCACAACAGACCGGACCUGGCCCUAUAAUUCUCACUGAAUUGGACCUUUUUUAAUUACUUUCUUUUCUUUCCUCGUUUUUUCUUUGGGUUUUUACUUAUUUUUUACUAUUUUUCAUUAUCAUAUUUUUUAUAUUUAUUUUUACCACAGUGCGUGUUCGACUUGCUGAAAAAAAUUCAAUGUCAAUAGAGGCAACAUUCCAUCAUCUGGCCAAAGAAUUACUUCACACUAAACUCACUACUAUCCUUUAUUUGCGCAAUAUUCAUUCAAUGAAACAAUAGUCCUCGUACUUAACUCUGCAAUCCUUGAGUUGAAUUUCAGCGUGAUAAUGUCGCUGCGCUUGUGCUUGAGUUGAUUUCACAUAGAAUUGAUGCAUGGUGUAAAGCUUGGGCAUUGAAGCACACCAUUACAUGCUCCAUCCAUGCAACACACCGUGGUGGAAUCAUUAUACAUGUUAUAGUAGUUGUACUCAUGCUCGCCAUCUUAGUGCCCAAGUCCUUUAGGAUGAUUUUCACUAUAGUUCGUAUGGAACCAAAGGGAAAUACCGUCGCUUGCUAUAGAUUAUCUUUCACACAGUCGUGUCUACUGCAUAGCUCAUUGUGGUGCACAAAAGGAAAGAGUUGAUGCGUACGAUUCCUUGAAACGCCAUCAUGAUAUUCAUAUAAGUGAUUUGUGUAUUUUCAAGACUGCUACUUUAUUCCUGUAGUAUCAAUUAUCUUGUGGAUCCAUCCAGGUCUUACAAAGUAAAAGCAUUAUUGCAUGGAUCGAUGUCACGUAGUUAAUAUAACAUGUAGGCAACAUAUGAGUUGGGUAUAACCACAAUGAGUUCGCGCCUCACAUGUGGAAUUGUGAUGAGCAUUUGACAUUAGUGCUGGUGAGAGUUUUAGAGAGUUGGUAGGAAAAGGGGCUAACUCGGAAAGCCAGGGAGUGGCCUAACUUUCCCCCCCCCCCCCCCCCCCCCCCCCCCUUUGUUUACAAGUCCUAAGUUACUCGGUGAAAUCGUAGUACUUAUACAUGAUUCUGCAAUCUUGAAUUGUGCUCCGGCGGUAUGUGGACAAACUUUUGUUAUUUGCUUCUGGGCGAUAUUCAUGCAGCCGGCACGAUUCGAUUGGGUCAAUGCCCGACUGCACACUCCAUGGCCAAAGGAGUCCACAUCACCAUUUGACUUAGCCAGGAUAGUCGAACCCCUCAGUUUCGGUAAUAAGCCUCGUAUCAAUCGAGACAUAGUCCAAAACGCCCACGUAAGCUUUCAAUUCAUGGUGCUUCUCUCCACUACAAAUCUUUUAGAUAAACGAGAUGUCGGAUCACUUACAGUGUUCAAGCUGUACAAAAUCCUCACGAAUGUAAAUGUGAUUCUUUGUGAUGUAGACAUCUAGCAUAUGUGGUUCUUUCAUUCACUUUUGUUUAGAAACACGAGAUUGGAAUCCAGCCAUAAAAAGGACUUGUUCUAAUAGGGCACUCCCUCAUUUAUUAUUAUUAUUAUUAUUAUUUGGGUUAAGUAGCUGAUCUCUUAGUCAUUAAUCACGUCAAAUGGAUCUUUGCUUUAAUCAAACUUUAGAGCAAUUCCAACUAAUCGUCCAGCCAUUGUUAUGAUAUAGGCAAAAAUAACUUAGUGAUUCUCCAUCAGUCUUGGAAUCUUGACUAAAUGCAAAUCUUCGUUGUUUUCAUUACUUCAAGGUUUGUCAUGCAAGACAAAAUUUCUUGACGUCCCUAUAAUGCAACCCCUCAUCUCACAACCUUGUCUUAUUUCUAUUUGCUUAUUUCCUAAAAUUUACACAAUGUAUAAUUGAAUCAAAUAUUAGUUUCGCCUUAAAUUUAAUCCAUAUAAAAAUUUUCAAUACCCUCAUGAUUGGUUCGCACUCUCCACACCACUUUACAUGGUAGACGUUUGAAAUUCCCAAUUUGCAUCUUAGAUUAACUUGAAAGACCGAAUCACCAUUCAAUGGUGAACAAAACUUAAGUUGGCGUUAGAAAAGUGGAGGAGCAUUUUUUCAAUAAAAAAGUGGAAACAUGGUCUAAUUUAAACUCUACUGAACAAUAAAAAUUCUGGAUGAUGCGUGACUAAUCGGGAUUCAAGCAAGCUGUAUUGUUUUUAUUUUCUUUCUAAGGAAACUUUUAUGUUGAUCGAAUUCAUGCAACUAUUGUGCAACCUAGGAAAUUUCUAUGUGCGCACUAAGCGAUAAAGAUCCUUUGCCACGGUUUGUGUUCGCGUCAUGCCAUCAGCUCGGGGCUCCGUAUAGCUCGCUCUAUCGCUUACUCGGUUCUCUCUCCUUCCCUCUCUCCACACCACCACCGUCAACAUCUCAUCGCAUCUAGCCAUCUCAGUUGAGAUUUUCCGAGAUUCGACGAGGAUGAAGAACAGAUCUGGAACCCACCGGUGUGAGGUUCAUAAUAAUCCAGAUGCACACACUCAUUAUUGCCACAUUCUGAAUCUAAAUGAAUCAAUAAGGAUUUGCUUCAGGAUGUCCUUUUCGGUUAAUGCAUUCCUAUUUGGUUGUUGUUCAUUUUGAAUUUGAAAUCAAGUCUCUUAGGCUUAUUAAGAUUAUGGGUCUUAUUCUUCCAACAGGGAAUGCCAAAGAGGUUCAUGAGAAAAUAGGGUGAAAAUCUCUCAAAAAAGGAUGCUUGUCAAAGUGUGAAAUGGUGCAAUUAUUUGGCCUAAGGAAUUGGAAAAAUGUGAUGAGAUGAUCAUACUUCAAAGGGUUGAAAUGAAUUUGUAGAGCAUUUACCCUAUCUGCGAGGGCCAAUUUUUGGUCUUUAAAUCUGAAGUGGACUCCAUUUUCCAUGUAAUCAUAUUUGAUAAAGGCGUCUCCGAUAUGGCAUGUCCGCCAAUGAGUGGUGAUGCGAGGAACCGAGCUGAGCCUCAGCAAUUGUGGAUUCGCCUCGCGAAAGUGGAAGAUGCCGGCGAUUGCCGUGAUGUUUCGGUCAAGCUAUAAGUCUUGGGAGAUGAAGUGCAUUGACCCAAGAGUCCUCGGCUUUGUAAGGCAACAAAAUCUGAUCAAGUUUGUGAAGUUCAUGGCGGUUCCUAUGCACAUUCAUCAUUGCGGAGUUUGGGGAGAGACCAAAGUUUAAACUGCUCAUCACGAGAUUUUCGAGGUGUGAAUCUUAAUCACUAGUUAAUUCUCCUCCAGACUCUGUUGUUCUUGUGUUUGAUUCAAAUUCUAUAUAGGAACUCUCCACGACGCUAGUUAAGAUAGACUGUGUUAGAGCUAAUUCAUCCCCGUAGUUCUUCUCUGCCUCUAGCUCUCUAGUGUGUGCAUAUGUAUGUGUUGGGUGAUCUCAUAUAUGUCAAGCCAAUGAAGACUAGCAGAACCGGUCAUAUUGGACUAAAAUGUGCUGAAAAUGACAUUGCUGUGCAUAUAGGCCUCAGAAGUUAGACCAUUAGAAAAGCUCACAUCUAUUGAUUUAGCAUUGUUAUGUCGAUGGACAUGAGUUUCACAUGACCAAAAUAGUGAUGCCUAGAAAUGGAAAGCUUUGUUCAAGUUUUGUUUGCGACUGCUGCAGGUAAGCUGAAAGAGCUGACCUUGUGCAGAGCUCUUGAACUGGCCAGCAAAUUUAAGCCUGAGUAUCCUUUCUUCCAAAGUUGCAGCAAGGUAAAUAUAUCUGAAGAAAAGCAACGCGAUAAGAUCCUCAUGACAAGGAAAACUGUUGGAUUUAAAUCACACAGAGUUGCUAAACUAUGUUAGCUCUAGGUUAAGCGUGCAUCGUGUCAAUAAUUUCUAUUUUUAUCCUUCAUAUGCUUUGAAAACGAUCCGCCUACUGUCUUCCUCAGAGCUCAUUGGUUGUUGCAAAAUGUCUACUUGAGCAGAGAGUUACCGGCUCACUCCAAAAAUGCGCAUCAAGAAAAGUCCGCAGACCGUGGCUCUCAUAUUUUAAGACAAACCAUGGCCGGUGAUGCUCAUCAGCCACAGUUAUCAUGGAAAGUUCUCUGCCAGUUGGACCGCAUUCACAAGAUAAACUUCUCUGAAGGCAGGUGGCAAUGUGUGCUCGAGCUUUAUUAGAAGGGAUGAUGUCAUUUUUGGAGGGUCCUUUAUCAGAACCGCUGAGAAGACUUGGGUGAACAAUACUAUGCAAUGGACACAGCAGAGGAAGCAUUACUUUUAGCUCAAUUUUGGUGAGAACAGUGAUAUAGCUAGUAAUAGCACCUAGAGGGGGGUGAAUAGGUGUUUAAAUAAUUUUUUGAGAUAUGAAAACAAUACUGGACUAACAACAGAAAGGAAGCUCUCCUUUAGUUAACAAAUCGAACUAUGAUCAAAGUAAAGCGGAGAGUAAGGAAGAGAAGAUUGAACACAAGGUUUAUAGUAGUUCGGCUUAUUCCAAGCCUACGUCCACUCUUCUGCACUAACAGCCUACUGGCUGGAUUUCACUAUGAACAAAAGAGAUAUUACAGCAUUGCUUUCCCUUGAUUCCACAGUGUAGAUAUUCUAUCACACUUCCUCAAGGUCUCUCAAAGUAUAGACUCUCUUUUGUGUACAAGAUUUCGCUCAGCAAAUGAAUUGACUAAGAAUCAAAGAGCUUCAGACUUUGGAAUUCUUCUAUCGUGCACUCCUCGAACAACUGGAACGUCUUCCUUUUAUACUCCUUUGUACCAUCAUACCCGUUGUCACUUACCAAAUGAAUUCUUCCAAUCCUCCCGUUGGACAGAAUCAAUUAGGAAGAUUAUUCGAGCUAUUAAAGGAACAUGUCGAUAACCCAUCAAUCCUGCUCGCCCAUACAAUCAGGAUCUUGGUUUCCAUAAGUAGAACCUUCCAGGAAUACUUCGUCAAUCAUCAGAUCUUUAAUCAUUCUUGAUUUGAAUAAAGGAAUCCGUUAUGUCUUAUUCAGCCAAGAGAUCUUCUCUAGUCGAUAAGGCCAAAUCCUUAGUGAAGCACUCAGUUCUGGAUAGCAUUUCUUCAACGGAUUAGAAACUGUUAAUCAGAAUAGACUUUGAGUCUUGAGUCUGGCAGUCCGGAGGUCUUCAGACUUUAAUAGCAAAGUCUGCAAAUCUUCAGACCAGACUGAUAGAAAUGUUUUGUCAGCUUCAAAAUAUUCGAAAGAUUUCUCCAACAAUCUCCCCCUUUUUGAUGGUGACAAAACUUUCCUGCAGAUUUGAAUAACUUUGACCUGCAAAACAUUACUCAAGCAAAUAUGGAUAUCUCAUAAAGAUUAAUAGCUUAAUGAUAACACUAGAAUCUGCAACCACAGAAAAUAGGUUAGUCUUUCAUGAGAGUAAAGCCAUUCAUAAGAUAUCAAUAGUGCUUAAUAUAAAUAGCAUUCAAAUCCAAAUCCACGUUAAGUUAAUCCAGACACAGACACACAUCAAAACAAACUAAAAAUUCAACAAGUUUAAGUCCCAAGGAUUUCAAAUCUCGCAUCUAAAUCCACGUUCAGUUAAUCUAGACACAGACACACAGCAAAACAAACUAAAAAUUCAACAAGUUUAAGUCCCAAGGAUUUCAAAUCUCGCAUCUCUCCCCCUUUUUGUCAUCAUCAUAAAAAGAAGUUGAGAUGGGAAUAGAAUGAAGUCAAGUUUGCUUGGGAAUGCGAACAAGCUGGAAAUCUCCCAUGGACUGGAUGAUGCCUUCCAGCUUUUUCAGAUCUUCCUUUAGAUGAUCCACCUCUUCAUUUUUAGCAUUGGCUUGAAUCUGAAGAGCAAGGGCUUGGAUCUGAUCAGACAAUGAAACGGAAGAAGCGUGUCCUGCAUUCUUCAAGUUCUGAACCUCGCUUUCCAAAGCAUAUAUCUGACCCCGCAAUUCCAAAAGAACAUCAAUGAUUCUGCGAAAAUCUGUUGAGUUAUCAGUCUGCGUACUAGCUUCGGCACGAUCUGAUGGAGUAAAGGCAGACGAUGGUAUAUCAACAUAAUCACGCAGAUUUGGCGAUGAAGCACCAUGUCCCUCCUCAGGAAAUUGAGAGGCAUGAAUGUCUUCUGGAUUUGCUGGAGAGCGACUGACUCCUUCACUGUUAACAGGAUAUGAGGACAUUCCUCUGUUUUCACUAUCUCCCCCUGUCUCCAUGGCUUCAGGUGGAGAAGAGUUUUCCUCAUGCUCUCCUUCAUUUUCUUCUUCAAACCUUUCCUCGUCAGUUUCUUUUUCUUCAGCUUCUUUCUCCUUUUCUUCCUUCUCCUUUGCUUCUCUCUCCUUUGCUUCUGUCUCUUCUUCUUUCUCCUAUUCUUCUCUUUCCUCUGCUUCUUUCUCCUGUCGUUCUACUGAUUCAGGUACAGAAUGACUCAGCUUCUUUGAUGCUAUAGCAAAAAUUGUGAGGUCAUCCUCAUCAUCUUCAUCAAUAAUGAGUGCUUUUCUCUUUUUGGAUGGAGUAACCAUGGGCUCAUUCCCUUUUCUUUUCGCUGCAAAAGAGACUUGAUGAGAUUUGACAGGGGUUUUCUCCUUAAAUUUCUCCAACACCUUGUCGAGAUCUUUCAAACGCAUUUCGGACACCAUUUUCAAUCCUACCACCAUUUUGUCAUAGGGUCGAACACAGAGAAUUUGUGGAGGCUAAAUAUUCAAAUGUCUGAAUAUCUUUGACACAAGACCUGGAUAAGGAAGUUGGCCCUUGUCCUUCACCACUGCUCUAUACAUGUGAAACAGAAUAGUGUGAGGAAGAGAAAACUUUUGUCCAGCAUUGAUGGCGUACAUCAGCUUUGCCUCUGAGUUAGAAAAUCAGUCUUGGAAGUUGAUUUGGGUCUGAGGCAAUUUAUCACAAUUUUGUGAAGUAGAAUGUUGAACGCAUGCAUCCUUGAGUACGAAAUCCUUCCCUCUGUCAUUCUAUCUUUAACAAGUUCCAAUGUGGCACGAGCUAUAAAGACACUGAUGGGUUGAUAUCUCCCUCUCUCAACCCCAAUAACAUUUGCCAACAUAUCCACAUCCACUACAAAGUCUUGAUCUCGGACACUGAAGGAGAUUCUAUUCGCAUCCAAGAAACUAAGAUUUGAAUAGAAAUAUGCAGUUAGUUGAGCAUAGGCUUCUGUGGUGUCGGAACAUAAUUGUUCAAGUUGAAGAAAACUGAACUUUUCUCUCAAAUUGACAUUCACAGCAUCAAGGAAAUCAAAAUCUACACUCCUAGGGUUUAUCACCCCACGUUUCAACAAUUUGAAGUAUAGAUCCUUCUGUUCCUUUGAUCUAAACAAUUAUGUUCUUUUUCCUCGAAUUCUCGCCGCAACACCCAUUCUCGGUUGAAAUUCUUUGUACAAUCUGUCAUCAUCAUUUCCAUCUAUCGGAUUAAAACCUCCAACACGCGAAUCACUUGGGAUAUUUGCAAGGGUUUUUUCUGCCAUCCCCUUAGGAGCUAUUUCCAAACUCUCCAUUUUUCGCAAAAAGAUGUACUCAUUCCCAUAUCCCUUGUCCUUAAGAAACUCAUCGAUGUAGUUCAAUGGAGUACCAAUGUUCUUUAAAGCACGGUAGAGCUUAUAAAUAAAAGAGGGCUUUUGAACUCUUACAAGAUCUGCGUCUUCGACGAUUUCUUCCUCUUGUUGAUGAACAACAUUCUGUGGACUAGAUGGAGGAGAAUGACGCUGCUGAGAAUGUUGUGGGCUCUGCUGCUGACUUGGUGACUCCUCUUCCUCGGCGAGAUCAAAGUGAGUAGGCCCCUUACUCAUUCGCCGUGGUCCCCUGCUUGCAAUCCUUGAAGACUUUCUUGAAGAUGACAUCUUUCUCAGUCUUUGAAAGAUUCCUUGCUUGACUUUCCCAAGAAAGAUGACAACUUUUUGAAGAUUAAACAAGGGAGAAAGACAGGAAUGGAAUAUCGAUGCUUUUUAGGGUUUUGGAGUUAAGUGAAGAGGAACCGAUUGUUUAUAGCUUAGUCGAAACGGGGGAAUGUCAAACGUCGUAAAGGGAGGUUAAAAUAUACCUUUUUAAAAAGUAACUGCCUUUUAAAAAAAAAAAGAUAACUGCCAUUAACUUAUUUUGAAAAGGAAAAAUUGCACUUUUCACGGAAAUUGAAGAUAGCAUAAAUCAAUUAUGAAUGGAUAAAUGAUCGUACCUUUACGAAAUUUAAUAUGAGAGAAAAUAAAAUAACUUACAGUCAAGAACCACGAUUGUCUGAAACUGAGAGUCUCUAGACUUUAACUUCUUCAAGCUUCAAGAUGUUAAGUCUGGAACGGAUGAUUUCAAUUUGAUUUUUCUCCAAAGGCUUAGUAAAUAUAUCCGCCAGUUGGUUCUUUGAGUCAACAAACUGAAUCGAAACUUCUCCAUUUUGAACAUGAUCUCUAAUGAAGUGAUGUCGAAUCUCUAUAUGCUUUGCUCUUGAGUGAAGAAUUGGAUUUUUGGUAAGAUUGAUUACACUGGUGUUGUCACAGUUAAUCUCCGUGCAUGAAUCUUCAAUUCCAAAAUCUCUUAAUUGUUGUUUUAUCCAUAGAAUUUGUGAACAACAACUUCCGAGAGCUACAUAUUCUGCUUCUGCUAUAGAAAGAGCUACUGUAUUUUGCUUCCUUGAAAACCAAGACACUGUCCUGCUUCCAAGUAACUGACAGGUACCCGAGAUGCUCUUUUUAUCAACUCUGCAAUUGGCUAGAUCUGCAUCUGAAUAUCCAAGGAGAGUAAAGUCACCCUUUUUAGGAUACCAAAGACCGAUGCUUGAAGUUGAAGCAAUGUAUUUGAUAAUACGCUUUGCAGCACUUAGAUGAUUCUUUAGGGUCUGCUUGAAAUCUGGCACAAAUGCAAACACUAAGCAAAAUGUCAGGUCUAGAAGCAAUAAGAUAAAGAAGUGAACCGAUGAUACUCCUGUAUAGCUUCUGGUCAACUUUCUUUCCUCCUUCAUCUUUGUCGAUCUUCAAGGAACUUGACAUUGGUAUAUCAGUCUUUUUGCAAUUUUCCAGUCCAAACUUUUUGACAAGAUCAUUAGCAUAUUUUUCUUGAUGAAUAAAAGUCCCUUCCUUCAAUUGUUUUACUUGAAGUCCAAGAAAGAAGGUUAGUUCACCCAUCAUGCUCAUUUCAAAUUCAUCCUGCAUAGACUUAGAGAAUUUCUUGCACAAACUUUCAUUUGAGGAUCCAAAAAUGAUAUCAUCGACAUAUAUUUGAACAAGCAGAAAACUUUUGCUUUCUCUUUUGAUAAACAGAGUAGUAUCUACUUUACAUUUUUCAAAGCCAUUUUGAAUUAAAAACCUACUCAGUCUGUCGUACCAAGCUCGAGGUGCUUGCUUUAAUCCAUACAUGGCCUUUUUCAGUCUGAAUACUGAGUCUGGCUUCCUUGGGUCUUUAAACCCAGGUGGUUGUUCCACAUAGACUUCCUCAUGGAUAAAUCCAUUCAGGAAAGCACUUUUGACGUCCAUUUGGAAUAACCUGAAAUUCUUAUAACAAUCAAAAGCAAGUAAUAAUCGAAUUGCUUCUAACCUUGCUACUGGUGCGUAAGUCUCGUCAUAGUCUAUCCCUUCUUCUUGCGUAUAUCCCUUGGCCACAAGUCUUGCUUUGUUUCUUACAACUUUACCUUUUUCGUUCAUCUUGCUCCUGAAAACCCAUUUAGCUCCAAUAAUAGAUUUACCUUUUGGUUUAGGAGUUAAUUCCCAGACAUCAUUGAUACUGAAUUGUCUGAGUUCUUCUUGCAUAGCUUCAAUCCAGCUUUCAUCAGAUAAAGCUUCUUCUAUGCUUUUUGGUUCUAUUUCAGAAAUAAGAGCCACAGCACUAGACUCUUCGCGCCUUUUGGAUCUUGUGCGAAUUCCUUCAUUAAUGUCGCCAAUAAUGAGGUCUUUGGGAUGACUGGACUUAUGCUUCCAGUUACUGAUUGAUUUGUCAGGUUGAUGAUCACUUCCUUCAUUUGAAUCUUCAAUAACCAUUUGAUUCUAGUUUUUCAGAGUCUGAGUUGCUUCUUGAGAUUUAGACUUUGUAAAGUCUGGAGCAGAUUCAGAUUCUUCAAGAUAAGUCUGAGAGGAUUCAUUUUGCAUAGAAUCCUAGAAUUUGACAUUCAUUGAUUCCUCCACGGAUUGACUCUUCUUGUUAUAGACUCUGUAAGCUUUGCUUGAGGUUGAAUAUCCAAGGAAGAUUCCUUUAUAUGAUUUUUCUUCAAACAUACCAACUCUAUCAUUUGCAUUUUUCAAUAUAAAGCAUUUGCAUAUGAACACAUGAAAAUAUGAAACAAUAGGCUUCUUUCCUUUGAAUAACUCAUAAGGGGUUUUUUUUUCCAGAAUAGGCCUUAGAAAAACUCUAUUUAUAAUGUAACAUGUUGUUGAAACUGAUUCAUCCCAAAAACGUGAAGAGAUGUUACUUUCAAUUAAAAGAGUUCUAGCCAUUUCUUGAAGCGAUCUAUUCUUUCUUUCCACAACUCCAUUUUGCUCUAGAGUAUAUGGAGAGGAGAAUACAUGUUGAAAACCAUAUUCAUCACAGAAUUUUGUAAAAUCAUGAUUUUCAAAUUCACCUCCAUGAUUUGUUCUUAUACUCGAGAUAACAUACCCUUUUUUUCAUUUUGAACCUUUUUAGCAAACUUUUCAAAAUAAGAGGAAGUUUCAGACUUACUUGCCAGGAAAUACACCCAAGUAAAUCGUGAGUAAUCAUUCACAAUUACUAGGCAAUAUUUCUUACCUCCAAUACUCUGAGUUCUGGUAGGUCCGAAAAGGUCCAUAUGCAGAAGCUGCAGUACACGAUUAGUGAAAACUUGAUUUAUUGGUUUAAAGGAAUUUCUUACCUGCUUUCCCAAUACGCAUGGUGUACAUAGAUAAGACUUUUGGUAUGACAAUUUGGGUAGACCACGAACAAGCUUCUUUGCUGAAAUUUUGGCUAUCUGCUUCAUAUUGAUGUGCCCAAGCUUUUUGUGCCAUAAGCUAGCUUCAUCUUGAAUUGAGAUUAGACAUUGCGAUUCAUCUGGUUUCACAUCCAAGAGGUAGAUAUUUCCAUGUCUUCGGCCCAUGAAUGACUGAGUAGAAUCUUUACUUGUUCUUGAACAUAUUCCCUCUUGAAAGUUGAUUUUGAAACCAGUGUCACACAGCUGACUGAUACUGAGCAAAUUGUAGUUGAGUCAUUCCACUAGGGAAACAUUGCUUAUUGUGAGGUUUCCAAUCUUUACAGUUCCAAAUCCCACAAUUUUUCCUUUGUUGUUUCCUCCAAAAGAAACUUUUCCACCAUUUACUUGAACGAGCUUUAUGAAGCAAUUUGAAUCUCCUGUCAUAUGUCUUAAGCAUCCACUAUCCAGAUACCAUUUUACCUUUUUCUUGAUAGUGAUCUGCAUUUAAAAAAGAGACUCAAGCUUUCUUUGGUACCCAUAUUUUCUUGGGUCCAUUGGUGUUAGUAUGAUAUGCGGUUUUUGCCCAUACUUUCUUAACAUGUUUCCAAACCAUAGGACACUCUUUUUCAAAAUGAUCUGCACUAUUGCAUUUUGAACAUCUGAGAGCAUUUCGACCCACUGGUUUUACAAAUACUUUUUGAAAAUGAUUUUUGUAAAAUGUCUUUGAAGGUCUAUGCUUAAUUCUUUCCUUCACUUUAGAGGAAUGGUUUCUGUUGUCAUUCCCAAACCUGAUUUAUUGAAAUAAGGUAUUUGUGCUGAAAGAAUUUUUUCAAGUUUCUCAGAUCCUAUUGAGAAUCUUUUUGAAAUAUUUGAUAAGUCAUUUUUUUAAAAUGAAUUUUCUUUCAAGAUAUUAUCUUCGCUUUCUUUAAGAGUAGAAAUAUUCGUGUUUAAAUGUUUCAACUUUUCUUUCAAAACAUUUUCUUGUUGUUUUAGUGCAGAGUUUUCCUUUUUAAGUUCGGAAAUCCUUUUAAGAAAAGUCUACACAGCUCAUCAAUGUAUUUAGAGACUUUAACAGGAAUUUUAAAGUUACUUACCUCAAAUUCACUGUCUGAAUCUGAGUCUGUCUCGGAGUUUGAAUCUGAAUCCGAUUGUGCCAUCAGACAUAUAUUGACAUAAUCAUCAUCACUUUCUUCACACUCUGUAUCACUCCAGGUUUCUGCUUUAAGAGCCUUUCGAUACUUUUCAGCUUUUCCUUUCUUCUUUUUCAGAAGAGGACAGUUGGGUCUGAUGUGUCCAUUUUUCUUACAUUAAAAGUAGACUACAUCUUUGUUUGAUUCAUCAUCAUCAACAGACUUGGUCUGUUGCUUUUGAAAACUCUGUUUCUUUGGAUUGAAUCUUCUUCCUUUUCUGUUCAGCUUUCUGAAUCUUCUUAUCAUGAGAGCGAGCUCCUCAUCAUCCAUAUUGUAUUCAGAAUCUGUGACAUCAGAAUCAUCAUUAGAUUUUAAUGCAAUGGAUUUCUUACCUUUAGGAUCUUCGUCUUCAUUGAUUCGUUCCACUUCAUAAGACUGAAGAGUUCCAACCAACUCAUCGACAGAUAGUGGCAUGAUUCUUUGUGUCUCUCUUAUUGAAGUCUUUAUGUGAUUCCAAUCUUUGGAGAGUCCACGCAGAAGCUUGUUUACUUUCAUGGGAUCAGAAAUUGGUUGCCCUUGAUUUUCAAGGCUAUUCACAAUCUCUGUAAAACGACUAAACAUGUCAGUAAUAGAUUCUCCAGAUUUCAUUUUGAAUGCUUCAUAUUGACCGAGGAGAAUGUUGAUUCUGGUCUCUUUCACUUGAUCAGUUCCUUCAUAGGCGAUAUGUAAUCUAUCCCAGACUUCUUUUGCUGUAACAAAAGAAGAUAUUCUGUUAUAUUCAGUAGGUGAUAAAGCACAAUAUAAAGAAUAAAUUGCUUUUGCAUCAAGAGCUUGUCUCUUGAAUAUCUCUUCCUGAGUCAUUUCACUUGACUCAACAGUUUCUUUUCCUCUCUCUGUGACAGAUGCAGCUUUAAGAGUGAUUCAUUUUUCUACAACGUCCCAUUCCAGAGGAUCCUUUGAUCGUAGAAACGCUUUCAUCUUGUUUUUCCAGAUGUUGUAAUACUUUCCAUCAAAGUAAGGUGGUCUGGUAUUGCUCUGCCCUUCCACCAGCCCUGGAGCUAGCAUACUAGCCAUGGAUCUUUUACUCUAAAGUAAAACACUUCAAAUAAAGUGAGUACACAAGCUCUGAUACCAAUUGAUAUAGUUAGUAAUAGCACAUAGAGGGGGGUGAAUAGGCGUUUAAAUAAUUUUUCGAGAUAUGAAAACAAUACUAGACUAACAACAGAAAGGAAGCUCUCCUUUAGUUAACAAAUCGAACUAUGAUCAAAGUAAAGCGGAGAGUAAGGAAGAGAAGAUUGAACACAAGGUUUAUAGUAGUUCGGCUUAUUCCAAGCCUACGUCCACUCUUCUGCACUGACAGCCUACUGGCUGGAUUUCACUAUGAACAAAAGAGAUAUUACAGCAUUGCUUUCCCUUGAUUCCACAGUGUAGAUAUUCUAUCACACUUCCUCAAGGUCUCUCAAAGUAUAGACUCUCUUUUGUGUACAAGAUUUCGCUCAGCAAAUGAAUUGACUAAGAAUCAAAGAGCUUCAGACUUUGGAAUUCUUCUAUCGUGCACUCCUCGAACAACUGGAACGUCUUCCUUUUAUACUCCUUUGUACCAUCAUACCCGUUGGCACUUACCAAAAGAAUUCUUCCAAUCCUCCCGUUGGACAGAAUCAAUUAGGAAGAUUGUUCGAGCUAUUAAAGGAAUAUGUCGAUAGCCCAUCAAUCCUGCUCGCCCAUACAAUCAGGAUCUUGGUUUCCAUAAGUAGAACCUUCUAGGAAUACUUCGUCAAUCAUCGGAUCUUUAAUCAUUCUUGAUUUGAAUAAAGGAAUCCGUUAUGUCUUAUCCAGCCAAGAGAUCUUCUCCAGUCGAUAAGGCCAAAUCCUUAGUGAAGCAAUCAGUUCUGGAUAGCAUUUCUUCAACGGAUUAGAAACUGUCAAUCAGAACAGACUUUGAGUCUUGAGUCUGGCAGUCCGGAGGUCUUCAGACUUUAAUAGCAGAGUUUGCAAAUCUUCAGACCAGACUGAUAGAAACGUUUUGUCAGCUUCAAAAUAUUCCAGAAAGAUUUCUCCAACAAACAAAACUGUAGAAUUGCUAGGCUGAAAUCUGUUUCUGAUUCGGCAAAUUAGAUAAAAGCACAAGUUCCGUUCCAAUGAAUGGAAUGCUCCUGAAUGUACAUGAUACCUUCCUCGAUCCUAGUAUUGGCAGUCACCAUGUGGCCACGGGUCAUGAGACGGAGGAAGCUGAUUACUAAUGUCGAUUUGAUAACUUCCAUUUCUGGAAACAAUCUCUCGAAUUAGUUGCUUCUUUAAGGUUUCCGGUGGCUCAACCCAACCUUUGGAACUGUUGAAGUUGUAGUAGCAUCGCAUACGCUUCCCUUAAGCCAUGUACCAACUCUGAAUUUCAAGGCACAACCCAUGGUUUUACAAGCUCAAUGUGGACAUACAUUAGAUUCUAUUCAUCGUCUCUUUUCGAAUUCAUGAAGAUUCUAUGACGAGCCUUUUUUGGCACGUGGGCGGCACAAAUUGAAGUUUUCUUAGUUUCUUCUCAUGUGAAGAGCAUUCGGAACUCAUUUUGUCAAAUGAACUGAAUCUGAUAUGCCUGGCCAAGCGAUUUUCCAAUCCAUGCUGCUUCUUUUCAUGGUUAGCCAAUUAAAGAAACUUUCACACCAAUGUCUACUGAAUUCCCUCAUUGUUUUAAACGGGGAAAAUGGGAUUUUCAUGCCUCUCUUGCAGCCAUCUCUUUUGCCGCAGUAGCAUAACUCUGUAACGGCGUCACUGCCACACAACUCUUCCGCAACCCCUCUCAACAAAACAGCAAUCAAGCUGGAUAAACAUCGCCGAUUCUCCAUCUCUCUUGAACGGGGCGUUCUUCGAAACAGAGUCCGACUUCGUCAUUCCAUGAAACAUCUUCCUUGCAAACUCGAUUCCCUCCUCCACGGGGCAACUGACGGCAAUGGAAUUACGCCGGGGGAGAGAGAGAGAGAGAGAGAGAGAGAGAGAGAGAGGCGAAACAGAAAAUCAUACAGACAAAUUGGGAUGAAAACGACCUGGUAAGGGUGAAUAUCGAAUGAUGGAUUCCGUCAUCGCCUGAAUGUAGCUAGGAACAGCUGUCUGCAGAGAUUUCUCGAAGCAACGUUCAUCGGAGAGAGCUCGUGGGCAAAGGGAAUGUCUGGAUACUGUCUGCCAAUUCAAAGGAUGGGAUUUUUUGGGGUUUCACUCUAUCGGCCCUCCCGCCAGUGCGGCGUCCCUUCAUCGACUGACGCAAUCUGAGGCCGAUCGAGUCGUCAUCGUCCGAGACUAAUAGGCCGAGAGCGUGAAGAUCGGUGGCGAGGCUGAAGAGAAAACAACGAGAGCUAAGCUGGUGGAGAUGAUCGCGUUGCCGCGUUCUGUUUCCCGUUUGAAUGAACAGUGCUUUAAUGUCAUUUGUGAAAGCAAAAUUCCACUUUUGUUUCAAACAACUUCUAAUUCGGUAGAAAUAUUUUAAUUUUUCUUAUGUCUUUUGAUUUGAGAUUUCUAUUUAAAUUUCCUUUAAUUGGAAAAAUUAACCAAUUUCAUUUCCGGUUAUCGAAAUGUCAUCGACGUAAAUUAACAUGUGAUGGAAUGAAUUUCAUCUCCUUAAAGUAAAGCAGUAGUAAAUCCUAAUUAAAACAAUGUCUUGCAUAAAUGUGCUUAAUACCUUUCAAUAGUUUAUCUGCACUAUUUCCCUUAAUUAGUCCUACAGAUUUUUGUUGACAUCGGUCGCACGGUCCUUACCACCAUAAAAAGGAAGGAAAAAGCAGCUUCUGUCCAGGGGUCCUUCCAUCCUUCGCGGGAAACACUUCAUCAAUAUGAAAAUGAGUCUUUCUGGUACCUAAUUCUACAAUCUCGGAGUUGGAUCUGGGCCCCUGUGCUGCGUAAAUAAUAAAGUUUAUUCUAGUUGAUUUCUUCGUCUCACGUAUCACGACGUCGGCUGAUUUAGUUUUCGUUUUGAUUCUUGUUUUUUUUUUUUAAUCCCCACUAAGGACUCCAAGAGUAAAAAAUCUCAACUCCAAUAAACCUCGAAACAUAAGUUUUCGCAUUUCAUCAAAUAACUCACUUUGUCUCAAUAUUUUCCAUGCAAAGCUAGUUUCACGUUCAAUAUGGUAUCCAUCUAGAAUGUAAUAAUCCCUCGCUUUUAAUGUGGGAAUAUCUGAGUUGCAUUGUACCUGAUGGUCGAUGUAGUCGAUGGUGCGGAGAGUGCUGGGUAUAAACAAUUGAUAUACCAAAUUGGUGUGCAAAUGAGAUUUUUCCGUAAGUGGGGUAAAUGUCAAACGUAGUCACUUUGUACAAUCAAGUCACUAAACUUUAAUUUCAAUUGUCUGAUACAUUAACAUCAUUUUUUUCCCAUAUGUAAUCAAUGAAUUAUGAAGACUUUUAGAACAAUUUUCUACGCAAUAUUUACAUAGCAGUCUUACUUAUCUGAUUAAAAAUGUUAUAACGACGACACGACAUCAUAUGAGUCUCCACUAAGAAAAAACCAAUAUAUAUAUAGAAGUUUUAAAAAAAGAGAGGGUAGGGAUUCGUUCACUCCAACUCAGGUUGAAACUCUCCGUCUCAUUUGGGUUACAUAGCCCUGUGUUACGAGGGGAGGUUCUCAAGGCGUAACCCAAUUGGGAGCAAGCUAAAUUUAUCAUUAGUAUUUAAAUCCUCUUUAUCCCCAUCGGAUUUUCUAAAGAUUUAUAUAAUUGAGUCCAUAAUGACUACUUUCAUUUCAAUUUGCCCCCACAAAUUAAUGAACCUUGAUAAGCAAUUGUAGAAUCAUGAAAAUCUAGUUGCCAUAAACAAACCAAACCGACGCAACUGUUAUUUUCAUGUCAUAUUAUUGAGUUCAAGAGCAUCGGUUUGUUUACUGAAAUAAUCAUUAUUCACCGAAGUUCGCCCCCACUAGGAAAAAUUUCUAGAUACGUCCAUGAUGAAUUGGCCAUGGUUUGCUUGGGUUUUGAUUUGUUACAAAUUCUAAAGUUCAUUUGACGAUUGAAAUCAAAAUUCAAUGACCCGAUUGUAAAAUGCGCUAUAUAAUCUAGUCGUCAAUAAUUGAUUCCUCAUCUGUUGUUCUCUUUAACAAAUUUGAACGCCUAGCCUCAUCCGAUCAAACUUCCACAAAAUUCCCAUCAAUCCCUCUCCUUUUCCCCUUCAACUUAGCUGCUACUCGUAGCUGCAAUCACCGCCUUCUUCCCGUCUUCAGUUGAAUGAAAACCUGUUAAAUGAGCGUUAUGCAAUCUUUCGAGGUCAUUUUGGCUCGGUCUUUGAAGGUUGAGCUGAAAAGUUUGAAGGUUGAGUUGAAAACUUUUGAGAAUAAAUAUCCGAAAUCAUUUGAUGCAGGACUACGCAGUCUGCUUUUGCUUUAGAAUCAUAGAAAACUGUUAAUUUUUGAAUUUGUUUGUCAGAGAAAUGAUUUCUCAUGUAUCCAUUUCUAACUAUUUAGUUCCAUCUUUAACUAUUAUAGUUUCAGCUGCAGCAAAGCAAGGAGAUCACAUUUUUUUAGGUGAAAUCAAGAGUUGAUCUUUUUUUUCUUGGUCGAAGAAAUCAAUAGUCGAUUAUUUUAGUGUUAAAUCAAGGCAAGCCAAACAACCAUAGUGUAAGCUGUAAUCUCUGCUAUUAUUUGGGAUGCUCUUGGUACAAGAGAAAAUAUAAGAAAUGACAGCGUAAAAUGGUGCUUUUUUCUAUUGGGUGUUUUGAGAAAUUACUUGGAAAAGCUCUAUCUUUUAAUUGGUGGUUGAAAAGUCUGCAAUUUUAACUUUUGUGCAAUCUCAGAUUUUUCACUAGUACUAAGAUAGAGGAUGCAGUUGCUUCUCAAAGGUGGUGUUGUAGCAUUUCUUGGUGUUCUCAGUUUGACAUCUAUCAAGCUAAAGUAGAAUGCGAUAAACGGACAUUUGCUAGCAUACCUAUAAUUUUUGUUUAUUUCCAUAUCACUUUAAAUUUCUUUAUUGUAAUUGUUUUCUGUCAUUUUAUCUGUAUCCCCGUUUCUGAUUAAUGUCUCUUUUUUUAUGUAACAUGAACUAUGUGGAAGUACUCUUUUUUUUGUUUUCUCUUCCUAUUUUGGCUGGAUGGAAACACCAUCUUCUACUGCGUUGAUACAACUGCAGUGUUGCAUGCUUCAAUAUUUUUACAAUCGCUGAACGGUUGCUCUUGAAUUUUUUGUCAUCUUACUUCUUGCAAUGUAUCAAAUUUUGGUUUUUCUUCCUUGUUUAUUCCUGUAUGAUUCCACCAUUCUCUAGAUGUUACGUUCUGCCUUCCAACAGGUUGGUCCUCAUGAAGAAAAGUGAUACUAUUGGUGCCUUUUCCUUUGCAUAAACAAAAGUGAUACCCCCAUUAUUUGCUUGAGUUUUCUUCCUAUUUAUGUCAGUCUCUCAAUUAAGAGUUUUUUGAAACUGAGCAUGAAGAAACUGACACCCUUGGGGUGGUCACUCUGGCUAGUGAUAUUUUGUCCAGUCCACGUCAUACCUACAUUGUUUAUACACUCAGUACUUCCGAACGAAUCAAUCAAAACCGCAUAUAACUCCCACAGUACAAUCUUAGGAGCAUAAAGCAGAAGGAAGAGAACUAUAGAAGAUAUCUAGGAAAUGCUGUAAUAUUCAAUGAGGUAAAACCAACAUAGCUAAGAGGCUUACCCAAACUGCAAACCUAGAACAUCUAAAAAGCCAUUAAUGAUACGUAACCAAGCCUCCAUAAUAUGUCGCGUUCAGCAAGAAAGCCAUUUCUACAAAUGAGAGACUUUGUUCCAAGGAUUGGAAGCACGUAGAAAACUGCUUUCAUGAACAUGCCUCGGAUGGACCGCAAAGCUGAAUGAUUAGCUUAGCUGAGCAAAACAUGCCUCGCCUCUUUGAUUUGAUUCCGAUCAACUAGUCAAAACACAUUAGUAACUUCCACAAUGCCAUGUUAAGAGGGUAAAAAACUCAUGCAUGCACAGGACUUAGAUGCCCAACACAUAAACAUUUAGUGGACCAAGGAACCACCUAUUUGUCAUGAUUCUGAUUUGACUACAUUAGCAAUCGAAUACACAUCAACAUAUAUGUAAACAGCAUUAUAUGACACAACCUCUUGGUUGAAGUGAUUCAUGCAGAACCAAAACAUAUCCUCCAAGUUCCUAGUCCAUUCCUGUUUGCAAUGCCCAGCAUGGCAAUCAUGAAAAUGGUGACUACAUUCCCACCAAACGUCACAACUGUGGACACCGUUAAGGAGAAGUGAAUCCAAGAAAAGUGAAACUACCAUUCUAUUGCAUUUGAACCAGAAAAUACAAGGUAUCAAAUUUAAAGGAUAUAUAUUACUAAAGCAUUUGAAAAAUCUAUUUCCAUCCUACACUUGAAAAGCCACAAACAAAGAUGCUCAAUCAAAUUCCCCUAAAACAACAGAUGCUCCAUUAACUAUUUACCGAAUGAAUGAAACUAUGUAAACAUUAUCAUCAGAUUACUUAUUUCCACAAAGAUUGGGCCCAAAAUGGGGCAUAGGGACAAGAGAGAAGUGUGCAGUGAAAGCUUGUUUAAGUGGAGUCCUUCGAUCAUUAAUUUUUUCCACAGUUGUAGUGGAACUUAGGCACUUGUCGAGAUAUUUCAAAACCAGUAAGUGGGAAAGACAACUCAAUGAUCCCCAAGUUGAACUAGAAAGGGCUUAACCAGAAACUCGAAAGGCAAAACCAUCACAUGAUUAGUUCUAAAGCUAGCUCAAAAAAAGCGAUUGCAUCACUGAACAUUUCUAAAUAUACAGAAUUUACAUAUCGAGAACUAACGAUGAAUAUAUGUAGCUAGAAGCCCAGAUUAGGACAAUGAGACACAAGCUAGUUAAAGGCCAUAAAGUGAAAAUCCUAUGGUUCGCGUGUGAAGCCACUGGAACGAGCUACAGAACGAUUCUCAUCCAACUGAUUUGAUCUGACACUUCGGUUUCGCAGCAACCCUGAUGUCGAAUCCUGCGGCAACAUCAUCAUCACCAUUGAAUCUAGCAUCGAUCGAAAGUGAAUCGACAAGUGUCAAAUUCCAAGACCUCAACUUCGCAUCGGAAGCAGCUUAAGAAACUUGCGGGAAGAGGAGAGGGGGGAGAAGCCAUGUGGUGAAAAGAGGAGGAAUGGUCUGCUAUUGGGACUGCGGCGGCGUUGCUGGCUCCCGAUCCUCGGGUAUGUUGGAGAUCGGACUUCCCAACACCGGCGACGGUGGUGUCGAGGGCAGCGGCGAUGGCUUGGCACGAGAGGAAGGAGAUGAAGCAAUGGAGGCGUUUUCAAGAAUUGCAAUGGAAGGGACUAGAAAACUGUGACAUCCUGAAAUUCGACCCCCUUUUCGAUAAAGUGAAAUGGACAUUUCGUCGACGUGCUUAGGGUCUUUUUUCUCUGAGCUGAUCACUCACUUGUUAACUAACCUAUUGGGUGAAGCUGUUAAGGGAUGUAUCUGCAGUAAAAUCCAUAAAAGCUACUCAAUUGGUUGGAUUGAACUAAAAUCACGUUUGAUUUCUAAUCAUGAAAUUUAAUUUGGUUUCGGGAAUCGAAUAUUCGAGCGUGUCACGAUUCAUUUUUAGGAUCCUGUCUCAUCGUCCGUCAAAUUAUUGACGAGUCCGAAAUUUCAAUAAAGAAAUUAUCGGAGGAAAAUUGAAGACCAAAAGAAAAUAGAAAGGAAAAGAGAAAAGAAAUAAAAUAAGAUAAUGGUAAUAUUUUAUUUCUCUCUCUCCCUCUCUCUUCUUUUCUCUUUUCUCUCUCUCUCUUCUCUCUCCUCUCCCCUCCCCUCCCCUUCGUGCAGACAACCCCCCACCGACUUCUCUCUCUCUUUUCAUUUUGACCAGUCAAACACUCUCUCUCAAUCCUUAUCUCCUCUCUUCUCUCUCUCUCUCUCUCUCUUCUCCCCCACUCCCCCACGUGACCGAAACCCCCCCUCUUCCUUGCCAUUUUGUUCGUGAAAACCAGAAGCUUGAACCAGAAGCUGCAGCUCGCCGUCGCCGCCGUUCCGCCGCCCGCACCCGCACGCCUCCGCUUCCCUUAAGCAUAAUUAGCCAACUAAUCAGAGAUUAGUGAGAUUACCCACCGAAAUCGAGCGGAAAUCGGAUCAAUCCAACGGGAGCGAUGCGAGGAACAACAAACUCCAAAGCGGGCCUCGAUUAAGGGUGGUUUAUUUUUAAUUAAUUAGGUUUAGGUGGUUAGAUUAGUAUGGAUUAGUGUUUAUUAAUCAAUUGUGAUGCGAAUUAGACAAAUUGAAUGUGUAUUUAGCAAGUAGACGUGGUCUAAUAUUUAUUGGAAGUGUCUCGGGAUUUUUCCCGACCCUUAGUGGGCUUCAAUUAGGCUUUUCGGGCCUAAGUGGAAUUUUUUAGUAUUUAAAUAUUAAUUUUCGAAAUUAAAUUAAAUAAUUAUUUAUUUUCCGGAAAUUCAACUGGGAUGGCCUGGAACCGGAAUAUUAUGCUGAUGAUUGUGGUGAAGUCUGUUUAUUUAAUUGGGCUUUAUUUUGUGCUAAAUUGAAUUUUUAAUAUUUAUUAAUUAAUUUUCGAAAUUAAUUAAUUAAUUAAUUAAUUAAUUUUCGGAAAUUAAGAUUUUGAUGGCUGACAACCGAAAUCUCGUGCUGAUCGUCGUGGCGCAGUCUGUUUAUUUAAUUGAGCUUUAAUUUGCAUGGAAAUUAUUUAAUUAUGAAUAUUUAGGAGUUAUUCAUAUUGACUUGAUUGUUAAUUAUUUGAUUGAGAAAUCAUUGGGUAUUGGUUAUCACUUGAAAUGUAAUACGUGGGCUCGUUGAAUUGGAAUAUCACUUGGAGAAUGCACGUGAAUUCGGUGAUUGAUUAUGUCAUCUUGGCGAAAAGGUCGCCUAAGAGAAUGCACGUGGCUCGGAGACUUGGUAGGUCUUCCUAGAGAAUGCACGUGGCUCGGUGACAAAGUUUGGCAUCUAAAAGGGCACGUGGCUCGGUGAAUUGAUGCAUCACUUUGGUGAGAUAGCACCUAAGAGAAGGCACAUGGGCCCGGGCAUCGUAAAAAGGACAUGUGGCUCAGUGAUCUGAUGCGUCACCUUGGCGAUUGAGUGCCUUAAAGAAUGCACGUGGGUUCAGUGUUCGGAAAUAGCAUCUAAAAGGGCACGUGGCUUGGUGACUUGAUGUAUCACCUUGGCGAAGAGGUCGCCUUAGAGAAUGCACGUGGGCCCAAGGUUUGAGGCACAUGGCUUGGAGACUUGGAAUGUCGUCUUGGAGAAUGCACAUGGCCUAGCUUUUAGAUACUCCUCCAUGGAGAAUGAUUUGUAUGACAUGUAAUCGACUAGUUCGAUUUGUUUAGAGUAAAUGGGUGCCUAUUGUGAAUUGUACUGACUUGCAGGUAGGAUCUGAGAUCAAGGUAAGUCAUUUGUCCUGUGCGUGUUAGGCAACCUAUAGUAUAAUGGUUUACUAAUCGAGCCUUAGUGGGGUAGAACUCGCUGAGACGUAGUCUUAUCCCAGUUUGGGGAAAACAUUUCAGGACCCCAAUGAGGAGCUGAGGAGGAGGAGUCUGGGAAAGAGAACUCGGAGGUAAAAUCUGAGGAGAAGAAUUUUGGAAGAUGAAGAUAAUCCCAAGAGGGGCCUUGAGUACGGCCUGGAUGGAUUGAGAUUCUAUCUUCUUUUGAGAUCUACAUUUUGAUGUGAAUAGAGAUAGAGUAAAAAGUUGUGAAGUGCUUUGGUUUGUGUUUUGUAUAAAAGUUUGGUUAUAAGUUUCAAUAUGAAAAAUAUUGCCCUGCUUUUCUAUCCCAUCGUUUUAUUAUCUGGGGAUUUUAACUGCUUCCACAUGUGCUUAAUAAAUAAAAGGGUCGGCGAUACAUAGUCCUGAGAUAUCGCAUUAUAAAAUCGACCAAGUCAGAAGGAUGUGUACGUGCCCGAGGAUCGGGGCGUGACAAAAACCGUGAAAUUGAAAAGGGAAACAUGAUCCCGAUUCAUUUGGAAUUUUCUUUAUUUUUAGCCAAUCACAAAUUUCAGAAAAAAUUACCUCAAUUUAAAUCGCUGAAAAAUGUGGUGUAAAUACUUGGCUGGCCAAUGAGAUCAAAUUUUUAUUUAAUACUGAUUAGGCAAUUUCAUAUUCUUAUUCAAAACGAAAACAUGACAAGGGGAGGAGAAAAAAAUGGAGGAGUCUACAAGUUAUGUGACGGGAGUGACCUGAAUUGUGAAAUUGGAAAAGAAAACCUAAUCCCAAUUCAUUUGGGAAAUAUAUUCUUACUUUUAUCAAAUUAAAAAUUUGGGAUAAAAUUGCCCUUGUUUAAGUUGCUGGCUUAGAUCUUUAUUUGAGCUUAAUUUUGACCAUUUUAUACCCUUAUCUAUAACAAAGUCCAUACUUUUCUUUUUUCGCCAAGGAGGAACCUUGCUAUAUGAAAAUGGAGGAGCUAGACUCGAACGAUUUGCAGAAAGACUCAUGGACUUUGACUUAGAAAAACUUUUGUACUAUUAUCACACGAAAAUUUGUUGGAUGAUGAUUAUUGAUCUUUCAUCAUUUCAAUUUUGAAGAGCUUCGAUGCUUUAGGAUCUUAUUUCUCUUGAAUUAUUUCUUCUUUACAACCUCAAUUGUCUGCAAAGAGCAUUCAUCAUAUGCACGGCAAAGCAAUAAUCAAUCUAUGCUACAUCUCUUCAUGGUGAGUCAAUUAAACCAAUUUUUAUGCCAAUGUCUAUUAAGGUCCUAUUCGUUUUGCGAAAAGUAUCGCGUUUCUGAAAAAUGACAAUAUUUUCUGAGGUUUACUUGAAACUUGAAAAUGAAUUAGAAAAUAUUUUCCGUCAUUUAAUUUGAAAAAUUCGAUUUGAUUUCCCUUUGUGCACUCCUUUUAACAUCUUUUUAAUUAAAAAAAAAUCAACAUUUUUAAUUUUUUUCAAAUUUUAAUUUUUCUCUACUUUUUAUUUUUUAAUUUUUCUUUUCUUUUCCUUCCUCCUCCUUAUUCAGCUAGUUGCUGCUUGAGCUCAAGGCUUGUUGAUCUGGUGAGACCCAAGUUUGCCACUCGCCUGGCUCGCCAAGCUGGCAAAUGCCAAGCUUGAAGUCUUAGGCCUUGCCAAAGGCUUGCUCGAUAUACAAGUAGCAAGAUCACCAGAGGUCAUUGAGCCUGGUUAAGGCUUUGGUGAUCAACCAAGACAAAAGAAGAAAAGAAAAAAAGAAAAGAGAAAAAAGAAAAAAGAAAUAUAAGUAAACAUUCAAUUUUUUUUUUUUUUGAAAAAAGAAAUAUAGGAAGGAUAACGGGUGUGGAAUAAGAGAGAAUGAUUUAGAAAAAUAUUUUCCCCAUUUGAAAAGUAAAAAAUAUUUUUCCCUAUUUUACAAAACUUCUUUCCAUUGAUGAAAAAUGUUUUCUCAGACGAAUUCAUUUUCCAUAAAACGAAUGCUGAAAAAUUCAAAAAAAAAAAAUUCUUCAAAGUUGGUUUUCACGAAAUGAAUGAAGACUAAAUUCAUCAUUAUUCAACUGUGCAAAAUGGAUUUCUACCCACCCCCUUACCCUCCGCCAUGCAACUAAAUGAAAUGAUGUCAUAGGAUACAAACAGAGCAGGUUUUUCAUGGUCUUACACUUCAAAUACCUCUCAUUACUCCUAAAUUAGCUUGCAAAUUCGAUUUAUAACUAUCCUUCUUCAAAAUGGUCUCAAUAGCAUCCGAGUCUCAUUGGGACAAUUGCUAAAUCCGACAUCUGACAUCUUAUAUGAAUAGUCUAGUAAGAUCUUGAGCUUAAAUUGUCACCAGUAUACCUAGAGCUCAAUUGUGAUUGCUAGCACUUACAAUAUCAUGACCGCUUUAGUAGUUGAUGUCCCCUUGUUGGAGAUUUUCAUUUUAUUUUAUCUAUAUUGUGUUUAUAUAUAAUCCAAUAAAAUACUAAAACAAUACUCAUCAAUAACAUGCAUUAGAAAAUGAUCUCGCAAUUAAUUCCUUUCAUCCUCGAGCACUUUUAAAUAGAUAAAUUUAUCCUAGGAUUUCCUCGCCUUCAAAUCAUUACCUUCUUGCUCUUUGCCCUCAGAUUUUAUCUUUGGAUUUCUCAUUCCACUUAUAUAAUUUGAUCGUUCAAAGAUGUAAAUGUGUGGAAUAUUCCAGAUGGAUUCAUCAAGCAACAUAUUCAGGAAAAGCAAAGAGCAACUCUUAGGUAUUUUGACAGUGAAGUUCAUAAGGAGCUAUAGACUCGUUAGAGGGGCUCUAUUUCUGUCCUUUUCUUCUGGUAGACGUGCAUUUUAGAGAGAAACUCACCUACGUGUAGGAAAUGUUUGCAUGAAUGGAUGAACAAGGAUAAUCACCUGAAGGCCUGCAUUCUUUGCCGCAAUACCUUCUCAAUACCAUGUACUUAAAACUACUUGUGACCAGUACCUCCACCUAAUCAUGUGCUUUUUUUCUUCCUCACAUUUAGUGUCGAAAAUCCACAAAAACAUUACCUCAGAUCUUCAUGAUUUGUAUUUCUAGAGUCUUUAUGCUAAUCUGCCAUCAUAAGAUCCAUGUAUAAAAAAAAAAAAAAUGCACCAAAUGGCCUAUCAUCAAUGAAGAAUGCCUAGGAGUGAGCUUUCGGAGCUCACCAAUUUCCUACCCCACAUUAGAAUAGAAUGAAACAACACAUAAUAUUGAUACUAAAUAACCAUGAAGCAAAGCAGACCCAAAAUAAAUAAAUUCAACACCUACAACACUAGAGCAUGUAAUUAACAAAUCAAAUUCAACAAGAUUGAAUCAUCAACUAAUUACAUUCGUUAUCAAAUGGAACGACAAUUUAGAGAAUAGUGUAAUAGGUCACCCAUCAAAGUUUAUGAGGGCAAAGAGUUACUGAAUAGCAAAGCUAUUACUACUUCGGAACAAGACAGGCUUGUCAAGAAUUUGCGAAUGAUUGCUUAACCUUUCAAACAAAGGAAGGCAGGAAAAGGACGGAGGAGAUGUGAAACUUUCUGUGGCUAAUACCAAACAUUACAAGAUGAUGAAAUUAGUGUAAUAACAAUCGUUCCAUCCUUUGCCAAUGUCAUUAUAUUGAGCAUGUGUCAAUGGAUUAUCUCAUUUUUUUGUGCUUAUGUUGAUACUGAAUAUCAAACUGAAAAGAAGUUUUGAGUAAAUUUGCGACGACACAAACUAUCCACUCCAUGAGGAAAAUGCAUUCAAACAACAUAACUAACACACUGUACUGAGAAAUUAGUGACCGUCAAUCUGAAAAAAGCAGAGGAUGAGGAAGCACUUUGGUUGGAGGAACAUGCUAAAUACUUGGCUAUAAUAAAACCAUUAUUUAUUGUGUUAUGCACUACUUGCUCCAAUACACAAAAGAGGUAGAGGCAUUAGAGGAGCAUGAAUUUUUGCCUCCUUCAAUAUCACCUGAACUUUUAUCCUUGUUCAAUCGAGUACGAAAUGUGACUUGAACUAGUAACUACGUUAGAAGAAUUGUCACAUAAUGUGUAUCAACACGGGCUGCUUGCUCACAUGUGACUCGCCUAUUUGGCAAAAGUGUUGAGAAGGAUUACCAAAGGAAAGUUGAAUAAAUUAAAGGAUGUGCUUUUCUAUUUUUCAUUUUCAUGUUCACUUUCCUCGUGAGUUUUGCCUUUUGAUUCAUUGCUUAGCCGGUUAAGUUCUCCUAUAUACCAUAUAGAGAGUUCAUUCAUGUCAUAAAUUAGAGAUUGCUUGAUACUCUUUUUCUAAUGCUUUAAUAAAAAAUAAAGAAAACAGUCAAUAAACCAUAAAAUGCUUGUGUUAUAUAUAUACUUACUUUAUUGACUUUUGAUAGUGUUCUACCUAUUGACAUAUUAGAUUUGGACUAACUUGCACCCUUAUAUCUAAUUAAUGUUGACUAUCAUUGGAAAAUAAGUCUUGAGUUUUCAUGUACUACCUCUCCAAUUUCACGUAUUUGAUGGAAAACCCCUCAAAUCAUCCCUUUCAAUGGAAAAAAAAAUUUUGUUUAUAAGGAAAAUUUGAAGUUGAUUAUUUUUUUUUUGUCAACAAUAAUUGUAAGAAUAAACUCAAAAUUUCAAUCAAGAAUUUUGAGCCAUCAUGGUACAGAUUAAUGUGGAAUCAUAAUGGCAUGGAAUCAUACCAUGUUUGAGCAUGAUUCCUUGAGUAAGCAAAGUUUGAAGGGAGAAGUAUAUUAGAAGUGCCUUAACUUGUGUACGAUGUUCACUUUAAUGCCACAACUUUUCGCGAGUUCACUUAAUUAAAUGAUCACUUAAGUGCCAACUCCGAUAUGAGUUGUCGGAAAUCUAACGUGGUAAUUUGUUAUUAAUUUAUCAAUCCUAUGUGGUUUGCCAGCAUGCCCAGUCAGCAUAUAAUCUUUAAACACUUCAGUGCCAAAAAAAACCCCUAAAUGUUGUUGUAUAACAAGUUAAAAAGCAAUUACUUCAGUGCUAGUCAUUCUAAAAAAUAUGAUCACUUCAGUGUCAAUCUUGAUAAAAAAAAAGUGGUCACCUCGGUGUCAAAAAAUGCCAUCUUAGACAAAAAUUUUAUAUAUAAAAGCCAUGUAAUUUUUAUAGUCAGAAUUUUUUGUUGGAAGCACUUAAGUGAUCAUUAUUCUCUGAUUUUGACACUUAAGUGAACUGGCGAAAAGUUAUGUCACCAAAGUGAAUAUCAUAUAUAAGUUAAGGCAAUUCUAAUGUACUUCUCUCAAAGCUGGAAUCAAGGACUCUAGUCCACAUUGUGGUUUUUUGACAUACUAAUAUGACCUUGCAGGGAAGUGAAAUUGAAUGAUGGGGUGCCAUUAUUUUGGAACUACAUGUCAAUUUAGGCUAAUCUCACUUGAUAAAUUGCCGAUGCCACGCUCAUGUUUGUUUGAAUUCAUGCAUGUAUUAAGUAGCCUUCAGAAUUUUCACAAUUUCACCAAAUUACAUGCUUAGCUUAAAUUAGUGAUUUCGUUGUUGUACAAUUGUCCAUCAUAAUACUAUCUCUAAAGCACUCUCGUCUAAUGAUAUAAAGUGAAAAGAAGAGUUUCCUUUAUAUUUGAAAACUAUGAGGUGAACAUGACCAAUGAAGUAAUGUUAUGUGAGUCCUCGAUACCCUUUUCACAAUGAGAUGAUGUUAUUGUUUCGCUUUUCUAGUUCUAUAUUCUAGGUUGAACUGGUUGGAGACUUGAGAAGCAUUGAACUUGAAAGAUUCUUUCCCCUAGCUUCUCAAGAAACUUUUGGAAUUAAUUCUUCAUUAUACAAUAACUCAUCAUAGUAAAAUCGAAGUGCAGAAAGAAAAGGAUAAACUCCGGUUGCCUCCAUCAAGAAAAGAACGAUAACAGUCUUAUAAACAAUCCAGUGAUAGAAAUAGAUCACCUGUGAAAAGUACAUACAUGGAAAUGGAUGAUUUUUUAUUUUACAAUUUAUUGUUCCUUGAUCAGUCACCAUCACUAAUAUCCAAGUCCCCACGGCAUUUCUUUCACUACUCAUGGACAACCCUCUAAGGGCCUGUUUGUUUGUGUUCUUUUUCUUUUCCUCGGAACACAAUUUUUGUUAUUUUGUUUUGGAGAACAAAAAAAGGAACAAAAACACGUUUGUUUACACUUUUGUUCCCGGGAACAAAUUUGGAACAGAAACAAAAACUUGUUUCUUGUUCCCGGAAACACUUCCGAAAAAUAAUUUUUCUCUCUCCUAUUUUUUCUUUCUCUUUCUUUUCUUCUUCUUUUAUUCUUCUUUUUUCUUUGGCUGGUCGCUUGCCUUGGCCAUGGUCGACAACCUUGCCGGAGUGUCGCUGGCCCCCAGUGAGGCUUGGCCUCGCCUUGGUUGGAUAAGUUUGAGCUUGCCUAGCCACCGGCGAGGCUAGGCCUCGCCGGGGGCCAGCGAGCCUUGCCAUGGUUGGGCGAGGCCACCGGCCCUCGUCGACUGGUUGCCGGCCAUGGCCGAGGCCGGCGACCAACCAAAAGGAAGAAAAAAGAAAAAGAAAACAAAAAAGAAAAAAUUAAAAAUUAAAAGAAACAAAAAAAUUAUAUAAGUUCACCAAAUGUGUUUCUAUUCUAGUUCUAUUCCAGGAACAUAAAUUAUAUAAGUUUACAAAAUGCAUUCUUUUGUUCAAAAAUUGUUCCCUAGAACAUAAAUAGUUUUUUUUUAAUUUAUAUUCCCAAGAAUAAUUUUUGAACAGAAACGUUACCAAACACAGCCUAAAUAUACGAAAGAUUGCAUUAAUUAGGAUCGUUGUGAGAGAGAGAGGGACAAGAGUAAUUGAGGGUAGUUGUGGGAGUUGAGAUGACCUUUAAUGUGAUGAGUCCCUCUUCUAGAAAUGAAUGGUUUUCUGCAUUUUACUAUUCGUUUACUUGACCACUCACCAUCAAUGAUGUCUAUCUCCUUGUCCUUUCAUCUGCUGCUAUUGCACAAACUUAUAAGUAUACAUAAGAUUGGUUUAAUUAGGGUAGUUGAGAGAGACACAGAGAUUAAAUGAGAAAAGUUGGGGGAAGCUGAGAUGGUGUUUAAUGCGACAACUACCUUUCCCUGCAUCCUCAUAAAUGUAUGACAACUGACUGGGUGCCCUCACUUGUCUGGCCUCUUUCCUUUUACUGUCGAGAAACACUGCUUUCCCACUUCAACGCUCCCUCCCGAGGCAAUGAUCAAUUAAGCAAAAGGUCAGCCAAUUAUUAAGCGAAAACUGACGGCUCUCUAAUGAGGCCCAAAUGAAUUGCUUGCUUAGUUUAAAAUAGUGAUUUCAUCGUUGCACAAUUGUACGUUAUCAUAACAUUUUUGAAAAGAGGAGUUUCCUUAAUAUUUUAAAACUAUGAUGCGGACAUGAACAAUGGAGUCAUGCUCCGUGAAUCCCCAAUACCCUUUCCACAUACAAGAAGAUAUUAUUGCUUCGCUUUUCUAAUUCUAUAGUCUAGACUUAACCACCUGGAGCCUUGAGAAGCAUCGAGUUCGAGAGGUCCUUCUCACAGCUUCUCAAGAAAUUUGAAGACGUGGGUAUAAGGGAUAAAGUAAACAAAGUGAAAACUUGAGCUAAGAACAAACUAUGAUACAAGGCAAGCUUUCAAAUUUGAAGACAUGCCAUGAAUGAAUCAAGCUUGGGAUCUUUCCAUGGAUAUAUUCAUAUAAGAUAGCCGUAUCACCACUUUGAAAAACGGAUGAUCCGAUUCAAAUUUGUUGGCUAAUUGAAUCAUAUUAAGAGUAAUGCGUUUGGAAAUGAUUGAUCAAACAAUGUGGUAGUCUGACCAACUUAUUCAUAUCACAUUUAUAAAUCAGUUUUAUAAAUUAAUUAUUAUAAUUGUAUCAUCACUCUUUGUUGAUAAUAUUCGAAUGAUUUGUGUGUAAAAGAAUAAAAAACUUUUGUCUUGAUUUGUGCCUCACUAGACGCACUAGACCGAGAAGACAUUACAACUUAAAAAAUAUGAGUAAUUGAAAAAGACGAGCUAUUUCAACUCAAACGAUUGUAAAAAUAAGAAGAAUAGAAAAGCUCAGAUUGACCUUGACUGUAACCAUUGUUUAGGAAAUCCAUCACGCAUGAGGGAAGGACGUUCCUUGUUACCAUUGGAGCCAAUUUUGAAGGGAAAAAAUGGUUUUUUAAUUGCAUGAACCCAGUCCUCAUGAUCCCAAAUGAUCUUACUCUUUGUGUAAUGUGAUUUUCAAUUGAGACCCAAAUGAUACACGUUGAAACCAAAUAUCUCUCAUAUAUUACUUUAUCUAAUUACUUUAAUAUCGUGGAGUUUUUAACAUGUGGAAAUAGAAUUUCAUGAUAAAGGGAGAAGAUACAAUUAGACAAACAAAAUUGACACGUGCAAAAUAUCAAUUCACUCAAAAAAUUAUGAAAUAUAGGAGGUGAGGAUUCUGUCAUGAUCAAUAUGGAGAUAUUAAAAGAAUCUUCCAUUCUCAUUAAAGUUCAGUAGUAUUGUUGGAAAAUUACACAAUCAACAAACAACAUAUUGCACAGAAUUAAUAUUUUGAGGAAAAGUGCAAUUAAGUGCUCUUUGUAAAGUUUCACAUGAUUUAACUAACGCGUUAGUCCAAUCAUGGCCAAUUGUCUUACAUUUAAGGAAGAUGGUGCAAAGCAGACUAAAACUACAUGGAAUGACGUUGUUCCUUCUUAGAUAAACAGCGUUGGUGCUUGGUCGAUAGGCUAAAGUAAAUCACCAAAUCUUGAGCUCUAAUGUUCGACUUAAACAAAAAGGUUGAUGGUCUAAGGCAACAAACAGGAGCAAGGCCCAACAUCCCUACAAGGAAGUGAUUGAUUGAAAGUUAUAACUAUCAAGUAAAUAUUUUUUAAACAUAAACACUAAUCAAAGAAUAUGAAAAUGGAUAUUUUUUUUAGCCAAGACCCAAACCAUGAUAAAAAAAAGAAAAGAAAAGAAGGAGAUGGGUACAAGCUCGUUAACCUAACUUCAGUUUUUUGUUUUAUUGUUUUAUUGUUUUUUUUUGGGGUCUGAACCUAACCUUAGUCUAGGCCUUAAUUAAACGCCAAUCAAUUCCUUAGGCAUAGAAAUGGAUGAUUUUCUACAUUAUUGUUCCUUUAGUGGACUAGUCACCAUCACCAAUUCCAUCCUUUCCUCUGCUAAUGGGCAGACGUUGAUGCACCACUGGUCCUCAAAUGUAUUAAUUAGUUCUAGUCCAUCCUUUCAUCCUUCCCUCCACCGCUAAUGGACAAACAUUGAUUAGGUACUAGUCCUAAAUUCACUCAUUGUGUGAGUCAAUGAAAUCAUAUUUAAAAGGUUCAUAUUAAGAAAAAUCCUAAAUUGGUAUAUCUGUGAAAUAUUUAUCUCAAACUAAUUUUUUAUCAUAAAAAAUCCCAAAUUGAUAUACAUGUGACAAAAUAAGGGAAGUCUCAAUAAAUAAAAUUUCGAAAUUAUUAGUUAUUAAUUUUUUUAAAUUUCCAAAAAUCCUCGAUAAACAAAAACAACCUUUGAAUUGAUUAAAAUUAAUACAAUUAGUGCUAAUUAAAUCGCACAAAAUAAUCGCGCACCUACACGUGAAUAUGGUGAGGUUUAGCCCACACCCAAUCAUCUCUUUAUGUACACUAAAAAAACCUCACACUUAUUAAUUGGCCCACUUCUUCUCACUUUUCUUAUGUGGAACAAGGAAAAUGCACUGAGUUUGUUUUUACAAACAAAAACUUCCAACAUGUACAAGCUUUUGGACCACUUUGAGGGUGCAAGGUCAGACGUUCUCGAUCAAGUGGGUCGAUAACUUGGCGUUGCAUGGCUUCAUACUGCAGCGUUGCAAGCCAAAGCUCUAUCGGUUACUGAUGCGGCCAUGGGGCGCGCAAUGGCGAGCUGGUAAACGGGGAUCGCACGACGUGCCUACCGUCGGCUGACAAGUAGGUCAAUUAAAGUGAGCAGAGCAUCAAGACUCAGGUUUAGAUUCAGGAGGUAAGAGGCUUAGCACUGUCCCAAAUAAGAGAUCGGUACUUAUGCAUGAUUCAUGUGUUUUAUGAGGAUCACAUCUUGGAAUUUGCGAAGGGAGCGAGAAGAGGUUGUCAUUAUCUCUUUGGAAUGCAUAUUGUAUUGAAAUUAUUAAUGCAUGGAACCCACAUAGCUGGGUUGAGAUUCAGGAGGUAAGAGGCUUAGCAUAGUCCUGAAUAAGAGAUUGGUACGUAUGCGUGAUUCAUGUGUUUUAUGAGGAUCACAUCUUGGAAUUUGCAAAGGGAGCAAGAAGAGGUUGUCAUUUUCACUUUGGAAUUGGAUCUUCAAAGUAUUUUUCUCUUUAAUGCAUAUUGUACUGAAAUUAUUAAUGCAUGGAACCCACAUAGCUGGGUUGGCCUAGGGCUUGGCCCCAAAGACCCGUCAAACCUCGCGCAUAUAAAUACAGACUUGCUCUAAUUGUUGUAACUCAACAUUCGAAAAUUUUAAAAGUUGAAAUUGCUCAGGUAUGUGCCUUUUUUAUCUUGCACAUUAAAUAUGCAUUCAAGUUUGAUUAAUUUUAACUAGAUUUGUUUUUUAUAUUUAAAUAUCGACGUGAGUUUAAAUAUUACAUCUAUAGUGAUACUUAUACGCGAGAAAAUUGGUCCGUGUCUCUAUUGAGUCAAAUUCAACUGGAAGGCUGGUCAAAUCCCAGUCAAAGUGUCAUCAAUUGUGAAGAAAUAAAAGUUCGGUGCCGAUAAUAAAAAUCAAAGUGAGGCAACUUGAUUGCAAAAUCUACGAAUGCUCAUAGAAAAUCAACACUUUUAAAAGAUAAAAUUUCUUAAAAUGAUCACUUGUAUCACUUAGAAUAAUGAAUGUGAUGAAAAUUUUCAUUAUUAAUGAUAAUCUAUAGAUAUAGAUUGUUACUAAUAAUAAGAAUAUUUUCUGUUGGUUAAUCGGUUAAUUUUCUUAAUGUUUCAUAAUUGUUAUCCACAAGAUGGGUACUGCAAUUCUCAGAGGGAUGUUUGAGUCAUUUGAGAAUGAAAGCAAGAACGGUACGUAGCAUGCGCAUUUUGAAUUUAAUCUGCAUUUAUUCAAAUAUAUAAUAAUAUAUUUAUAUUUAAUCGACAAGAUCAUGUAAUUUUUCAUGCAACCAAUAUAAACAAAUAUGGUUGGUCGAUUUCGUAUAUGACUGAUCAAUGUAAGAGUUUUCCUAAUGUGGACUAUAUUAAUUGAUAUUGUAAUUUACCGUUUUAUUAUGGCCAGGGUUGUUUGUAGCAAUUAACAAGUCAUACAUUUACCAUGGUAUCGCCCAAAGCCUACGGACAAAUAAAUACAUCUUCGAUUAUUCUGUGCAAAGAAGCAGGAAAUGAGAAGCCGAGAAACACUGGAGCUACGCGAAAGCUUGAUGUGAAGAUCGCGAACGCAGUUCAUGUUUCUCCGGCGAGGGAAACGUUUGGCGGGCUCUACGCUCUUUCAAACCUCGACCAGACCCUCCCAUUCAUGAUCGAGAUCAUGUUCGCCUUCAAUGGCGAAGGGAGAGGAAGUCGUUCCGCUGCGAUUGAGACAAUCAGAGAGUCGCUGGCCAAGGCAUUGGUCGAGUUCUAUCCAUUCGCGGGCAGACUUGCCAUGGGGAUCGACGGGAGGAUGGCAGUGAGAUGCACCGGAGAAGGUGUCCCAUUCGUCGAAGCGACGUAGGAGGAUGACAUCGCAGCGCUGGGCGAUAUCAGCACCAUCAAUCCUGCCAUGCUGCGAAAACUCGUGAAGCACAGCGACGGAGCCCCGACCAUAUUGGAAGUACCUUUGCUUUCGGUGCAGGUAAAUACUAUUGAACAUGUUCGUCGUGCUGAUUCUGGCGUGCCCCUGCAUUAGUUCAUCGAUGAAUCAUAUAUUAGAGAGAUUGUACGAGAAUUAUGGCUACUUUGUGCGAGAUUUUUCUUUUGGGGCAAGAUAGAAGGAGCAACAUAGUGCUUUUGAACAAUUUAUCUAACAGAAAGAGAUCGUUUCUGCACUGCUUUUUUUUUUUUUAAUCAUUCAACCGCUUGCGGAGCAGCAUGUUCGCCUGGACUCGUGCAAGGGGAUUUAGACUUUCCAAGACUGACAUACACAUAAGUAGAUAUCCACUUACAGUUUAUCAUGAAAUCCAGGUGACGACGUUCAAGUGCGGAGGGAUCGUCGUCGGCAUCGUCAUGAAUCACGUCCUCGUCGACGGGAAAGCCCUCACGGACUUCAUAGCUUGCUGGAACGGCCUGGCUCGAGCCAAGCCACCAUCAAUUCUUCCCUUUCUUGAUCGAUCGGUGUUGCGCCCGAGGCAAUCUCCACGUGUCGAUCUCCCCCACUGUUGGAGAAAUCUUUCCAGAAGAUUUUGAAGCUGACAAAACAUUUCUAUCAGUCUAGUCUUGAUAUCAUUGGUUUAAAGUCUCAAGACUUUGUAAUCUCAAGACUCAAGACUCAAGACUCAAGACUCAAGAUUAUUCUCACUGACAGUCUUUCUAAUCCAGCUGCGUAGGAUAUCCGAAGCCGAAGUAUAUGGUUGGGGAUUUGAUCCAAUCCUCUGGAAUAGAUCCCUUGGUUGGAUAAUCAUUUCGGAUUCUUUUGAUUCUUAUCUAAGAUCAAUUGAAGAUCUGAUGGUCGACGAAACAUUCUUGGAAUGUUCUAUUCUUGGAAACCAAAAUCCUGAUUGUAUGGGCGAACAGGAUUGAUGGGCUAUCAUCAGAUUCCUUAAAUAGCUCGGAUGAUCUUCUUAAUUGAUUCCGUCCAACGGGUAGAUUGGAGGAAUUCCUUUGGUAAGUGCCAACGGCUAUGAUGGCAUAAAGGAGUAUAAAAGGAAGACGUUCUAGUUGUUUUAAGGGUGUGAUCGAUAGAUAAAUUCCAGAGUCUGAAGAACCUUGAUUGUUAGUCGAGACUGUUCAAGCGAAAUUGUAUACACAGAGAGUAGUUGUACUUGGUGAUACCUUGAGCGAGUGUAGUAGAUCAUCUACAUCGAGAGAUCAAGGAAGAUCAACACUGUAACAUCUCUUUGUUCAUAGUGGAAUCCAGCCAAUCGGCUGUCAGUGCAGAAGAGUGGACGUAGGCUUGAAUCAAGCUGAACCACUAUAAACCUCGUGUUUAAUUCUCUCUUUCUUUUACUCAGUCUUACGAUUGUUUUUUAAUCCUUCAUCUGUUUAAGUAUUGCGCAAACUGCAAGAAAAUUUUCAUAAACCUAUUCACCCCCCUCUAGGUAUUCGUACUAGCAUUAUCAAUUGGUAUCAGAGCUUGUGUUCUUACUUUAUUUGAAGUGUUUUACUUCAGAGUAAAAGAUCCAUGGCUAGUAUGCUAGCACCAGGGCUGAUGGAAGGGCAAAGCAAUACAAGACCACCCUACUUUGAUGGAAAGGAUUACAACAUCUGGAAAAACAAGAUGAAAGCUUUUCUACGAUCAAAGGAUCCUCUGGAAUGGGAUGUGGUGGAAAGAGGAAUUACUCCUACUGCUGCAUCAGUAUCCGAAAGAGGGAAAGAUAUUGUUGAACCCAGCGGAAUGUCUCAAGAAGAGAUAAACAAGAGACAAGCACUCGAUGCAAAAGCAAUUUACUCUUUAUAUUGUGCUUUAUCACCAACUGAAUAUAACAGAAUAUCUUCUUGUGAUACAGCAAAAGAAGUCUGGGAUAGAUUACAUAUCACUUAUGAAGGGACAGACCGAGUGAAAGAGACCAGAAUCAACAUUCUCCUUGGUCAAUAUGAAGCCUUCAAAAUGAAACAAGGAGAAUCUAUAUCUGACAUGUUUAGCCGUUUUACAGAUAUUGUCAAUGGCCUUGAGAAUCAAGGACAGAAAAUUUCUGAUCCUAUGAAGGUGAACAAGCUACUACGUGGACUCUCCAAGGAUUGGAAUCAUAUAAAGACUUCAAUAAGAGAGACGCAAAGAAUUAUGCCAUUAUCUGUAGACGAGCUGAUUGGAACUCUUCAGUCUUAUGAAGUGGAACGAAUUAAUGAAGAAGAAGAUCCAAGAGGUAAGAAAUCCAUUGCAUUAAAAUCUAACGAUGAUUCUGAUGAUACAGACUCUGAAGAAGAUCUGGAUGAUGAGGAGCUUGCUCUUAUGAUUAGAAGGUUCAGAAAGUUGAAUAGAAAAGGAAGAAGGUUCAACCCAAGGAAACAAAGUUUUCAGAAACAGCAAACCAAGUUUGUUGAUAAUGAGGAACCAAACAAAGAUGUAGUUUGUUUCGAAUGUAAGAAGAAAGGACACAUCAGACCAAAUUGUCCUCUCCUGAAGAAGAAAAGAGGAAAAGCUGAAAAGUCUCGAAAAGCUCUCAAAGCCGAAACUUGGAGCGAUACAGAGUGUGAAGAAAGUGAUGAGGAAUAUGCUAACCUAUGUCUGAUGGCACAAUCAGACUCAGACUCUGGAUCAGACUCAGACAGUGAAUUCGAGGUAAGUGAUUAUAAAAUUCCUGUCAAAGUCUCUAAAUACAUUGAUGAACUAUGUUUUAGUCUUAAGACUUCUCUAAAAAGAAUUUCCGAACUGAAAAAGGAAAACUUAGUUCUAAAACAAAAGGAAAAUAUUUUAGAAGAAAAAGUGAAAAGUUUAGACUUAAAUUUUUCUACUCUUAAGGAGAAUGAAGAUAAACUUUCAAAAGAAAAUGCUUUCUUAAAAACUGACUUAUCAAAUAUUUCAAAGAAAUUUUCAAUAGGGUCUGAAAAACUUGAAAAAGUUCUUUCAGUCCAAAGACCUUACUUUAACAAGUCUGGUUUGGGUAUGACAGCAGAAACAAUUUCUUUAAUUGAUUUUCCAAAAGUAAAAGAAAGAAUUAAGAAUAGACCAACAAAGGAGACUUACAAAAAUCAUUUCAAGAAAGUCUUUGUAAAGUCUGUAGGUCGAAGUGCUCUAAGGUGUUCAAAGUGUAACAGUCAGGAUCAUUUUGAAAAAGAAUGUCCUAUGGUUUGGAAGCCUGUUAAGAGAAUAUGGCCUAGUAAUGCUUAUUCUACUAACGCCAAAGGACCCAAGAAAAUUUGGGUACCAAAGAAAGCGUGAGACUCUUCUUUGAUUGCAGGUCUCUGUCAAAAAGAAAGUUAAGUGGUAUCUUGACAGUGGAUGUUCAAGACACAUGACAGGAGACUCAAAUUGCUUCAUAAAGAUUGUUCAAGUAAAUGGUGGAAAAGUUUCAUUUGGUGGAAACAGCAAAGGAAGUAUUGUGGGUUUUGGAACUGUGAAAAUUGGAAAUCUCACAAUAAGCAAUGUCUCUCUAGUGGAAGGACUCAACUACAAUCUUCUAAGCAUUAGCCAAUUGUGUGAUACUGGUUUCAAGAUCUCCUUUCAAGAAGGCACGUGUUCUGGAAUUAGUAAAGACUCAACUCAGUCUUUCAUGGGUCGAAGACAUGGAAAUAUCUACCUUCUUGAUGUAAAACCAAAUGAAGCACAAUGCCUAAUUUCAAUUCAAGAUGAAGCAGUCUUAUGGCACAGAAAGCUUGGCCAUGUCAAUAUGAAACAAUUAGCCAAAAUCUCAUCAAAGAAGCUUGUUCGAGGUCUACCUAAAUUGCCUUACCAAAAGUCUGAUUCAUGCACUCCAUGCAUUCUGGGAAAGCAAGUAAGAAAUUCAUUUAAGCAAAUAAAUCAUGUUUCUACUAAUCAUGUACUUCAAUUGCUUCAUAUGGAUCUCUUCGGACCAACCAGAACCCAGAGCAUUGGAGGUAAGAAAUAUUGCCUAGUAAUUGUGGAUGAUUACUCCCGUUUUACUUGGGUAUAUUUUCUUUCAAGUAAGUCAGAAACCUUUUCGUAUUUUGAAAAAUUUGCCAAAAAGAUUCAAAAUGAAAAAGGUUGUGCAAUUUCAAGCAUAAGAACAGAUCAUGGAAGUGUAUUUGAAAAUAAAGAUUUUACGAAAUUUUGUGAUAAAUCUGGUUUUAAUCAUAUGUUUUCCUCUCCAUAUACUCCAGAGCAAAACGGAGUUGUGGAAAGAAAGAAUAGAUCUCUUCAAGAAAUGGCUAGAACUCUUUUAAUUGAAAGCAAAAUUUCUUCACGAUUUUGGGCUGAAGCUGUUUCAACAGCAUGCUAUAUUAUAAAUAGAGUCUUUUUAAGACCUAUUUUGGAGAAAACUCCCUAUGAAUUGUUCAAAGGUAAAGAGCCUAUUGUUUCAUACUUUCAUGUGUUUGGUUGCAAAUGUUUUAUUUUGAAAAAUGCAAAUGAUAGAGUUGGUAAGUUUGAAGAAAGAUCAGAUGAAGGCAUCUUUCUUGGAUAUUCUACAUCAAGCAAAGCCUACAGAGUCUACAACAAGAAAAGCCAGUUAGUGGAGGAAUCAACGAAUGUUAAAUUCCAAGACUCAAUGCAAGAUGAAUCCAGCAAGACUCAGUAUGAAGAGUCUGAACCAAUUCCAGACCUUCCAAUGCUUACAACUCAAGAAGCAUCUCAGUCUCUGGAAGUCCAACAUCAAGAAGCACAUGAAGAUUCAAACAAAGAAAGAGAUCAUCAUCUAGGAAGAACAACCAGUAACUGGAAGCAUAAAUCCAGUCAUCCUAAAGAUCUCAUUAUUGGCGAAAUGAAUGAAGGAAUCCGCACCAGAUCAAAAAGGCAUGAAGAAUCUAGUGCUGUGGCUCUCAUUUCUGAAAUCGAACCAAAAAGCAUAGAAGAAGCUUUAUCUGAUGAAAGUUGGAUCGAAGCUAUGCAAGAAGAACUCAGACAAUUCAACAUCAAUAAUGUCUGGGAAUUGACAUCUAAACCAAAAGGUAAAACUGUUAUUGGAACUAAAUGGGUAUUCAGGAACAAGAUGAAUGAAGAAGGAAAAGUCGUACGGAACAAAGCAAGACUCGUGGCCAAAGGAUAUACGCAAGAAGAAGGAAUAGACUAUGAUGAGACUUACGCUCCAGUAGCAAGGUUAGAAGCUAUUCGUCUAUUACUUGCGUUUGCUUGUUAUAAAAAUUUCAGGUUAUUCCAAAUGGACGUCAAAAGUGCAUUCCUAAAUGGAUUCAUCAAUGAGGAAGUCUAUGUGGAACAACCACCUGGGUUCGAAGACCCAAAGAAACUACAUUCAGUCUUUAGACUGAAAAAGGCCUUGUAUGGUUUAAAGCAAGCACCUCGAGCAUGGUACGACAGACUAAGUAAAUUCUUAUUAAAGAAUGGUUUUGUCAAAGGUAAAGUAGAUACUACUUUGUUUAUCAAAAAGGAAAGCAAAAGCUUUUUACUUGUUCAAAUAUAUGUGGAUGAUAUUAUUUUUGGAUCGUCUAAUGAAAGACUAUGCGAGAAAUUUUCUAAGUCUAUGCAGGAUGAGUUUGAAAUGAGUAUGAUGGGAGAAUUAACAUUCUUUCUUGGACUUCAAAUUAAACAAAUGAAGGAAGGAACUUUUAUUCAUCAAGAAAAAUAUGCUAAUGACCUUGUCAAAAGGUUUGGAUUGAAUAACUGCAAAAAGACUGACAUACCAAUGUCAUGUUCUCAGAAGAUAGACAAGGAUGAAGAAGGGAAGAAAGUAGAUCAAAAGCUGUACAGGAGCAUGAUCGGCUCACUUCUUUAUCUUACUGCUUCUAGACCUGAUAUUUUGUUGAGUGUUUGCAUUUGUGCUAGGUUUCAAUCAGAUCCCAGAGAAUCUCAUCUCAAUGCGGUAAAACGUGUUAUCAAAUACGUUGCCUCAUCUUCAAGCAUCGGUCUCUGGUAUCCCAAGAAGGGAGACUUUAAUCUUCUAGGAUACUCAGAUGCAGAUCUGGCCGGUUGCAGAGUCGAUAGAAAAAGCACAUCUGGAAUUUGUCAAAUACUUGGAAACAGGACAGUGUCUUGGUUCUCAAGAAAGCAAAGCACUGUAUCUCUCUCAACGACAGAAGCAGAGUAUGUAGCUCUUGGAAGCUGCUGUUCGCAAAUUCUCUGGAUAAAACAACAGCUACAAGACUUUGGGAUUGAAGACUCAUGCACAGAAAUCAGAUGUGAUAACACCAGUGCGAUCAAUCUCACCAAAAAUCCAAUCCUUCAUUCAAGAGCAAAGCAUAUUGAGAUUCGACAUCACUUCAUCAGAGAUCAUAUUCAAAAUGGAGAAAUCUCGAUUCAAUUUGUUGAUUCAAAAAGUCAACUAGCAGAUAUAUUCACAAAGCCUUUGGAGAAAAAUCAAUUCAAUCUUAUCCGUUCAAGACUCAACAUUUUGAAGCCUGAAGAAGUUAAAGUCUAGAGACUCACCAACUCUAAGACUCUAAUCUUUCAGACUUUAAAUCCUCAGACUCAGACACUCGUGGCUAAAGACUGUAAGUUGUACGAAUUUUCGUUUAAACUCAAAAAGGUACGAUCUUUCGUUCAGUUAUUUGAUAAUCCGCAUGAAAUUUAAAAGUCUUAUCUGCUUAAAGGAAUAAUUUUGGCAGUUAUUGAUUUUGAAAAUAAUAAAUUGUUCACUUUCCUUACACCGUUUGAACUUCCCUUUUCAAAACUGAGUUAUAUAUAUAUAUAUAGUUUUUCUAUUCUCCAAUCUUCAAAACCCUAAAAGGCACUCUCCUCCCGAUACUGUUUUACUGCUUGUUCGUCUUCGAGAAAGUGGUCAUUAUUCUUGGGAAAGCAAGAGAAGGAAUCUUCCAGCGACAAAGAAAGAUGUCUUCUUCGAGGAAAUCAUCAAGAAUCGCAAGCAGGGGACCACAAAGAAUGGAGAAGGGACCGACUCACUUCGAUCUCACUGAGGAGGAAGACUUAACAAGUCAGCGACAAAGUCCGAUUCGCUCUCAUCCACGUCAUUCAACGCCUCCUGCCCCACAAGGUGCAAGUCAUUCUUUGGAAGAAGAGAUAAUCGAGGAUGCUGACCCAGUAAGAGUCCAAAAGCCCUCCUUUAUGUAUAAACUUUAUCGUGCGUUGAAAAGCGCAGGUUCUUCGUUGAAGUUUAUAGAUGACUUCCUUAAGGACAAAGAUUAUGGGAAUGAGUAUCGUUUUCUGAAGAAAAUGGAGGAAUUGGGAAUUGCCCCGAAAGGAACAGCAGAGGAAGCACUUGCGAACAUUCCAAGUGAUCCUCUUAUGAAAGGACAAAAUUUAAUUGAAGGGAACGAUGAUGACAGAAUGUUCCUUGAAUUUCAACCGAAAAUGGGAGUGGCAGCAAAGGUGAAAGGAAAUCAGAUGGAUUUGUUCAAAUCCAAGGAUCAAGAAAAAGUGUUUUCAAGGCUAAUGAAAAGAGGGGUGAUAAACCCUAGAAGUGUCGAUUUUGACUUCCUGGACGCCAUCAACAUAAACUUAAGAGAAAAGUUGAAUUUGUUUCAACUUGAGAAUUUUUGCUCUGACUCAACAGACGGGUAUGCUCAUCUGACCGCUUAUUUCUAUUCAAAUCUUAGCUUUCUGGAUGCGAAUAGAAUAUCAUUUAGUGUGCUAGACAAAGUCUACGUGGUAGAUGUGAAUUUGUUGGCUGAUAUAAUUGGAGUUGAACGAGGACGUUAUCUUCCAAUCAAAGUCUCACCUGCUCGUAUUACUCUGGAACUUGUCAAAGAUAGGGACGCAGAGAAGAAAAUUACCUAUUCCAGGAUGAAUGCUAUCAACAUUCUGCUUCAUAAGAUUGUAAUCAAUUGUCUUAGACCAAAGUCUACGUCAAAGACUACUGUGUCUCAUUCUGAAGCAAAGUUGAUGUAUGCGAUCAACUCAGGACGAAAGUUCUCUCUCCCGCACACUAUUCUCUUCCAUAUGUACAGAGCAAUGUCGAAAGACAAAGGACAAUUGCCUUAUCCUGGUCUGGUGACCAAGAUCUUCAGACACAUGAAUAUUGAACCGCCUCAAACACUUUGUAUUCAACCAUGUGAUAAGAUGGUGAUAGGUUUGAAGAUGUUAUCGAAGAUGCGUCUGAAAGAACUUUCCAAGGCAAUGGAGAAAUUCAGAGUGAAAUCUCCUGUUCUGUCUGCUUCAAAGAGAAAAGGAAAGGAGGCCAUUGGAGCCCCAUUGAAAAAGAAGAAAAGAUCUCUCAUCUUGGAGGAUGAAGAUGAAGAGGAUGAAGAUCCUACUAUUCCUGCUUUGACAAGAACAAGACGUUCUGUGUCUCAGCCUACUGAAGUUCAGAAGAAACAGAGAGAAGAAGAAGAGCAAAUCAGAAGCAGAGAAGAAGAAGAACAGAGAGAGAAAGAGAAAGAAGAUGAAGAAGAGAAAGAAAAGUCUGCUGCUGAAUCUGGAGAGAAGGGAAAUCUAGAGCAAGAUCAUCACUCUUCUCCUUUGGAUGUACUUGAGACAGGGGGAGUUGGCGAACAUGAAAGGUCUACACCUCAUGCUGCAGAUAGUGAAGGUCCAAGACAAUCUCCAGAAGACUCAGAAGAAUUUCAGGUUUCUAAAUUGCCUGAAGAAGGUGAUACAUCUACACCAAAUCUGCAAGACUAUACAGAAGCGCCAUCGUACACAUUUACUCCAUCUGAAAAAGCUGAUGCAUAUACUCAGACAGAGAAUUCUGCAGAUUUUCGUCGUAUCAUGGAUAUUCUUCUGGAAAUGCGUGGACAAAUAUAUGCUCUGGAAUGUGAAAUUCAAGUCAUGAAAAAUGCUGGACAAGCAUCUUCAGUAAACCUGGAGGAAAAGAUGAAAGACCUUGCUCUGCAAAUUCAAGCCAAUGCCAAAGGAGAGGAGGUAGCUCAUCUAAGAGAGGACUUGAAGAGGCUAGAAGGCGUAGUCCAGUCAAUGGGAGAAUUCCAGAUCGUGCGCAUUCCCAAGCAGACAUGACUCCUUUCUCACCCUCUUUUUAAAUGAUGACAAAAAGGGGGAGAACCAAUUUGAACAAACAAACAUUAUUUUAAACUUUGAUUUUUACUGGUUUAUGUAUGACUUGAGAACUUGAACUUGAGUGUGAGACUGAAUGGAAUUUGAUGCUUGCCUGGUUGCAUUUAUAUUAAAUAUUGUUAUAUGGUAUUACUCAUGAAAGACUAACCAAUUUUGCUGUGGAUGCAGAGUCUGGUUGUUUAUUAAUCUUUAUGAGUUAGCCAUAUUGCUUGAGAAAUAUUUUUGCAGGUCAAAGUUGUUCAAAUCUACAAGAAAGUUUUGUCACCAUCAAAAAGGGGGAGAUUGUUGGAGAAAUCUUUCCAGAAGAUUUUGAAGCUGACAAAACAUUUCUAUCAGUCUAGUCUUGAUAUCAUUGGUUUAAAGUCUCAAGACUUUGUAAUCUCAAGACUCAAGACUCAAGACUCAAGACUCAAGAUUAUUCUCACUGACAGUCUUUCUAAUCCAGCUGCGUAGGAUAUCCGAAGCCGAAGUAUAUGGUUGGGGAUUUGAUCCAAUCCUCUGGAAUAGAUCCCUUGGUUGGAUAAUCAUUUCGGAUUCUUUUGAUUCUUAUCUAAGAUCAAUUGAAGAUCUGAUGGUCGACGAAACAUUCUUGGAAUGUUCUAUUCUUGGAAACCAAAAUCCUGAUUGUAUGGGCGAACAGGAUUGAUGGGCUAUCAUCAGAUUCCUUAAAUAGCUCGGAUGAUCUUCUUAAUUGAUUCCGUCCAACGGGUAGAUUGGAGGAAUUCCUUUGGUAAGUGCCAACGGCUAUGAUGGCAUAAAGGAGUAUAAAAGGAAGACGUUCUAGUUGUUUUAAGGGUGUGAUCGAUAGAUAAAUUCCAGAGUCUGAAGAACCUUGAUUGUUAGUCGAGACUGUUCAAGCGAAAUUGUAUACACAGAGAGUAGUUGUACUUGGUGAUACCUUGAGCGAGUGUAGUAGAUCAUCUACAUCGAGAGAUCAAGGAAGAUCAACACUGUAACAUCUCUUUGUUCAUAGUGGAAUCCAGCCAAUCGGCUGUCAGUGCAGAAGAGUGGACAUAGGCUUGAAUCAAGCUGAACCACUAUAAACCUCGUGUUUAAUUCUCUCUUUCUUUUACUCAGUCUUACGAUUGUUUUUUAAUCCUUCAUCUGUUUAAGUAUUGCGCAAACUGCAAGAAAAUUUUCAUAAACCUAUUCACCCCCCUCUAGGUAUUCGUACUAGCAUUAUCACCCACCACGAGUAUGCUCCGAGAGACCAGCGGCCCGGACUCGUGGUCGACCCCCAAACCAAGCCCCUUGUUUACAGAUCGUUCUGCUUCAAGCCACACGCUCUCAUUCAGCUCAAGAAAGCGGCAAGAAUCGCAACCCAGAAUGGCUCUUCCGUUGUCCCAACGACCUUUGAAGUCAUAUCGGCGCUCGUGUGGAUCUCGCGAACCAAAGCUCUUGGAAUCGGUCCUCACGAGACGACGAAGCUUCUCAUUGCAGUCGACGGCCGCCCCAAGUUUGACCCCCCGUUGCCGAGUGGCUACUUCGGGAACGGCAUCGCUUUGUCCUGCGCUGAGUGCAGCACCGACGAAUUGACCCGCAAGCCCUUCUCGUUCGCUGUCCAGACCGUGCGUGAGGCGCUCGCAUCCGUCACCGAGAGUUACAUAAGGUCGGCCAUCGACCACAUCGAGCUGAACAGGGUCCUUGUUGACUGCGAGGGCAACUCUUGCUGCAUCAGCAAGUGGAGCCGACUCCCUUUCUACAAGAUGGAUUUCGGGUUCGGGAGGCCAUUCCAGGUGGCGCCGGCGACGGUCCCCGACAACGUCAUCUUUGUCAUUUCCCAGAGCAGGGAGAGUGAAGACUUGGUUGUGUCCCUGGGGCUUACUAGCAACGCCAUGGAUGUUUUCUCGAAGUUGAUUAAGCAUGAGCUCACGCUGAAAAGCAAGUUCUAGUCUCAUCCAUGGAUAUGAGUAUAUGAAGCUUAGUUUUCGAGCCCCUGGUUUUAAGUAGGACUAGCGCAGUGGUGUUGCGCUGCUUGUGCCUAUUGUUUUAUAUGAUAUGCUUCCAUCAAUAAAGUGAUGUACUUUCUGAAAAAGGGAAUCUUAUAGAUACAAAUGUCAAUUUAUGAAAGAGCGCCCACAGCAUACACUAGUAAUGUGAGAAAAAGUUCUAGACAUGUAGUUUUGUACACCAUUGAUCAGAUAGUAAGAGUAAAUUAAGGGCAUAUGAGGCCGUUUGUGUGAGAAAAUAUUAACCGCACAAGUUGUGGAAGGAAAAGAAAGUGAAAAAAAGAAAAUAAAAAAGAAGGGAGAAACGGCAAAAAAGAAGAGAAAUGGAGGUGUGAGUUUACAAGAGGAGAGAGGCAAGGAGAGAAAAAUUUGACAAAUGGGCCAUUCAUGGACACAUCGCUUAAUAGAUGGGCAUCUACUAUGUGGUGCUAGCACAACUUGUGUAGCUAAUAUUUUUCGUUAAUUUUGAAUAAGACUAGUAUAGUGAUGUUGCGCUCCUCGUGCUUGUUGUAUUAUAUGACAUGCUUCCAUCAAUGAAGUGAUGUACUUUCUAAAAAAAGAAAUCUUAUAGAUACGAUGUCAAUUUAUCAAAGUCGAUCAGUUUAGUAUCUAGUUUCAAAAUUGGGAAUUGAUUCCAAUAAGAUAGUUUCCAAAUUACUAGACUGGAAGUUACUCACUCUGUAACCAAUCACCUUAAUACAUACAUACAUACAUACAUACAAAUACAAUAUAUGUAUAUAUAUAUGUAUAUAUAGACACACACAUGUGUAACCAAACUAGGGAAAUCAUUGGUUGAAUUUGGCCAAACAAAUGAUAAAGUAAAUUUAAACAAAUGAUAGAGUAAUUUUAGCCACAAUAUGUAUUGCCGGCCAUCAAGGGAUUUGAUUGUGAUCAACACAUGAAAAGCAAGAAAAUUUUGCUAUUUUGGUCAUGCUUUUUCCGCUCCUUUUGCUUAAAAACUCCAUUUUAUUAGUGUAUUGACGACAUUACCUCUUAUUUGGCCCACCAUUUAGCAUGUUUCAAUUAAACUUUACCAAAGAAAGUAGUUCCCCUCUUUUUGUUGGUCAAGUGAAGUCAAUCCUUUUGUUUUAUUUAUUUUCCUUUUUCUUUGCGGUCCCCCUUUCCUUCUUACUCACUUCUCUCUGUUCUCUUUCAUACAGUGGAUCCUCUUGGUGUCUACCAACAACGAUACCAUUCGGUAGAGCAUUGUCAAUCAAGGGCUGGUUGAAGGUUUUCUCGUUUUGGUGGAGUCGUAGUGCUAUGGAAGAAGAGGGAGAUGAAAUUGAGUUUGGUGGGUAGAACCUAGUCAAUAUGCAAGGGAGCACAUGUUUGAUCCUUCAACUUGACAAAAAGGGUAUGGGUGGUGUUCUCGUUAUGGCAAAAGCAAGCGGAUCUUCUGCCGACAUUUCUUCAGCAUUCACAGAUACAGGGUUCUCGCUAAUUGCUCCAAUGGUGAGUAUUUGACUGUCAUCACUAAAGUCAACUAAGUUAUUGGAGCCUCCGGUGUUAUGAAUGAGAUGCAAGGCUGUAGUUGCUCAGUAAGGAAUACCAUUAUUCAUAUGUCUUUUAGCAAAGGAAGUGCCACAUUAUAUAUGCUUAGAGAUUGGACAACGAGGACCCACAUAAGAGGACAACGGAGAGAGUUCACCAAGAAUACAUAUUAUAGAGAAAUUAUGGGCAACGCACAAGAGACACUCAUGACCAGAAAGCAUCAACCCAAAUAUUUUAAUUUUUAUCACCAUCUUUGAUUCACAAAAGCCACCAUCAAGUCAUUUCUAUUCCUAUUGAUUUUUUGAGUCGUUCGUCUGUUCAGAUUUUUCCUCUCUCAUUUUGUCUGUUGGUUUCUUGGGUCUUUGAACCGUUUAAAGCCUAUUCGCCUCUAUCUAUACGUAGCUUGGUGGCUGCCUUGCCAUUAUCAUCACUAGAUCUUCAAGUUCGCACACCACCGCAGGACAAGCCAUUGAUAUCAAUCUGUGGUUUUGCUGUAGAAAAAGGUUACAUUUUGUCUUGAAUUAUUUUCGAUUAAGUAAGUUGGACAUCAAGAGCAUCCUUGCCAUUAGACGCAAAGGUGUGGAAAGAAGAGAAUUGUCUGUAAUGGAAAAGAUAAAAAAAGAAAGCAAAAGAAAACAGAGAGACGUCAAUUUGACUUGGUGGGCCACACAAGGAUAAUGUGAUCAAAGUAUUGUAAAAGGGAGUGUUUGAACUGAAGGAUGGUUGAAAAGAGCACCAUCCAUUUAAAAGAAUAGGAUAGUAAAGUUUUAACCAAGAAAUUAAGUGGAAAUUAUAAAUCCAAUUUCAGCCACUUUAGCAGAGCAACUUUCAGAACUGAAUUGAUAUAUCCCAUUAUUUCGCCCUCUUAUAGGAGACGGAGAUCACGAUUUUUCUGGAAAAGAGAGGGCUAAAAAUCCGUGAGUUUUAGGGCAUAAACAGAGGAAGUCUUCUGCAGAAUAAAAAGGCGGGGACACGCACUCACGGGGGAAUACCGCAUAAAAAGAGAGCGUAGAGAAAAGGAGGGAGAACGGUACUGAGGGAUACAUGUUCAACCAGAAGAUACUGGCUGCAUCAUUCACGUUGCCAUUAUCGUGGGGCCAUCUUGUUAAGGUGCAUGUGUGAGUUUUGUUAGAAAGAAGUCCCACGUCGGAGAAUUGGUCUGGUAUAGAACGGUUAAUGUAUGAUAAUUGGCUCAUAACUCAUCGACUUAAGCUUUGAAUGAAAAUACAUCGAAGAAUUGGUAUGGUGUAGAGAUGUUAAUGUAUUAUAGAUGACUUAUAACUUCUUGGCUUAAACUUUUGAGUGGAAGUUGAUCUAAUUGGAUAGAUUGACGAGCUCAAACUUGGGCCUUUUCUUGGUAAUCUCCCAGCUGAAGUAUCUUUGCUGCGCACUCCCAACAUAUUGUCUCAAGCCACUAUGUUGCCUGGCUGUUCUUGAAUUUGUUAGCCCAGACAGACGGCAGUUCCUCAGCGACAAGGCAUUGUUGAUUUGUUCCCUCUUAAUCCUCAGCGAUAAUGCAAUUUGUCCAGGUGUGGAUACUCAGGCUCUAUUUAUUUGGCAGAAAAUAAAAUCACUUAGGCAGUACAUCACAUGUGAGCAUAUCUCUAUUUAUUUUGCAGAAAAUGAAACUAUUUAGGCUCUAAAUCACAUGCAAGGCAUAUCUAGAAAAUUUGUGAAUACUUAAGUAUUCAAACCCGGACAACACGUAUCGAAAAUUGCAGCCAAGGAAGUGGUUGCCUGAAUAACCGCGCAGGGGAAUCGACAGUCUCGAAGUGGUCGAUGCCUCCAAGAGGAUGUCAGCGAUUCGUUGUCUUGAUCAAAUUCAAAUUGACCGACACAGCUUUGCUGUGAGGACAAGGACUAAGAGGGAACAGAUCGGUGUAGGUGAGGACGAUGCCUUGUCGCCGAGGAACUGCUUUAUGGGUUGUCAAACUCGGGAACAGCCCGGGCAACGUAGUGGCUUGAGAUAGAUCAAACUAACCGCGUGUAUUCCCGAUCUUUUAAGAGUGUUUUAUUUGGUGAAAGAUGAAUGAUUUGAAAAAUAUUUUUUUUUUAAAUGAUCAUUUAUAUCGAUUACAAAAAUGAGUAACAAAAAGAAUGAUUCCAUUUUUUACGUAAAUAUUCGUAUAUGAAUUUUUGUCGAUGAUGAAAAGAUAUUUCAUUAACUAAUUAUUUUAAGGGAUGAAAGUGACUAUUUUUAGAAAAACAUUUUUCCAAAUUAUUUAAUUUCUAGGAAACAAACGGAGUCCUAUUGUGGUGAGCAUAGUCCUUAAUUUAUGCCCUGAAAUUUAGGGAUGGGCAUGGCCCUGAUCCAAUCUGAGAACAGAUUGGUUGGUUCUAGACAGUUCUCAAUUUCCAAAAUGGAAACCAGCAAUAAGUAGUAUGAUUCUCGAUUCUGCAAAGGAAUUGGAUUGUACCAAUAUGCCUUAAAUUUUUUUUUUUGGGUGUAAUUUUUCUGCGUCUAAUUUUCUAAACUAGAGCCGUGUAAGUGUGCAUCGGUGAUUUUUUCUUCUUCUGUUUUUAUUGGGUGUUUUCACUUCCCAUUUUAUAAUGCAAUUUUUCCGACGAAGAAGGUCGUAUAUUCACCAGCUUGCACUAUAUAUAUAUAAGUUGACAUGAAAUUGAAAUCUUAUAUAAUCUCUUUCUAAUGUCUUGAAAUUUAAAUAAAUAUUUUUAUAUUCAUUUGUGAAGAGAAAAUCAUAUAAAUAGAAGUAAAAAUUAACUGAUAAAUUGCGACAAACAUUUUAAUAUUUGGGGCAAAUUUUUGUGCCGGUACCCACCCACACUUGCUUUAACUCUUAUUGGCGGGCAAUAGCCAUUCUCUCGGCCGUAUAUUAACUUAGAACCCAACAGAAGCGAGUCGAACUACACCGCAACUCAGACCACAAUUAGCAUGACGUAGUCACCUUGUUGUAUUGAUCCGUCUAGAGAUGAUUAGUUCUGAGAUGCGUUGAUUCCCACCCUAAAAUUUAGAAGUAGACUGGACGGAAUCGGUUUUCAAUUUGUGGAACCGAAAACUGGCCCAUUCGAUCUAGUUCAACUCUUAGGUCGGUCCAGGAACUGGUGAUUCCUUCUCUUUUUAUUAUGGUUUCUUCUAUUCCCAACAAGUGGGAGUUUUCAAAUAGUAAAAGGAAAUGGUUAUUUAUGGUUGGUCCCAAUCAAACCCGGUCGAUCUGUUUAAUUUCCAGGUCCACACUGGUUCUCGGUUCCACAAACAGAGAACUGACCUUGUCUAGUUUGGUUCCUAAUUUUAGAGUGGGAACUAAUGCAUCCUAUGAUUGAUUUUUUUUUUUUUUUUGGUAACCCUGGGAACCUCCGCACGCCGCUUCGCGGUGGAGAGUAAACCCAGGGGAGACACGUGAGGAGCAUCCUAUGAUUGAUUACUCUUUCUAAAACUCAUGAAUCUUAAACCCUCUCUUGUCCAGAAAAAUCCCCCCAUACUCGGGCGAAAUAUGCAGAAUAUUUCAAUUUAAUUUUGCUGAAAGUUGCUUUCCUAAAGUGGCUGAUAUUUGUUGUUGCAGUUUCCACUGAAUUUCUUGGCCAAAACUCCACUUUCCUAUUUUUUUUUUUUAAUAGCUGAUUUCUUUUGCUUUUCAUGUGCUCAUCACGAUCAAAUCCCUUAGACGGCCGGCAAUACAUAUUGCAGCUAAAAUUGCUCUUUUAUCCCUCAUUUGGUUGGCCGCACUCGACCAAUGAUUAUCCUAGUUUAGUUACGAAAAUGUGAAGUCAGUGUCAACAGUUGUCAUCAACCGAAAACCUAAGGAAUCGGACAGUCCAUACGAUUGUUCCUUAGUGACGAGGGGCGGUCGUCCCCUAUGCCGAUCUAUUCGCUCCAAGUCCUAGUCCUCACCAAAAAGCUGUGUCCAUCCGUCUGAAUCCAUCAAGACAACCAGUUGCUACCAUCCUCUUGGAGACAUGGACCGCAUCAAGAUUGUCGAUUCGCUUGCACGGUCGUUCAGGCGACCAACUUGUUGAGUGCAGUUUGUCGUACGUGUUGUCCAGAUUUGGAUACUUAAUGAUUCGUGAAAUUUUUUCGAAAUGUCCGCGUGUGAUAUAGGGCCUAAAAUGGGUGCUUUUUGAUAUGUGAAAUCUCUUGGAUGCUUAAGUGGUCCUAAAGCGUUUUUGAUACCCAUUUGAGUAGUGAAGUUGAUAUUCAGAAUUCAGAUCACGUGCAUAUUCAACAUUUAUUGAACGUCAAUCAUUGCUGUGCCUAAUUUUGCGCUUACUUUUAUCUUUUCUUUUGGUGUUUUGAUUGUCUGAGGUGAAAGUAGGAAAAAAAGAGGGUUUCGUUUUUCCUGUUUGGUUGUCAUUAGGACGCAUUUCAUGUGAAAAACAUAUGUACUCUUUUCCAUGCAUUUUUCUUUUAUUUAAAGAAAGUAGAAAAACUGAACAUAAAAGUGCUUUCUUACAUGUCAUUUGCUCAUGAUUGUUCAAUUGCAUAAUAGGAUCAACAUUGCCUUUUACAUUGAUAAUGUUUCGUGGUUCAUAGAUUGCAUGUUUAUUUAUUAGAUACUCUGCAUAUUGGAAACUGUCUCUUGUAUAUUUGCAUAUCUAGAAAAUUUAUAUCUCCGUAUCUAACUGUAAUCCCAUUUGUACACGUCUAGAAUUUUGCAUAUCUUGCAGAUUGGGAUAGGAUGUCUAGAAUUUUGCAUAUCUUGCAGAUUGGGAUAGGAUUUCGCAUUAUAUUUGUGCCAUGACUAUUGCCAUGUUAGAAUAAUUAGGAUGGAUUUUGCAUGAAUAAUUGUUUUAGUGCACAUCCAGGAUAUCUAGUGUGCAUUAUUUAAUAUCCAUAUUCGCACGUUUCUUUCCACAAUCACAUGUCAUAAAAUGAAAAUAUAAAAAAAAUAUCAUAUCUUGCAUGUUAGUAAUUUUAGAUUGCAUCUUCUUUGAAAAAAAAUCACAAAAAUAUGUCUAGGAGUGCAUUUAGGGGAAUUUGAAUAUUCAUAUUAUACCAAUCGAUUCAUUCUCUUAGUAUUGCAUCGCAUUUUAGAUUGCAUUAUUUUAAGUUCAAUUUCCAUGUUUAAGGUUCAUUUCAGGAAAACACUUUAUUUAUUAUAUUGAAUAACAUAACAUAUCAUAGUUGCAUAUUCACUUCCUUUUGAUACAUUCGUCUAAGCCUGUGUACUUUUAGACUUUCCGUUUACUGCUCACGGGGUUUUAAUCUUGAGGCGUAAUUAGGGGUGAUUACUUUUUGGGUUGGGUGUGUUGCCAAAACUGGAAUUGGAAUCGGAUUGGUUGGUCCCAGUCCUUUUGGCAAUUCCUUUUUCUUUUUUUUUGACUCUUUACAGGGAAAGGAAAAAUUUAAAAGAAAUAACAUAGCAGUUUGGCCCAAUCUGGAUGGUUUGAUUCUGCACUUGGAAUUGGAAACUGCUUAGAACCAGUUAGUUCGGUCUAGUCUAGUCCGGUUCCUGAGCUCAGUCAUAGGCAUAAGUAAUAACAAGGCUAUAAUUUUUGCCCAAUACAGCUCAAGGUUCUGUCACGUGUGUAUGUCAGUUUAAACAAUGCAAUCUAGAUAUCCUAGAUCUGCACUAAAACAAUCAUUCAUGCAAAAUCUAUCCUAAUUAUUCUAACAUGAUAAUAGUCAUAACAUGCAAAGUCUUAUCCCAAUAUGCAAGAUACGCAAAAUCCGAGACAUGUACAAAUAUGAAUACAGUAGUUACAUACGUAGAUAUCAAUUGCCUAGAUAUGCAAAUACACAAUAAGCAGUUUCCAAUAUGCGUUAUCUUAUAAAUUUACAAUCCAUGAACCAUGAAACAUUGUCAAUGGAAAAAGCAAUGUUCAUCCUAACAUACAAUUGAACAAUCAUUAACAAAUGACACGCACGACAUUUUCAGUUUUUCUAUUUAUUUAAAAUAAGAAAUACAUGCAAAAGAACUUUUAUUUUUCUUUGAUAACCAAACAGGAAAACGAAACCUUUUUCUUUUUUACUUUCACGUCAGACAAUCAAAACACAAAAAAGGGAAAUAAUAAAUUAAGCCCAAAAUUUGACAUAGCAAUGAUUGAAGGUCAAUAUAUUUUGAAUAUGCAGGCCUUGGAAUUCUAAAUAUCAACAUCGCUACUCAAAUAAACUUCUAUAUCCACUUGAUAUCAUAUAGCACUUAGGAGAACUAAAGCAUCCAACAGACUUCACGUGUCAAUAAGCACCCACUUAGGCCCUACAUCACAAGUAGACAUAUCAAGAAAAUACAUGAAUAAUUAAGUAUCCAAACUUGGACCACACUUUGACCGAAAAAAAAAGGACCACACGUUUGACAAAUUGCACUCAAGAAAUUGGUAGCUUGAACAACCGUGGAAGCGAAUGAACAGUUCUGAUCUGUUGCUGUGUUAAUUACAUUUGCCCAUAAUGUUUUGGAUAAUCCUACAUUUUUUGUUUUUGUUUUUUCAGUAAUCCUAUGUGCAUACUCAUAUUUCUUGUAGUAAUUCAAAGUUCUAUUCAUCCUUUCAACAACUUUGUUUACCAUGAUAUGUUGGAGACUAUUCUUGUCAUCCUGAUUCAAUUCUUGCACAAAACUACAUGUACUUCUCAUUAUCAUACUCACUACCAUUGUUGAACUUUAGAAAUUUAAUAUUCGGGCCAAUCUUAUUUUCAACUAAGUAGCAAACACAUCAAUUUUAUUUUUCAGAAAAUAACGCAUACAUUUCUAGUUGAGUUUUCAAUGAAUGUGACGUAAUAGCAUGACCCUCUAAGGGAAUGCAUAGGGGCUGGCCACCUAAACUUGUGUAUGUACCAUCUCUCAUCUUCCUUUUCUUGGUUUUCUUUCAAUUUUCAAAAUACUUACGUAUUUUUACUUACCAGAACACGAUCUUCACAUGGACCGAUAUUUAUGUACUUCAAAUUAGACGGUUUUCUGUUUGAUGCUAACACCAUCAUCCUUUUUUUGCUCAUCUGUCCAAGCAUGCGGUGCAACAGUUUGGAACUAGCUUCUAAUUCAACAAGUCCUACUAUUGCUCUGCUACUUUCAGUCAUCUAUAAUGUUCCCAACAUUGUUAUUUGUGCUACAACCGUAAGGCAUUUAAAAAUCUUCAACGAGCAGUCCCCAAAAAUGUGUAUCUUCUGUUGUCUAAUUGAACAAUAGAGAUCAGAUUUGUCUUAAGGCCAAGAACAAAUUUGAUAUUUUCCAACUCCCGUUGAUACUCGUUCACAAUCUUUAUCUUGACAUUGUUGACACCUAAAAUUUUGAUUAGGUUAUUAAUUAGGCCUUCAUUUCUUUUAUUUUUCUUUUUUUAGAUAAUAAAUAAUAAAUAACAAAAACAACAAAAAAAUCAAUAAAAACAAAAGAAAACAAAAAAUGGCAGCUAGGCCCAGCCCACUCCUUUUUCUCUCCCUUUCGCGGGCCCAAGCCCAGCCUCCUUCUCCUCCAAGCCCGGCCCCCUUCUCCUCUUCUUCUUCCUUCUUCUCCCUUCUUCUUCCUACGCCUCUGCAACUCACGCACUCGAAGGCAACCUACGACCGAGGAAGGUAGGCCGACGUCGGCCGGAGAUGACAGAUCUCAGGCGCCAUUAAUGGCCGCCUUCAAUGCCGAGCACGCUUUGUCGGAGGAGCGAGGAUGGGACGCCGGUUCGGCCGCGGGUGUCCGUUCGGCGUGCGAAGACCGGCGGUCGAAUCCCCGUCGACCGGCCGCCCCCUCGCCUAUAAAUAGCGAGGCACCACCUCCGUCGAAGGGCACGGCGAACUCCGAGAUCUUCCCUUUGAGAGACUUUAAGGGGGAAAUCAAAGAGCAAGCCAAGAGGGCAGAGGAUCGGGUCGCAAGCUAGACGACUUCCCACCGAGAGACAUCGGGGGAGGCCGGCGGCAAGCGAACCCCGAUCCGCGAGCAAGUGAGCUUGAGAGGGAGAGGUUCCGCCAGAGAGACACACGAAGGGAGAGAGAGAGAGAGGAGAUCGAAGUCGCGACCCUUGGACACCCCACUGAGAGACUUCAGGGGGGCCGAGGGCUUGCGGCUUCGGAUCUGAGUCUCGCCGGAGGGAGGAGUAAAGGAGAGAGAGAGAAGCGAGGUUGGAGGAGGUGCAAAGGUUCUGGAUUCGCGAAGAGGGGCGGAAGAAGGUCCCACCCCCCGACGCCGUUGCUGUGCAAAAUCCCGCCGGGCCGCCGAGCGCCUCCGCCGCUACCGCCUUCGAUCUGGCAUUGUUGCCGCCACCGUCCCCGUUCGAGAAAAGGUAAAAAGCAUCACCGUUACCGUUGCCGUCGCCGUUGUCGCCUUCGUCGUCACCGCCGUAGUCGCCGUCGCCGCCAAGCACCUCGGUUCCCCCCCUCGGCGCCGCGGAUUCGCAAACCCUAGGGUUUGCAAUUUUCCGGGUCUCCGGGUCGGAGCCGGGUCUCGGAACUGGGUAUGGUUUCCGCGAUUUAAGGGGCGGCGGAAGUCGGGUCGGGUGAUGGAUCCGGGUCGGGUGGGGUUUCGCAGGGGGGAGCGGGUAGCUGGGUCGGGCGUGUGACCCGGCGCUCUAGGGUUACGAAAGGCCAGCUUCUCUGUGGGCCGGGCAUCUUUUUUAAAAAAGGCCCAAAUCCGUGUGUGUGGGCUGAGUUUUUUAAAAGAAAAAAUCUGAGUCGGGCCCGCGUUGCGGGCCCGUCCGCGUUUUGGGUCGUCGACCCGGGUCAGACCCAACCCGCGGAUCCGACCCGGGUCAGUUUUUAUAUUAUUUUAAUAUAAAAUAAUAUUUUAAAAAAUAAUAAUAAUAUUUAUUUUCCAAAAAAUCAAAAAAGUCAAAAAUGUCCAUAUUUUCCCAAAAAAACCAAAAAAGUCAGAAAAAGCCAAAAAAUGAUUUAUAUUUUCAGAAAAAGAUCCAAAAAUCCAAAAAAAAUGCUUUUUAUGUCCAAAAAAAAUAGAAAAAGACUAAAAAAUGUUUUUCCUUCCAAAAAUGCAUGGAAAAUCCCUCAAAAAAUCAAAAAGCCUUAGGGUUUAAACAAGAUUAGGUACCGAAAGGGCAUUAGUGAUUAACUAGUGUAAUCAAGUCCCCGAUUCUAAUUUCUCUGGUUACGCAUGAGCGAGUAUUUCUCCCGAUAUUUCGCUUAGGUUUCUAAUCAACCCACCCCAAACCGAUUAGUGGCGACUCCAUUUUAAAAUUGACUUACAGGUUAAAAACUUGGACUAUUAAGUCGUGAAUUGGUGGACUUGGGAGAGUCCAGGCAUAAUAAAUUUAGCUGAGCCAUUAGCCUCCUUAGGCACCCGUACCCGAUUGCGGGCGCCGGAAAAAAAGAGAGGUCGCGACAGACAUUACAUUUGUCCACAGUAUCCAAAGCUUCAUCAUCAACAAGAUAAACCUUUCCAAAGUUUGUGGCAACAAAAUUAUACAUUUAUCCCUUGCAUGAAGUUGAUUGAAAUGAUGCACCCAAGUCUAGAAUCUGAGACUCAAUUGGACUAUUGGCAAUCAAUGUUAAGCAUCAUGGGCAAGUGUCUUUUUAAAGGUCGCAUUAACAAAUUUCUCCUAUUGAUUUUGAUACCAAAUUUUCUUUUUUGGGGCUCUAAAAUCUUGUUUUAUAUGGCCCUUCUUACCACAAUUCUAGUAAAUUAUUUAACCACGAGGUAUUGACUUGCUUCUCUCUGUGGAAUUCAAUCUACCGUAGUUCUAUUUAUGACCUCUUUGAUUGCUUCUCCCUCUACCUUUACUACUUAAGUUACCACCUGAAUAUUCAUUUGAUUCUCUUCUAAAAUCCUUGCUAAGGUGCAAUCUCCAUUCUCUUGAAACUUUAUGUUUUUUAACCAAAGGAGGUGCUUAUCACAGUCACAGUAGCACUUCAACUUUCAAGUAGAAAAGAAAAGAACAUCAAAGCUUUUACCUCAUCCCCUUAAUAUGAUUGCUAGUAAACUCAUUUUAAUAGUGAUUUUCUUGAAUUCGUCGAUGUAAUUUGUCAUAGAAGCACCUUCGUCCAUCUUUAGAUAUAAACCCAAUGCAUCAAAUAUAUCUUGGUUGAUGCAGAGGGCUUCUCAUACAUGUUGGACAAAGCCCUCAUCAAAUUUGUCAUUGCUUCUUAUUGGCGAUGUUGAAGGCAACAUUCACACCAAAGUCAGAAAAAUUACACUUAGGGCUUGCCGAUCUAACAAUUCCCAGUCUUCUUGCUUGAUUGAACCUGAUUUCUUUUCUGACAGAGGCUGAUGCAAGUUCCUCUAAUAUAGCAGAUGCUCGAUCUGCAUCUUCCAUAAACCAAUGUCCUUGCCAUGAAACCGAUCUAUCUUCACCUUCCAUUCGUCCAUCUUCAUUGCCCCACUAUUUCGCUAAACGAGGCGUUGAUACAUACGCGAAAUGUUGAAGAGAAAUAUAGAGAAGAAGACACGCACAUUUUUACGUGGAAAACCCAUUCAAAAUCAGAAAGGGAAAACUACGGUACUGCACUUAACCAGCUCUUUACUAUCACUAUUAGUUUUAAAGCUAUAAGUUAAAACUACAACAUAUAUUAAUCCAAUAUACAAUAGGAGUUUAGGGCUUACAAAGUUAUAGUAUAAAUUAUAUCUAUGCCAUUAAUAGAGUACAAAAUCUCUCUGUUUUGUUAUUACUUUCCACUUUUAAACUCCACAGCUCUAUCACGAUGGGCCAGCCAUAAAAUUGAAUCUGAAGGAGUUAUAUGAUGCCCUCAAUCCCAACUCAAUAAGUCCAUUCUCGGCAGACAAUAUAAUGGUAAAAUGAGUGAACCCAUUUUCAAUUGGAGGUUAUCUUCACCCGCAAAAUUCAUUACAUCUAUGACAUUUGCAGUUGUGUUCUAUGUUUGUGCCUAAUUUUUGCAACGUCUACGUGUGUAUUUGUUGUGCUCAAAGAGCGAAGACAAUAAAAGAACAAGCGUAUCUGUUGAUUCUGCUGAAAAGUUGAAAAUAGUUUAUUGGAACGCGUUUAACUUAGUUGCCACGUCAUAUUUAAAAUAGACCAUUCACUGAUCAUCAUAUUCGUUCUAACAGAUUUGCCGAGUUGUAAAUACACUUUCACUUUGCUUCUGUUUCUCUGCAAUGCCAGUUCCCAUUGAAGGACCACCAUCCUUGACCAAGUCCAUUUUCUUCUUUGAAGGCCAUAGACUCCCUCCUAGCUAGAUGGUCACUUGGAGGAGAGACUUCAGAUAUGGAAGGCAGAGGGAAGGCGGUCGCCGGUGGGCGCGGUGGCUACGGCUCAACGGUGGUUUCUAGGAUGAGGUUGCGGUGGGCUCAGAUCUGGUUCCUCUAUCUGUCCUAUUGAUUUUUAAGCUCGCAGUAGCUGCCUACCGUGGCUUCCCAUGGCCGGUCGGAUCUUGACUUCACAGUCACGGCCAUGAAUGAGCCGGUCGUGGCUAGAUCUAAAGCGGCUGGAAGUGGAUUCUGCGUGAAAUUUGGACAGCUCCAUGCAUGGUGAGGAGUAUAAGGAAGGACAAGAAAUGAAAUGGAAGAGAGAGGGGAUAACGGAGGAGAGAAGAAAUCUGAAAGUGAGCCCAACUUGGACGUGUGGCGAUAAGUAAAUGGUCUAUAUUAAAAAAGACAUGGCAGAUAUUUUGUCCGCAAUAUUUUCUCCACAAAAAUUGUAGUAAAAAAAAAAAAAGACUUACCCCAUGGAAAUUGCAAUUCACGUGAUUUUUGUCAAUAAUCCAAAAUUUUAGAUGGGGCCUACGACUUUUAUUAUUCACGCUGUCUUUUCCUUUAUAUGUCAGAUGUCGUUCGUCCUAUCGACUGAUCGAUAGCUAUUUUGGGGCACUGUACCAUCUGAUGCAGCUUUUUCGCAAACCCUAAUUCUGGAAUGCAUGUUGACUAUAAAGAGAAGGAAGAAGUAAAAUCUUGAGUUUGUUCAUUUCCCUGUAGGCCUAGGACAGAAAAUUGUGGUAUACUUUUGACAUUGCAUUAUUCCCAUGUAGUAAUGCAUCUUAGCUCUAUUUAGAAUCAGUGGAUUUCAUCAAUAAUUGAAUUUUAGCAUAAUCUCAAAUGAAGUCAUGGGGCUUUUUGUUGGUCAUCUAACGUAAAAACUUUAUUUUACUUCUUCUGAAUGGAUGCACUUUGAUUGGAGUUCCAUAAAUCCUCAAGGUAAAGGAUGAUGUGGUGACAUGGGGCAAUUGUAAAAUUUUGUGAUACUUCUGUCAAAUGUUUUAAAAGUUUAAAUUGUUAGAUGAAGAAAUUAUUUAAUAAAUUAAAUAUUCUAAUAGUCUCCUUCAUGCAUGAGAUUGACCAAAAGCACGUGGCCCAAUUCCAUUGCCAUAGCCAUAGGUAAUGAGCCAAUGACAACCUAUUCAUAAUGACCAAUAUCUCCGUGCUUCACUUUUUAUCUGCUACAAAUAGUGCAGACUUCUCACUUCCACUUCACUCUCCCUCUCUCCCCCCCUCCCUCCCUCCCUCCCCCCAUUGUGAGAGAAUUUCUCAAUCCCUCCAUUUUCAAAAUGGCCGCCAAAGCGCUUAUGAGCUGUGGCAUCUCCAUUACCUCCUUCCCAUCCAACCUCUCCUCUUCGAAGUCGAAAUUCGCCACUGUAGUCUCACUUCGGAGCACCACCGUAAAUGCCUCGUCCCGCUUCUCCAUGUUGGCCAGGUGGAUGCCUGGUCAGCCCUAGCCACCCAACCCCGGCAACCUGCCACCCAGGUAAAUCAAAUCUUAAUACUACAACCCAUUCUAAGAGUGUUUUAACAACGAUUGAUCUUCCCAAUGUAAUAGAAAGAUCGUUGAAAAAGGUAAUGAUGGUACAUCCAAAGGUUAUGUGUCUUAAGUUAGCAUUUAACUGAAAAGUUGGUCAGAUCCCGUUAAAAGUGCUAUCGACUAUGAAUAAAUAAAAAGUUUAGUGCUGACAAUAAGAAUCAAAGUUCAGUAACUUGAUUGCAAAGUCUAUGGUUGCAUUUAUUUUGUUAUAAAUCCACUGUUGAGAAAACUAUGGUAGCUUGUUUUGAUUACAAAAAUGAAUGAACAAAAAAUAUUUUCCUUAUUGAUGAAUAUGUCUAGGUAUAUAUUGCUUUUAAUAAUGAAUUUUCUUUUUCAUUGACUAAUUUUUCAAACCAAUAUAAUCAAUUAUUAAUUUUUGCAAAAUUAUUCAUUUUUGAAUAACUAUUUGUGAAAUUUACUCUCGUUUUGAUUUAAGUAAUUUGAUGAUUUUUUUCUUCUCCAGUAUCAUAUCUAAAUGAUUAGUAGAGAAUCUAUGGAUAGAUAGUAAAAGUUGCAUGUGGUUAAUUUUUUUCAAACUUAUAGAAUGAAAAGGUUUAGGAUAAAAUAACCUUAUUUACGACUUUGGUAUAAUUUACUGUUUUUUUUUUUUUGGCAAUGUUAUCCAUAGGGUGGGUUCCAAAGUUCUCGAACAAACAUUGGAGCAUGAAAGCAAGGACGGUACAUAGUGUGAACAUUGUGUAUCUUGUAUCUAACCAGAUUGACUCGUAGAUACUUAUGAAUCUGAAUAUUCAUAUGGGUGAUGGUGAAUACAUAUGUUUUGCCCGGUUAAGUGGGAUUUUUCAAAUUAGAAAAAAAUUAUGAGUCAGUCAAAACAAAAAGAAAAAAAGAAAAGGCACUUAUUUGAAACAACAAUAUAAUUUUUUUUUAUGUUUAAUGUAUAAAAAGUUUAAACAUCUUUAUUGCAAAAGAAAUUAUACUUAGGGUUUCAAUUACCAACAUCAUUGACGUAAAACAUUUUUCAUACUUGCAGCCAUGAAAGAAAAAUAUCCAUCAUUUAAGAAAAUUCACUUGUCAAAAUUAUAUCUUGAAUACGUGUUGGUAUAUUGACUUUCCUUGUGGAGAAACUUUUUGCACGCCAAUGUACUUAGAAAGUGAAAAAUCGUAAAUAUAUAGACAAAUGAGUAUUAGAUUUUAAGUCAAGUAAUACUUAUUAGUGUGCAAUGACGGUCAAAAGAGACGAUAAAUUUUAUUUUAUUUUUGUUAUAAUCAAGAAGUACACUUUCAAUCACUCGGAAGCCCAUGGAGUACUUGCCAGCCACGUGGAUUGACGCCUUUGGCUUAUACAAAUGACUCUAACUUAAAAAAAAAAAUUGUACGCCAUUAAAAUAUAAUAGAUAAUUAUUGACACGAAUAUUCAUAUAAAAUUUUUGCAUAAUCUUUUAAAAUUUGAAUAUCUUUAUUUUUUAUUUGACUAAAAAGUUAAAAGUUAUUUUUGACUUUUGAUAAGUCUAGACAAUGAACCCCAAUCUCAAUUAAUACAUCGCUUAACUAAUAUAUUUCAAACUAAGAGUGUGUUUGUUUGGGUGAAAAUUUCAUGAAAAAUGAAAACAUUUUUCAAAAUAUUACUUUUCAGCAAAAUGGUUGAUUUUUCUUUAAUUUGUGAUAUGUGAUCAAAGCUGUUUUGAAUAUUUGGAUCUCAUUUGAAAAAUGAUUUCAAUCUCAUGAACAAUUCAUUUUUAAAUAUGUUUUUUUUUUUUCUUUCGCUUUCCUUCUUCCUCUUUCACUAGUUGCCAGGCCUUGACGACAACCUUAACAGGCUAUGGCACCAUCGCUGAGGCCCAACAAGGGUGGACCUAGCUGACCUCGAGCAAGGUUGAGUUCACUUGUCUUGGCAAGCUCAAGCCUUCUCCAAGGCUAGCCUUACUGGCUUGCUACUGAGGCCCAAUGAUUGGCGAAGAAGAAAGAAAGAAAAGAAAAACAAAAAUAAAGAAAGUAAAAAAAAAAAAAAUUAAUUUUGAUUUUUUAAAUAAAAGAAAAUUAAAAUAUUAAAAAAUUCAAGAUGAACAACUAUGAAAAGUGUUUCCAUCUUCUUAGAUUUAUAAAUUCGCUUUUCUAAUUUUAUGUAUAAAUAUUUUCCUUGACCAAAAAGUGUCAUUGAUUCACUAAUAAUGUUUUUACAAACGAAAGAGGUGAAAUUUCUGACCCUAGAAACAAUCGACAUCAGAUUCCUCCACAAGUCCAACCAAUUGCAUGGACUUGUGAAAGAAACUCGUGGUCAAAAUGUCGCCGUCAUUUUUAUAAAAUAACGCAGAAAAAUGAGAUGUUAAACUAAUCUGUAUGACCAAAUAGCUCCAUAGCUUGAGACAUGUAGAUAUUGCUUUUGUCGAAGUUGUUUGCAUUAACAAGCAAAUUGUACAACAAGCGGAUGCAUUGUAACAAGAAAAUUCCAACAACUAUUUUCCAGAUUUGAGCCUUGUCUCUAAAUCUCCUUCUAGUCCAAACUAAAAGGGAUAUAGAAUUGAUAAAUCAUAUAUAAACAACCCCUGUUUUCACCAAAGCCCCCAAAUAAUUAAACUUUACUCGUGCAAGGAAGCAGGAAAUGAGAAGCCAACGAACAUCGGAGCUACGCGAGAACUCGUCGUGAAUAUCACGAAUGCGGUUAUCGUUUCUCCGGCGAGGGAAACGUCCGGCGGGCUCUACGUUCUUUCUAACCUCGACCAGACCUACCCUCACAUGAUCGAGAUCGUGUUCGCCUUCAAAGGCGAAGGGAGGGGAAGCUGUUCCACUGCGACCGAGACGAUCAGAGCGUCGCUGGCGGAGGUAUUGGUCGACUUCUAUCCUUUCGCAGGCAGACUUGUCAUGGGCAGUGAUGGGAAGAUGGCAGCGACAUGCACCGGGGAAGGUGUCUUGUUCGCCGAAGCGAUGUCGGACGAUGACAUUGGGAUGCUAGGCGAUAUUAGCGUCAUCAAUCCUGGGACACUGCGAAAACUUGUGAAGCAUAGCGACGGAGCCCAAACCAUAGUGGAAGAAUCUUUGCUCACCGUGCAGGUAAUGUUUCCAGAGAUUCGUUUUCUGAUGUAAACACCCACUUAUAGUGUAUGUAUAAUCCAGGUGACGACAUUCAAGUGCGGAGGGAUAACCGUCGGCAUCGUGAUGAAUCAUGUCCUCGUCGAUGGUAAAGCCCUUGCGGACUUCCUAACUUGCUGGAGUGAUGUGGCUCAAGGCAGGUCGCCGUCGAUUCUUCCCUUUCUCAAUCGAUCGGUGUUGUGCCCAAGGCAACCUCCGUGUGUCGAUCUCCCCCACCAUGAAUAUGCUCCGAUAGAUCGGCCGUCUGAAAAGAUAGUCGACCCCCAAACCAAGCCUCAUGUUUACAGAUCAUUCUACUUCGAACCACACACUCUCAUUCAACUCAAGAAAUUGUCAACAAUCACAACCCACGAUGGCUCUUCCAUAGUCCCUACGAGCUUCGAAGUCAUAUCGGCGCUCGUGUGGAUUGCGCGAACCAAAGCUCUCGGAAUGGAUCCUCACGAGACAACAAAGCUUCUCACCGCGGUCGACGGUCGACCCAAGUUCGACCCGCCGUUGCCAAGCGGUUACUUUGGGAACGGCAUUGCUUGGUCGUGCGCCGAGUGCAGCGCGGGCGAAUUGACCCGCAAGCCCUUCUCGUUCGCUGUCCGGACCGUGCCAGAGGCGUUCCGAUGCGUCACCGAGAGUUACAUACGGUCGGCAAUCGACCACGUCGAGCUGAACGGGGUCGUGGUCGACUGCGAGGGUAACACUUGCUGCAUCAGCAAGUGGAGUCGGCUCCCUUUCUACGAGACGGAUUUCGGGUUCGGGAGGCCGUUCCAGGUGGCGCCGACCACGGUCCCCCACAACCUCGUCUUGGCUUCCCAAAGCGGGGAGACCGACAACUUGGUUGUGUCUCUGGGGCUUCCUCGUGAUGCCAUGGAUAUUUUUUCAGAGUUGAUUCAGUCUGAGCUUGCACUGAUGAAUAAGUACUAGUCUCAUCCAUGGACUUGAGGAUUAUGAGUGUGGUUUGGUAGAUCUGUGGAGUCUAGUUUCUGCGCCUCUAGUUUUCAAGUUGAAAUAACACAGUGCAUGUCUGUUGGGAUGCUUAAGCCUGUUGUAUUAUUUGAGAUGCUUCCAUCAAUAUUGUGAUGUACUUUCCUAAAAAAUGGAAUGUUAUUGAUUCAAAUGUUAAAUUAUGAAAGAGUAAUGAUAGUAUACACUAGUGGUGCAAAAGCUAGAGGUUUCGCACAUAAUUGAUCGGACGGAGUGAGCAAUUUAAGGCCAUACAAGACCGCUCACGUAAAAUUAUUUUAACACAUGGGCGGUUUAUGUUCUAUUUUUUCCUUUAUGAAAUAAUCGAUUAAUUAUGUGAUAAGGCCAAUUCUCUCGAGAAUUUGCUAUGCCUAUUUAUACGACAAUCCAUUGUGUCGCAUUAUUUUUGUAAGUACAUAUUUUAGUCACUAUAUAUAUAUCUUUAGCAUUUGGAAGAGUAUUAAUGGGUUUUCUCUUUCUUCAUGCAAUGUACCUAUUGAAUUCAAGGUUGUGUAUCUAGAGCACCGACGAUGACGUGGCAACAACAUAGGAACCCUAAAACCAAGAAUUCGAUACUAUACAUAAAGUGCAAAUAGUGCAUUAUUUUAGUAGAAUUUUCUUUUAAGAAUCAGAAAAUAAUGUGUCUAUCUACGUAUGAUCGGCUUUGUUGUGCAUGACAUGUUAUGUGGUAUAUAUACAGAAAAUAUCUAAUAAUGUAUUCAAUAGUUAAUAUAUAGUGAAAAAAUUAACAAUACCAUUCACUAUAGAGAGUACAAUUAUUUCGGUUCCAUCCAAUACAACAUGUAGUAAAAUGCAAUAUCGGAGUAAUGUUUCUUGGAAUAUUAGAAUUACUUUAAAAAGUGACUGAAAAACUCGAGUUGAAUUAGAUAGAAAUAGCCUAUGAUAAUCCAAUCCUUUAAAAUAAGAAGAAAUAUUUGAUAAUGGUAAAGUAAAUUCAUAAGUAAGGCAAAUGAAUCCAUAAAGUUCAAUUAUCAACCAAGUGAUAUGCAUUGCAUUCAUGUGAUAUUUCCUUAUGCUUAUUCAACUUCAUGAUUAUUGUCACUUUCUAAAAAAAUUCUAUAAAUACAUUAUUGUUAUAGAGAGCGAUGGUGCAAGACUAGAAAAACAAUUUUAACAAAUAAAAUUUUUCAAUAAUUCUGGAAAAAUAAACCCGCAUGGGCAAGUGUACUAGUUAAUUUCUAAUGUAUACUCUUGUUCUCUCUAGCUAGCUGCCAUUUUACUAAUAAAAGCUCCUUUUAGAAUGAGUGAGUUUUACCGGCGAUCAUUGAAAUUUAGUGUACUAUCAAAGGUCAUAAAACUGUCUCUUGAUCAAUCAAUGUAAGAUCUCUAAUUUUUUAAAUGGAUGCACUUUUAUUGGAAUUCGAUCAGUCCUUUGGGGGAAAUGAUGAUAUCGUGGCAUGGAGCAAUUAUAAAAUUUUACAAAACCACUAUUAAUUAUUGUAAAGACUUAAACUAUUAUAUAACUGCGAAAUUCAAUAUUUAACUAUUCUAACAUUUCCUCUCAUGUAUAUGUUGUACUUUGGCCUAUCACUAGUGAUUGUGGCGUCAAUUAGGACUCGAACAUAAGGCUUCAUGCUUUUUAAAAUACAAGAUCCCAAUCAUUCUACCAUUAAAAAAUCCUUAAUUAUCUACAAAUUUUACAAGGGGAAAUUAAAUACAGGAGUCAUCAUCAAAUAUCCUAUAUUGACAUAGCAAACCUAAUUGAUGUUUAGGAGUCUAUGCUUAUAUUAGUUUGGUUUCUCAUCUUCAUCAUUGAUUCAAACAGUUGCUCAUGCAUAAUGGUCCCGAUUCACUAAGAAGGACAAAUGCUAUCAGAGCUACACCAAGCAACUCAACAUCAAUUAGUUGAGUUGCUUGGUGUAGCUCUGAUAGCAUUUGUUGGACUUCGUGAAAGCACGACUAUAAUAAGCACUUUCUCAAUAUUACAGGCACACUUAAUUUAAACUACUCACACAAUAGGCAUAUAUUUAUUAGGGGUAAGCGGUUCCAGGUUCCAUACAAAUUCCAUCUGAAACCUGAAAUUUACCCAUUGGAACAAGUUCCUCAUUUUUUUUUUUUUUUUGGAAAUUAGAAUCUAUCCUACAUACCCUAGAAUCUAGAAUCUACCUUGUUAUAGGUUCCACGGUCAGUUCCAAAGUCUACUCAAGUUCCACUUAUAUUAUUAAUUAAACGAUUGUAAUGAAUUAAAACAUUUAAUGAUCAUCAUUUGCUACUAUAAUUCAUUGACCAUAAAGACACAUGGAAAAUAUGAGCAGCAAUAAAGUAAAAGUAUCAGUCAUAAAAUAGAAGCUCAAACUAGUAUUUCCAGAUUAUACACUCAUCAUCAAACGAUAUAGAAUAUCGUAAGAUUGUGCGAAGACAUGUACCAAGAAAGACAUUAAAACUUGUUUUAGUUCUAGUUUACAAGUUCCAAGUUCCAAGUCAUGUAAUUAAGAACUUGGAACCUACCUGUCCAAAUAGAUUCAUCACUUUUUGGAACUUAGAACCUACUAUGCAUACUUUAGAAUAUGAAAUCUACAUGUUCCCACAAGUCCGGUUCUUAGGUUUUAAAUUUUACCAUAAAACCAUACUUACCCCUAAUCUUUAUGCCCCAACACUAAAUGGAGUCUCUACACUUACACCUCAGACUAUACACCACUCUCUCCACUGCUCACCACACGCUACCCAGCACGCUCUGCUCUCUUCUUUCUCUACACGACUCUUACUUCUCACAUGCACACACAGCACACUCUACACAACACACUGUAAAGACCCCACUCACUACACAAGACCCCUAUGCCAUUAAAUGGAACACUAGCUCCUUUUUAUAGGCUGUUGAAGUCGGUUCAUUAACCGACCUUGCCAUCUUUCUUACACAUUUCUUUUAUUAUUUUAUAUAGCAACUUGCCUAAAAGGUGGAGUGCAGCAACUUGCCAACUUGUAUAAAAAUCUGGUCAAACAUGUGGCUGCGAAGUGAGGAGAGAAUUCGAGAGAGAGAGAGGCGGUGAUUAAUUCAACAUAAUAUACCCGCUCUCUUACGUGGAGGCAACAAUCCAUCAUUUAGUGAAUGAACAAUUCUCCCACCGAGCAUCAUUCGGCGAAAGAAUACAUCUCAUACCUAACUCUCCAAUCAUUGAGUUGAAUUCGAGCACCAACAGCGUGGCUGCACUCGUGAAAGAGUUUUUGCCUCGCUGAACCUAUGCACGGGUUACAGUCCGCGGGUCCAAGUAUGCCGCUACUCUCUCUCGGGAGACAAGCUAUAGUAGUUGAACCUACAAGUAGCUAUGUUAAGUUGUCCAGGACCACAUUCACUGCAGUUGCAUAUUCAGGUUGAUACUUUAACCAUGUCCUUAAUAAAAUUAUCUGGAUUGAGCUCGCAGGAGCACCAAGUUCGGCCCAGCCCAUUGAAAAUCCUAAUGGCCAAAAAUCACAUGAUAUAAGCACAUGGAGUGUGCUAAACUAAGAAAUAUUGCAAUAUUUAAUCAAAUUUGGAGGCAAUAAAGGAUAAUUAUUCUUAAGAAUUUUAAUAGAAUGACAAUAAGGGGAGACGAUAUAUUCUUUUGGUCCAAAUUAGGAAGGUAAGGCAAUAAAGGAUAUUUAUUCUCCACCUUGCGCCGCUCACUGAAUGGAGUUGUGUAAAAAUGAGUGGCACCACUUGUGAACACGAUAUUUUCUCCUAAAAUUGAGUCUAUAUGAAUGUGUUAUCAAGACAUUCAUGGGGAGGGAGACGAGAAUAUACAAGAACACGCUCCAAAGAAGGAAAUGUUGAAGCGAAGGGGGGCGAAGCCUCUGUCCUCUCAUGGCCUCCAUUGGCGUCAUUUACACCCCCUCUCCAGACGACGUUGUAGCAGCUCCCUUUACUGCCGCCUCCCCGCCUGUUCCUGUUGGAAUUUUGUUUGUUAAAACAAAAUAAGUGCUUUUUACUUUGUUCUACAUAGAAAAUGUGGGAGCAGGAGGGUCAGUUUAAAAAUGUGAGAUUUCCCUUUUGUAGUUAAAGGAGUGAUUAGGUGGGGCUAGACCCCACCAUACCCGCGUGCGGGUGCGCGAUUUUGGCUCGAUUAUUUGGCGCACUUAGCGCUUUAAUUAGCAUUAAUCCCUUGCUAUUUAUUUAUUUAUUAUUUUAUUUUAUAUUUUUAGUUCAAAGGUUGCCUUUUAAUUUGAGAAUUUCGGAAAUGAAAUAUAAAUGAAAAUUCGAAAUUCUAUUUUUUUUAAAACUAUUCCGAAUUUUAUUUGUGUCUUUUCAAUACAACCUUUGGAAAAUUACUUAUUCUGUUUUAAUUUUUCCGAAGGAUUGCAAUUGUUCGUUUUCGACUUCUUCCGAAGAGUCGCAUUUGUUUAUCCGAACAAUUUUCUAAAGACGUGUUUGUUCGCAAUUUUCACGAAGAGUUGCAAGACUGUUUCAUUUAUAUACUUGUCAUUUUUUGGAAAGAAAAGUGUGGUUAAUUUUCGAGUCUUCUCUCUGAAAAACUGCAGCCAAUUUUUCGAUUGUUUUCCUAGAGAGACCCUGGAGAAAUAAAUUGCUAUUUAGUAUUCUCAUCCGAAACUUUGUUGUAUCCUGGAGGAUUUUUGCCCGUGACCAUUAGCAACGUUGUGGGGCAAAUAAAUCCUUAAAGAAAGUGACAUCACGCCUCAAAGUCCAAGUUGUUUUACUCGAUCUGAUUUCAUUGUACUACCCAAUUUCGAAGCAUAUUUUAUCAACAGUUCCAAUAGCUUCCAGCAGCCUCGGUGACUUGUCCAGUAACAACUGCAGGCAAGAUUCAGCACUCUCAGGGCUUCAGGCCAUUGCCUAACAUCCACCAGCGAUCUCCAACAACGACGGCAGCUCCUCCAGCGAAGUGGUGUUGCUCCCGUCCAGCCCCAUGCCUGCUAGCUUCCCCGCAACGUUGGUGGCCCAUGCCACGCCCAGCUAGCCUUCACUGUCACCGGAGCUUCCCUGCUGGCCUCUGUCCAGUAUAAUGUCUUCUCUGCAUGGCCAGACCAGCCUGAGCCUCGCCAAGUCACUGCGACUAGUCCUUCCCUGUCAUCACCUCACCGUCGCACUCCACUGCAAUCUGCUCCUUAUGUUCGUGGUACAACCAGCAGCAGCGCCUUUCCAGCCAGCUUUGGUUGGUUGUCCAGCACAUCCAGAGAGCACCAUAGCCACGCCUCCAACUGUCCACAGCUUCUCCGCAGCACCUAACGUUUUUCCUGCAGGUUUCUCGAUGCCUCAGUAGCUUCGGCAGAUGUCCUGCAGCUCCGGCAACAUGUCCAGCUGGUCCCCGCUGAAACCAAGCUUCCCUGUCAUUGCUCUUUAAUGGCUGAACAACGAGAUCCACUGUGACAUCCAGAUUUUUAGGAUAUAAAGUUAAUUACGAAUUAACUUGGAGUUUUGGAUGGCACGUGUAGGAUGUCAAGUGAGUCAAUAAUUUUGGUGACGUCGAAAGUAUGAUGGAUGAUUUUCGGAGUCUGUAGGACUUGAAAUGCAAUGAAUUUUAUAUGUUGCCACAGUUACUAUUGACGGGGAACGAUGCGAUCCGAAAUAAAUGUCAGAUGUCUUUCAUUCAUAAUUUUACUGAGUUUAAAAUAUUUUUUGGACUUAUUGAUAUUGAGAACGGACAUUGAUUUUCUUGUUCAUUUAUCAAAGCAUAAUAUAUCUUGCUAGACUAUCAAAAUAUCCACUUGGAAGUCACCUAUAUUAAGUCAUUUGUGACUUUCUAAUCUGAUCACAUAACCUUUAUUUUUUACACAUGAUUUUAACGUCAAGUCAUCAUUACUUUUAAUCCGAGUUAAUCAUUUUUAUCCCUUUGUAACUUAUGUAAGUCUUCCAAAUACAUCCCUUCAUUGAUCGUAUGAACCACAACAAGUAUUCAAUCUUUAAAAAGGAAGCUUCAAUUCAUUCUUGCAAAGAAAGAGAGGUUUCCAUGUCACUUUGCCAUCUUCUUUUAUUUUCCACUCUUUAGAAACAAAGGUGAAGGUCCCAUGUUUGGUUUCUAAAGUUUCUUAUUCAAUAUUUCAAGUGUUUGGCCCGUUUGGUUCGGUUUUGGAGAAAUGAUGUAGGGAAACUGUAAAUACCUUUGGGCUAAAGGGAUUUUUUGAAAUGCUAUUGUGUUUGGUAAAUUAUAACUUUAAAGUGUAUUGGAAUAUAAUUUUGGCUUAAAUACCAUUUGGUAAAAUCUAAUUUGUAAAGGACUUUUGCUAAACUUUUUUUUUUUUUAAAGUCUAAAAAUUAAAUCCGGUGGAGCUUAGCCACUGACCAACUACCGCAGUCAAAUCUAACCACUGGGUAGCCUUGUAUGAGGUCAGUGACCUCAAGUGUUGCCUAGGUCGUGGGAACCUUAGCGACAUUGCUUGAGGUCGGAUGACCAAGGGGACACCGCCUGAGGUUGGGCGACUCGAGCGACGCUUGAGGUCGCAUGACCCCAGGCUGCAGUUUCUGGGGAUGCGAGACCCCUUAGGUGUUAGUCAUCGGCCUCUAGCUCCUCCGCACAAAUCGGGGAAGAUGAAAAUAAACAAUAAGACUUGCAUUCCCAAAAUAUUGAAAGCCCAAAACAGGUGGGGAUUUGCCUUAGACUUUCAACUUUCGCAAUGCUAGCAUUUGGUCAAUAGAAUCCCAAAAAUACUUACCAAACACUUCAUGUUUCCCCCAAAGCUCCUUGAAAAAGCCAAACCAAACGGGACCUUUAUCAAACUAGUUUUGUUGAUUAAAAAGAAUGAGAAUUGUUAAUUUAUAUUCUUAAAUAUUUUUCUUUAAAGGUAAUUAAAGUUUGAAUUUGCUUAAGUCAUUAUUCAUGCAAGUGAAACUGGAGGGACUAAAUUAGAUCGACAACUAACUCUAGGGACUUUAUUUUACAUCUAGGGUGUAUGCUCUUUUUCUCAUAUAUCCAUGCAAUUAGCUUAUAAUAAUCUUGAUUUUUUAAGUUCCGAUCUCGUCUAAUCCGUUUCCUAUGGUACUUUUUAACAACAGAAAGUCUUUUCUUGACAUUUAUCAAUGAAAUGUGAAUUUGAAAUCUAUUAUUUUUUCCAACCCCCCAAAAAAAGAAAAAAAUCCAACCCCCCAAAAAAAGAAAAAAAACAAAGAAACAGAGAAGAAAUCCAUCCUCUUCAAAUUUAAUUGAGAUAACUUUGCAGUGGUCAAGCUCAAACAUUGUCAGAUCAAAUUGAACAAGCUCAAACAUUGUCAGAUCAAAUUGAACCAUUCUUGUAGACAAUUAAUCAAUUCAAACAGAUACAAAGAUAAGUCGCACCAAUGAUGCCACUCAUUCCAUGUGCAUAUCGCACCGUGAUGAGAUCUUAUUAAUUAUUGAUUUUCUUAGAGGUGACGUAUUAUGAUGCAAUGAAAGCUCAGGUUAUUCUCUGAAUGCGUAUUGCUCAUAUCUAAGCCUACAAUCGCGAAGCUGAAGUUGCACGCCAAUGCUGUAUGGGCAUACUCUCUUGACUUCCGUGUGGGCGAAAUCCAUGUAGCUAGUACAUUCGGUGUGUGUCAGCGCACCGUUGCACCCACCGUGGCCGAAGCACUCGGCAUGGAAAGAAGCAUGGGUGUAGUAGUCGAACCCCUUUUCCACUGUGUCGAACCUCAGAUACAUCGAAACUCAGAUGGAUCAGGACGGUGUCCAUUGCCUCGGCAUAAUCUUCCCAUUCCGUACUCCUCUCCGUUGCAUACCUCGUCCAUAAAAGUCACGUCUGGUUCACUUCUAAUGAUACAAAGACAAAGGGAAAGUACUGUGGGCAGGACCGCGAUUUUCUGCGAUGUGGCCAUGAUGAUGGCAUUCACUUUCCCUCUCAAACUCUCUUUGCGUUUAAUGUAGAGAAAACACAAAACUGAGUUGGGUAUAAAAAGGGCUCACUUCUCAUAGGGUCCUCAGUCAUUGGUCCAUUAGGUUUUAAGAGUCUUUUCUUACUCAUUAUGAUCAAUAUUAGACAUGAUCUGGGGGCCGACAACCUUUCCCAAAUUUUCUAGAAAUCUUGGUGGAAUGUUCAUUGGAUCAGAAGUGUCUUGCUCCUCGUUCUAACUGGUUGAUUUGUCACACACACACACACAUGGUAUAAUCUAAGUUUGUUGACAUCCUGGCAAACCAUGCUCUCUCGUAUCCUUGUAUAUUAUAAAGUCAGAAUUAUAUAUAAUAGCCAGCUUGUGUUUGCACAAGAUAUGAGGCAAAAGUACAUCUCACGUGCCACUCUAAUGCCAAACUUUAGUACCAAAUUUUCCAAAAGGUAUUACUCAAAUGCCACUUUUUUUAAAAAUCGGACACUUGAGUGUCAACUCUAGCGAGACUUGCUAGAAAUCUGACGUGAUAUUAUUUUAAUAAUAAAACUAGUCUAUGUGGCUCGCCAGAAUGUCCACUCAGCAAUGUUUGUCCCAAAAUAACGUCGUUUUGUGCUUAUUUAGUCACGUCAGCACCAUGUCGUUAAGAGAAUUACCACGUCAGAAAAAAAUUCGCUGGAAAAAACCAUGUCAACAGUUUGGUUGGAAAUUCUUGUUGUUAACACUUGAGGCACCCCAAGAUAUGAUCCCUUGUCAUGCCAGUAGAAUAUGGAAUUUUUUUUUUUUUUGUGCCUACACCUUAAUAUAUACCCUCUUCCUCUCACAACGAGCGUAUAUGAAAGCCAACUAGCAGUGAAACUAAGUCAAGAUCUCACGAGUUGCUCAAGCUUGGGUUGAUGAUCAUCUAAAACAUCUCGACAGGUUUCUAGUCAAGCUCUAGCUCGAACUACUCGAGGAUCGUUUCAAAUUGAAAGUCGUGCUUGCCAAUACUCAGCUCAACAAACUCUCUAUUAAAUUAAUGUCUCGAAUUUGAAUUCGGAUAACAAUUUGUUAAACCCAAUUUGUCGAUAAAGUUUUUCCCAAGUAGAUUUCAACUUGGAUAAAGAUAAAAAGAAGAAUUUCUUCUUUGGACAUACACACAUGGAUGUCUAUAGGGGUGAGCGGUUCCAGGUUCUGGUUCGGUUUCAUCUGGAACUUGGAACCUACCUGUCAGAACCGAGAACCUAGAACCUACCUUGUCACAGGUUCUAGGGUCGGUUCCAGGUUCCAACAGGUUUUUUUUUUUUUUUUUUUUUUUUUUUUUUUUUUUUUUUUACGCGCACGUUACCAAAAAAAAUUAUAACGUACUCGCACGUUACCAAAAAAAAAAAACGCAGCUGGUUCAAAGCCAUUGGUAGCUGCAUUGAACUUCCAUCCUGCAUCCGGAGGAAAUUCUGCUUACUAAAGGAAAUGGACAAAAAUUAUGUUCACCCUACACAAUGGCAUGCAAAGAGAAACAGAAACGCUUUUUCCUAUCAAUGGCUUCAGGCAGAAACAGACAUAUACUAGAGAUCAAAUUAACUUCUACGAAGAAACAAGGAUAUACCUGAAUACCAGCAAAUAGCAGGCCAUUACCCACAACCAUGGCAUAAACUUGUCCGACAGGACCAUUGAGACUGAGGUUUGCAUUACUUUGUGUGUUGUAUGCCUACAGUAUCACGACUACUUUAUUACUGGCCAAAAACUUCAGAAUACCAAUACAGUUAUGGAGAACAACCAUUUUAAAAAAAAAUGUAAUAAAAAUAUGAGAGGCUUAUAAACCGCAAAAUGGGGAAAAAAAUGGAGUGUGCUUUCCCACAUUACCUUUACGAGAUUUGGUAAACCAACAAACACCCAUGGACCUUCACUUAUCAUACAACCAAUUUCACCACCAAGAUUGACCACACCUGCACACUGCAAGACAGACAAGAAGAAUGGAACUAGUCCAGUCAACUCCACUAGGCAGAUGAAAUAAACAAAGGCAAGACUCCAGGCAUAAUUUCAUGCCUUCAGCAUAAACCCAAUUUCUGGGACAAGUGCUCCAGAUCAAGCAAAAACUGUGCUUAGUUGGAAUGCCAAUAUAAGCAACACUGAGGACAGACAUAGCAUUUCAGACAAUUUUGCAAUGACCUUCAGAGCAUCCUAAAAGUGAAUUCCUCCCACAAGCCCAUUAAAACAAAAAAAAAAAAAAAAAAAAUCAAGGUGAGAACAUCUUCGGAGAACUUUUAAGCGCAUCUAUCCUCCAAGGGUCACAGGAGACAGCACGGUCAAAGAACUGUCAGUAUCCUUCUUCAUAGACAGACAACCUAAGAGGAAAUAACAUGCAAGAACAUUGGAAUCUUCAUCUUAAAAAUUCAAUAACAGCAGAAUUCUCACGCCGGUGAAGGGGGCGAGGGAAUGUGUGGGAUCGAGGUUGAGAUAUAGAGCGACAACGUGCGAGUCUGCGAGAGAGAGAGAGAGGGGUGACCAGCAAGGCGGGGCGUGGGAACAGCGACGGGGGGCGGCGCUUCGGAUGGCUGCACGGCGGCAGAAGAUCGGACCGCUAGCAGCACUCGUGGUCGCGGGUUCCGCAGGUGGAGAUGCGGCGGUGCGGCGCGGAGUGUUGGAAUUUUGUUUGUUAAAACAAAAUGAGUGCUUUUUAGUUUAUCCCACAUAAAAAAAGUGGGAGCAAGUGGGUCAGUUUAAAAAUGUUGAAUUUCCUUUUUGUAGUUAAAGGAAUGAUUGGGUGGGGCUAGACCCCACCAUACCUGCGUGCGGGUGUGCGAAUAAUUGCGCGAUUAUUUGGCGCACUCAGCACUUUGCACGCCUGCGCGCCCGUGGUUUAAUUAGCAUUAAUCCCUUGCUAUUUAUUUAUUUAUUUAUUUAUUUAUUUUUAAUUCAAAGGUUGCCUUUUAAUUUGAGAAUUUCGGAAAUGAAAUAUAAAUGAAAAUUCGAAAUUCUAUUUAAAAAAAAAAUAUUCCGAAUUUUGUUUGUGUCUUUUCAAGACAACCUUUGGAAAAUUACUUAUUCGGUUUUAACUUUUCCCGAAGGGUUGCAAUUGUUCGUUUUCGACUUCUUCCGAAGAGUCGCAUUUGUUUAUCUGAACAAUUUUCUAAAGACGUGUUUGUUCGCAAUUUUCACGAAGAGUUGCAAGAUUGUUUCAUAUAUAUACUUGUCAUUUUUCGGAAAGAAAUGUGUAGUCAUUUUUCGAGUCUUCUUUCUGAAAAAACUGCAGCCAAUUUUUUAUUGUUUUCCUAUAGAGAUACUGGAGAAAUACUAGAAUUGCUAUCUAGUAUUCUCAUCCAAGACUUUGUUGUAUCCUGAAUGAUUUUUGCCGGUGACCAUUAGCAACGUUGUGGGGCAAAUAAAUCCUUAAAGAAAGUAAUAUCACGCCUCAAAGUCCGAAUUGUUUUACUCGAUCCGAUUUCAUUGUUCAACCCAUUUCGAAGCCAUAUUUUCCCAACAAUUUUAAGGAUUUAUUUUGCUACAAUGGAGUCGGAGACAAUCAAAGUUAUGAAUCAAGAUAUGGUCAAACUAGACCGGUUCGAUGGGAACAAUUUUGCUCGCUGAAGGGACAAGAUGAUGUUCUUACUCACUACUCUGAAGAUCUCCUACAUACUGGAUCCUAACUUGGCACCUAUAGAAGAUCCUAAGCCUACUUUCGAUGGAGGACAGCCAAGUGCGGAAGCCAUUGAGAGGGUUAAUAAGGAAAAGAAGAAAUGUGCGGAGGAUGAAUUACUUUGUCGAGGACACAUUCUGAACAUACUCUCCGAUCGUCUGUACGACUUAUUCACUGAAAUGAAGUCAGCCAGAGAAAUUUGGAAUGCACUGGAAUUCAAGUACAAAACGGAGGAGCAAGGUACCAACAAAUAUCUAAUUGCAAAGUAUUUUGAUUUCAAGUUUAUUGAUACUAAGCCCUUGCUGGAACAAGUCCAUGAAUUGCAAGUGAUUGUGAAUAAGAUUCGUGCUCUCAAGAUUGAUAUUCCAGAAGCUUUUCAAGUUGGAGCAAUUAUUGCGAAAUUGCCUCCAAGUUGGAAAGACUAUGGAAAAAGGCUGAUUCACAAGUCGGAGGACUUUACUUUGGAGCAAAUACAAAAACAUCUUCGCAUUGAGGAAGAGUCACGUUUACGUGAUAAUUUUGUUUUGUACAAUUCCAAGGUGAAUUUUGUGGAUAAAAAAUGAAAACUCGGCCAAAAUUUCAAAGUAAAAAGCGAGGGGCAUAAAUUCAAGAGAACACAAAAGAAGCAAAAGGGUUGCUGUUUUGUUUGUGGCAAACAGGGACAUUACGCCAAGGAUUGCAUUCACCGUAAGAGCAUUUCAAAGGACAAGAACAUUCCGGUGGUGAAAGCAAAUGCAAAUCUGGUUGAAGAAAAUUAUGUAGCCAUCGAACAUGUUUUCGAACAUGGAAAUUUCUGAAAUCAAUGGUGCGAUGCCUAUGGUUUCUGAAAUCAAUUUUGCCACUAUCCAAUCCGGUUGGUGGAUAGAUUCUGGAGCAACUGUUCAUGUGUGCAAGGACAAGUACAUGUUCAGGCAAUUUGACGAGAUUGUUGACUCAAAUGUUCAAGAGGUCCUGAUGGCGAAUAAUGCUCUUGCAAAGGUUGCUGGAAAAGGCACGGUGGAGAUAGACUUCACUUCUGGAAAGAAGAUAGUUCUUCUUAAUGUGUUAUUUAUACCCGAAAUUAGGAAGAACCUAGUUUCUAUUGAUUUACUUUGUAAGAGGGGGUUUCAGGUUUUGUUUGAAUCCGACAAUGUUAUCCUGUCGAAAAAUGGGCUGUUUGUUGGGAAGGGUUAUGCCAAUGAUGGCAUGUAUCAACUGAGUAUCAAUAAUAAUAUUUCUAGUUCUGCUUAUAUUGUCGAGUCUUCAAUUUUAUGACAUAGUAGGUUGGCACAUAUAAAUUUUCGUUAUUUGAAGAAUAUGAAAAAAUUAGACUUGAUAAAUUUUAAUGGCGAAUUUGAUAAAUGUGAAAUAUGUGCUAAGUCAAAACUUACUAAGAAGCCAUUUCCUAGUGUUAAAAGAAAUUCGAAUUUAUUGGAUUUGGUUCAUAGUGAUAUAUGUGAAUUUAAUGGUAUGCUAACACGUGGAGGUAAAAUGUAUGUUAUUACCUUUGUGGAUGAUUGUAGUAGGUUCUUAUAUGUUUAUCUCAUGAGAUCGAAGGAUGAAGCAUUUACCAUGUUUAAGAAAUAUAAAGCUGAAGUAGAGAAUCAAUUAGAAAAGAAAAUCAAAGUUCUACGAUCAGAUAGAGGUGGAGAAUAUUUCUUAAAUGAAUUCUCUUCAUUUUGUGAAGAACAUGGUAUUAUUCAUCAAGCUUCAGCACCAUAUACUCCACAACAAAAUGGUUUAGCUGAAAGGAAAAAUCGAUCUAUUGGAGAAAUGGUUAAUUGUAUGCUUUCAAAUUCAAAGCUACAAAUUAAUCUUUGGGGAGAAGCAUUACUUACUGCAUGCAAUAUUCAUAAUAGAAUACCUUCCAAGAAAAAUGACAUAACCCUUUAUGAAAUAUGGAAAGGUAGAAAGCCAAAUUUGUCAUAUCUUAAAGUGUGGGGGUGUUUAGCGUACUACCGAGCUCCAGAUCCUAAGAGAACAAAGCUCGGUCCUAGAGCUAUCAAAAGUGUUUUCGUAGGGUAUGCUGAAAAUAGUAAAGCUUAUAGGCUUCUUGAUUUAGAGUCUAAUGUCAUAGUAGAAUCGAGAGACGUCGAAUUCUUUGAGAAUAAAUGUUUUACAAGUUCUGAAAUUAUUGAAAAUAAUUCAAGAUCUAUGGAAACUCAAAGUGAUUUUGAAGAGAAAAAAACGAAUUCUAAAGACAUGAUUGAACUAAGGAGAAGUACUAGAGCUAGGAAAAUAAAAGACUUGGUCCUGAUUUUAUUACUCAUGUUUUUCUUGUUGAAUGAGAUAGAGAUAAUAAUGUGGUAAAUAAAUACCCUUUAGUGUUAAAUUUAGAAGAUGAUCCUGGAAGCUUUGAUGAUGCUAUGUCUUCUAGAGAUGCUUCUUUUUGGAAAGAAGCUGUGAAUGAUGAAAUGGACUCAAUUAUGUCCAAUAAUACUUGGGUAUUAGUAGAUUUACCGAAAGGAUCAAAACCUAUUGGAUGCAAAUGGGUUUUUAGAAGAAAAUAUCAUUCUGAUGGUUCUAUUCAAGCUUUUAAAGCUAGGCUUGUAGUUAAGGGAUAUAGACAAAAAAGAAGGAAUAUAUUAUUUUGAUACAUAUGCUCCUGUUGCACGUAUAACUUCCAUUCGAGUUCUUUUUGCUCUAGCUUCCAUUUAUGAUCUUUGUGUUCAUCAAAUGGAUGUUAAAAUUGCUUUCUUAAAUGGAGACUUAAAUGAGGAGAUUUACAUGGAACAACCGGAGGGUUUUGUUCUUCCUAGAAAUGAAAGAAAAGUAUGUAAAUUGAUUAAGUCUCUUUAUGGACUUAAACAAGCUCCUAAGCAGUGGCAUGAAAAGUUUAAUUCGGUCAUAUUGUCAAAUGGUUUCAUCAAUAAUAGUGCCGAUAGGUGUAUAUACUCUAAAUUCACUAAAGACUAUGGUGUCUUAGUGUGCUUGUAUGUUGACGAUAUGCUUAUCUUUGGAACGAAAAUGACUGGAGUUAAUGAGACUAAGAAAUAUCUAACUUCCAUGUUUAAAAUGAAGGAUUUGGGUGAAGUAGAUACUAUCUUAGGUAUUAAAGUUAAGAAAAAUAGUGGGGGUUACUCUUUAAGCCAAUGUAGUUAUGUUGAAAAAUUAUUAAAUAAAUUUCAACAUCUUGGUUUUAAAGAAAUAAGUACUCCAUUUGAUUCUAGUAGUAAAUUAAAUUAUACUACUGGUAGAGCGGUGACACAACUAGAAUAUGCAAGUGCUAUAGGGUCUUUAAUGUAUGCGAUGCAUUGUACUAGACCCGAUAUUGCUUAUUCUGUAUGCAAGUUGAGUAGAUAUACUAGUAAUCCAAGUACAGAACAUUGGAGAGCUAUUACUAGAAUUUUUGGUUAUCUUAAGAGAACUAAAAAUUUAGGAUUGUUCUACAAUAAUUAUCCGGAUGUAUUAGAAGGAUACACUGAUGCUAGUUGGAUUAUAAGUGUGGGAGAUGAGCGUUCCACUUCUGGAUGGAUCUUCACACUAGCUGGAGGUACUGUAUCUUGGGCGAACAAGAAACAGACAUGUAUAACUCACUCAACAAUGGAAUAUGAAUUUAUUGCUUUGGCGGCAGCUGGGAAAGAGGCUGAAUGGAUUAGAAAUUUGUUGUUGGAUAUCAAAUUAUGGCCUAGUCCUAUGCCUCAUAUUUCUAUCCACUGUGAUAGUCGGGCCACUUUGGCAAGAGCCUAUAGUAGCACCUAUAAUGGUAAGUCUAGACACAUUAGUCUAAGACAUGAAUAUGUGAGACAAUUGAUUAAAGAUGGUACCAUAACAAUUGUCUAUGUGAGGUCAAGUAAAAAUCUUGCAGAUCCUUUGACGAAGGCUUUACCAAGACAUAUGGUAAUAACGACCUCACAAGAAAUGGGGCUGAAACCCUUUAAAUGAAAUCACCAAUAAUGGUAACCCGACCUUUUUUUAGAACAUCACUAGUUACAAGGUUUAAUGGGUAAGAAGAAGUUAUUGAAUGUGAUUGUUUGAUACUGACAUAGCCCUGAUAUGAGAAGUCAGUAUUGUCUGUUACGUUUUAUAGGCUGAAUUGAAUUCUUAAUGAAGUAUGAUACAAGUUUGUAGUGUGUUGAUAGUAACAGAAACACAUGGUAGAUACUUCACCUAUAUGAGCUUAGAAGUGGUGCCGCUUCUUACGAAAGUGAGGGUUGCUUUCUAGAGAGCUCAUGAAACAGGAUCAAGCACAAGGCCAUAAUAGUGCGGAGUAAUAUAGAAAUUCUCGCUGAAACAAGAGGUUAGUGUAUGUGUGGUAUGUUCGGUUCUAUUACAUAAAAGUACAAGUUUAAAGCCGAGCUACUUGUCACUUUGAUAGAGCUUUGAUAUACUUGCACUAAGUAAAGGUUUAACUCGAAAGAGACCUUUAUGUAUUUAUAUUAAUCUUACUGAAACUUUGGCUGUAUAGUUUUUAAAAUUUUAUUUUGAAAUCUUUGUUUUACAAACAAAGUGGGGGAUUGUUGGAAUUUUGUUUGUUAAAACAAAAUGAGUGCUUUUUAGUUUGUCCCACAUAGAAAAUGUGGGAGCAAGUGAAUCAGUUUAAAAAUGUUGAAUUUCCUUUUUGUAGUUAAAGGAAUGAUUGGGUGGGGCUAAACCCCACCAUACCCGCAUGCGGGUGCGCGAUUAUUUGGCGCACUUAGCGCUUAGCGCACUUAGCACGCCCACGGUUUAAUUAACAUUAAUCCCUUGCUAUUUAUUUAUUAUUUAUUUUUUAUUUUUUAUAAUUCAAAGGUUGCCUUUUAAUUUGAGAAUUUUCGGAAAUGAAAUAUAAAUGAAAAUUCGAAAUUCUAUUUAAAAAAAAAUUAUUAUGAAUUUUGUUUGUGUCUUUUCAAGACAACAUUUGGAAAAUUACUUAUUCGGUUUUAACUUUUCCCGAAGGGUUGCAAUUGUUCGUUUUCGACUUCUUCCGAAGAGUCGCAUUUGUUUAUCCAAACAAUUUUCUAAAGACGUGUUUGUUCGCAAUUUUCACGAAGAGUUGCAAGACUGUUUCAUAUAUAUACUUGUCAUUUUUCGGAAAGAAAUGUAUGGUCAUUUUUCGAGUCUUCUUUUUGAAAAAACUGCAACCAAUUUUCGAUUGUUUUCCUAGAGAGAUCCUGAAGAAAUACUAGAAUUGCUAUCUAGUAUUCUCAUCCGAGACUUUGUUGUAUCCUGGAGGAUUUUUGCCGGUGACCAUUAGCAACGUUGUAGGGCAAAUAAAUCCUUAAGGAAAGUGAUAUCACGCCUCAAAGUCCGAGUUGUUUUACUCAAUCCGAUUUCAUUGUUCAACCCAUUUCGAAGCCAUAUUUUCCCAACACGGAGAUAGCCGGUGGCUCGGGGGACGCCGGUGAAGGGGGCGAGGGAAUGUGCGGGUGUGGGAUCGAGGUUGAGAGAUAGAGAGAGGGGGCAGCUACGGGCGAGUCUGCGAGAGAGAGAGAGAGGGGGCGUCUGGUUCUUUUCUUCUAGAGCCCUAAGUAACCGGUUCUAGUUCUGAAACCGGUUCCGGUUCCAGUGCCGGUUCCAGUUCAAGUUCCGACUCCCAGAAAAAAAGGAAUCGGGAACUGGAACCGGUCCCCUUGGAACCGGGAACCAAACCGGACCCUCCUCCAGUUCGGUUCCGGUUCCUGGGUAACUCGGGAACUGCGCUCACCCCUAGAUGUCUACGCCGAAGUCUCCAGGAGGUUCCGUUUUUGGGAUGGCCGAAUUCUUCUUAUUCACAGUGGGGCCCAAAGCUUGGGCACACGCUCACGCACACCACGCUGGAUUUUCCUUUUACCCCCACGGAAACAAAAUAGGUGGGCCCAGGUCAAAAGUUUGACCUGGGCACACGUAUAAAAGAGGAAUUAUGCAGGUCUUCUUUUCUUUGCCUGAGGAGCCGCGCGAAGCAAUAAAAGGCUGCACGUCCGCGCCGCUGCACCUGUACGAGAGAAAGGGAAGUCAUGCGAAGCUUUGAAGAGAUACGCGAUUUCAUAUGUACGCGAACCAGGCGUACGUAGAGCGUUGUAUUUUGAGCUUGUACAAGGCAGUAAUUUUGUGCCGUGAAUUUAUGCUCAAAUGAGUUGUUUAUUUAUAAACACUUUAGGUUUGAGAUUAAAUAUAGGUGUGGGAAACACUUGAGCGUUUAAGCGAUUGUAGACUAUAAUUCUCCAAUUUUAAUAGAUUAUUUGCUACUGAUUCUCCCCGUGGACAUAUGUACUGAUACUCGGAUCGAACCACGUAAAUUUCUGGUGUUCUUAUUAUUUAUUUUUUUGUGACCCAGGGAACCCGCACACCGUACCAACACGGACAGCCCGAAAGGCCUGGGGUAACGAGGGGUAAACCUGAGGGCAACACGUGCUAGCCACCACACAUGUGCCAUCGGGUAAGUCACCCUGCGACGCCCGGGAAUCGGACUCCUCCCCUUGCGUUAGGGGGAGAAGCUCGCCGCCAGUAGCGCCACCCAGGUGGGUGGUUCUGGUGUCCUUAUUUUUCUCGUUUAUUUUUCUGAUGAUUUCGCGUUGACGUAAAUUGCAAGAUCCUAUCGUUUCUGCGUAUUAUAUUCCAACACUCUCGAACCCAAUUCAACAAAUUUAAUGUUAUAAAAUUAGGCAUAGACAUCCCUAACCAUGCACGUGCAUGCACACAAACAUAUAUAUAUGAAAUUAAUAUGUGAUUGAGCGCAAAUCGAGUUUAGAACACUGAAUAUGAGUUAAGUGGAUCUCGACUUGGGCACUAUUGUGUCUCGUUUGGAUGCCCAGGGGCCAUCCAUGUCGACACUAAGUUCUAUUCAUUGGACCCGAAGUCUCCAUUGAAGCUGUUGAGCAUUCUCACAUGCAAAACUUGAAUUUGAGGUCCUUGAGAAGUCUCGUUACUCACGAUUUGGUUGCGAUCUCCAUCAUGCAAGUAUUAAGUCCCCUAUAUUAAGUAACUAACAAGAUACAUCGGUCUAAGAGUAUAUUUGUUAUAUUACUCUAAAUAUUGUGUUGACAUAAAUUUUUGUGAGAGAAACAAUAUUACUGAAAAUUAUGGCAAUAUAUAUUUUCAUAUCAAUCAAAUUUUCGCUAGCGUUUACGUGUAGUUUUAUUUAAUAAAGUGGACCCGAACUGCAUCAUGUAGUUUCGGGAUAUGGAAUUGCAAUAUAUACCAAACAUAAUAUAAUUGCAUGUUGUGAAUCAAUAAGAGACUUGAGAGCACAAAGAAUGAAAAUUCCUUUCUCUUGAUAGAUUUCCUACAUUUGUCAAAUUCUCUAGAUUUUCGACUUGAUAAAGAGAAGUUGUGCAAGCUAUUGAUGAGAAUCUUCUUAAGAGUAAAAUUAAUGGUUUAUUUUCUCUCCUGAAUUCACUAAUCCCUAUUUAUAGGGAAUUUUAUUAAAUAGGUUUAAAUCUAUUGUAUGACUAUCAAUUUAGUCCCAAAAAUUUUAAUUUUCACAUCAUGGCCCUAAAUCUAUGCCCAAAAUUCCUAUGUAAUCCUUUCAAGCAAUUUUGGGAUGAAAAUGCCGAUGUAAACAUUUUGCAAUUGCCAAAACGAUGUCCUUAUUUUUUUUGUCUUUAUGAUUUCUUUUCUCUUUCCUUUUUCUUCUUCUUUCUUUUCUUUCCUUUAAGUUAUUUUCAUCUUCUCUUCGUCUUCCAUCACUUCCUGUACUGUUCAUAUUCCCUGACUUCAACCUCUCUCCUCCAUGUAAAGUCUCGUAAACUCUUAUCAACAUAAUUACCAGCAUCCAAUUCAAAUUGCCAAACUCCAAGAACAAGAGCCACAAAUUGAACUAGUUGAAGGAGAGGAGGACUAGAAGACUUUUAAUUUUUGUUAUAGAAAUACUCCUAAAGUAGUUGGAUCCCACAACUAACAAUCUAGCUCUAAUAGCAUUAGCAAUUUCUUCGUGUAUUCUCCAUGAAUCGUCCUUUCGCUCUCUUUGUGGAGUCAUAUCCGAUGAAUAAUUGAAUCCAAGGUCCAAAGCUAGUGAAGUGACGUCCAAUGUGAUUGUGGCACCAAUUAGAAAUUGAGCAUAAGGAUUCGCGCAUUUUAAGAUACAAGAUCCCAAUCAUUCUACCAUUUAAAAAUCCUUGAGAGUUAUCUACACAUCUUACAAGGAUAAAUUAAGUAGAGUAGUCAUCAUCAAAUAUCCUACAUUGACAUAGGAUACGCGAUUGAUGUUUAGGAGUUUAUGCUCCUAAUAUUUCGAUUCCUCCUCAUCAUCACCAGUGCAAAUAGUUACGCAUAUAUAACGGUCUCUAUUCACUGAGAAGGGCAAUCUUGUCAUCAUAUAUAUUUUUGAUCUUAUUUUACAUUAGACAUGAUCUCUUACACGGAGGCAACACUCAUUCAUUUAGGGAAUGAACGACUCUCACACCGAGCAUCAUUGGGUGAAAGAAUAUAUCUCAUACCUAACUCGGUAAUCUUGGAGUUGAAUUUGAGCACCGACAGAGUAGCUGCACACUUGAAAGAGUUGUUGUCUCGCAGAAUUGAUGCACGCAGUACAGUCUGACUGUCCAAGCAUGUCGUUACAUGCUCCAUGCCCCCAAAAUUGAAAGUAGAAAUUGAGAAACGAGCCAUAGUAGUUGUACCCAUGAGUCGCCGUGUUAGCGCUCAGAUCGUCUAGGACUGCAUUCACUGUAUUUCCAUAUGGACCAUGAGGGUAAUAUUGUUGCCCAUCGCAAAUUCUGUUUAGCAUGGUCGUGUUUGUGGCACCACUUGCCGUGGUGCACAGAGAAAGAAGCCCUACAAUGAUGCCUACGAUUCCUUGAAACCUCAACAUGAUGUUUAUAUACGCAAUCUCUAUGUCUUCAGUAUAUAUUUCUCUGACGUUUAUAAGAGCUAGUUUCGGCUAUAUAUAAGAGGGUCGAUUACAUAGGUUGGGCUGCUCCUCUUAUAUCAUUACAUCAGUGCAAAUGUCAGAUGAAUUAGGUGACAACAUCCUCGAUUAUUCCAUCGUCUUCACUCUUGAACACUCUUAGCCAAGAGAUUCACAACUUCCUCGAUUCCCUCAUCCUUGUCUAUUCUUUUGUGGUAUAUGGUUCGAUAGGCAUAAAAUAGACUAGAUACUCUUUAGGAUCAAGAAUAAUUUGCUCCAUCCUAUAAUAUCAAUUGUCUUCUGAAUUGGUCUAGGUUUUACUGUUGUUAAAUUAACACGGAAAUUGACAAGAUCUUGAAAUUAAAUUAAUCAGAGAAAUAAAUGAGAAACAAUCAAGGACACAGGAAAUUUACAUGGUUCAGUCUGAAAGUUGGUACCUACUUCAUAGGGAGAGCUGGUCGUAAAUAAUGUAGUAAUAAUCUAGAAAAUUAAAUUUACAAUAUCCCAUACUCUUAAGUGUUCCCACACUUCGAUUAAUUCCAAACUCACAUUAUUUAAAAAUAAAUAAUUUAAUUGGAUGUACAGCUCACAGCAUAAGUCUCUCAAUUACUUGCUGCUUGAAAGAAAUAGAAAAAACCCACUCACUAUUCUCUUUCCUUUUGGGGAAAAUAAUACAAAUAGUCCAUGAACUUUAAUAUACAAUAUGAUGCUUGAACUUUCAAUUUGUUCAAUGUAGUAUAUAACUUUAUCCUAAUGUCAACGUAGUUUUUGAACUAUUAAUUUAUUCAAUGUGAUCCUUGAACUUCUGAUACAUGUUUAAUUUUUAAUUUGUUCGAUGUGGUCUAUGAACUUUCGGUACAUAUUCAAUUUAAACCAUGCACUUUAUGAAAAUGUUCAAUAUGUAUAUGAACUUGAAUAAAUGAAAUGACUAUAUUGAACAUUUUCAUAUAAUUCAGGGAUUAAAUUGAAUAUGUAUCAAAAGCCUAAAGAUCAUAUUAAAUAAAUUAAAAAUUAAGGAAACAUAUUGCAUAUUGAACCAAAGUGCAAGUAUGAUUUGUGUCAUUGACCAUUCCUUUUUCUCAAUUACAAUACAGCCAAAGUGAGUUCUUUUUUCUGUCCUGUAGUGACCAUUAUCUUUUUUCUUUUCUUUUGCUUUUUGGUGAAGACGUCCACUGCGAGACAUUUAAACAAGAUACAUCUUGAUCGGUCAAACUAAUCAAGGAGGGAAUAUUUAUCUUCUCCAACAAAAUAAAAGAGCAAAUCCUUUGUGCCCAAGAGAUAAAAACAAAAUCUGCAAAUUUCCUUAUUUCAAGGCCACUUCUGAAUUAACUCACAUUUGCCUCGAACGCCUAAUUAUCGUUACAAUACAUGGAGUCUACAUCUUCCAAUCAGAUCGAUUCCCUAACGAGCUGAAACUUGAGAUAUAAUCUAACACUUACAGAAUGGAGGACUUAAAUGGAGGAAUUAUUGCAUGGAUCUAUGUGAUGUGGCGAGUAAAAAGAUAGGUAACAUGAAAGUUUGCAUAUAACUACAACUAGUUCGAUAACAUAUUAUCCAUUAUUGAGAUGCAUCUAUAAGUUGUGUUAGAAAGCGCAUAGAGUAGUUAAGAUAUCAUGAUUCGCCCAUAAUGCAUAGGCUUAAAUUUUAAAGUGAAAGUUGGUCUAACUGGAAAUAUUGAUGGGCUCAAAUUUAUGCUCCUUAGCAAUCUCCCUAGGAGAAGGAAUUGACUUUUAUUACAUGCUUCCAAUAAAUGAUAUCAUAUACAGGCAUUUCCCAAUUUGUUGACUGCUUGUUUUAAGCAAACGAAUUGACUGCAGAAGGUUUUACCCAUAAGGCUAGCUGCUUUGUUUAUCUCACUUGCCAUUAGUCCGUCUAGCGCCUUUCGGUUGGCGUCCGUCUUGGGUAGCCUCCUGCUUGACUGAUUUCUCGAAGUCAAAAGCUGGCAAUACCUCGGUUUAUAGAGCCAGUAAUUUGGCAUCUUCUAAGGAGUUGCCAAGAGGUGGACCUAUACGGGAAAUCAGAGGUAGAUAGUUCAAUAAGAUCAUUUUCUCCUUCUUUACUGAUGGUUAAUCGGUGGCCCACUCCUAUGUAUAUCUAUAUUUGGUGAAUAUCUCAAGAAAGGAAUUUCAUGACCAAUGCAGCUUUUGGACAACCUUGAUGGUUCAUUCUAGCAAAAGAGACGUGGGGUGAAGUUGAACAUUGUAUUGUAACAAUGCGGUCACAAUGACAGCCUUCGUAAUUCGGUUGAGAAAGAGAGCAGGGAUGAAGAUGAGUGUUGAAGAUUGAAGUUUGGGACAUGUUGAUGUAGAAGGGUACUUGAAUUAAAGGAGAGAAGACCUAUACUAAGCUCACACAUGAGACUAAGUUUAACAUUCCCAAUUUGCAUAUUAGAUAACUUUAAAGACUAUAUCACCCUUCGACUACUGAACAAAACUUAAGUUGGGGAUCAUUUUUUUGAAGAAAAGUGAUAAUGUGGUCUAAUUCAACUUUAAUGAAAAAAAAAAUCAGAUGAGGUCUGACUAAUAAGGAUUUGUGCCAGUCAUAACAACUUGAUUGAUUUCAAGUUAAACUCGAGUUGCUCGAGGAUCUCAUCAAAUUGUUCAAACUCGCCAAGACUUUGCUCAACAAGCUUGUUGUUGACCAAAUCUCGACUAAUUCAUCCAUUGCUUUAUACCAUAAUCCUAUAGUACAUUUUAAAGAUAGACAUUAGCAUUUCAUGAAAUUUUUAACAAAAGUCUGAGAUUGAUAUCUAUACACUUCCAAUUUUAAUAUUUUCUAUUCAAUUGAGAUAACUUUGUACUUGUCAAGAUCCAACAUUGCCAAUUUCAUGGGGGUCAAACUCAAACAUUGUCAAGUCAAAUUGAUCUAUACUUGUAGACAAUUAAUCAAUUCAAACAUAUACAAAGACCAAUGGCACUGACAAAGCUACUCACAUUCCACAUUUAAACCACGCUCUGAUGAAACCUUAUUGAACUCAUAGAUUUUUAUAGACAUGCCACCAUUGAUUUUGGACAUUUUUCCAAUAUAAGUUUAGGUUAUCCCCUGAGUUUAUAUUGCAAGCUAUGUCCACAAUCGCGAAGCUGAAACUGUGCACCAAUACUAUAGGGGCACUCUCUUAAAUUCCUUGUGGGCGAUAUCCAUGCAGCUAAUAAAGUCCACGUGUCAAUACACCAUUGUACACACCGUAGCCGAAGCACUUGCAUGGUGGAAAGAAGCAUGGUUGUAGUAGUCAAACCCCUUUUCCGCAACUGCGUACCUCAGAUCGACCAGGACGCUGUUCCAUGCGGAGGAAUAAUCGUCCCAUUCGUAGUAUUGCCCUCCAUUCCAACCUUUUCCGCAGAAAUCAUGUCCGGGUGACUUCUAAUGAUGCAAAGACACUGUGAAAGUACUAUGAGCAGGACUGCGAUUGUCGGUGCUGUAAACAUAAAGAUGGUCUUUCCUUCUAAUUCUCUUUUGUUUAGAUUACAAAAACCCAAGAAUUGAGUUAGGUAUAAAAAGGGCUCAUUCCUCAUUGGGUCCUCAGUCAUUAAUUGAUUAGGUCAAGAGUCUUUCUUAGGAUCUUGGUGAAAUCUUCAUUGGAUCAGAAGGCUGUUGCUUCUCUGUCUAACCGGUGAAUUUGGCAUAUACACCAUAGAAUACAAGUUCUUUGACGUCCUUGCAAACCAUUCUUUCUCGAAUCUUGCAUAUUAAAAUGAGAGUUCAUGUAUAAUAGCCAACUUGUGCUGGUAAGAUAUGAUUCCUUGUCAUACUAAUUAUGUUAGGAAAAUUCCUACCUACCCCCAAUGUAUACCCUAUUCCUCUCACAACAAGCAUAUGUCGAGACCUAGUCGGAGUGAAACUAAAUCGAGCUCUCAUGAGUUGUCUAGUCUUGGGUUGAUGAUUAUUUGAGAAGGGCUCGAUUGAUUUCUAGUCAUAUUCUAGCAUGAACUUCUCGAGUGUCUUGUCAAAUUGAAGUCGGGGUUGCUAAUACUUAGCUGAACAAACUUGUGAGUCUAAUUCAAAAAAAAAAAAUAUUAUUAUAAAAUUAGACAUAGACAUCCAUAACCACACACAUGGAUAUAUGGAGUGCUGGACACCACAAGUGCCAAAAUUUGGUACGGGUAGACACUUAAGUGCCAAAACUUUCAAAAAGUACACUUAGGUGCAAAAAUUGAAGAAGAAAAAAAAUACUUAAGUGCCAACGGUGAGAAUUUCUAGCCAAAUUGUCAAUGUGGCUUUUUUCCAACGACAUUUUUUUCUAACAUAGAAAUUCUUUUUUUUUUAAAUUAUCCAUAUGGUGCUAUAAGCCCAAAAUGAGUCAUUUUGCCCUCGAAUUUGAUUUUUAAUAAAUAUCAAUUAAAUUAAAUUUGAAAGACUAAUUUUUUUUAUAAAAAAAAUAAGAAAAGAAAAAGAAUGAGGAGGCAGCAUUUAGUGAGGGCCUCUAUAGCCCUCAUCGUUGUUGCCCCUACCGUCGCCAACCCUUUUCAGCAAUGGUGGGGCGACAGCAGUGGCGAGGGCAUUCCAACGAGCCACGUAUACCACUUUUAUCGAAUGUUGCCUCCUUCUUCUUCCUUUUUCAAAUUAAUUUAAUUAAUAUUUAAUUACUAAAUUCGGAGGCAAAAUGAUGUCGUUUUACGAAUUGAUUGCUAAAUAGACAUUUCAACGAGCCACGUAUACCACUUUUAUUAAUAAAAACACCACUUCAGAUUUUUAGUUAGCCUUGCCGAAAUUAGUACUUAGGUAUUCAAUUUUCAAAAAAAGUGGAACUUAAGUAUAUCUUUUGAAAAUCUUGAUACUUAAGUGUCCAACCGUGCCAUGUUUUAGCACUUACAAUGUACUUUUGCCCAGAUAUAUGCAUAGAGUACACUAGUACCUCGUCUUUUUAUUUGAGUCAAGCUCCAUUAGGAAAAUUAUACUUGAUUGAGCUCAAAUCGAAUUCCAAACACUAAGUAUGGGAGUUUUAGUCUAUCUUGACUUGGGUGACUUGUUUAGACACUCAAAGCCCAGCCUUUUUUACACUAGAUUCGGGUAAUUGGAGCCAACACGUUCAUCAAAGCAGUUGAGGAUUCUCCCAUGCAGAAUUCAAGUGCGAGCUUCUUGUUGAGAAAUCGCAUUAUCACGAUUUGGUGGUGAUCUUCGUUGUGCAACUUUCAAGUUCCCAGAAUUUUUAAUCCUCUAUAUUAAGCAAUCAGCAGGAUAUAAAACUGCAAUACUCAUCGAAUUAUAAUAUACGUACAUGCUAUGAAUCAAGAAGAAACAGGAAAGCCUAAAGAAUGUCAAUUCCUUUCUCUUGAUAGCUUUUCUACGUUCGUCGGAAUAUUCAAAUUUGUGCCCUCUGGAUGUGGAAAAGGCGGGCAAGUUAUUUAUACAGAAUCUUAUUGAGAGCAAAAUUAAUAGUUCUUCUAUCCUCCAUUUGCUACUUUAAAAAAUUAUGAUCUUUGGAGUUUCUGUAUAGUUGAAAAGAAUAGUAGAUUCUAACUUUAUCUCGGCGUCAGCUUUGAAGAUCAGAAUUUUGAUGUUUUUGCUAAUGAAACAUCGAUUUUUAUUACUGUCUUGUUUCGCUGAUCAUCCCUCAACAUCACAUUCUCAAAGCACACACAGGCAAAGUGGAACCAAACCCUUGCCGAGAUCUAGGCGAUGGCGAGGGUUGACGACAGCCACCGCUUGCCCUCAUGUAGUGGUGCCGCACUAGUGACGAGAGUCAGACAAGUAGGGAUUGGCUGGUCCUUGUGUUUAUUGGUGCGCCACUAGCACAUGAAGGCGACAGCAAGUAACCCUCGUGGUAGCCCAGUGAUGCUUGUCUGUGCUCGACGCCGAAGUAAGGGUGGCGAUGGCACCACCGGAAUUUUUUUUUUCUUUUAGCUAUCUUGGGCACCAGAUUAGCAUUUACUUGGUGCCUUAUCAAUCUCAACUGACGUAAAAUUUUUGGAAAUGCCACGUAUUUUGUUCACUGAAAAUGGAAAUAAUGGGAAGUAAUUGAUAAUUUUUUUUUAACAAAAUUUAGGAAUUGGCCGUACCACUUGAAAGUUUGAAUUAGUUAGUACUCACUCGUUGCUUGAUUGCACUUUUUUUUUAAUGACUUUUACGUCGGUGAUUUAACUAUAUCUGGUAGCAUGUUUGUUUGUUUUAUUUUUAAACUAAUAAAUGGAAACAUUAAUAGAUGGAAUACAAGACUAGUGGUGUACUGAUUUUAUUUGAUAGGCAAAUUAAUUAUGAGCUCUCCCAUUUGAAAACCAGUCUAAUGUUUUUGCCUGAAGCAACUACCAUGUGUCACUUCAUCGUAGCGUUUGUUGUUGAGCGAGCCAGCACAUUUGACCAAAGUAGUCAUUGGUUAGUCUAUCAAUUCGGAACAUCCAACAUGUCUCACUAGUCCUGCAUCCAACAUGUGAUCUCACUAGUCCUUUCAAGUUACGUGCACAAUCUCAGUCAUCAAAUUAAAGAAAAUUGAUGUCAACUGUUGGAUGACAAGGCAUCUUGACCGUGUAAUCAAGAGAAAUUGAUCAUGAGCUGCGCUAUAUCACCAUUGCACUACUUAUGGAAACUGAUCUUCAUCCAUGUUGCAGAAUAUAAAACUUCUUAGUUUUCUUUAUUUUCUUUAUUCACUUCGGUUUGACCAUGAUGAAUUGUUGUCAUGGACUUGCAGUCUUAAUCUUUUUUUUAUAGUAGAUAAUUAAUUCCAAGAAGUUCCUUGAGAAGAUGUGGAAAGGAUCUCUUGAACUCGGUGCUUCUCAAGGUUCCAGCUUCUUCAACUUGGACUAUAGAACUAGAAAAGGAAACCAAUAACAUCUUUUUGUUGUGAAAAAGGGUGUCAGGGAUUCAUAGAGCGUUACGACAUUGGUCAUGUUCACCUCAUAGUUUUCAAAUAUAAAGGAAACUCAUCUUUUUGCCUAAUAUUAUUCAAUGAGAGUGCUUCGGAGAUAUUAUGAUGAUGCAUAAUUGUACAAAAAUGCAAUCACUAAUUUAAACUAAGCUUGCAUUUUGAUGAAAUUGUGAACAUUCCGAAGGCUACUUAAUACGUGCAUUGAUUCGAUCAAACAUCGGCAUGGCGUUGGCAAUUUAUUAAGUGAGAUUCGCCUAGAGUAACAUGUGGUUCCAAAAUUACGGCACCUCAUCAUUGAAUUUUACUUCCCUACAAGGUCAUAUUAGUAUAUCAAAACAUAGCAAUAUGGACUAGGCGGAUAGGGAAACAAAAAAAAUUAAUCAAGAUACAGAGAAGAAGAAAGUGUCGUAACUAGAGGAAUGGCGAGUAAGAAAUUUUCAGAUAUGGAUCAAGUUAGGCCCAGUAGCAAACCAGGGCGCAUGUCGGCAAAGAACAAGGGCAUAUCUCGAUCACGGGCUAGGCCCAGUCCAGGUCACGAAUCAGGCUCUGUUUAGUUCGGCUCUAUUCAGUGAUCGUCAUGAUUUGAAGGAAGUUCUUGGACUCUAUGCGCGAAAAGCUCAUCAAUAAGAGACAAGUGUUCAAUCUAACAAGAAUGCAAGGACACUGGUUAGACUUUAAAUUAACGAUUUAAAGGAAGUUCUCAAUCUAAAAAAAAGUCCUUUAGUCUUAAAUGUGCAAGAAUGCAUUUCAAGAAUGAGGACGUGAGACUAUUCAGAUUGGAAAUUUUUGUUUUGUCAUAACAUUUUUUUUUGAAAUUAGUCAUAAUCUUUUUAAAUAGUCAUAUUAUAUACAGUUUUACAAGUCAUUUGACAUUCUAAUCUUACAACUUUGAUCUGCAGAAAAAUUAAACAAUUACAAAUUUUCCUCAUGAUCUGAGUUUUUUUUUUUUUUCACUUAAAGGGAUGAUUUGAAGGGCUUUUUGUCAACACGUGUGAAAAUUCGAAAGAUAAUACAUGAAAAUGCAAGACUUAAUUUUAACUAAUGGUCAAUAUUAAUUAGUUCUAAUUCUUUAAGUUAGCUCAAGUCUAAUAUGUCAAUAGGUAGCACAUUAUCAAAAUUUGCUAUCAAUAUACAUAUAUAACAUGGCCGUUUUACAUUUAAUGGAGCGUUUUACUUAUUUCUAAUUUAGAAAUUUAUAUUGCUCUGAAAUUUAGAGUGAAUAAACAUAGAAGUUUCCAAUCGAUUAUGGCAUUGGAAGAAGAACAUCAAACAUGUCUAAUGUACGCCAUGAACGAAGUCUCUAUGGGCGCAUUUGAUAACGUUUCUGUUCAAAAGUUGUUCCAGGGAACAGAAAUAGAAAAAACUAUUUCUACUCCUGGAAACAAUUUUUGAAGAGAAGAAGGCAUUUAGUAAAUUUGUUCUGGGAAUAAAAAAUGAACAGAAACACGAUUGGUAAAUUUGUUUUUUUUUUUGUUUCUUUUAAUUUUUUAAUAUUUAAAAAAAAAUCUUUUUUUUAUUUCUUUUCUUUUUUUCUUCUUUUGGCCGGUCGCCCAGCCUUGCCCCUUGCCGGCGAGGCAAGGCUGAGCCUCGCCAGGGGCCAGUGACGCUAGGCCUCGCCGGGGGCCGGCGACGCUCUGAUGAGGUCGCCGGACCUCGACAGCGUCGCUGGCCCUCGACGGCCAGUCGCCGGCCAUGGCCGAGGCUGGCGACUAGCCAAAGAAAAAAGAAAAAGAAAAGAAGAAAAAAAAGAGAAGAAAAAGAGAGGAGAGAGAAAAUUUUGUUCUUAAAAAUUGUUCCAAAAACAAGAAACAUGUUUUUCUUGUUUCUCAUUUAUGUUCCAAAUGUGUUUCUAAGAACAAAAAAAUAGAUUUGAAAUAAAAACGCAAACAAACGCAUUUCUGUUCUUUUUUUGUUCCCUGGAACAAAAAAAAUAGGAUUUUUGUUCAUAAACAGAAAAAAAAAAUGUUAACAAACAGGGCCUAUAUGGCAAUUACUAGCACAGCGGUAGAUCAAAAAGCAUGGGUACGUCAUAAAGCAAAAAUGUGAAUGCUCAGAUUUGGAUUUGAUGCUUGCUCCUUACGCAACUCAAAGCAAAAGGCAGAAAAAGGAAAAAGUAAAGUGUCUUAACAUUCAAAGACCUUUAUCUAUAUCUUCACUUUCCAUGAUAUCAUUAUUAAAGUUAUUAUUUCCAAAGAAGCACCAUGCACUAAUCACUAAAAAUCCCAUCAUUAAAGAUGCAAUUAUUUGAAUUAACAUUUGAUAGUGGGGUGUCCCAUCUCCCUCUCAAGUCCACAUUUACUAAAGAUGCUUUAUGAAAACACUAAAAAGAUGAUAGCAUUGAUUAUCCUGAUCCCAUUUCUCUCUUGAUCCACCUUUAAUAAAUAUGCUUUACAAACUUGAUCCACCUUUAAUAAAGAUGCUUUACAAAAAAGCUAAAAAGUUGAAAGCCUUGAUUAUCUUCAUCCCACCACUCUCUUGAGUCCGCCUUUAAUAAACAUGCUUUAUAAAAAAAAAAAGCUUAAUAGACGGAAGUGUUGAAUAUUUUGAUAACUUAAAGAAAGAAACGGUAAAGCGCCUUUAACAUUCACAAAUGUUAGUCGAUACUUCCUUUUUCAUGACAUCCUUAUUAAAGUUAUUAUUUCCAAGAAAGCAGCCAUGCAUUAUCACUAGCAUCCCGUAAUUAAAGGUGCAAUGAUUUGAAUAGACAUUAGAUAGUGAGGGUGUCCCAUCUCCCUCUCGAGUUCACCUUUAAUAAAGUUGCUUUAUAAAAAAGCUGAAAAGACCAAGCGUUGAUCAUUUGGAAAUGGCUUAGCACAAGUGACACAACACACAAGAGAUGUUUGCUACAAUGUGGAAAUAAAGCAAUAGAUUAAUGAUAAGCCAAGUUGGUCACUGUUGAGAAAAAAUGGGCAUCCGUUGGCAAUUUUCAUUUUUACCAUUGAAAUCACUUCUGUUUUGUUCCAUGCCCCCUUUGUGGAGAGUUUGUUUAGGCGUAUUUGUGUAAUAGUCUUGUUUUAGACGGGUCGUGUUACUAACUUAGUGGUGGGGUUAUUGGGGCUUACUUCUAUUCGCUGCUAUAUAUACCAUUGACCCUUUUGUUUAAGUCGAACUUUAGAGCUAAAGAUUUAGUGAUUUGGGGCUUUAGCCGCUCGAUCAAGCACGAAGCUGUUUAUCUAAGAACAAACAGCAUUGUUUCAUGUUAUUUUAGUCCACAUUACACCAUCUUCCUUACACUAAGGACAAUCGAACAUGAUUGGACUAAUGCGUUAGAUAAAUUAGGCAAAACUUGACCGAGAACACUUGAUUAUACUUUUCCUCAAAGAGUUAAUUCUGUGCAAUAUGUUCAAUAAUGACUGUAAUUUUCUAGCAAUACUAUAACACUAGAACCCUAAACUUUGAUGAGAAUAGAAGAUUCUUGUGUGUCAUGUAAAUCAUGAUGGUAUUUGCCGAGUAAAUUUGCACUUGUCAAUUUUGAUUGUCUGAUGUUAUCCACUGCCUUCAUCAUGAAAUUAUAUUUACACGUUAAAAACCUACGCUAUUAAUUAACUAGAUAGAGUGGUAUUUGGGACAUAUUUGGGUUUAAGGCAUAUCAUUUUAGUCUUAAGUGAGAAUCACGUCGUACAAAGAACGAGAUCAUUUGGGCUCAUGAGGACUAGGUUUAUGCAAUUUCAAAACCAUUUUGUUUUUUUGAAAUUUGGCUCGAUGGCAACAAGGAACAUUCUUCCCUGAUGACUAAUGGAUUUUCCUAAACCCAUGGUUAUGGUCAAGGUCAAGCCAAUCUUUUCUAUUCUUCUUAUAUUUACAAUUGUUUGAGCCGAAAUAGCUCAUAUUUUUCGAGUACUCUUAUUUUUGAAGUCGUAACAUCUUCUCGAUCUAGAGUUUAGAGUAAGCUUGUGUCUAGUCAGGCAACAAACAAGAUCAAAGCUUUUAAUAUUUUUACACAUAUAGUUUGAAUAUUAUCAAGAAAGAGUAGUACCACAACUAUAAGAAUUAAUUCAUAAAAUUGAUCUAUAAAAGUAACGUGAAUUAGUUGGUCAGACUAUCACAUCAUUUUGUCAAUCAUUUCCAUACGUAUUGCCCUUAGUUGGAUUCAAUUAACCAAUGGAUUUGAAUCAAAGCGUCGGUUUACUCCAUAGUUGGAUUCAAUUAACCAAUGGAUUUGAAUCAGAGCGUCGGUUUAUUCCAAAGUGGUGAUGCAGCUAUAUGAUAUGAUGAGAUUUGUGGAAAUGUCCUAAGCUUAACUCAUUAGUGGCAUGUCUUCUAAUAGAAAAGCUUGCCUCAUAAUUUUAGUUUGUUUUUGAGUUUUCACUUUGUUUACUUUAUCCUUGAUACGUCUGGCUAUGACUUGAGAUUAUAUUAUGUACCCUAUGUCUAAUUUAAAAGCACAAUUUUUGAUAGGUUAAGAUUUAUUUCAUUCAGAUUUUACAGCAUAUUAUACAAUCAAAGGUUGCUGAUUAUAAUUCUUCAAAUUAGCAAAUACUGCGAAGUGCCGCGAAUAUACAUCUUAUGUGUUCUCUCAUUUUGUUUGCUUAUAUUGUGGUCUUUCAUAUUCAUACAUUCCUUGUUCAAAUAUGUAUGCGAGCAGAUAAUUCCCUUUGGAUUAAUCAAAUUGCAACUCUUACACAUUCUAAUGGAUCAUGCACAAUGAAGCUGAGAAUCCAUCACGUCUUAUCAAAAAGAUGAGGACUAAAUUACAUUUACUAGUUGUCUGCCUAGUUGGAAUUGCAAUCACAAGAGCAUGGUGGUGUCAUUUGUAGUUACAAGCCAUGUUUUGCUCACAUUGCGAUCUUUUAACUAGUGUUUAUUUAGAUCACAUGUUUUACAAAUGGGAGGUACUUGGAAAUAUGAGUUCCAGUGAAUGAUAUGAUGUUAGUAUUCAAAACUCUUAGUCUAUACUUUUGUUUUUUAUGAAAUCCUUAUUAAAAGUUAUUAUCUCUAAGAAAGUAGUCAUACAUUAUUACCACAAUCCCAUUCAAACAUGCACGCAAAAGUUGGGUUCUUAUGUACUCUUCUUGUCUGAUAGAGCUCUAUUGUUGGUAAAAAAAAAGCUAUGACGAUGCUCGGGCUUGCCUGAGUUCGUCCACUCUUAAAAGGGUAAAUGAUAAGGGAGUGAUAAAACCGAUCUCAUAAGAUACAAUAAUUUGACUAGACAUUAUAUAGUGGGAAGUCCUUCCUUCAUCUUGAGUCCACCUUUAAUAAAGGUGCUUUCAAAAAAAGCAAUAAAGACAAAAGCCUUGAUAAUUUGAAAAAGGCUUAGCAUUUAACAAAGAAUCAGACAGUAGAGAUUUUGGCCACAAUGUGGAAAUAAAUCAAUAGAUAAAUGAUAAGCCAAGUUGCUCAUAAUGGGAUCUUGAUAAUUUUUUUUUCCUUAAGUAGGAACAUGAUUUGACAAUAACACUCAGAACUCUUAGUCCAUACCUUCAUUUUCUAUGACAUCCUUAUUAAAGUUAUUAAUUUCCAAAAAAAGUAGCAAUGCAUUAUUAUCCAAUCCCAUAAUUGAACCAUUCAUGUAAAAAUGGGGUCUACAUGUAUUCUUUUGCUAAUCAUUGGAAAAAAGCUAUGCGUGUGGGUCAGGUCCAAAAGAUGCAAUAAUUGAACUAGAUAUCAGAUAUUAGGGUGUCCCUACUCCCCAUCGAGUCCACAUUUGCUUGUUUAAAUAUGCAUGCGGGAAGACAAUUCUCUUUGCAUUUUUCAUGGGAUCUAUUAAGGAAAAUAAUCAAAUUGCAACUCUUAUGCAUUCAGACAGAUCAUGCACGGUGAAGCCGAAGAUCCAUCACAUCUUCUCAAAAAGAUGAGGACUAAAUUGCAUUUACCUUUUUCUCUAUCAAGUAUGAACUCUAAUCGCAAGAGUUUGGUAGGGUAACUUAUAGUUUCGUAUGCCAUGUUUUUUUCUCGAUAGUGUUUAAUUAAAUUGCAUCUUUUAUAAAUGGGAAGUACUUAAAACUAUGAGUCUCUAUUAACAUAAGCAUUACAUGGCAAAUGAUUUCAUGAUAGCACUCAGUACUCUUAUUCUAUACUUUCUUUUUCUAUGACAUCAUGUUCCAAGUCCAACAAGGCAUCAAUGCCUUAUCAACCCAAUCCCAUGAUUGAACCGUGCAUACAAAAGUGGGGUCUUUAUGUGCUCUUUUGUCUGAUAGAAUUCUGUCGUUGGAAAAUAGCUUGCGGGCUCAAAGUUUCGGGCAUGAUCCUAGUCAUCAAAUAAAAGAAAAUGGAUGUCAACUGUUGGAUUUGGCAUGACCAUUUUGUCCUACCAAACCCCACUGUCCCAUGUCUCAUGCCAGUAGUAAGCCGUGCUACAUCACCAUUGCACCAGUCAUUGUGUAAACCGUAGUUUGAAUUCUCUAGCUUACACCCCUGUGAAAUGAAGCGACUAUCACUACAAUUCAAUGCGCAGCGCACCGCUCAUGGACAGAUCUUGCAGCCAUGCUGUAGAAUUUAAAACUUCCUAGUUUUCUUCCUUUUCUUUCUACACUUCGGUUUACUAUGAUGAGUUGUUGUAUAAUAAAGAACUAAUCCCAAAACGUUUCUUGAGAAGCUGUGGAAAGGAUCUCCCCUCGAUGCUUCGUAAGGCUUUGGCUAGUUCAACCUAGACUAUAGAACUAGAAAAGCAAAACAAUAACAUCUUUUCUUUGUGGAAAGGGUGUCAAGGAUUAACGGAGAUUACUCUAUUGGUCAUGUUCACCCCAUUUUUCCCAAAUAUAAAGGAAACUUCUUUUCAUCUAACAUUAUUCAACGAGAGCGCUUUAGAGAUGUCAUGACACAUACAAUUGUAGGACAAUGCAAUCAUUAAUUUAAACUAAGCGUGCGGUCCAUUUGAGCCUCAUCAAGAGAGUCGUUAGUUUUAGCUUAAUAAUUGGUGGCCCUUUGCUUAAUUAAUCAUUGCCUCGAUAGUGGCGUUGUGGGAAAGUAAUGUUUCUCAAUGGUAAAAGCCAACUAUAUUCUCAAUUAAUCUCUCUAUCUGUCUCAGCUGCCCUAAUUAAAGCAAUCUUACGUGUACUUAUACGUUUGCGUAACAGCAGCGGAGAAAGGACGCAGAGAUAGACUUCGUUGAUGGUGAAUGGUCAAGUAAAGGAACAAUAAAAUGCAGAAAACCAUUCACUUUUAGAAGGAGGACUCGUCGCAUUAAAGGCCAUCUCUGCUCCCAUAACUAUCCUCGAUUACACCAUCCCUCCCUCUCUCACAACUACCCUAAUGAAAGCAAUCUUUCGUAUAUGUAGAUGGUUGUCCAUGAGCUAUGGAAGAAAGGACGUGCAGGCUUGGACAUUAGUGACGGUGACUGAUCAGGAAACAGUAAAUUGCCAACAAAAAAAAUCAUCCAUUUCCACAUAUAUUCUUUUUAUGUUUCAUCUAUUUUUAGUUUUUUCACUGGAUUGUUUAUAAGACUAUUACCAUUCUUGUCUUGAUGGAGGCAACCGACAUAUAUAAUACUCGAAUUGCAACUCUAAGUCAUUCAUACAUCAUGCACGAUGAAACUAAAAUCCAUCACAUCUUAUCAAAAGGAUGAAGACUAAACUACAUUUGUCAUAUUCUCUGCCAAGUCCAAACUAUAGUCAUAAGAGUUUGAUAGUAUCACUUUCAGUUUUAUAAGACUUUUUUUUUCUCGCAUCAUGAUCUUUUAACUAGUGUUUAAUUAAAUUACGUCUUUUACAAAUGACAAACUUGAAAAUAUGGUUCCUAUUAACAGUAAACAUUACAAGGCGGACUAUUUGAUUAUUAAAGUUAUUAUUUAUAAGAAAGUAGCUAUGCAGUAGUACGACAAUCCCAUGAUUGUACUAUGCCUGCAAAAGUGACUCUUUUGUCUGAUAGGGCUCAGUGGUUGGAAAAUAGCUUUGCACGUUCCUUGAACAUCUUAUCGCAACUUUUGUCACUUUGCUUCAGUGACACGGUCAAGCAUCUUUGCCUCGGUCACCGAGCAAUCUCUUUGCCAUUUCUAAGACUUUAAUCACAUGAAUUUUACAUGAUAAUUUUUUUAUAUGCACUAAUUCAUCAUAGACUAGGAUAUUAUUACGCAAAUUAUCCUUAUCAACUUAAUUACAAAGAGAACAUCUCUCAUGACUUUAAUUAGUCAUAACAUUUAGAAAUUAGUCACAAUAUUUUCAAAUAGUCAUCAUGAUAUACAGAUUUAGGUGCAAUUUCACAUUCUAAUCUAAUAUUUAUGGUUGGCAUAAUAAUUAAAGAACUUUAAAUUUAUUUUAUGAACUGAGUUUUUUUUUUUUUCACUUAAUGGGACGCCUAGUGGGGCUUUUUGUUAACUAAUCAAGGAAAGAUAUUAUAUGAAAAAUCAAGGCUUAUUUUCAUCUCAUGUUUAAUAUUAAUUAGUUAUAAGGGUCUAAGCUAGCCCAAAUUUAAUGUGUCAAACAUUAUCAAAAACUUCUAUUCAAUAUAUAAUAUCUACAUUAGCAUAUCAUCAGAUUACCCAUACUUCUACCUCUCUUAAUGGGACAUCACAUAUCCUUACACAAUAAGGGUUAAUUGAAGUGAAGGGAAAGGUUGUUCAUUUGGGUCUCAUCAAUAGAGUUGGAAGUUUUAGCUUAAUAAUUGGCGAGAUCUUUUGCUUAAUUGAUCAUUGCCUUGGGAAGGUGAAGUGGGAAAGCAAUAUUUCUCAGGUAGUAAAAGGAAAGAGGACAAACAAGUGAGGCAUCGGAUCGGUUGUGUACGUUUACGAAUGCUGAGAUGUUUGUCCAAAAGCGGUGGAUGAAAGGACAGAGGUAGACAAUGGUGAUGGUAAGUAAAGGAACAUUAAAAUGCAGAAAACCAUCUCCGUUCCUCCAUCGACUCUCUAUUUCUAUCCCUCUCCCACCACUUACCCUAAUUAAGAAUCGUCCAUUUCCAUAUUAUGAUAAGGACAUUUUUCUUGGACAUUAGUGAUGGUCACUGAAUCGUUUGUCAAUCUAUUAUUGUUCUUAUCUUGAUGGAGUGACGGACAUAUGGCGCCCCUUUUGUAUCUUUAUUUUCGGCCAGUGACGGCUUGGGGGCAGUCUGCUUGCCACUCAACCCUCCAGGUGGAGCUCCAUCCAUGCCCAUCUCCUCUUUCUUCCAUGGAUUUUUGAGUCAUUCUCAAAUUUCUAAAUCGCUGGAUAGCUAGUAUUAAAAAGUCAGUCGUUUCUUAUAAAUUUUUCCAGCAAAAUGUUGCUGUUUUUUUUUUUUUAUGCUCCCUGCCCUUCAAAAAAAAAUUAAAAGUGAAAGAAAAUUAGGGUUAUUAAUUAUCAAAAGCCACAUAACUUUACUUGUCAAUAUUUGUAUAUUUAAAAAAAAAAAUCGAAACUGACUUGUGAUAAAUACAAUGUUUUAAAAUAAAUCUUAAAAUUAAAAUAUUCCAAAGAGACCCAUGCAUUUGAAAGAAAAGGGCGAAACUCCAAUUGUAAUGAGAGACCAUGAAACAAAAGUAGUGGUGACUUAGAAUUGAUUCUCAUAUUAAUAUUGUCUUGUAUAGAGUAGUAGUGCUCAAGAAAGUAAAUUGGUUUAAAAUGUUAAUAAAGAAUGGCAAAAGUUCAAUUUAUUUAGAAGUUUUGAUCUAACAAUUUCAAUUGAUGUUACGUCUAACGUAACAACUAUAAUUGACAUUAUCAUCUAAUAAUUUGCUUAAUUAUAAUGUUAUUUCUAUAUUUUAAAUAUGAUUGUAUUGAUUCGUGCAAGGAGUGGGUUUAAGACUAAUACUUAAUCGGUGUUUGUCCAUUAACGGUGGAGGAAAAGAUGAAAGCAUGGACUAGGACUAGCACAUUAGCGGUGGAAAAGGAUGAAAGGACCAUUUGCGGUGGCGAAGGAUGGAAGGAUGGAUAACUCAUCAAUAUCUAUCCACUAAUGAUGGAGGAAAGAAUGGAGACAUGGACAUUAGUGAUGGUGACUGGUCAGUAAAGGAACAAUAAUGCAGAAAAUCGUACACUGAUAUGCUCAAAAGGAAUUGAUUGGUGUUUAGUUAAGGCCUAACUAAGAUUAAGUUAACGAGCUCCAUAGUCUAUACCGGUCUCUUCUUUUUUCCACCAUGGUUAGGGUCUUUGCUAAAAAAUCAUCCAUUUCUAUAUACAUAGAUUAGUGUUUACAUCUUAAAAUAUUCAUUUCAAGAUCAUAACUUUCAAUUAAAUUAUUUAAAAUGUUUAUUCUGCCUACCCGAAAUCCAACGUGGCAUUAUACUUGGGAUGCACAUUUUAAAAAAGCUAUGACAUCUAAGUAAUCAAAAAAAAAUUAUGACACUUAAGUUAGUGCCGUACAAAAAUUACAACACUUAUAAUGUCUUUUUUCCAAGAUCUUUAGCAGCAAAAUAUGCAAGGAAUCAUCGGAGUUUGAUUGUUAGGUCCACCAUGUCUCAUGUAGCAUGCAACCACUUAGACUAAUUAUCAACCACUCAAGCCCACAUUUGAUAAAGAUGUGGCUGGAUCUACUACUAUCUCGUUCAUUUGUAAUUUGAGGCUUUAGCCACUCAGACCAAGCAACAAUGCCAUUUAUCUAAAUAUAAACAGCAUCGUUUCAUGUGAUUUUCGUUCAAAUCACACCAUCACCUUUACAAGUAGGACAAUCAUCCAUGGCUGACUCAUCACAUAAAUCAAUGUAAACUUUGACCGAGCGAACUUGAUUACACUUUCCUAAAAUAGUUAGGACUUAAUUGAUUGAAUUGAAAGAUUUAUGACUCAAUUAUAUUCUGUAUAAUAUGUCUAAUAUCAAUUGUGCAAUUUUCUGAGCAAUACUAAAACACCAGUACCUCGAACUUUGAUGAAAGUAGAAGAUUCAUGUGUGUGUCUCCAUAUUGAUCAUGACACAAUCUUUAUCUCGUACAUUUAAUAAUUUCUCAAAUAAAUUGAUAGUUUUCUCUUGUCAAUUUUGAUUGUCUAAUUUGUUGUCCUCCCUUUAUCAUGAAACUCUAUUUCCACAUGUCAAAACUCCCCACUGUUAAAAAUAAUUAGAUAAAGCGAUAUAUACAAGAUAUUUGGGUUUCAUUUCUUGUAGCUUGGGUUUCUAGUGAACAUGACGUGAUACAAAGAGGGAGAUCAUUUGCACUCCUGAGGAUUGGGUUCAUGCAAUUAAAAAACUAUUUUGUUUCUUCAAAAUUUGGUUCUAAUGGCAACAACGAACAACCUUCUCCCACGUGUGAUGGAUUUUCUUAAGCCUCGCUUAUAGUCUAGGUCAAGCUGAUCCUUUCUAUUUUUCUUAUUUUUACAAUUGUUCAAGUCGAAAUAGCUCAUUUUUUCAAAUACUCCUAUUUUUGAAAUUGUAAUGUCAUCUCGCUCUAGAGAUUCGAGUAAGCUUAUGUCUGACCACGCACUAAUCUACGAGUUUUUAAUUGUUUGAAUAUUAUCAAGAAAAAAUUAUACUACAGUUAUAAGAAUUAAUUUAUAAAACUAAUUUAUAAAAGUGAUGUGAAUAAGUUGGCCAGCCUAUCACAUUGUCUGGUCAAUCAUUUCCAAACGCAUUUUUCUUAGUAUGAUUCAAUUGGCCAACAAAUUUGAAUUUGAGCGUCCAUUUUUCAAAGUGGUGAUGCGGCCAUCUGAAGUGAAGACGUUCAUGGGAAGAUCCCAAGCAUAAUACAUUAGUGGUAUGUUUUCAAAUUUGAAAGCUUGCCUCUAAUUUUAGUUUGUUGUUAGCUUUAGUUUUAACUUCGUUUGUUGUAUCCCUUAUACCUACGGAUAAGACUUGAUAUUAUAUUAUGUACGCAAUGUAUAGUCUAAAAGUACAAACUUUGACAGGUUAAGAUAAAUGAUUUUUGGAUGAUGCAACCUAUCGCAUCAUUAAGACUAAGAUUAUAACUCCUGAAUUUAGCAAAUACUAUCAAGUGUCGUGAAUAUACAUAUUAUUAUGUUUUCUCAUUCUAUAUGCUUAUAUUAUGGUCUUUCAUGUUGAUACAUUGCUUGUGCAAAUAUGCAUUGUGGGAAGACAAUUCUCUUUGCAUUCUUGAAGGGAUACAUUGAGGGAAAUAAUAGAAUCACAAAACUUAGGUAUUCAACCAAAUCGUGCAUGGUGAAACCGAGGAUCCAUCACAUCUUGUCCAAAAGACAAGGACUACAUUACAUUUACCUUUGUUCUCUGCCGAGUUCAAAUUGCAAUUACAAGAGUUUGUUGAUGCCAUUUGUAGUUUUAUAAGCCAUUUUCUUUUUCACAUCCAAUCUUUUAACUAGUGUUUAAUUAAAGGACAUAUUUUACAAAUAGUAGGUACUUAAAAAUAUGAGUUUCUAUUAACGAUAAUAAUUACAUGGUGAAUGAUUUUAUUAUAGAAUUCAGUACUCUUAAUCUAUACUUUCAUUUUCUAUGACAUCCUUAUUCAAGUUGUUAAUUUCUAAGAAGGCAGCCAUGCAUUAUUACCCCAAUCCCAUGAUUGAAUCAUGCAUGCAAAAGUGGGGUCCGCAUGUAUUCUUUCAUCUCAUUGGAAAAAAAAGCUAUGGUUGUGGCUUAGGUCUAGAAGAUGCAAUAAUUUGACUAGACAUUAGAUAUUGGGGUGUCCUCACUCCCUGUCGAGUCCACAUUUGAUAAAGAGGUGGUUGGAGCUAUUACUACUUUGUCCAUUGAUAAUUUGGUGCUUUAGCCACUUGACCAAACAAUAAUAAGGUUUAUCUAAGAUCAAACAACAUUGUUUCAUGUAAUUUUAGUUCAUGUCACACCAUCACCCUUACAUAUAGGAUAAUCGGUCAUGAUUAGACUGACAUGUCAAAUAAAUGAGAAAAAACUGGCCGAGAUAAUUUGAUUACACUAUUCCUCAAAGAGUUAAGACUAAAUUAAAUUAAUUAAAAGGUUUAGAAUUCGAUUACAUUAUGUAUAAUAUUUUUAAUACCGAUUGUGCAAUUUUCCCAGUAACACUAAAACACCAAUACCUCGAACUUUGAUGAAAAUAGAAGAUUCUUGGGUAUGUCUCCAUGUUGAUCAUGGCACAGUCUUAACCUUGUAGAUUUCAUAAUUUCUCAAACAAAUUGAUAAUUUACUUUUGUCAAUUUUGACGGUCUAAUUUGAUGUCUUCCCUUCAUUGAGAAACUCUAUUUCCAUAUGUUAAAAACUCCGCGCUAUUAAAGUAACUAGAUAGAGUGAUGCUUCAAAGGUAUUUGGGUUUCUACGUUAUCCAAGUGAAAAUCAAGUAAUACAAAGAGUGAGAUCAUAUGAGCUCAUGAGGAUAGGGUUCGUGCAAUUGAAAAACCAUUUUGCUUAUGCAAAAUUUGGCUUUGAUGGCAAUAAGGAACAUCCUUCACUCAUCCGUCAAGGUCAAAAUGAUAUUUUCUAUUUUUCUUAUUUUCACAAUUGUUUAAGUCGAAAUUGCUCAUCUUUUCUAUAUUAUAUAAUUUUUCCCAUUCCCUGUGCUUAUAUUAUGGGCUUUCAUAUUCAAACGUUGCUUGUUCAUAUAUGCAUGCAGGCAUACAAUUCUUGUUGCAUUUUUCAAGGGAUAUAUUGAGGGAAAUAAAUGAAUCGCAACUCUUGGGCAUUCAAACAUAUUGAGCAUGGUAAAGUUGAAAAUCCAUUACAUUUUGUCAAAAAGAUGAGGACUAAAUUGCAUUUACCUUAUUCUCUACCAAGUCCCAACUACAAUUACGAGAGUUUGGUAAUGUCACUUGUAGUUUUAUAAGCCAUGUUUUUUCUCAUAUUGCCAUCUUUUAACUAAUGUUUAAUUAAAUGGCAUCUCUUACAAAUGGUGGGUACUUAAAAAAACGAGUCCCUAUUAACGAUAAGCAUUACACAGUGAAUGAUUUGAUGAUAGCAUUUAGUUCUCUUACUGUAUACUUUCCUUUCUAUGACAUCAUUAUUAAAGUUAUUAUUUCCAAGAAGGUCAUGAGUGAACCAUGCAUGCAAAAGUGAAGUCUAUAGUUUCUAUUAAGGAUAAGUAUUACAAGGUGAAUGAUUUGAUGAUAGUAUUCGGUUUUCCUACUCUGUACUAUCCUUUUCUAUGACAUCAUUAUUAAAGUUAUUGUUUCCAAGAAGGCCAUGAUUGAACCAUGCAUGCAAAAGUGGGGUCUAUAUUUACUCUUUUGUCUGAUAGAGUUGUAUCAUUGGAAAGUAGCUUUGCGCGUUGCUCAGGCCAGAAGAAGCAAUAAUUUAACUAGACAUUAAAUAGUGGGAUGUCCCAUCUCUCUCUCGUCCAAGAUGCUUUUUGGAAAAAGCUAAAUAGAAGAAACCGGAGCAUCAAACACAAGAUUUUGGCUACAAUGUGGAAAUAAAUUAAUAGAUUAAUGAUAAGCCAAGAUGGUUAUAAUGGGAUCUUCGGCAGCAAAAAUUGCGGAGGAAUCAUGAAAGUUUGAUUGUUAGGUCCAAGCACGCCUCAUGCAGCAAGCAACCACUCAGACUUUAUCGACAACACUCAGAUCUUAUCGACUUUUUCCAGUAAAAAGCUACCAUAUUUUGACAGCACCCUCCCUUCUUCGUCUCUCUCUGUUCUUGCCCUGUUUCACCCUUUCUUCUUCUCAGAACAGCCAUUCUUCCUCCUCCUUCCUCCUAUCAUCCCAAUGGCACGGGUAGACAUACAACAUGGCCACAUUUCACACUAGACAAUCUACAUCCCAUGUAUAUGGUCCACAUCAUCAUCAACUCAUUUUGCAUAUUUGACAAAAAGGAUUUGAAUAAUUAUAUAUAUAAUGUACGUAAGCAGUUGACAAAAAAAAUAAAAAAUAAGAGUUCAAAGACCUACUGACAAUGUUCGCAAAAAAUUCAAUUACUAUGAUGCCUAAAUCCCUUAUUAAUUAUCAAAUCCCGCGCCAAAACUAGUUCAAGCCAUCAUUUUUUUUUUUUGUGGGAAAAUGCAGUGAAUGAAAACCGUAUCUUUUAUUGGUCUUUGCUAAAAAAUGCAUCACGGCUCACAAGAUAUUACCGAGUAUCAUUUGAGGUACACACGUUUUGGUGAUGAAGUGUCUAGAACAGCUUUAUUUCACAGGUUGCCUUGUUGAUUCGCGCAUGGUGCCUAGAGUCUGCAAACGAGUUCUACUUUGUGGGACAAUGCCAACACGUCCCUUUGAGCUCCGUUGAUGUACUGUCAAGUUCCUAUCAAUCUUCACCGAAGAAGAUGCGUUUGUUUGAGACUCCUCAAAAGGUGCGACCAUCCGAGUGGAUCCAGUACAUUGAAAAGAUCAAUAAUAUGAUUCUAGCGGAUCCAUCAGGACAAACUAUUGAAGAGUGGGAAAUGGAACAGCUCAUCAGGAAAUUUGAAAGAGAAAAUGACGAAAAUUUUGACAGCUCAAUGAAUACUUCGAGUGAAUAGAAACACCUAUGUGUACCAUGUAAGGCAUCUUGUCUUACACGAUGCCUCACAGGCCUGUAUUAUUGAGUUCACUAUGCAUUAUUGGUGUGGGACUCGCUCUCUCUUUCUCAGAAGAAAAAAUCAAUGACAAUUGUUGAUUGAUGUUGCCAUUUGAGAAUAAUAGGAAAAAUUACAUUAAACUCAUAUCAAUAAGUAACUUUUAAAGAGCUACAACAAAGGGACAUUAACAAAAUUGCAACCAUAUCGUCAAAUGGCAAUUUUAUGAUACUUAUUUCACAUUCUAAUCUAAUAAUUAUGGUUGGCAUAAAAAUUAAGCAAUUUCAAUUUUAUUUUGUGAACUGAGUUUCUUUUCACUUAAAUGGAUGCCUAGAGAAGGGCUUUCUGUCAACAAAUCUGCAAAAAAUAAUACAUGAAAAGUCAAGACUUAUUUCUAAAUAAUGGUUAAUAUUAGUUAGAUAUAAGGAUCUAGGCUGGCCCAAGUCUAAUGUGUUAAUAAGGAGAACAUCAUAAAUAAAAAAAACUGCUAUUUGAUGAACAAUCGCUACAAUGGCAAAUCAUUGAGAUCACUCAUCUCUUGAAUUCUUAAUAUCCUCACGUAACAACGAUUAAUUGAAGUGGAGGGAAAGCAUGCUCAUUUGGGCCUCAUCAAGAGAUUCGUCAGUUUUAGCUUAAUAAGCAGCGACUCUUUUGCAUAAUUGAUCGUUGUCUCGGAAGGGGUGAAGUAGGAAAGCAAUGUUUCUUGACAGUAAAAGGAAAGAGGCCAGGCAAGUGAGGGCAUCCGUUCAGUUCAUGCAUUUACAAAUACUUGGACGUUUGUCCAAUAGUGGUGGACGAAAGGACACGGAGGUAGACAUGAGUGACGGUGACUGGUCGAGUAAAGGAAGUAAAAUGCAGAAAGCCAUCUCAGCUCCUGCAAGCAACUACCCUCAAUUACUCUCCCUCUCUCUCCCUCUUCCACUACUUUUACCCUAAUUAAAGCGAUCUCCCAUAUAUUUAGAUGGUUGUCCAUAAGUGGUGGAAAAAGGAUGUGGAGAGUUGGACAUUAGUGACGGUAACUGACCAAGGAGCUGUAAAAUGCAAGAAAAAAAAAUCUAUUUCCAUAUAUAUGCUUUUUAUCAGUCUUUUAUCAUUCUUGUCUUGACGAGCGACCGACAUACAGCGGCCUUUUUUGUAUUUUUAUUUUUGGGCAGUGAUGAUGUGGGAGCAGUCUGCUUACCACUCAACUUCCCUAAUGGAGCUCCAUCCAUACCCUAUCUCCUCUUUCUUCUGGGGAUUUUUGAGUCAUUCUUAAAUUUCUAAAUCGCUGGAUAGCUAGUAUUAAACUCAGUCGUUUAUUACAAACUUUUCCAGUAAACUGAACCUUUGUGCUAAGUACAAUAUUUGGAAAAAUGAGUAUUAAAAGUAAAAUAGUCCAAAUAGACCCAAGCAUUUGAAAGAAAAUGGGAAAACUCCAAUCGAAAUGCGAGACACGAAAACAGUGUCAGUGGCUGCUCAUAAUUAUUUCCCAUAUUAAUUUUGUCUAGUAAAGAGUAGCAAUACUCAAGAAAGUAAACUGUUUUAAAAUGUUAAUAAAGAAUGGCAAAAUUUUAAUUUAUUUGAAGUUUUGAUCUAAUAAUUCCAAUUGAAAUUACAUCUAAUGUAAAUUGAAUUGUAAUCUAACAAUUUGCUUAUUUAUAAUGUUACUUCUAUAUUUUAUAUAUGAUUUCAUUGGUUCGCGCAAGGAGUGGGUUUAAGACUAGUACUUAGUCAAUGUUUGUCUAUUAAAGGUGGAGUAAAGAUGAGGAAACUUGCGCAUUGGGGAUGAUGGCUGGUCAAGUAAAGAGACAAGAAAACCAUUUCUAUUAUCAUGUUCAACUUUUAAUUAAAAAGUACUGGGAGACACCAAAAGGAGAUCUACCCCACGAUAGAACUAAUAAUUUAUUCGUUGAUUUUGCUAGACUCACAAUGGGUUGAAAAUCACUCAACGCAAAUCCAUAGGGACUUGCAUGGAAUUUGUUAUGCUUUUUAAUAUCAUUUCAAGUUAGGAUCUAAGCAUGUCCUUAAACUGCUUCUGUUCUCGAAGUCAACCCCAACAGUAAAAUGGGGUAAUGAUAACCGCGGGGGUCCGGACUACCCUUAAUUCGCCUUGAUUCCCGUGAAGCCAUUCUCCUAGCAUACUAGGCUUGGUUCAGGAAAGUGAUAGGCAGCUGGUCCAGACCGGCAACUGGCUUAAAAAUUUUGAGUGUCUUAUAUACACCUGGUCGCACUAAAAUUGAGUUGAAAAUGAGUUUCUUAUGCAUAUCGCCACGUCUAGAUGGAACUACAAGUCACAUGGGUUUUGAUCCGUCCUCUUCCUUCUGUUCUCUUUAUUAAUUACAUUUGCUAUACGGAAGAAUGACAAACCUAUAUAAGGUACAUAUUAUGCAUGAGUGAUGAUUUAAGUCCAAUCAUUUUAAUAAUUUCGUUUUAAUUGAAGGCGUUAUAUACAUUUCAGAUUCUAAUAAUCACUCCGUGUUGAUUCACAAAAGGGCCCACAUACAAAUAUUGAUAAAAAUAUUAAUAUUAUAAAAAAGAUUAAAGAUGCUACUUAUCACGUGCAUGGGUGAUCUUGGCCUAUCCUUAUCACGGGGGUGUGCCUUUCUUUCUAUUUGUUGCCCUUUCUUAAUUACAUUUUGUUAUAUCAAUGUGACGGAGUGUUUAAAGUAUUCAUAUAAUUCAAAUCAAAUCAUUUUGUUAUUUUAGCAGUCGGUAAUCAUUUGUAUUUUAUUUUUGUAAGCCUCUUUGAUGAGCGUGCAACUUAUAUAAUGCAAAGAAAACAAUUUACUCCACAGUUAUGACGCGACGGACAACUGUCUUAAUUAAGGAAUUGAUUGGUUUUUAAUUAAGUCCUCAACUAAGAUUAUAUUAAUAAGAUCUAUGGUUUGUUGUCCACAGGAGUAGUAGACCAUGCACGAGCCUUGCGAGUUGGGUUUUCCUUCCAAGUAAAAUAUUAAUUCAUGAUACGAUCCGUUAUCUCUUAUUAUAUCGAGUGACGGUUGUUGUAACUUCUCAUCUCUCUUGAAAAAUCAAUUUUAUAAAUGAAUCGUAUGUCUUGAGAUCAUUAAUCAAGUCAGAAAUUAUACUAAAUAUUUGGCAAAACAAAAUCACAUAUCAUAAUUAAACAACUAUCUUGUGAUUAUGAUAAAAUAUUUGUUUUAACAUUUAUGGUAAAACGAAUUAAAUAAAUGUACUAUCAAUAAUCUAGGAUUUACACAUUGAAUGAUACAUUCCCAUCUACUUGUUCGUAUAGUUGCCAGUGUAGAAAGUUAAGUUUAUGUGAUUAUAUCCACUGCCUAAUUUCUCCCCAUGAAAGCACAAUGUCAUAGACUCAUCAUGCAUUGCGUGCUAUUUAACUUAUACUGCUAUAAUGACUAAAAUGUUUAGUAUUGCGCAACAACUAAUUUCAUUUAUGUAUCUAUCUAGGCUAAACUCUUGUCAUGAAAGGUUAUAAAACCGUCAUGCGGUGCAUGCUGUGGUGCUACUUGACUUUACACCAUUGGUAGGGUGUCAUUGACAAUUAUACAUUCAGUCAUAUUUACAAAUGAUAGAUGCAUAUCCAUGUAAUAUAACCCUCUAAUUUUUUUUUUCGUUCUAUAGACUUUUACUAAUAAUAGAUAAUUUUUUAUCCUAUUGAUUUUCUAUCCAUUGUUUUUUUUUAGUUUUUAAUAUUUAUUUAUUUGCAAAGCAUGUGCCAUAAUUUUUUUUUUAUGAUGAUAGAUAAUUCUUUGAAUUCUCUAAUGUCAUUUAUUUGUCAAAUAAAGAUUAUCAUGUAGUAAAAGAUUUCUAAUCAACUAGGUAUUACAAUGAGUCAGUCAAGGUGUUAUAAACAUUUCAAUUUCUAAUCGUCACCCUCUUUUUGAGUCAAACCAGCGGUUGCGUACAAAUAUCGAUGAAAAUAUUGAUUGCAUGAAAAAAUAUUAAAUAUGCUAUUUAUCACAAUCAUGUAUUAGUUACAUAUAAAAAAAUCACGAAUUUUCUUCAAGCACUCAUGAAUUUCCAAGGGUCCCCACGCGCUUUUGCCUUGGUAUGUUGGCACCGACAGCACCGUGUGAACGUUCUCCCAAUUGUCAGCUCUUUUUUGGAAUUUUAACCCUGAGGAAAGGAAAUCACGGUAAGUGACAGUGUCACGUGGGUGGGCCCGUCCUUGUCCAUUUAUUCUCAUUAUUAAUUACAUUUUAUUAUAUUGGUGCUGACACACUGUGUAAAGUACAUAUUCCGAGGGCGAAGGUUUAAGUCGAAUCACUUGUUUACUGCUUUAACCACCGCCAAUCAUCUCUACAAUUCACUGCUAUUCCACGCUCCCCUUCCUUCAUACUUCCUUGCGCUCAAGUCUUUUCGCCUGGUUCGUUUCUCGCUCUGUUUCGCUCUUUCUUCUCCUCGGCUCAACCAUUCUUCCUCCUCCUCUCCUUCUUCAGUAUCUGUUGCUCUCUAUUUCAUCACUCUCUCUCUCUCUCUCUCUCUAUCUAUCUCUGUUUUUUCGCUCUUUGUUUCUCAGGAAAAGAAGCAAAGAGAAAUGUCGGCCGACUCUGCCGUUGCUAUUGCAUGGGAUCUCUUGAAGGGGGCAGUUACUGCGAUCAAGCGUCCAAUAAGAUACGUGAUGUCCUCCAAGAGCUUCGCCGACAGUCUUCAGGAGGAAGUCCAGAAUCUGCAGAACGAGGUUCAGAGGGUCAACGUUCUCGUGGAACGGGCCAGAAACAAUGUUCGGAAGUUCCAUGGUGUCUUCACGAUGUGGGAGAAAAAAUCUGGCGAUGCUUUGAAGGAGGUGGGAGACCUGUUGGGCAACUUCGAAAAUGCGACCAAGACUUGCUGCUACGGGACUCUUCCCGACCCCAAAUGUCGCUAUCAGUUCAGCAGGAAGGCCGAGGGCAAGAUCAAGGUCAUUCGGGAACUGGCUCAAAAAUUCAGCGGAUUCAAAGAAUUGGACGACAUCUCCUUCAGCGAUCCUACUCCGGGAAAUGUCCCUGCUACGAAUUCGGCCAACAGAGAAUGCAAAGAUGUUGUCCAGUCGACCACUACAACGGCCUCUGCUUUUUCUGCCUCGACGUCGUUUGUGCUUGGGGACGAUGGCGUUUUCGAGUCCAGAGCUACGAUGAUACAGAACAUCAUGGACGCUCUUGCCAAUAACAUCAAUAGUGUGGUCGGGGUCUACGGGAUGGGUGGGGUCGGCAAGUCCACCCUUUUGGUGGAUGUCGAAAGGAUAAUAAAGAAAAAGAAGUCGUUUGGUCUGGUCGCUAAGGCUGACGUGUCGGAAAAUCCAGACAUCAAGACAAUUCAAGGAGAGAUUGCGGACGCCUUGGGCCUUACUGAAAUAAAGAACAAAGAGACUACCAACGGGCGAGCGGAACUUCUACACGAGAGGUUGAAAGACGAGGAGAAGAAGAACAAUAAGGUGCUCAUAAUACUGGACAACCUGUGGAAGGGGCUCGAGUUGAAAUCAGUCGGCAUUCCUUGCGGACGUGACAAUAAAGUCAUAGGAUGCAAGUUACUGUUGACAUCGAGAUUUCGAAAUGUUUUACGAAGGGAGAUGAGCUGCGACAAGGACUUCGCCCUAGAUGGACUGGAGGAGAAAGAGGCAAAAAUAUUGUUUGAGAGGAUAGUGGGAGAAAAAGUUCAUAAUGACGAGUUCAGACCCUUGGUGGAUGAAGCACUCCGCAGAUGUGCAGGUUUGCCUCUGCUGCUUGACGCAAUGGCGAAACAAUUAAAACUCGCUUCUCUACCUGAAUGGAGGGAUGCUUUGAAACAAAUCGAGUGGUCCACAAGCGAAGGAAUAAGUGGAGUGAUAAAUACGGUGUUACAACGGAGUUAUGAUCAUUUAGAAAGCAAGGAUGCAAAAAGUUUGUUACAACUUUGUGUUGCUUAUGGCAUCUCUAAGCCCUCUAUUGAAAACUUGGUGAGGUAUGGCUAUGGUUUGGGGAUAUUUCAAAAAGAUAGCAGAAUGGAAGAAGCUAGAGAUAGGUUGAACACACUCAUUUGCACUCUUCAAGCCUCCUCCCUUCUGUUGGACAAUGAAGGCACGGAUGGGUUAAAGAUACAUGACUUGGUUCAUGACUUUGUUGCCCAGUCCAUUUUAAGAGAUCACCCUCUUCUUGUGCUGAAAGAUAAAGACAUGUUGACAACACAAUUGCAUAAUGAGAGGCUCAAAAGUUGUUCGGCGCUAUGCUUUCCAUAUAUUGACAUAGAGGAGCUUCCCAAAGAAUUAGAUUGUCCCGAAUUGCGCAUCUUUUUGCUUUUCGACAACAAUAUAUUUAAUAUAUCUCUUGAGAUUCCAGAUUCAUUUUUCAACUCUAUGAAGAAACUUGCGGUUCUACAUCUAAGUGCGGUACGUAUCACUCGUUCACCGACGCCAUUUCAAUUCUUGGAGAACUUACAUACUUUGUAUCUUCAGAAUUGUUCGCUAGAGGAUGUGGCCAUUCUCGGCAAGCUAAAAGGGUUACAAGUUCUCAGCUGUAUGAACUGCAACUUACAACGAUUGCCGAAAGAAAUUGAGCAACUAACAGAGCUGAGGUUGUUGGACUUGAACUAUUGUCAAUUUCUUCGGAUGAUUGAACCGGGUGUACUUGGAAGAUUGAUCAAAUUGGAGGAGUUGUAUAUGGCAUAUAGCUUUAAUCAAUGGAAUCCCGUGGAGCAAACUCAACCAACUAAUGCCAGUUUGAUUGAGUUGAAUCACCUGAAGAAUCUUUGCACUCUACAGGUCUCACUUGAUCCAAAAGCGCUCCCAGAGGACCUAGAUGUCAAGAAAUUAACCAAGUAUAAAAUCCAGAUAGGUAAUGCACAGCAUCGGAGAAAGGACUUAGGAUCGAGGAUUUUGUACCUCGAGUUGGAUCCAAAAAUUGAUGUUCUUCGAAAAGGAUGCAUGCAAAGUAUCUUAAGUAAAACCGACGAUCUGCUUUUGGCCAAGUUGAACGGAAGCGAGCAAAGUAUUUGCGCAUUAUCUCAAGAAGGCUUUCCAAAAUUAAAGCACCUAAUGGUUGAGGAUAGUUCCUCUAUCCAAUACAUCCUCCAAUGUCGUUCCCUUAGUGCUUUCGAGAUGUUGGAGUCAUUACUUCUCAUAAAGCUCAACAACUUGACGAAGAUAUGCUACAGCCAUAUUUCCUCCUCCAAGUCUUUCGGUAAAUUAAAAGUAAUUCAAGUCAAAAGUUGUGACAAAAUGGAAGUUUUGUUUCCUCUUUCAUUACUAAGAGAACUUCCCCAACUAGAAGAGAUUAAAGUUGUUGGUUGCGAGUUAAUGCAUGGGAUUGUAGAUGUCGAUGAUUGUGGCAAAGUGGAGUUGCAAAAUUUGCGUAUAAUGAAUUUGCACCAAUUACCAAAUAUCAAGAAUUUUUUCACCACUGGAACAACUCUUUCGAGUAGUACAUCAGAGGACCAAUUUGGCACUCAAAUUGCAUUCUUCAAUGGGCAACAGGUAACUUUCUAUCAAAAGAAUAUAAUAUUUAUUGAUUUUUCCUACCUUUGCUAAUUAGAUGCACAGCAUAUCAUGUUGCUUAUUCAUUUUGUUAUUUUCAGUUCAUUUUUUUCCCGAUAACCUUAUCCAUUCGUGCCUUCUCUGUAAUUAGAUAAAUCAACCUUCAGUUUCUCUUCAUUGCGUAGAAAUCCAACUAAUUGUAUGAAAUCCAUGUAAAUUUAGUUUGUCGUAGGUUCCGAGUUAUUUUCAAUUUAAAUGCUACUAGUAUAUCUAAAUUAAUAGGGUUUCAAAAAGAAAAACUAAUGAGAAUUUCAGCACUAAAGUAAUUCCAUAAGUAAUUUUAAAUCUUUUGAUAUGGAUUCAAUUGAAUUACUUAUCAAACUUUGUUAUUAUCCACAAAAUGUAUAAUAUAGGUUACUCUUAAAAACCAAUACGAAAAAUGGGAAGAAGGACCGGUUUUUUUUUUUUAUAAAUAAAAGCAACUAGGCUAAUGUAAUUGAUGCAUGUCUUCUGUGUUUCUUGUUUAAAUAAGCAGUUAGUUAUUAUAUAGACCCCACGGUUAUAAGAGUAUAGAGUUUUGUGCAUGUUCAUGCAUGCAUAUUGUAUACAUAAACAUCUUUAUACUUACUUUUGGCAUCACAAAAACAAAUCCACAAUCUGUGUUUAAUAUCCUAUUAAAUUGGUUAUUGAUAGUGAUAUACUAACAUUAAAGAGAAGCUAGUAAACUAAGGAUGAUCAAUGCCCAAUUAAGAAAAGCACGUGGCUAUUUUACCAGGGAAAAUAUUGCUACGAGUAGAGCCUUUUAAUUGACUAGAUAAGAUAGCCCUUUUAAAGUGGCCCAAUUAUCACAAAAGUUGAUCAUUGGGCAUGAGACUCACAAAAUAGAUUAGCUUCCCCGUCAGCAGAAAGCAGUGGAAAUAUAAGUUGUGGGUCCACACGCCAGUGACUUGUCUUCUUCCCUUGCUUUGAGCUUCCAUGGAGUGAGCGCUUUCAAAGAUAAUGGAACUACAUCGGAGAAAUUUUACAAAAAGCUUUUAUGGCUUUGCUUUUUCCUUUUCUUUUUUCACAUCAUAAUCUUGUAUGGUAGAUCCUCUGAGUAUAAUCUUUACCCCAAGUUUAAAGAAGAUGACAAAUCAUUCAAGUUCAACAAGGGUGAGCAAUUACAAAGUUGAUAAAGUAGCUCUGCAUAAAAAUAAUUAAUUGCAUUCAAUUGAAAUGGAAGACGAUUAUUUGUAGUAUAUUGAAUUCUACACUAGUAGGUGGAAAUAUAGUAAACAGUUUAACUAGCUUUAGUGAUAAUAUUUUAUAGGUGAUCCUUUUCAUAUAAUCUCUACACCAAGUUUAUAGAAGAUGACAAAUCAUGCAAGUUUAAAAAUAGGAGCAGUUACAGGUGAAAAUCUUUUGUUAUUUGAUUUUAUCAAUGAAAAUGAUGUUAGGCCGCUGUAGAUAUAUUUUAUGGUCCUAUUUGCACUUCUACGGAUAAUAAUUUACUAACAUGAAAGAGAAUUAGUAAACUAAGGAUAAACAAUGCCCUCAAUUAAGGAAAGCCCACGAUUGUAUUUUAUAUGGGUGAAAACUGGUUUUUUUUUUUUUUUUUAUAAGACAAGAUUGCUCCCUUAUAGCGUCGCAGGCCCGAGGCCCAUGCCAUACGCACGGCCCAAGACUCCCAAUAUGUUAAUUUCCCUGUCAGUAGAGGGCCCUGGACAUGUUUGUUGUGGGUUCCACAAGGCAGUGUGUGUCAUCCUUUUCGUGUUCGCCUUUUCUUAAUCGCCGCAGUCUUCGGGGCUUUUAACUUUUGCCAUUGUUCUCAUUGGACACUGGCCAUGGAUACCGGUCGAACUAUUUUUGGGCGAAAUUUUGAGGUGGGAAGUAUUAAGUUUGCUUUAUUAUACAAAAAGAGACAAGUAAUGCUCCACUCGCUAAUUCAUUUCCAAAGGAGAAAUUCUUCGGAUGGAAUAAAACUAGCUCACUCAUCAAAUUAAGCUCAGCAUUGCAAGUUUUUUAGCGAAGGAAAGACUGGCAAUUAGAAAUGAUAUUAGUGUGGAGAUUUUUUAACUCCAUUUUUCUGUUUUAUUCUUCUUCUUCUUUUUUCCUUUUGUGCAAUUUAAUAAUCCCCCUCUCCACUUGCCACUCAUCUAUAUUUACUCUUUGAAAGUUCACGAAUUUGAGAUUUAAGUUAAUCACCAAUUCCAUGAGCAAAUUUCACAGGUUGCCUUUCAGAGAUUGGAGACAUUAGAAAUCAUUGGCUUGGAUAGCCUGGAGUUUAUAUUUUUCCCAUCCAUGGUUAAAUCUCUCACGCAACUGAAAAAAUUGACUAUAUUGGAUUGUGAGAAGAUGGAGGCGAUCAUUAUGGAGGAAGAAGGGUUGGAAAUGGAAACAUCAGAAAUUUUGGCAUUCCCAACGUUAACCAAUUUAAGCUUGGAACGUUUGAAAAGUUUGACAGACUUCUCUCGUGGAAAGUGUAAGAUUGAUUUUUUUUUUUUUAUUGCUAAAAAUUGUCUUGUAGAUAUAUUCAUCCUUGCAAUACAAAUGGUGAUUUCUUUUCAUCCAAUGAAAUACAAAUGACAGGUGUACAAGAAAGUCGAAGUCAGGAUCACGUUAGAUCACCCGCUACUUCACUCUUUAAUCGAGAGGUAUGUAAUUAACAUUAGUCAAAUUAUUAAAUAUACCAAAGACAAGCAUAGCCAAAAUAAAAACUAGGUAAGUUACUUAUAAUGUAUAUUUUGGUUAAAAAAUUUUAACAAAAAAUGAGUGGCAUACAAGCGUAAGUGUUUGGAGUUGCCGACAUGUAUGAGUUGCAAUUUCUCACUUUUAAUUUGUCUAGACAUAGUUUCCAUAAAUAUGGUUGAACAUCUCUUAUGGUACCUAAGCAUAGCAUGAACGAGUAACACAACCACCGAAUAGGAUCUCUAAAAGCUUUCCGAUAUUUACAAGAAACUUAAAACUCUGAACAACCUUACAUGUAUGGCUUAGACAUUACACGCAUGUACACUGAAAGCAAUUGAAAAAACAAUCGAGAGGAAAGUGAGCUAUAAUGUUCAAGAGGUUGGAGAUGAAGGGCCUUUAAGACACUCACUUGACUUCAUUUGCACUUACAAGAUCUCAUUUUUUUAUCUAGUCGAAAGACGCUUUACUCUUUCUUAACUGCACCAGCAAAGGGAGUCGAAGCCUUCUUCAUCGCCUAGCUGAGAAAGACCUCUCAGAUCUUGGGCUUCUGAUACCACCCCUCUUAGUUUCUUCAUGAACUGCAAGACCAUUCUUAUGAAAAUCAGCCAUCUUAGUUGAGUCAUCGAAAUUGUUGAGCGCUUACCAGAAGAAUGUUUCCGUGGAAAAUGAAAUAGAGCAGUGUACGGACGGGUUGGCUUUGACUAAACUAAAAGCAAUAUAGGACGUUCACCUAAAGUGUUUAUGCAGCCAAAAUAGGCCGUACAAGUGGGCCCUCCCAUAGGAUUAAUACAUCGACCUUCUUAGAUAUUUUUUAACUAUUAUAAUGAGAUAUUUAGCAUUGUUUUUUAUAAUUUGACUCGAGUAUAUGUAUAUGAUAUGUCGUUUGCAUAUAACUAUUGGACCUUCCAGCAUUAACAAAAAAUCAAUUUUAAAAGGAAAAUUAUCGAUCAAGUGUAUAUAAUGGUUUGAAGUAUGAAAUGACGUGAGUAAAAUUUGUUCAUUUGGCCCAAGCGAUUCUUUUUUUAAUUGCUUUCUCUUAGCCUAACUAUGUAAUUGCCUUGAAGUGAUCUAAUAUUGAUUUGAGGCAUUCGGUAUUAGAUAAAAUCAUAUCUCUUAUUGUAGUGCACCAUUUGAUGGUUUAUCUAUUGCCUUUUUAAUCUCAAUGUCUCCAUCACUUUCUUUCUAAUGGCUAAUAUUCUUCCUCAAGCGAUCCCCCAGCUGCAUUCUCUAACGGUGAUUACCCAUUUGACUUGCUUUUUGUUUCUUUAAAUAAAUUCUUCCUCAUUCUUAAUUAAUGUAUGAAAUGGUGCAAUUUCACUGAAGAAUUUCAUCCAUGUUGUAACUUAAAUGACCUUCUCUAAGUUAUUUAACAAUUGCUACGUAUAGUUACUAUUUCAUUCUUGGGCUAGCCAAAAGAGCACAAAGGGAGAGAUUUUAUUUGAGUUUGGGAUCUAUGAAACACUAAUGUCAUUAGAUGAUUGUUAUAUGAGCGUAUCCAAAUUGCCAUUUUGCCCAUGCGUAACACAUUAUGGUCAGAAUUAAUACUUAGCACUUUUUGUUUUGUCUCUAGUAUAUUCCAAUAGCCUUUCCGUUCUGGAGUCAUCGACAUAAAUAUGGAGAUUAUUAUUUUUUAUUUUUACUAUUUUCAUUUUAUUCUUUUUUUCUUUUGUGCAACUUAAGAUAGAAUUACCAAUUUUGUGGAUUCGUAAAUUUACAUCUUGGCACUCUUCUUUAUUUACAUCUUGGAAGUUCAUGAAUUCGUAAUUUAACUGAAUCACCAAUUCCGUGAGUACUGUAGGUUGCAUUUCCUAACUUGGAGAAUUUAUAUAUCACGGACAUCGAUAACAUCAAGAUGAUAUGGCAUGAUCAAAUCCAUGCAGAUUCUUUCUCUAAGCUAAAAUUGCUUUCAGUUAGUGAAUGCAAAAGGCUUGUGAACGUUGUACCUUCUAUCAUUCUAGGACAGCUCUUGAGCCUAGAAACUUUGACAGCAGAAGCAUGUAAAUCCCUUGAAGUUGUUUUUAAACUCCAGCCGCCAAAUCCUCUAGAUGGAAAUAGUGUUGCUCAUUCUCCAUUAAAAGAGCUGAAGUUAAAUGAAUUACCAAUGCUAAACUCUGUAUGGGAUAAGGAACUCUACCAUCAUAUUAAAUUCCAGUGUCUACGUUCGAUUACCCUUUGGAGAUGCGCUAGGCUCGCCUCUUUGUUUUCGGCCUCAAUAGCCAGAGAUCUAAUCCAACUUGAGGAGUUGGAGAUCAAUCAAUGCGGCAUUGUGGAACUCAUUGAGAAGGAAGGACCGGAUGAGCUGAGCAUCAAUGUGGAAGCCAUAGAAGGCCCAAGUCAUGAGCUAAAAGUAACAUCAUCAUUUCCAAGUUAUUUUCAGCAUAUGAAGACUUUAGAUGUGUCAUGUUGUCAUGGGCUAUCAAAUCUGUUCACACCGACAAUGGCUACAAACUUGGCAGAACUCACAAAAUUAAGGAUUAGUAAAUGUGAAAUAUUGACAGAAGUCAUUAUUGAUGAGGGAGGAAAGGAGAGGCAUGUAGUGGCUUUCAAUCAAUUGAAGUAUAUGGAGCUUGAUGGGUUGACUAGGUUGAGAUGUUUUAGCUCAGGUGGAUACGCUUUGAUGUUCCCUCUCUUGGAAGAUAUCAUUGUGAAUACAUGUUCCAAGAUGAAGUUCUUCCACGAGGGACGAAUAGAGGCGCCAAAGCUAAAGGGAGUAAAAGUAGUAACAAAGUGCCAGUAUUUUUGGAAGGGAAACCUCAACUCAACCAUCCAAAAUAUGUUUGAAGAAAUGGUAUGCUUCAGUUACUAAAUUCUGUGCAAUUUGAUUUUUUCUUUUCACCAAUAAAGUAAUUUUUUUUAACUAGAAUUUUACGUUUAAUGAUGCAUUUUCUAAUAGGCUACAUUUGCUGGGAUUAAGUUUAUGUGGUUGUCUAAGUUCCCGGAGCUGAUUGGAAAAUGGCACGAUGAACUUAAUCCCGUCACAUCAUCUUGGCAAUUAAAAGCACUAGUGGUGGAUAAAUGUCCAUCAUUUAUUAACGCUAUUCCAUCCAGCUUGAUGCUUGUUUUAGAGAGAAUGACAAGCUUGCAAGUGCAUGAUUGCGAGGCUCUGGAAGAAAUAUUCAAUCUUGAAGGGCUUGAAGCUGUGGGUUGCACUCAGGUGCUGCCUCAGCUACAGAAUUUGUACUUGGUCAAUCUACCAAAGUUGAGGCAACUAUGGAACAAAGAUCUCCAAGGAACGAUGUGCUUUAAUUCUCUAAGGCUUCUUAGCCUUUAUAAAUGCAACAACUUGAGACAUGCUUUUGUUCCAUCAAUGGCUCGGUGCCUUCCCAAUCUAAGGAUGAUAGAAAUAAAGGAGUGUGAUAAAAUGGAAGGAGUGAUUGCAGAUGAAGAAGGGCAAGUAAGCACAAUGGAGGAGAUUACAUUCCCAAAACUUCGGUGGAUAACUUUGGAAUGCUUGCCCAAUUUGACUAGUUUCCUCUUGUGGAAGAAUCAUAUCCUAGAAUGCCCUAUUUUAUCAACCUUGAGCAUUGCCCAUUGCCCCAAGAUGAGAAGUCUAAGUUGGCAAUCUUCAAUGGAGAUUGACAAUGGCACCCCUUCGCUUUUCACUCCACAGGUUAGUCUCUCAAAUAAAUGCAUUUUUGGCAUUUCAUUUGAACAUAUUCAUUUGUUUAUAAUUGGACAAUGCAUGGUAUGCAGACAGAAGUGCUAGAUAUAAUUGUUUGUAGUGUCAAUCAUCAAUGCUUUGCUUAAAUUUGACUGGGACUCUGUGUUUUAUACCUAAACAAAGAUGACCAAAAUAUUUGCCUUCCCACAAUAAUCUAGGAUCACAUCCAUAAAGUAUUAAUGCAAAACAAUUCAGACAUCGGUAAUCAUGUGUGGUUUUAAAAUCAUUUAAUUAUGCAGAUCUAUGUACAUAAUCAAUUAAUAUUUACUUAAAAGAUUAAAAGUUUUCUAAUCCUCAACAAAUAUAAGUAUUAAUUGUCCAUCUCCAUAUAUUUUUACUAGUGUUAUUUAUGUGAGCUCAUAAAAUCAUAUUGUGUGCAAUAACUCAAAAUUGAUUACAGAGGGAUCUUAAAAAAGUUAUGACAAUAACCAUAUGAAAACAUUUUCUUUUUGUAAUUUCAACUAUAAAGAACAAAAUAGUGAACAUAGAAUAGCAUUUUUUUUUUUUGGUCGAAAAAACAUAGAAUAUCAUUUGAAAAUGGCAGAAAAAUAUGAAGUACCACCCACUUCAUAUUUUCUUGCACAGAAGCAAACUGGUGUCGUUCCAUUAAACAUGAAGAGAAGGGAAAAGAAAACUUCAUAAUUAUAAAAGCCUAGUUCACAAAUUGCUUAACUAUUACAGCUCUUUGUACCAUAAUCAUCUUCCCAAUCAACGAAAUUGAAGGAAUUAGAGAGAAUUGCUCUUUUAAUUGGGUGCUCUAAACUUCGAUAAUGAUAAGUACAAUCAACUUUUUUAUUAUCUUUUUUAUAUCUUAAUAAUCACCAAUGCUUGACUGCGUCUUGAUGAUAAAAUAAGUAAAAAUAAAAAGGCCAAUAUGCAUGAAGUUGUUCAUCUUCUUUGUUUGUAAAUCACACUCGAAUUGAUAUACUUCAACAACCUAUCAAAUUACCUACUCGUAUUAAACAACAAAUAUUAACUCUAAAUUAUCAUAUUGAGUGAUAAUUAGUGUGAUGCUGCGCACAAUCUAUGUUUAGCAAGAGAAAAUGCAUAUUGCUUUUUCCAGAAAAGAAAUGGCUAAAAUAAGGAAAAAAUAAAAGAGAGAAUAGGAUAGUUGGACAAUAAAUAUUAGCAAUUCCGCGGGUGGUUGUCGGCAUUGCGAGUCUUAUUUCAUAACUAGAUGAUAAUAUUUAGUCAAUGUCCUAGCUAAAAUAAAAAUCUAAAAAAAAUUGGAAUAAAUUAUCCAAUCAACAACACUACUGGAGAGAAAAUAUUGGGUGCAUUAAAUACACCAUGUAGGAUCUGUAUUAAAUCAUCUACAAAUCGACAUGUGGUAGAGCCAGGCCCACCUAUCAAUUGAACGAUUGAAAUAUUUGCUCCCGCUCUCUUCAAUAACGCCCUGUUACGGGAAAGCUCUCUUUCCUCUUUUUUGGUGUGGCUUUGCUCCCUCUCUCUCUCUCUCUCUCUCUCUCUCUCUCUCUCUCUCUUUCCUUCCUCGGUGGCCUUGGCCUCCGUAUGUUGCAGUGCUGUUGCGGUGUGCUCAUUAGACAAAGGAAAAAAAAAAAGAAAAAGAAAGAAAUUAGACAAAGUCUAUUUGAUGAUUUAGCUUCUCCCCCUCUAAGAAAUGUUUGCUCUAAGUCAUUUCGUUUCACCUUGAUCAUCCUCGAAGAGGGGAAAAAAAGAAAGUGAACCAAAUCUAUAGACUCAAGUAACAAUAACUCUUCUUCCUCCCCCUCCCCCUCAUCUUCUUGCCUUCUGUUUUUUUGGGGGCGAUUGAUUGGAUGUUCUGUCCAAUGGUUGAAUCGGAAGCUUCAGAAUCGCUUCUCUGAAGCUCGCCUCCUCUCUGUGCACGUGCUUCCAUGGGUUUCGAGUGAUUACGCGAACCGGAUCUUGUUGGUUAUGGUGGGUCGAAGUGGAUCUCCGAUGCGGAAGCGAUUUCGGUGUCGAUUCGGUUAGGGCAUUGAUUCCCGGCGAAGAAAAAAUUAAAAAAAAUCUUCUAUUCAGCCUUCUCUUCCUCCUCCUUCGUCCAUAGCCGCCGGACCUUCGCCCCUCCUCUGCUAUCGCCACCGGCGGAGUCACUGGCGCCUUGAUUAGGCUGACCCCCGCUAUUUCCAAGGCAAGCAUGGCGACUUCCUCUGCUUUGUCCGUCUCAUCGUCCUACAGAUCUCGAAAUCUGGCCAUCCAUAGUGACGGAGUUGUAGAUCUGGAAGUCGACCAUCGUCGCUUGUAGCCAUGGACGAGCCGCUGUCGCUAGAGCCAUGGUUGCAGAUCUGGAAGUCUCAUCGUGAGCAACAAAGGCUUAUGGACUGCCAUUGUCCCCUCCGUCGUCACCCGCGGUCGGCUCGUGGUUGGCCCCGUCCAUGGCCGGGCCACCCCUCCAUCGUCACAGCUGUUCGUGGUCAUUGCCCGUCCAGAUCUGGACAGGAGUGGUGCCUAUAGAUCUAGUAUCGUCCAUGGACGCAAGCCUAGCUCAUCCAUGGCUCGCGAGGAGGCUCUUCCACAGAUCUGGCGACCCCUGCUUGUCCAUGGCCAUGAGCCUUGACGGCGAUUUUGAGAUCCCGACGGCCAUGGACUGCGAGGUCAAACAGCGAAAGAAAAAACAAAGGAAUAAAUGUCGGGGAAGAGUGGCCAUGGAUGAGACGGCCGGAGCUUGAACGCGGCCAUGGACGAGACGGCUUCAUGAACGGGUAAACCACAAAGACGACGGAGAGGGUUGGAUGCCCAGCUAUGGUCGCCUUGGACGUGGCACCGGCAACUCUGCUGGUGGCGAUGGCAGAGGGAGGCGGGAAGGUUGGGCUCAAUGUGGCUGGAGAUGGAGGAGAAAGCGUAGAUAAAGGAAAGUGAGGUGGAUUGAGAUUUUUUAUAUUUAUACAUCUGAAAAAAAAAAAAAAAAAAAAGCCCAAUGUUUAGUCAAUGUCAUAGCUACAUAAAAAAUUAAAAAUAAUAGGAAAUAAUCAUCCAGUCAACACUUCCAUUACGUCUCAUGAGAUUCUCCUCACGUAAAGACUCAAUGCAGUAAAUGACGACCUCCUCGGGCGAUUCUUUUUUUGGGUCGAAACUGGGGCACUUGAAAAUGCGCGAUAUCAUUUUUUAUUACAAAUUCUAUACAACUUAUGUUUUUUCCUUUUUUUUUUCCUUUUUCUAAUACUUUUACGCAAUUCUUAUGAUUGUUUUAUGCAAGUAGAAUGUUCAAUUAUAACAAGUAUCUACACAUUUGUUUACUUUUUAAUUGUAAGAGUUAUCGCUAAUUAUUUAUCUAUAAUGUCGUUUGCAUGUAUAAGUUGUUAUAUAAUGCCUAGCCUGCAUUCUAAGAAUAUUUCAAAAAGUCAUUAUAACACUCAACAACAAUACUAAUAAAUUUAGGGAAGUAUGAAAAUAGUCAUAUGAUCUUUUGAUAAUGACAAGUUGUGAUAACGUUAAUUUCAUUUUAGUGUCAAAUAUGAGCUGUCAUAUAAUAAUUGAUUUCUCCCACAUUAUUAGAUAAUUUCAAAAACUCAUUAAAAUCCUCAAUUAAGAAUAUUGAUAGAUUUAAGGAAGUGUGGAAAGUUAUUCUUUUUUUUUUUCUUGUGACAACUUGUAUAAAAGCAUCGAUCAACCCCUCCCUAUUUAUGUCACUAACAAGAUCUCGACUUCUCAUGAUUUGUGAGAACAAGGGAAGUCCGGAAAUUCCUUCUUUAGGGUCAUAAUUCAAUGUAAUCACAUCCAUUGUGUUAUUUUUUUUCUCAAUAUGGCAGGUACAAUUUCCUCAACUUAUGCAAACGCAUCUCUCCCACAUGGAUAAUUUAAGCAAAAUAUGGAUUGAUGGUCCUCAAGAAACUUUGACUUUUGAUCAUUUAAGGAAAGUGGAGGUUCAGAACUGUAAGAGCCUUGAAAAUUUGUUUCCGUAUUGGGUGGCUAAAAGUUUAACCCAACUUAGAGAACUUCUAGUGGAGUCGUGUGAGAUCAAGGAAAUAGUCACUAGUGGGGAUGACACUCCACACUCCAAUACUACUCAAGAUCUUUUCCCAAAACUAACAUCUUUGGUGUUACAUGACAUGCCACGAGUCAAGAGCUUCUGUCCUAACUUGCCCACUUUGAAUUGGCCAUUAUUGGAGGAAUUACGAGUGACUCACUGUGACAAACUGAACAUGUUAUCCUUUGUGGCAUCCAUGAAUGGUUGGGCUCAAAGCAAUGAUCAACAAGAUCUUCCAUAUCAAGAAGCACACUCUUCAUUUGAGAGGGUAUGAUUAUAGCUGCUCUCCCUUAGUUUCUACUUUGUUCUUUAAAGUAGUCACUAAUAUCAUAUCCAUUGCAUAUCAUGUCAUGCUAUAUUGUUAUAGAGAAGAUGAUCUCCCUUACCUAUUAGUUUGUCGACAACAUUAAGACAUUCCUAAUAUCUUACGUAUACUUUCAUUUGUGGAUAUGCAUAAGAUAUUCCAUUACCUAGAGUUACAAAAAUAUUUACAGCAUCCUAUUGACAAUAGAAUAUAUUCCUAAUCUAACCUAAUGGUGCUCCUUGGCGACAUCAAUAAGACUUUGACAAGAGGUCCUCUCAAUUAUUGACAUGUAUCACGCAUUUGAACUUUUCUUCUAUAUUUCAUCUUCUACAAACUCUAAAAAAAAUCAAUUCGAACUUUUUUUUUAAAACAAAAAUAACAUUAGUACCUUAGUGCACUAUUUUGUACUGUAUUUUUUAAUACACUGGUGCACUGCAGUUGUCGUGUUGUCUUGUUAUAAUACUAUAGAAAACUAGAACCCCUUUCCUAUAAGUUUGUGGACAACGUAAGGUAUUUUUGAUAUCUUAAGCACACUUCUAAAUUUGUGGACCCCAUAUGUUUUAGUAACAUCAUGAGUGCAUCCCGCUACAUAACAUUCCAAAGAUGAUAAAUUUUUGUUGACAAGAUAAGAAAUUCCUAACGAAAGAUGAAUUUAGUGAGUGCAGGGAUCUUGAAUUUAGAUUCAAUCUAUGCACUUGACCAUACCAACCUCUACAUGAGACUUUUAAAGGCUUGAGUCUUGGAAAAGAGGUUCUUGAGAUAUAAUGAACUUUAGGAAGAUGGCCACCUUCCAUGCAAAUCAUCUAAAUAGGUUUACUUUUAACAACACAUGAUUUAUUGCCGAAACUUAGUAGAAUUUACUUCUCUUAUUGUAUUGGUUAUUUGACAGGACUUUCCCAACUUUAAGAGACUUUUAUUAGUCAAUAACAAUAUUCAGAUGAUACAAGAUGGAAAUUUUCCCGAUGACAUCUUUAGCAAACCAAAAGCACUAAUAUUGGCAUGCUUUCAUGAUGAAAAGGCCGUCUUUCCUUCUAUAUUCUUCUUAGAGAGAUUUCAGAAUCUACAAAGCCUUGAGGUAUUCUGUAGCUCCUUUGGAGAUAUAUUCCCGGAUGAAGGGCUUGUUGAAGGGGGGAAACAUCCGAUGCUUGAAAAUUUAAGAGAAAUUAAGUUAAACAAGCUACACAACCUGAAGCGUGUGUGGAGAGAAGACUCUUUAGUGUCGAAAAUUCUUCAAAGCAUCAAAACAUUUGAGAUUUGGGAUUGUCCAUGUUUGACGACAAUAUUUCCAACUAUGGCGUCCUUCCAGAAUUUGAUGGAGUUAGUAGUGAAGAAUUCCUCUGGAUUGGUAUAUCUAGUAACAGUUUCAAUGGUCACAAAUUUGAUGCAUCUCAAUACCAUGACUAUAAUAGGAUGUGAAAGAAUGAAAGAAAUAGUGGCCAAUGAUGAAAAAGGAGAAGGAAAAGUGAUUUAUUUUAAAUAUCUACAAAAGUUGACACUCCAAGAUCUACCAAGCCUAGAAUGCUUCUCCUCCAUCUCGAGUUGCACCUUCAGGUUCCCAUGGUUAUUGACUAUUAAAGUGGAAGAGUGUCCAAAAAUGAAGACCUUUUCUAAGGGUAUGCUAAACACACCACAACUUCAGCAGAAUGAUUCGAUGAGCCUCUUCAGAUACAAGUGGGAAAGAGGGAACUGGGAGGAGGGUGAUGAUCUCAAUACAACCAUACAAAAGUUAGCAGCAUAAACAAAUGCACAUAGAAUUGGUAAAGAUUCAAUCGAUGUCAUUCUCUCAUCCAUUCGUUUUUCUUUUUUCUUAUUUUUUUGGUAACACGAUAAGUUUUUAAAUUUUUCUUUUUGUAUCUUUUCUAUUAUUGAUACCGUCGGAUCAAAGCAUCAUCAACCCUUAUCUAUCGAUCGAUCGAUCAAUCUCGCCUCCUUCACCGAACAGCAGGAAACGAAGCAAGGCUCUCCUUCUCCUUCUUGAUGCCAGAGGCUCUCCCUGCUGCAUUCACGGAGGACGGAGCGAAAAGGAAGCGACGGGAAUUGCCAGGACUGAGAGAAGAUGGCAUUGCCAAGUCUGGACAGUCAGUCCUCCACUCACUUCAUCAAAGAAGAAGAACAUUCUCUCUCCGCAUCUGUAUCCGACGAAUCGUAAGUUCACUCUUCUGCACACAUCAUUCCUCUCGUCUGCCAGAAUUUCUUCCCGAUUUUCGUGUCUUGUUGCUCGUAAUUUUCUUCCGGUUUUCGUAGAGACCUUUCUUUAAUCGUCGUCGUCUUCUUCAGCUAGGGCUCUGCUUUUUAAAUUCGUUCCGUGUAAAUUUCUCAGUCCACUACUUCAGAUCAUGGACCAAUAGAGGUCCUCCACUGACAUCAUCAAAGAAGAAUAUCUCUCUCUCGCACUUGAACCCGGCAAACUCGUAAGUUCACUUUUCUUCCAACUUUGGUGUCUUAUUGCGCGUGAAUUAGGUUGAAGUCGGAGGCUAGUUUCGUAGAGACCUUCCUCAAUCCUCGGCUUCUUCUUCAGCAAAGGGCUCUGUUCUUCAAAAUUCAUUCCACAUUAGAGUCUAAAAGCAUAAGUUCCUCAAACUAGCAAUUUUAUCUUAACAAUGGAGUAAUUGAAAUAGGGAAAAGAAUGAAAGGACUUUUAUUGGGACAUAAGCUGGUGGUUGGAGGUUCGAAAAGAUAACAAUCGUCUCCUUUUUUUUGUGGAUAGAUGUGUUGGAAAAGCAAUUCCUAAGGUGUCUUAGAAUUAGAAUCCAAGUCCUCUUAUAUGGAGAAAUUUGACAAUGUAAUUCAAUGUCGGAGAAGUAGAAUAUAUAUGUUAAUCGCACAAAGAGACUAUGUUCAUAUGGACUAGCAAAUUGCAAAGAAUGUUGCUGCCUCCAUAACUAAAGAGAAAGACCUAAUCGAUAAAAGGCUGGCUUGUUGUGAUUAUGAAAUUUCAUUACAGAUCUAAUGAUUGAUAAUUUUUGUUUUCAAAUAGGAGAUGCUAUUGUAUUUUGUUAUAUUAAUCAGAUUUGGGGAAAAAAAAGAUUUUACUUUGUCAAAUUGAACCAAUAGUUUGAUAAAACCUUAUUUGAGCUGUGCUUGAAAGAAUCAAAUAGCUUAAGUUUAAAUUUUCAAUUCUAUUCAUGUUCCAGUUAUCAGUGUAUUUGCUUUUUUCCCUGUGAUUGUGAUUUGUAUGGCUGAAAUUGAUUUGUUUUAAAUAUAUAUAGAGGACCUGGAAGGCUUCUUCUGAAUGUGUACCCUAUUGCAUUCUUGGAGCAUAGAUUUGACCUUGACUUUGGAUUAAUGGCUUUCGUUAUAUGGUUUACUGUCUAUUAAACUCCUGAAACUAGCAAGUAAUGCCUUAAACUCACAUUGUGUAUGAUUUGAUUCUCUCAUUAGGGUAUGCUUAUGUUUUGGUCUGUUCUUCACCAUAUGUUGGUUUUUUGACCAUGUAGACGGGCAGUCUGCUCCUGUUCAAUUCAUCACGCAACAUAUUCAGGAAAUUAAGCAAAUUGCUACUCUCAGGUAUUCGGACAAGUCAUGGAUGGUGAAGCCAAGGAGUUGGAGAUGAGAUUUUUUUUUUUUUUUUUUGUGGGGGGGGGGGGGGGGGGGGGGGGCGUUCUUUUCCACUGGAUGACCCGCAUUUGCAAUAGAAAGUCAUUUGCAAGUAGAAACUCAUUGAUAGGGAUGAUUUUUUGUUCAGAGUCUACAUAUUCACUAGUGCUGAUUAGGAUUUGAUUUACAUUGAUUGAGAUGAACUCAGGAAUUGUCACUUUUGCUGGUCCAAAAUGAAUUCGGUAUUCCAAAUAAAUAACUCCUUUAUGUAGUCUUGAGGAAUCAAGGAAGUGUACUUCUAUGCCAACUGGGUUUUAUGAGGUUGAUCGUAAUCUAGAUGCACACUCAUUAAUGCCACAUUCCAAAUCUGAAUGAACUAAAAACAAGAUGUCCUUUUUGGUUUAUGCAUUCUUGUUAUGUUGCUCUUCGUUUUGAAUCUAAAAUCUGGUCUCAUAGGCUUAUUAAGAUCAUGGGUUUUAUUUUUCCUACAGGGACUACCAAAAAGGUUCAAGAGGAUGCUUUUGAGAGAAUGGUGCAAUUAUUUGGCUUGUGGAAUUGGAAAAAUGUGAUAAGAUGGCUUGGCUAGCAAAGGGUUGGAAUGAAUAUGCAGAGCAUUACUCUAUUUGUGAGGGCCAAUUUUUGGUCUUCUAAUCUGAAGGGGACUCCAUUUUCCAUGUCAUCAUAAUCGAUGAAAGGAUGUUUGAGAUAGAAUAUCUGCCAAUCAAUGUUGAUGUGAGGAACCGAGCCUCAGCAAUUGUGGAUUUGUCUUGCUGAAAGCGGAAGAUACCUUUGAUUUAUGAUGUUUCAGCCAAGCUUGAAGUCCAGGGGGAUGGAUUGCAUUCAACCAAGUGCCCGCAGUCUUGUAUGGAAAUGGAAUCUGAUCAGGUUUGCAAAGUUCUUGGCAGUUCCUAUGCACAUUCAUCAGCAGAGUUUGGGGAGGAACAGAAGUUCAAACUGCUCAUCACAAGAUUUUCCAGGUGUGAAUCUUAAUAUAUUAGCUAAUUCUCCCCUUGAUUGUAUAGUUCUCGUGUUUGAUUCAAAUACCAUAGAGGAACUAUCCAUGUCGUUAAGCUAAGAGAAACUGCAUUAUAGAGUUGAUGCUAAGAGAAAGUGUUACCAGAUAAUUCAUUCUAUUAGUGUUUCUUUGUCUCUAGAUCUCCCGUGUGUGCAUAUGUAUGUGUUGGGAAUGUGCCAGCGAUUGCCGUGAUGUUUUGGUUGAGCUUGAAGUCUUGGGGGAUUAAUUGCAUCCAGCCAAGUAUCCUUAGCUUUGUAUGGCAAUGGAAUUUGAUUAGGUUUGCAAAGUUCGUGGCAGCUCCCAUGCACAUUCGUUAGCAAAAAGUUUGGGGAGGGACAAAAUUUCAAACUGCUCAUCACGAGGUUUUUCGGGUGUGAAUCUUAAUAUAUUAGCAAAUUCUCCUCUUGACUGUGUUUUUCUUGUGUUUGAUUUGAAUUCCAUCAGGAACUCUCCACAUCGUUAGGCUAAGAGAAACUGUGUUAGAGCUAAUUCACUCUUGUAGUGUUUCUCUGUCUAUAGUUCUCCCGUGUGUGAAUAUGCUUGUGUUAGGGGAUCUCAUAAAUAAUGGAAACAAGCUGAGCCAAUCAUAUCAGAUUUGAUUGCGCUGAGAAUCGUAUUGGUGUGCAUAUAGGCCUUGGGAAGCUAGACCAUUAGUCAGACUCAGAUCAAUUGAUUUAGGGUUGCUAUGUCGGCAGAUAUGAGUUUUACAUAACAAGAAUAGAAUACGACUAAAAAGCAAAUGCUUUCUUCAUGUUCUGUUUGCGACUGCUGCAGGUAAGCUGAGGGGCUUGUGCAGAGCUCUUGAACUGGCCAGCAAAUUUAUACUCGAUUAUUCUUUCUCCGAAAUUGCGGUGAGGUUAAUACAUUUGAAGAAAAACAAUGUGGUGAGAUCCUCGUGAUACUGACAACUCUGGGAUUUAAAUCACCUGAGGCAUCCUCAUACUGUCUUCCUCAGAUAUCAUUGGUUGUUCUCUUCUUUUUGAUGACAAAAUUGCAAAAUGUCUACUUGAGCAGAAAGUUCCUGCUUCAUUCACAAAGACACAUGUUAAGAAAAGCCCGUAGACCAUGGCUCUCAUUUUUCAAGACAAAUACUGGCCGUUGAAGCUCAUCAGCCAUGAACAUUCUGGAAAGUCAUCUGCCCUUUGGGCCACAUCACGAGAGAAACUUUUCUGAAGGUGGAAGACGUGUGUGUGUUCGAGCUUUAUUGAAAGGGACGAUACCAUGUUCAGAGUAUCUAUCUUCAGAACCACUGAUAAGAUUUGGGUGUAUAAUAAUACUGUGCAAUACAAUACAGCAGAGGACGCAUCGCGUUAGCUCACUUUAGGUGAGAACAGAACUUACAAAAUUGCUAAGCUGAAUUCUGCUUCCGGUUCGGCAAUGUGGAUAAAAGCAUUAGUUUUGUUCCAAUGGAUGGAAUGGUUCUGAAUGUGUACGAUACCUUUCCUUGAUCCUAGACAGCAAUCACAAUGUGAGCAAGAGUCGUGAGUCGUGAGUCAUGAGUCGGAGGAAGCUGAUUACAGAUGUCGAUUCUGUAGUUUCUAAUUCAGGAGACAAUCUCUCUCUCAAAUUGGGUGCUUCUUUAAGGUUUCCGGUGGCUCAACCUGACCUUUAGAACUGUAAAGCACAGUUAUGUCGAUUACGCUUCCCUUAAGCCAUAUAUCAACCAUGAUUUUGCAAGCUCCGGUGAACUUACAUCAGAUUCUUUGCAUUCUCUUUCCGAUUUCUUGAAGAUUUUGUGAUCAGUCUUUUUGCAUGUGGUUGCAAAUUGAAGUUUGUCAGUUUCUUCUCAUGUGAAAAGCAAUAGAAAUUUAUUUAUGUUUUUUCAUGUUUACUGAAUGUUGAUAUGCAUGAUGAAGUAAAUAUGCUGCAUCUUUGCGUCGCUGCAGUACGACUCUUCGGAGCCUCCGACAGUGGCUUUGCACCUUUAGAAUCAGUGACAUCCCGGUGCUCUCGAAUUUGAACUUGCUCUCGUCAACAAAUAAUGCUCGGCGAUACUCUUUCUCUCUCUCUCUCUCUCUCUCUCUCUCUCUCUUCCUUGCGAGAACUCGAUACCUCCUCUGUAAGUGCAACCUCCGGCAAUGGAAAUUUGGGAGAUGGCUAGAGGAUGGGAGAAAACAAAAGUGGAACAGAAAUCAACGGACAAAAUUGAGAAUAAAUCAAAGACAAUUCUAGAGUUAAAUCAGAGACAGAACGUCCUGGUAAUUGUGACUGUUGAUUAAGGAAACUCUGUGGUCGAGUUCUGCCGUUGUGGCGGCGAGUGGCAUCUUCGAACCGGUAGCGACGCUUUUUGUGCUUCGGUCGGUGCUGGAAGCAACAAUCGUCAAAGAGCUCGAUCUCGAUAAAUCGCUGGUAGAGCUCCAAUCGCGGUUGCAAUAAAUCAUCAGCUAGAGAUCAAUCCCCCUUCAUUCAAUUGUUCCUCCAAGCUGCAAUCGAAGGCUUCUCCGACUCUCUCCACCAAUUCAGAUCACCCUGCAGUGAACGACACUAUCAGAUUCCGCAUUCAAGGUGCGGCCACACUAAUUCCUCUCUGAUUUGAGUUGUCACUUUCCUGUCCUUACAUAUGUCUGGACCACAUUCACCUGUCGCCCGGCCAUCUCGAGCUCAUGUCGCCAUCACCACUGACCCAUUGUUACGCCAGUUUCAUGUGCAAUCGAACUGCCGAGUCAAAUUUCGAUUCACUCCAGAAUACGUUCUGUCAACUCUUGCCAAGGCUGAGGUCGGAUGGAUCAUCAUAUGGAUACCAUUCGCGGAUACGAAGGAUGAGAUUCUUUGGUUUCGCUCUUGGCACUCUUGCCAGUCCGACGUCACUUCAUCAACCGUGGUAGCCAUGGCCAAUCUGAGUCAUCAUCCUUCGAGACGAUACACCGAGCGUGAAGAUUGGCAGCGGCGAGCAAACAAUCUAGAAUAAAAAGGUGCAAUGCAAAGGGGUGGAUGGAGGUGAUUCAGAUUUUGCGUGGGAAUUUUGGGCAAAACAGGGCAAACAAGGUGAAGCUGGUGGUGGCUCUUUGGAUGAGAAGGAAGUAGAGUGUAGAAAAAAAAAAGAUAAAAAAGGAAAAAUAAAGUAAUAAUAAAUAAAUAAAUAAAUAAAUAAAAGAGACACGAAAGGAAAAUAUAGAGAGCACACGAGAAAUCGGUCAAAUGGAAUACUUGCACAAGAGAUGUAAUUCGUCACACCAUCGAACACCUUCCUUGCAAACUCGAUCCCUCCUCCACAGUGCAAUCGAUGGCAAUGGGAAUUCGGAAGAUGGUGAGAGAAUUGGAGAAAAUCAAAAUGAAAUAGAUAUCAACGGACAAAGUUAGAAUGUAUCGAAAUUAAUCCUAGAGUCGAAUCGGAGAUGAAAUGACCUGGUGGGAAGUGCGACUGUCGAUCUGAUAGAUAUCAUAAUUACCCGAAUGUCAGUGAGGAACCGGCUGUCCGCGGAUAUUUCUUAUGGCGCGAUCUUCUUUCCUCCGCUUUUUGUUACAGAGUCGUCUCACCCUCUGUUUCUCUCUUGCGCAAUUCAACGAACACCUUCUGCUCAGAGGACGCAGCACAUUCACAACGACCAGGAAACUACGGGGGUCAAGUUCUUCGCCAUGCAACGUUUUCUCUGUCUAUCUUUAUUUUUUCACCAGGUCUUCCUCUAUCAGGAUUGUUUCCUAUCCGAUUAAACUUCUGAGUCCAAUUUCGAUUCAUUCCAGUAUAAAUUCUGUCGAUUCUUGCUUCCUUCUUUUCCCUUCCACUUCAUUGCCGCCUUUUGGAUUCCAAAUGCGGUCGCUUGCGUCCUUCGUUUCGCCCUCCUACGCCGCGCAUGAAGGGGAUGUCGGGCUGGUGUAUAGGAUCCGCCAAUUCGAGGGAUGAAAUCUUCGAGUUCACUCUCGGCCCUCCCGCCGGUUUGAGAAGCCCGUCAAAAGGAAGACUUGCAUAAAAGAUGGAAUUCCUUGAGAGGAAGAUUCAUCUCAUAACUCAGCCAUCAUUCUCCUUUUCUUUUCCUUUAAAUAGGUAUAAAAAACUCCAAACGACGCCAUUGCAGCGUUUCUUGGCUUCAGGUACCUUUUUUGUUAGGAAAUCAAGUGGAUGUGCAAAUAAAAUAAUCACUUUAUUUUAUAUAAGCAAUAUUGCAAACUCUUUACUCACACCACUCUCAUACACCUCUCACACCUCACACAAACACAAUUCUUGCACACACCCACUCACUCUUUCUCACUCUACACUUCACGCCACCUACUCCCACCCACUCACACACUCACGUACACACCCCACACUUUACGUACACACUCCUCACACUUUUCACACCAAGAGACAACAGCCCCUAUUUAUAGGAGCCAAAGUCGGUGGAGUCCACGGACAAAAUGGCCGAGAAAAAUCUGGAGAGAGAGGGAGAGAAAAUUCUGGAGAGAGGGAGAGAAAAGUCUAGAGUAGAGAGAGAGAGAGUAAUCUGGAAAAAUCCAGAGAGAGAGAGGCGGUGCCUUUUUCUUCUGACACUCCCCCUCACCGACUACUCUCUCUUAGCAUGGACAUUGUGUCAAGUUGCUUUUCGGCAUAUGCUUUUGUCUUCUUCCAUUCAGCACAUUGUGAAGCUUCCUCGUACGUGGAUGGCUUUAUGACUCCAUCUUCAGUUGUUUCUCUUGCGAUUUUCCAUUGAGUUUUGUGAUCCUUGAAUUUUUGCAAUGCCAAUUCAUUUUGCCCUUUAGUCUCAUUUUCCUUCUCACUCAAUUCAGUCUUCGUAUUUAGCAUAUCUCCUCUAAGAAUUUGGAGAUUAGAACUCAUUCGAUCAAGCCUCUCACUUGUGACUUUCAUUUCGUGCUUCAACCGAUUCAAUCCCAUCCGAAGCACUUCAAUGUAGACCUCUUGAUCAUUUUCCUCAUAAAAUUUCUUCCCCUAGAUCUUAUUCCACCGAUCCUUACACCAUGGGAUGUAGGGUGUAGAUGGCCUCCUUUUCUCAAAGAAAACUUUAUUUUUCUCCUUCAUUUGCUCAUUGUCUCUUCCGAUAUGAUUAAUUCGGAAUAUCAUAGUGGGCUUGAGGUCCUGAAGCUUCUGCGGCUUCUUGAACUCAUAUCGGAACUUCUCUAGCCCCUUUCUUUUGCCUCGAGCUCUCGAUCCUUCUGCCUUAUCAUCUCAUCCCUUUUCUUCAACAUAUUCUCCAUAUUUGCCUUCUCAACUUUCAACUUCUUUAUCAUCUCUUGCAUCUCAUGCAAUUUCUUUUCACGACUGCUUGUUGGCAUUUGCUUCUUCGAGUUCUCCCUUGGCUUGCUCUUAUUCGGGGUCGUGAUGGAACCUGUUGAAUCAUCCAACUCAAUUAUACAAGCAGUUGCAAGCUCUUCUCGUUCCUUCACUGCAAUAGGUACUUGAAAGUCCCAUUCUUCUUCGCUUUCAAUCUCCUUCUUGUAGGAAGUGACGACAUUUCCUUCUUCUCGCCUAUACCAACAGAAUCUGGCAAUAUGUCCUACCUUGCCACAAACGUAGCACCGUUUGCUACGCCUUUUGUUGUUCUUAUCUUUGUCGUUGUCGUCGUCACGAUCUUGACUAGCUCCCCUUGGCUGAUAACCCUUCUUUUUGGGUUGCCUCCACCAAUCUCCAUGAUCUUUCCAUGGUUUACCAUCUCUUGCACCUGCUCUAUUUCUAUUCUGGCCCUUGAACCCUCUUUUAUAACUGAAGAGGGCACUUUCAUCCUCCUUAAUUGAGACCUUAGGGAUUUGUUUAUCUAAGGCCUCUUGAUUGGCCAAUAUAUUUUCCAACUCAGUUAGAGUUGGCUCAUUUGCCCAUCCACGAGUGGCCGUAACAAUAUCGUUAUACUCCGGCCUUAACCCAUGAAUUAUUAUUCUUCUCAUUCUUGUCUCAGAGAUGGCAUUUUGAGGAUCUAAUUUUGAAAUUUCUUCACAAAUAGAUUUAACUUUAGAAAAGUAUUGACUUACCGUCAUACUUUGUUGCGAGAUUGAGAGGAGCUCAUUCUCUAGGCAUUGUAACUUGGCAUCGUUUGUCCUCGCAAACAGCGUCGCCAAGUUAUCCCAGGCCUCGUUCGGGGUCUUCGCACUCUUUAUGUGUGGUAAUAAUUCAUCAUCAACAGUCACGGCAAGAACAUAAAGAGCCUUACCUGACUUGACGUUCCACUUUCUUAAAUCACUAUCAUUUGUGGGUGGUGUGAUGUUGUUGCCGCCAACAAUAUCCCAUAAAUCUUGUCCAAGCAAAUAAUAUCGCAUGCGGAUACUCCAAUUAUUAUAAUUAAAAUCAUUGAGCUUUUCCAUCCCGUUCACCGGACUCGAGAAAUCCACCAUGAUGACUUGAGUAUAAUGCCCCGCACUAUACCAAGUAAGCCUGGUCCCGGACCAACCGACUUCACAAUUCCAGAUUGUGCACUGGUAGAACUCUGACGUCCUUCGCUUCUUUGCUCCUUGGCUCGACGAUCCCUGAUCUCCUUGCUCACUUACAAUGGUCCUCGACCACUGUCUUCGCACGGCCUCCGACGACCUGCUCUGAUACCACUACCUGCUCUGAUACCACUUGUUAGGAAAUCAAGUGGAUGUGCAAAUAAAAUAAUCACUUUAUUUUAUAUAAGCAAUAUUACAAACUCUUUAUUCACACCACUAAACACCUCUCACACCUCACACAAACACAAUUCUUGCACACACCCACUCACUCUUUCUCACUCUACACUUCACGCCACCUACUCCCACCCACUCACACACUGACAUACACACCACACACUUUACGUACACACUCCUCACACUUUUCACACCAAGAGACAACAGCCCCUAUUUAUAGGAGCCAAAGUCGGUGGAGUCCACGGACAAAAUGGCCGAGAAAAAUCUGGAGAGAGAGGGAGAGAAAAAUCUGGAGAGAGGGAGAGAAAAGUCUAGAGCAAUAGAGAGAGAGAGUAAUCUGGAAAAAUCCAGAGAGAGAGAGAGGCGGUGCCUUUUUCUUCUGACAUUUUUCGGAUCUCUCCCUCCAUCUUGACACGCUCCCCCGCUCAGUGAGUUCCGAGUCGCUCCACCAUCACCCUCGCUAUCUACUGCUGCUUUGAAACCGAGCUGCACUCGCCUCAUGAUUGAUUCUGUCGCUCACCGUCUUUAGAAACUUCGGUGAUCUUCUCUCUUUCUCUCUUCUUUUCCUUCUUCCGGUUCGAAUCGCGUUUUCGUUUUGUGCAUUCUUAUAUAUUUUGACAGAGCGAUGUUUAAUGCUCUUGUCGUUUUGCUCAUCAAAGGGUUCAUGUCCGGAAUUUUUUUCUUUUUUCCUUGUUUCCAAUCGUGAAUCCUAGACCACUUGGAAACGAGCGAAGAUUGAACUGAAAACGUCGUGAGCAAUCACCACAGCGAACGAGAGUUGUGCAGAGUUAAGCUCGGUCGAACAGUGGUUCGGUUUUCCUCUAUUUUUUGGCACCCUAUAGUCGCUUCUGGAUUCAGUUGUGGUGCGGGGGUGACUCGCUAGCCAUUCCUGAUCGGUCCUUCGAUUAACACUUUUCUCUGUGUAGAUUUCUGAGCGGCUUGGGACUUGGAGAUGGGAGUGGCGCCGAUGAGUUAUGACAUGGAAGGGGGGAUGCUGGAGAUCGGCAUGGGUAAGCUUUUGGCCCUCUCCGCUUUCUGAAUUUUUUUUUUUUUUUUAGCUACGGGCGAUAGAAAUCUGUUGGGAUGCUUGAAUCUCGUAAUUAAGCUUUGUCUGUACUGUGGGGAGUAGCUUUGUGUUAUUGUUUGUGGCUUAUUAUGUCUUUCGCCAUCUAAAUUUCACUGUGCUUGGAAUCAGAACUUUAAUCAUGGGGUAUUAUUGUUUUCGAGGCUUUCCAUGUAGCUUUAGCGUUUCUGAAAAGUUUGCGCUGCCCCUCUUAUGACAACGGUUAAUACACUUACUACUUAGAUCUACACAAUCUCUAUCAUUUUACAUGUUUUGGUUAAGAGGUGAUGAAUCAUUUAGCUCUUGUCCGAGUCAAAUUUUUAGCAUGCCUUAGCCGCUGGGUCUUAGUUAUCAGUUGUUCAGACAAUUGCUUUGCUACUUGCAGAGCAUAGGAUUGUUUAUGGUGUUAUUGGGCCGUUGGUUAUACUCGACAAAGUCAAGGUAAAUUUCACUGGUUAUAAUUUUACGAGUUUCAGUGAACUCCUAUAUUGACAUGUUGGAUUACUUUUAUUGUAUAUUAGGGACCAAAGUAUCAAGAGAUUGUAAAUAUCCGCUCGGGAGAUGGAACAACUUGACGUGGGCAUGUCCUUAAAGUUGAUGGAGAGAAAGCUGCUGUGUAGGUUCAGUAUAAGCUGCCAGCCUCUUCUUUUUUGCUUUAGCUCUCUUGAAACUGCAUUUUUGUUGGUUGGACUACAUUAGUUGGGUCACUUUGGUGUGCAGUACUUUUUAGCUAAUGACCUAGUGAAAUCUCUGCCGUUAAUUACAAGCAUCAGAAAAAGCAGAACAUGUAGAAUAUUUUCUUGGGUAUAUGUGAUGAAAUGUGAGAACAUCAUAUGGGAUAAUAAUUUAAAAAAUUGUGAUUGAGUUUUUUGAGGAGACCAAUGUUAAGAGUCUAAUUAGCAUUCCAUGUGGGCAUACCCUCUCUCUCUCUCUCUCCCUCUCUCCGCAUCUAUAUCUGACGAAUCAUAAGUUCACGCUUCAGCACACAUUAUUUUAACCGUGUGCCAGAAUUUCAUCCAAUUUUUGUGUCUUGUUGCGCAUAAUUUUCUUCUGAAUUUCAUUAAACCUUCCUCAAUCGUCAUCGUCUUCUUCAGCUAGGGCUCUACUUUCAAAAUUCGUUCCACAGUCAAUUUUUAUGCAUGUAAAUUUCUCAGUCCACCGCUUCAGCUCAUGAACCAAUAAAGGUCCUCAACCUAGCAAUUCAUUUUCCCUAAUUCUACAUCUCGUGAGUAUAUAUGUAUGGUCGUCUCUCUUUAUCACACUGGCUGCUUUGAAAAUGUGGAUGGGCGGAGUUCUUCUCUUCCAGUUGGCAAGAAUUUGUGAUAAAAACACGUCUGCGUUGGAGUAGGAGAUUUCUUACGUGUUUGAGCUCAUGGAUGGUGAUGAUAUGGUGGAACUUGAAAAUAUUCAGAGAAUCUUAUGCCUUGUCAAAAUAUGAGUCACUUUUAUGCCUUGUUCUCCAUAAACUCCGGAGUGCUCAUCAUCACGAGAAUUUGGAGGGGUGGCUCGCGUAACUCUCUUUCCAUCGUUCUCUUCGAAUUCUAUAAUAGUUUCUAAGAAGCUCUUGUUUUGAUCUUGAUUGAUUAUGAAAUGAUGUGGGGAUACUAUUAACUUCUGACCUAUGCUAAAUUUUUUGAUGGCAAGUCAAAUUAAUGAAGUGUACAUAAACUGUCACUGAAGUUGUCGCUUUUCAGUUACAGGGAGGACCAAACAGUUAGCAGAUUAAGCCAUCCUGAGCUGGUUUUCUUAGGUCCAAUGCACCCAAGGGCUCUCACUACUCUUGAAUCGACCGGCAAAUAUUCUGACGGAGCAUUCUUUUUCAAGGUGGUGAUGAGGCCAUCUCAUGUUAAGUAUGGCUUGGUAUGAUCCCAAGCUUAUUUACUCAAACUGGCAUGUCUGGAAAUCAAAUACAUUGAUGCUGUUUAUAUCUUUGCUUAUACUCUAGUGUAUUUCGAAGUUUACUGCAUUGUGUAGUAAACCACAUCAUAUGUUAUUUUCCUUAAAGUGUUCAUGGAUAUAUGCUUAAAACCAGGUAUAUAUCUUAACAAUGGAACAUAAGCUGGUGGUUGGUGGUUCGAAAAGAUAACAAUCAUCUCCUUUUUUAUGGUGGAUAGAUGCGUUGGAAAAGCAAUUGCUGAGGCAAGUCUUGAGAAUUAGAAUCCAAGUCCUCUUGUAUGGAGAAAUUCGACAAUGUUAUUCAAUGUUGUAGAGGUAGAAUAUAUAUGCAAAUCGCACUAGGAGACUGUUAAAAUUGACAAGCAAAUUGCAAAAUAUGUUGCUGCCUCCAUAACUAAAGAGAAAGACCUAAAAGAUAAGGGGGUGACUUGUUAUGGUUUUGAAAUUUCAUUCUAGAUCUAAUGACUGAUAAUUUUGUUGUCAAAUUGGAGAUACUGUUGUCUUUUGUUAUAUUAAUCAAAUUUGGGGGGAAAAAAGAUGAUUUUACUUUGUCAAAUUGAACCAAUAGAUUGAUAAAACCUUUUUUGAGCUGUGCUUGAAAGAAUCAAACAGCUUAAAAAUUUUCAAUUCCAUCCAUGUUCCAGUCAUCAGUGUGAUUGCUUUUUCCCGUGAUUGUGGUCUGUGUGGCUGAAAUUCAUAUGUUUUAAAUAUUUAAUAGGACCUGGAAAGCUUCUUCCAAAUGUGUACCCUAUUGCAUUCCGGGAGCAUAGAUUUGACCUUGACUUUGGAUUGAUGACUUUUUCGUUAUAUGGUUUACUGUCUGUUAAACUCCUGAAACUAGCAAGUUAUGCUUAAAACUCACACUGUGUACAAUUUGAUUCUCUCAUUAGGGUUUGCUUAUGUUUUGGUCUGUUCUUCACCAUAUGUUGGUUUUUUCCACCAUGUAGAUGGGUAGUUUGCUCCUGUUUAAUUCAUCACAUAACGUAUUCAGGAAAUUAAGCAAAUUUUGACUAUAAGGUAUUCAGACAGGUCAUGGAUGGUGAAACUAAGGAGCUGAGGACGAGAUUUUUUUUUUUUUUUGGGGGGUGGGGGGGGGGGGGGCACUUUUGACAAGAAAAAGUCAUCUGCAUGUAGAAACUCAUUGAUAGGGAUGAUUUUGUAUUCAGAGUCUACAUAUUCACUAAGGCCGGGUAGGACCUGGUUUUCAUUGAUUGAGAAGAACUCUGGAAGCGGUACUUUCGCUAGUCCAAAAUGAAUUAAGUAUUCCAAAUAAUAACUCCUUUAUAUAGUCUUGAGGAAUCAAGGAAGUGUACUUCUAUGCUGAUUGGUUUUUAUGAGGUUGAUCAUAAUCCAGAUUGCAUUCAUUAAUGCCACAUUCCUCAUCUGAAUGAACUGAACAGUAUGUGCUUCAAGAUGUCCUUUUUGGUUUAUGCAUUCUUGUUAUUUUGUUCUUCAUUUUGAAUUUGAAAUCAAGUCUCAUAGGCUUGUUAAGAUUAUGGGUUUCAUUUUACCUACAGGGAAUACCAAAGAGGUUCAAGAAAAUGCUUUUGAGAGAAUGGUGCAAUUAUUUGGCUUGUGGAAUUGGAAAAGUGUGAUGAGAUGAUUUGGCUAGCAAAGGGUUGGAAUGAAUUAGCGGAGCAUCACUCUAUCUGUGAGGGUCAAUUUUUGAUCUUCUAAUCUGAAGGGGACUCCAUUUUCCAUGUCACCAUAAUUGAUGAAAGGAUGUCCGAGAUAGAAUAUCCGCCAGUCAAUGUCGAUGUGAGGAACUGAGCCUCAGCAAUUGUAGAAUUGCCUUGCUGAAUGUGGAAGGUGCUUUUGAUUGCCGUGAUGUUUCAGUCGAGCUUGAAGUCUGGGGGGAUGAAUUGCAUUCAGCCAAGUGUCCUCGGUUCUGUAUGGAAAAGGAAUUUAAUCAGGUUUGCGAAGUUCAUGGCAGCUCUUAUGCACAUUCAUAAGCAAAGUUUGCGAAGGCAUAGAAGUUUGAACUGCUCAUCACAAGAUUUUCAAGGUGUGAAUCUUAAUAUAAUAGCUAAUUCUCCCCUUGACUAUGUUGUUCUUGUGUUUGAUUCGAAUUCUGUACAGGAACUCUCCAUGUUGUUAGGCUAAGAGAAACUGUGUUAGAGCUAAUUCAUUCUUGUGAUGUUUCUCUAUAGUUCUCCCACGUGGAGUAAAUUCAUUGGGAGAUCUCAAAAAUAAUGAUAACAAGCCAAGCUGGUCAUAUCAGAUUUGAUUGUGCUGAGAAUUGUAUUGGCGUACAUAUAGGCCUCAGGAAGCUAGACCAUUAUUAAGACUUAGAUCUAUUAAUUUAGGGUUGCUAUGUUGGUAGAUAUGAGUUUUACAUUACAAGAACAGAAUACGCCUAAAAAGCUAAAGCUUUAUUCAUGUUUUGUUUGCAACUACUGCAGGUAAGCUGAGAGAGCCGGGCUUGUGAAGAGCUUGAGCCAGCCAGCGAAUUUAUACUCGAUUAUCCUUUCUUCCAUAUUGCAGUGAGGUGAAUAUAUCUGAAGAAAAGCAAUAUAGUAAGAUCCUCAUGACAAUGACAACUCUUGGAUUUAAAUCAGAGAGUCGCUAGACUAUGUUAGCUCUAACUAUUUAAUCACGUGGCGAUAAUUUUUUUUUUUUUUUAUCGUUUACAUGGUUUUAAAAAAAAAAAAAAUCCUCAUACUGUCUUCCUAAGAUUUCAUUGUUUGUUUUCUCCUCUCUAAUGACAAAAUUGCGAAACGUCUACUUAUACAGAGAGUUAUCGGUUCAUUCCCGAAGAAGCACAUUAAGAAAAGCCCGCACACCGUGGCUCUCAUAUUUCCACACAAAGCACGGCUGUUGAAGCUCAUCAGCCAUGAAAAUUAUGGAAAGUCAUCUGCUGGUUGGGCCGCAUUCACGAGAGAAACUUCUUUGAAGGUAAAAGACAUGUGUGUGUUCGAGCUUUAUUGAAAGGGACGAUAUCAUGUUCAGAGUAUGCAUCUUCAGAACCACUGAAAAGACUUGGCCAAUUAAUAUAUCCAAAUACUAUACAGCAGAGUUGCUAGGCUGAAUUUGGCAAAAUGGAUAAAGGCAUGAGUUUUGUUCCAAUGAAUGGAAUGGUCCUGAAUGUGUUCGAUACCUUUCCUUAAUCCUAGACUUAAUAAUCACCAUGUGGGCAGGAGUCGUAAGUUGAAGAGAGCUGAUAACUAAUGUCGAUUCUGUAACUUCCAUCUCAGGAGACAAUCUCUCAAAUUAGGUGCUUCUUUAAGGUUUCUGGUGACUUAACCUGGCCUUUAGAAUUGUAAAUGGUAGUAACAUAGAAUACACUUCCCUUAAGCCAGCGCAACCAUGAUGUGCAAGCUCCUGUGAACUUACAUCAGAUUAUUUUCAUUGUCUCUUUUUGAUUUUUUUAAAGAUUUUGUGAUAAGUCUUCUCACAUGUGGGCGCAAAUUGAAGUUUUUUAGCUUCUUCCCAUGCGAAGAGCAUUUGCAAUUUAUUUUGUCAAAUUAACUAAAUUGUUAUACGCAUGGCAAAGCAAUUUCCAAUCUAUGUUACAUCUUUUCAUUGGUUAGUAAAUUAAGGAAAUUUUUACACCAAUGUCUACUAAAUUGCUCAUUGUUCAACUGUGGAAAGAAGAAUUUCUAGUCACCCACGUUAUUACCCUCGGCCAUGCCGCCAAAUGAUAUGAUAUCAUAGUAUAGAUAAAGAAAGUCCCCCAGCUUGGAAGGAGUAGCUUUGUUAUUUCUAUUUAUAUAGAAAUGGCAAGUAGUCCAUAUGCUGAUUCAGCCAUUCUGUGUUGGUUUUUCAUGGUCCUACACUUCCAGACCUCUCAUUACUCCUAAAUUAGCCUGCAAAUUCGAUUUAUAACUAUCCUUUUUCAAAAUGGUGAUUCCGCAACUUAUAUGAGUAGUCCGGUAAGAUCUUGAGCUUAAUUAGGCACUGGUAUACCUAGAGCUUAGUUAUAAUUGCUAGCACCAGUGAUACCACGACUGUUUUAGCAGUCGAUGUCUACUUGUUGGAGAUUUUUUUUUUUUUCCAUUUAUACAGUGUCUAUAGUUGAAGCCAAUAGCAUCCUAGAACAAUACUCAUUAAUAACAUGUAUUAAAAAAAUGAUGUUAGCUGUUAAUUUCUUUCAUCCUCAAGCACUUUCAAACAAAUAAAUUUAUCCUUGGAUUUCUUCGACUUCAAAUCAUUACCUUCUUGCUCUUUGCCCUCUGAUUUUGUCUUUGCAUUUCUCAUUUCACUUAUAUAAUUUCAUAGCUCGGUCGUUAAAACAUGUAAAUGUGCAGAGUAUUCUGGAUGGAUUCAUUAAGCAACAUAUUCAGGAGAAGCAAAGAGCAACUCUUAGGCAUUCCAACAAUGAAGUUCAUCGGGAGCCAGACUCAUAAGAGGGGCCUUGUCUGUGUCCUUUUCUUCUGGUUGAUGUGCAUUUCGGAGAGAAACUCGUAUGCGUGUAGGAAAUGUCUGCAUGAAUGAAUGAACAAAGAGAAUCACCUGAAGGCCUGCAUUCUUUGCAGCAAUAGCUUCUCAAUAUCAUGUGCUUAUCACAAAUCGUGACUCGGUACCUACACAUAACUAUGUGUUUUUUCUUCUCCACAUUUAGUGUCGAAAAUCCAUGAAGACACUACCUCAGAUCUCCAUGAUUUGUAUUUCCGGAGUCUUUAUGCUAAUCUGCCGUCAUAAGAUACAUGUGUACAAAAACAAAUGCAGCAAAUGGCCUCUCAUCAACGAAGAAGUUGCCUAGGAGGUGACCUUUUGGGGCUCACCAAUUUCAUACCCUGCAUUGUGACAGAAUGAAACAACACAUAAUAUUGAUACUAAUAACCAUGAACCAAAGCAGACCCAAAACAAAUUAAUUCAACCCCUCGAACAGCAGAGCAGGUAAUUAACAAAUAGAAUUCGAUGAGACUGAAUCAUCGACUAGUUAUCCUUGUUACCAGAUGGAACAACAAUUUAGAGAACAGCAGUUAAGCUAUGCAACAAUAGGUCACCCAUCAGAGUUUAUGAGGGCAAAGAGACAUCGAAUGGCAAAGCAAUUACUACUUGGGAACAGGACAAACAUGUCCAGAAUUUGUGAAUGGUUGCUUACCCUUCCAAACAAAAGGAGACAUGAAACUUUCUGAGGCUAAAACCAAAAAUUACAAGCUGAGUUAAGUAGAGUAAUUACAAUGGUCCCAUCCUGCGUCAACGAUCUUAUAAUGGGCACAUGUACCGUGUAUUUUUCUGUGCUUAUGUUGAUUCCAUCAUAAUAUUAAUAUCAACUGAAAAGGAGACUUUGAGUAAACACCAAUUAAAUUUGCAACCACGCAAAAAAUUCACUCCUUGACAACAACGCCUUCAAAUAAUGCAACUAAACACACUGCAUUAAUAAAUUAGUGACAGCCAAUCUGGAAAAACGGGAGGAUGAGGAAGCACUUUGUUGGAGGGACAAACCAGAAAUGUUACACCGUUCAUGAGCAACUCUCAUUUCGCACACCAUGAGCCAUUCUCGAGUCCGAUAGAUCCUGAGGGUGACGAGUGAUCUAACGAGGUGGGAUCCGGAAAACCUUCCUCCAGGUGGGAUGGCUAUGUCUUCAUGAGGCUUGGGAAUGAUGGGCACUGACUCCUGCUGCAGCUCCUCUCGAAACUAUAGGGACUGAUGUAUUGCCAGCCAACAUAUUGUUCAUAUUUGCACCAGAAUUUAUAACGUAGUCAAUCGCCUGCAUAGCGAAAUUGAAUUUCAUAAACUCCACAACAGGCCUGAGAACCUAGAAAGCAGCAUCGACUUCAACUCCAGAAACCAACCUCUGUGAUUGCAGUAUCAACAACCCUCUCAGGUCCAUGCUUCUGCCCAAAAAAACAAAAAAAAAAAAAAAACCUCGUUAUUCUCCGACCACCUCACCCAUUAGAAAGACUCUUAGGAUCUGCAGAUAUUUCAUCGUCAAAUGCAGUAUUCAGAGCCUCUCUCACAGUCUCCCUUUCGCUGCGGUGGCAUAACUAUGUAACGGCGUUUCUGCAUCACAACUUUUCCACAGCCUUUCUCUCAACAUCACAGCAUCGAAGCCUCUGGCAGUGGCUUUUCCUAUUAGAAUCAACAACAUCAUGCCCUCUCGAACUCGAACUUGCUCCCACCGUCAGAUAAAGCUCGCUAAUUCUAUCUCUCUCUCUCGAACGGGUAUCCUUAGAAACAGAGUCCAGCUUGGUCAUUCCAUCAAACACCUUCCUUGCAAACUCGACUGGAUUUUUCUCCGACCAAUUUUUUUUUUUUUCGCAUCUCUCUCUGGCUCUGGAUUCCCCUGAUUCAUCUCCAGCAAUUCAGAUCAUCCCCACAGUAAACCACACCAUUAGAUUCCACAUUUGAGUUGCGGCUCUGAUUCAAGUCCUCGCUUUCCUGUCCUUGCCCAUGUCUGGACCAGAUUUUUCCGUCGCGGGGCCAUCUCGGGCUUACGCUACCAUCGCCGCUGAACCAUCAACAGGACCAUUUCAUGUCUGAUUGAACUUCCGAGUCAAAUUCCAAUUCACUCCAGAAUAUGUCCUGUCGACUCUUUGCUUCGUUCUGCUCGCUCCCACUUCAUGCCGCCUUUCGAAAUUCCAUUAUUCCACCCAUCUAUGCCGUGCGCAAAGAGGGACGCGGGGUGGUGUUCGCUGUUUACAAGAGCCUUUUAUCCGAUUGCCAAGGCUGAGGUUGGAUGGAUCAUCAUCAUCAUCAUCAUCAUCAUCAUCAUCUGGAUACGAUUCGCCGAUUCGAAGGAUGAGAUUCUUUGGGUUUCGCUCUCAGCACCUCCACUGGUCUGGCAUCGCUUCUUCAACCGCAGCAGCCGAGGCCAAUCCGAGUCGUCAUCAUCCGAGACGAUAUGCCGAGCAUGAAGAUUGGCAGUGGCGAGUACGAAGAGAAAAACAACGGAGAAAUUAAAAAAAGGCGCGAAGCGAAGCGAUUCGGAUUUUGUGUGGGAAAACGGGGCGAACAGGUGAAGCCAGUGGUUGUCCUUUGGAUGAAAAGAAAUUGAAUUUGAAAAUAAAAGAGAAUAAAAAGGAAAAAUGAACUCACCGUCGUUUCCCGAAAAAGUCGGCGAAAAACUCCAAAUUAUAUUUAUUUUUGUCGCAUUUAUUUUUCUUUUUGUUACGCGAAAGCUCAAAAUUAUGUAUAUGGCCUAUUUACUCUAGUUCUUAUGAUGUCAAAAAUUUUAAAUUUUGUACCAAUAUGACAUAUUUAUCUUUUGUCAAGAUUUCGUAUGAUGGAUUUUAUAUUUUUUCUUUGGUCAAAAUUGUUCUUAUUUCAUUUGAUGUCAACACUAUUUACAUUUCGUCAUUCAUAUAGGCAGUCUUUUUUUUAACGAUACUCAUUGACAGAGAAUGAAUAUACACAUAAAUAGAGUUUGGAGUUUUUUGUGACAUAAAAAUAAAAAAUAACAAAAAACUUAAGAUGGAUGUGUCAUAGUUGGCAUAUUUUAGGAUUUUUAGUGAUUUUCCUCCUUUUUUUCUUAACUUCAUCAAUAAUCAAUCACAACUCAAAACCGAGAAUGCAUCGAUCUCUCUCUACUUGUUGCCUAUCGGCCAUCACCAAGCUUCCAUCACCUUGUCCCUCCUAGAUGUCCUUGGUGGUGUUUACGUCGGUUGUUCUUGUCCCCUUUAUUGUUAGAAAGGCACUUUCGAUUGAUUGCUCAUAUAAUGAAUUUGCAGCUUAAAAUUCGCUUUCAUAGAUUAUAAGAGUAUGCUUACUGUGACUUGUUCUAGCUUGAAUGAACGGUACUUUAAUAUCACUUGUGAAAGGAAAAUUCCACUUUUCUUUCUCGUAAUUUCAAUUCCAAAAAAAUAUAUUUAAUUUCCACAUGUCUAUUGGCUUGAGAUUUCUAUUUAAAUUUCCUAUUAUUGGAAAAUUGACCCAUUGUCAUUUCCAAUUAAUGGCGUAGGACGACUAAUGGCGUCGGAAAUGAUGGGAUUCUGAUUUUAAGUGAUCUUCGGCUAGGUAUGGGUUGUGGCCUUAUUAGCAAAUAGGGUGGGCCAGAGGAACUGCAUCCAACCAAGCUUGAUGCACUUACGACGAAAUUUCAACUAGGGAGAGCUAAGUGAGUGGGGCCACGAACCAGAAGAGGCCCCCUUUUUUAACACCCAUCAUUUUCUAAGAGUUCUUAUUUUUUAAUUAGUUUAUCAUUUAUUUUUUUAUCCAUUCUUUUUAACUGCUUUUUGUUGUUUUUGCUAUUUUCCAUUUUUGUAAUUUAACAAGGACGGACGCUUGAAUUGUUGAUAAAAAUUCAGGUGUAGACAACAUAUGUGAUAACACUAAAGUUAGUGCCAUGGAAAACUCAGUACUAUUGUAAAUUAGUUGUUUAACAAAUGUAUUAUGCAUUGAUUAACACAUUCCUUGUAAAUAUUUUCCACAAAACCAAAAAUAAUAAUAAGGAUAAAAAGAAAAAGCCCCUCCGCUCCUUAAAAUUAGUCAAAUCUAAUAGUAUAGAAAUCAAAAUUACAUUCUAUAUCGGCAUUACCGAAUUUUUUUUGUUAAAUUGUUACUCCCCCAUCUUCUUGUGAACUCAUCUUUAGCUCUGAUACCGCGAAGUAGUUUGAAACUAAACAGUAACUAACGUAUGGAACUCCUUAAACAUUAAUGGUUAGAUUACUUACUUCCACGAAAACCAUGACAAAAAUUGGGCAUGGGGAUGAGAGUGCGUAGUGAAAGCUUGUUUAAGUGGAGUCUGAUCAUUAUUUUCCUCUAUAGUUGCAGUAAAACUUAGCACUCGUGGACAUAUAUUAAGAUCAAUUAGUGCAGAAGCCAACUCAAUGAUCGCCAAGUUAAACUAGAAAGGGCUUAACCAAAAAUUUGAAAGGCAAAAGCAUCACAUGAUUCAUUCUAAAGCAAGCUCCAAAAGUGAUUGCAUCUCUUAAUAUUUCUAAAUAUAUAGAAUUUACAUAUUGAGAAAUGAUGAUGAAAAUGUUGUAGCUAGAAGCCCAAAUCAAGGUAAUGAGAUACAAGCUGGUCAAAAGCCAUAACUGUAAAUCCUACUAGAUUUCAUUUCCACUAUGGAUACAAUAUGUUCCUUGGUGGGUAGCAUAAUAAUUCAAGAGUGACAGAUUAUGCAUCGAAUCGAAUAAAAUAAUCCAAACCUAGAAAUAAGACCAGGAACCACCUAGACAUAAGACCAGGAACCACUAUGGUUUGCUUGUGAAGCCACCGGAACGAGCUACAAAACGAUUCUCAUUCAACUGGUCCGAUCUAAUACUUUGGUUUUGCAGCAAUCCUAAUGUCAAAUCUUGCGGCAACAUCAUCACCAUUGAAUCUAGCAUCAAUCGAAAGUGAAUCGACAAAUAUCAAAUUCCAAGACCCCAAUGUCGCAUCAAAAGCGACUUAAGAAAAUUGAUGGGAAGAAAAGAAGGGGGGAGGAGCCAUGUGGUGAAAAGAGGAGGAACGGCCUAUUAUUGGGACUACGGUGGCAUUGUCGAAGUGGCCCCCAAUCCUCAGAUAUGUCAGAGAUCGGACUUAUCAACAACGGUGAUAGUGGUGUUGAGGGCAGUAGCAAUGACCUUGGUGUGGGAGGGAGGAGAGGAAGAAAUGGAGGGGUUUCCAAGUAGUGUGACUAGAGGGACCAGAAAAUGUGAAAUCAAAAGGGAAAACCUAUCCCAAUUGAUUUGAGAAUUUCAGUUGCACCUAUGUAUUGUCUUACCUUUCAGUCUAAUACAUGAAUACUACCAAAUUAUAAAUUUUGGACAAAAUUACCCUUAUUUAAGUCGUCGGAAAACAUCAGUUGGUGGCUAGCACAUAAGCUUAGACCCUAAUUUGAGGCUAGUUUGGCCAGUUUAUGUGUGACGACCCAAACUCGAGGCAAUAUAGAGGGAUGGACUGAGAUCGCCUUGGUAGUACGCAGGUGAGGCCAAGGACAUGUCUCCCGUCCCACAUCGCUUAGGGGGAGUCCUAGGCUAGUUUAUAAAGGCUUGGGUCCCUUUUAAUUUGUAUAACGUGUUUUAAAACCGUGAGGACUCAAUGUCCAAAGCGAACAAUAUUAUAUAAUGGGGCUCGGGUCGUUACAAAUGGUAUCAGAGCCAACUCCCGACCGCAUGUGGGGGCCACAGCGAGGACGCUAUGCCUUAAGAGGGGGAGAAUGUGACGACCCAGAUCCGAGGCAGUACGGAGGAAUAGACUGAGAUCGCCUUGGUAGUACGCGGGUCAGGCCAAGGACAUGUCUCCUGUCCCACAUCGCUUAGGGGGGGAGAGUCCUAGGCUAGUUUAUAAAGGUUUGGGUCCCUUUAAUCUGUAUAACGUGUUUUAAAGCCGUGAAACUCAGUAUCUAAAGCGGAUAAUAUUAUACAAUGGGGCCCAGAUCGUUACAUUAUGCCCUAACUUAUAGAGCAAAAUUGACACUUUUCUUUUUCUCCAUAAAGGAAGCUUGCUAGAUGAAAACGGAGAAGCUGGACUUGAAAGAUUUGCAGGAAGACUUCUCGGCAACUUUGACUUAGUAAAACUUUUGGACUAUUAUCACAAGAAAAUUUAUCGGAUGAUGAUUAUUGUAUCUUUUGUUAUUUCAAUUUUGAAGAGCUUGAAUGCUUUAGGAUCUUAUUUCUCUUGAAUUCUUCUUCUUUACAGGCACAAUUGUCUGCAAAGAGCAUUCAUACGACACGAAUGGCAAAGCAAACAUCUAUUCAUGGUUAGUCAAUUAAACAAUUUUUUUACACCAAUAUCUACUAAGGCUUCAUCCAUUUUGUAAAAAAUAUUACGUUUUUGGAAAAUAUUUUCUAUGAAAUCAUUUUCUAAGAAAAUGAUAAUAUUUUCCAGUGUUUGCUUGAAACUUAAAAAUGAAUUAGAAAAUAUUUUCCACCGUUUGGUUUGGAAAAUUCAAUUUGAUUUCCCUUUGUGCACUCAUUUUAACAAAUUUUUUAUCUUUUAAAAAAUCAAUUUUUCAAUUUUUUUCUUCUUACAUCUUAUUAUAUUUUUUCCUUGUAUUUUUCUUUUCUUUUCCUCCUCCUUCUUCUUUAGUUGAUCAUCAUGGCCACAGUGACAGCCGAAAAGCUUGAGGCCUUGAGCCUCACCAAAUUGGCAAGCCAACGAGCCAAAGGCUCACACUCACUAACUUGGAGAGGCUCGAGCUCAAGGCCUUGGGCCUCGCUAGAUCGAUGAGCGAACUUGCUGCUUAGCAAAGGCUUGCUUGAUUGGUGAGCGAUGAGCAUAGCUUGCCAAUCUGGCGAACCCUAAGCUCACCUAUGGUUGGUUGCCGACAACUGGCCUAGACACAAGGAAAAAAAAAUAAAAAUAAAAAUGAAAGGAAGGAAGGAUAAUGAGGGUAUGAGAUAAGAGAAAACAAGUGAGGAAAAUGUUUUCCCAAACUUAAAAAGUGAACAACAUUUUCCUCUAUUUUAAAAGACAUUCUUUCAUUGAUAAAAAUAUUUUCACCAUCUAGUUCAUUCUUAUGAAACGAACGCUAAAAAAUCUAAAAAAUAUUUUCCUGAAAGUUAUUUUUCGCGAAAUGAACUAAGCUUAAAUUUCCACCGUGGAAAUUGGAUUUCUAGUCACCCCCGUUGCCCUCGACCAUGCUGCCAAAUGAUAUGGUAUCACAAGAAAGUCCUCCAACGUGGAAGGAGCAGCUUUACUAUUUUUAUUAUUAUAGAAAUGGGAAGUAGUCUCUACGUUGAUUGGGCCACUCUGAGUGGGUUUUUCAUGGUCUUUCACUUCCAAGACCUCUCAUUACUUUUUCAAAAUGGUGAUACCGCAUCUUAUAUGAAUUGUCUAGUAAGAUCUUGAGCUUCAAUCAUCACCGAUGUACCUAGAGCUCAAUUAUGGUUGCUAGCACUUACGAUACCAUGACCGCUUUAGUGUUUGAUGUGCGCUUGUUGGAGAUUUUUCUUCAUCUAUAUCGUGUUCAUAUAUAAUCCAAUAGAAUACUAAAAUGAUACUCAUUAAUAAAUGUAUUAGAAAAUGAUGUUAGCUAUUAAUUUCUUUCAUCCUCAAGCACUUUAAAACAGAUAAAUUUAUCCUUGGAUUUCUUCAACUUCAAAUCAUUACCGUCUUGCUCUUUGCCCUCCAAUUUUAUCUUUGGAUUUCUCAUUUCACUUAUAUAAUUUCAUAGCUCGAUCAUUCAAACAUGUAAAUGUGCAGAGUAUUCCGGAUGGAUUCAUUAAGCAAUAUAUUCAGGAGAAGCAAAAAGUAACUAUGUGCUUAUCACUACCUGUGACUUAGUGCCUCCAUGUAACUAUGUCCUUUUUCUUCUCCACAUUUAGUGUUGAAAAUCCACAAAGACACUACCUUAGAUCUCCAUGGUUUGUAUUUCCAGAGUCCCUAUGCUAAUCUGCCAUCAUAAGAUACAUGUAUACAAAAACAAAUGCAGCAAAUGGCCUAUCAUCUACGAAGAAGUUGCCUAGGAGUGAGCUUUUGGAGCUCACCAAUUUCCUACCCCGCGUUAGAACAGAAUGAACAGCACAUAAUAUUGAUAUUAAUAACCAUGAAGCAAAGGAGACCCAAGAUAAUUAAUUCAACCCCUAGAACAGUAGAGCAUGUGAUUAACAAAUCAAAUUUGACAAGAUGAAUCAUCAACUAAUUACACUUGUACCAAAUGGGACAAUUUAGAGAAUAGCGUUUAAGGUAUGCAAUGAUAGGUCACCCAUCAAAGUUUAUGAGGGCAAAGAAUCAUUAAAUAGCAAAGUUAUUACUACAUCGGAACAAGAGAGGCUUGUCCAAAAUUUGCGAUUGAUUGCUUACCCUUUCAAACAAAAGAAGGUAGGAAAAGGAUGGAGGAGACGUGAAGCUUUCUGAGGCUAAUACCAAAUAUUACAAGCUGAUGAAAUUAGUGUAACAACAAUCGUCCCAUCCUGCACCAACGUUAUUAUAUUGAGCAUGUGUCAUUGAAUUAUCUCAUUUUUCUGUGCUCAUGUUGAUACCAUCAUAAGAUCAAACUAAAAAGAAGUUUGAAUGCAUUAUCGUCAUGGAGUGGAUAGUUUGCGUGGAAAUUUACUCAAAGCAAUGUAACUAACACACUGCAUUAAGAAAUUAGUGACUACCAAUCCGAAAAAAGCAGAGGAUGAGGAAGCACUUUGGUUGGAGGAACUUACUAGUGAUGUUAUACAAUUCAUUUCGCCAACUCUCGUUUCGCCAACUCUCGUUUCGCAUGCCACGAACGAUUCUUGUGUCUGAUAGAUCCUGAGGGUGAUGAGUGAUCUAACGAGGCCAGAUCCUGUAAAGAUUCCCCCAGGUUGGAUGGCGACGUCUUCACUCAGCCUGGGAGUGAUGGGUGGCAACUCCUCUUGUCGCUCCUCUUGAAACUAUAGGGAUGACAUAUCGCCUGCUAACAUGAGUCCAUCUUUGCAGGAGAAUUUGUAAAGUAGUCAAACAACUGCACAAUGAAGUACACUCCACGACAGGCAUGAGACCAUAGAAAGCAAUGUUAGUUUCAACUCCACAAUAGGCCUAAGACUAUAGAAUCGAGGACUUGAUUACACUAAUUAAUCAGAUAGUGCCCUUUUGGUGUCUAAUGUUGUUCAUUUUACAAAAAGAUAUUUAUCAAGUAGUUUGAAUUGAUUUUAGAUCUAUCCCUAAUAUGUGAUUAUGCGGGUGCACAAUUAUUAUAAUAGUAACUAGCAACCAAGGACAUCGAAUAAAUUGCAUGGCAAAAUGAGCAUUUAUCUCUAAUAGAUAAGAAAGAUAUCAUUCCUAACUAGUAUAGGGGUAAACAACAAUAUAUAUUGAAAAGUGCGUAAUCAAGUGAUAAUUCUUGUCAAAAAAGAAAACAUUGAAAUCCUAUGGCAAAGCCCAAAGAGUUUGUUUAAAUAUUGAGCAUGAUUUUUUUAUCAAUGAUUUCCCACAAUUUUAAGAGAAGACUUCCCAAAAGACUAUUUUAAAGCUUUUUCCAAGGAAUUCUAUUUUUCAGAAGCUUUUUCUAAUUUUUCAUAAAAUUUAAACUUUUUAAUUCUUCUAAUUUUUUUUUUUAUAUUUUCAAAUCUUUAAUAAAAAUAAUUUUUUAUUCUGAAAUGGGGACUCUGGCUGGGCCCCCAAGGCCCUGUCAAAAGCAGGCUGCCGUCUGAUACCUCGUGGGUUUGGCAAACAAGGCUUUCAACAAGCUCAAUUUCAAAUUGAUCUAAGCCCACUUUUUGAAAUAAUUAUACUAAGCUCCUCAACUAAAUACCAAAACCAGCCCACAUUUGCCAAGCUUCAACUUGAGUCCAACGCCCACUAAUCCCAUCGCCUAAUAGGUCAACCCAAAAUCUCUGAUUUCACUUCCUCAUUCAUUAUGCCCUCCACGCCCCUCUCCACUGUUCCUCUCUCUUACGUUGUUCAUGUCCUCAUCUUCCGGCUCGAAGACGGCGACGAGCGGGCAAGCUUGUGACAAAUCGGGCUAUAUGGUAUGCCGCCUUAGUAUCUUCAAGCCACAAUCCUCGGGCAAGGGAGAAUUGAACCGAAAAAGAAACUCACCGACGACACAGAGAUAUGGGAGCAAAAGACGGUGUGCUCGAGCGCAUCGGCCAGAGGUUGUCGGAGAGGGUUCGAACGCGGCGGAGCUGCUGGAGAACUCCUUCUCGCUAUCGAGUUUCACUCCCCUCCUCUACUCUCACUCGGAUCUCCUGCUGUUCUCCGAACCUUCCUCGUUUGAUUCUUGCAGCCGUGCGAGAGAGGAGCGCACUUGACCAGCCCCACCUCCGGUCCUUCACCGCCACGACGUCACCUCCUCCACCAUCAGAACGCUACCACCACCGAAGAUAUCGAGAGUGCAGUCGGCUCUCUCUCUCUCUCUCUCUCUCCAAGAACCAGCCUCCCUCUGGCUCACCCUCUCUCAAGCUUGCUCUCUCUCUGUGUGGCUCCCGCGAGCAGCUCUCACCGUCUCCUUCUUGAGCAAUGCUUGCCGUCUCUGGUUUUCAGCCGAACCCCUCAAGAAGCAGCCCUCGCCCUUUCUCUCCAUCUGUUUUCAGCCGAUUAAGAAGCCCUUUAGAGCUCACUCCCUCUUUCUCUCACGAUCUCACUCACCGGAUCUCUCUCUCUCUCUCUCUCUCUCUCUCUUCUCUCCUCUCCCCCGGUUCUCUCCCGAGCUCAAGGAAAUAUCUAGUGGUUUGCUCUCACCACAUCAUCAGCUAACGUGGCGAGCAUUGUUUUGCUUCCAUCUAAUUACAGCUUGGCACAUAUUUGCUAAUAUGGAAUUUGAAAUGGCUAGUAGAACAUCUAGAGGAGGUGAAUAGCUGUGAAGACAUAUUUUUGCGAAUGCAGUAAAAAUGCUAUACUUUUAAACUGAGUUUGAUUGACUACAAACUUUUCAGAAGGGUUCUGAUUUUAACAACUAUUUUAAAACAUAGAAUUAUAUUGCAAUAAAUAAAGUAAAUGAGUUUAGGGAAGAGAAAAAUAAACACAAGAUUUAUAUUGGUUUGGCUUAUAUCAAGUCUACCCCUACUCUCCCACAUUGACAGCCUUCUGGCUGGUUUCCACUAUGAAUCGAAAGAGAAUGUUAUAGCCCUAUGAUCUCGACUUUUCAAUGAAGUGAUUCUACUACUCUCACAAAAUCACUCUCUAGAGUUUCUCUCUUUUGAAUACAAUUUUAAGCACUAAAUAAUGAAGGACAAGUGAUUUGGAAGCUUCAGACUUUGGAAUUCUUCUUUCACGCUCUCCUCGAAUGACUUGAUAAACCUCCUUAAAUACUCCUCUAUGCCUUCUCAGUUGUUGGCACUUUCCAGAGAAAUUCUUUCAAUCAACCUAUUGGACAGAAUCAAUCAAGGAGAUCUCGAGCCGUUUGAAGAUUGAGAUGAAAGCUAGUCAAUCCUAUUCGCCCAUACAAUCAGGAUCUUGAUUUUCAUAAGUAGAUUCUUUCGAAAUAAACUUGCCUUCCGAAAUGAUAUGCUUCUUCGAAAUUGAUUCCCAUUAAGAUUAAAUAGCGUCGUUUCAUGUAAUUUUAGUUCAUAUCACACCAUCACCCUUACAUAUAAGAUAAUCGGUCAUGAUUAGACUGACAUGUGAAACAAAUGAGACAAAACUUGGCCGAGAGAACUUGAUUACACUAUUCCUCAAAGAGUUAAGAUUAAAUUGGUUCAAUUGAAAUGUUUAAAACUCGAUUACAUUCCAUAUAAUAUGUUUAAUACCGCUUGUGCAAUUUUCUCAACAUACCAAAACACUAGUACCUUGAAUUUGAUGAAAAUAGAAGAUUCUUGUGUAUGUCUUCAUAUUGAUCAUGACACAAUCUUAACCUCGUAGAUUUCAUAAUAUCUCAAAUAAAUUGAUAAUUUGCUCGUCAAUUUUGAUCGUCUAAUUUGAUGUCCUCCCUUGAUCAUGAAACUCUAUUUCCACACGUGAAAAACUCUAUGCUAUUAAAGUAAUUGGAUAAAGUGAUGUUUCGAAGAUAUUUGUGUUUCAACAUUUAUCAUAUGGAUCUCAAGGGAAGAUCACAUAAUAGAAAGUGUGAGAUCAUUUGGGCUUAUGAGGAUAGGGUUCAUGCAAUUAAAAAACCAUUUUGUUUCUGCAAAAUUUGGCUCCUAUGGAAAUAAGGAACAUCCUUCACUCAUCUGUCAAGAUCAAUAUGAUCUUUUCUAUUUUCUUAUUUUUACAAUUGUUUAAGUUGAAAUAGCUCAUAUUUUUUCAUAUUAUCUAUUUUUUCUCAUUGUCUGUGUUUAUAUUUUGAUUUUUUGUAUUUAUACAUUGCUUUUUCAAAUAUGCAUGUGGGCAGAUAAUUCUCUUUGCAUUAUUCAUAGAAUCUAUUAAGAAAAAUAAUCGAAUUGCAACUCUUAGGCAUUUAAACAAAUCGUGCACGAUGGAGCCGAAGAUCCAUCACAUCUUGUCAAAAAGUUGAGGAUUGAAUUGUAUUUACCUUAUUCUCUACCAAGUCUGAACUAUAAUCAUGAGAGUUCGGUAGUGUCUCUUGUACUUUUAUAAGCCAUGUUUUUUUUUUUUUUUCUCAUAUUGCUAUCUUUUGACUAGUUUUUAGUUAAAUCGCAUCUUUUCCAAAUGGCAGGUACUUAAAAACAUGAGACCCUAUCAACGAUGAGCAUUUUACGUCACAUGAUUUGAUGAUGGCAUCCAGUUCUCUUGCUCUAUACUUUCGUUUUAUAUGGCAUCAUUGUUAAAGUUAUUAUUUCCAAGAAGGCUACAAUGCAUAAUUUCCCCAGUCCAAGAUUGAACCAUGUAUGCAAAAGUGGGGUCCAUAUGUACUAUUUUGUCUUAUAGAGCUCUGUCGUUGGAGAAUAUCUUUGCAUGUUGCUUAGGCCCAGAAGAAGCAAUUAUUUAACUUGACAUUAAAAGUCAAGAUAAUACAUGAAAAGUCAAUACUUAUUUUCAACAUAUGGUAUUAAUAAGAAGAACAUCAUUCAAAAUUGCUAUUAAUAUAUAAUCUCUACAUUGGCAUGUCGUUGAGAUCACCGAUCUCUUUAAUUCUUAAUGGGACAUCACAAGGUUUAUUUACUUCUAUCAUCCUGAUGGCGCAGUAGAGACACGACAUGGGAGGAUUCUGCAGUAGAUGAUUUGCAUCUCAUGUAUUAAAAAGGGAUUGAAAGAAUUAAAAUAUAUAUACACACAUACACAAUGUACAGGCACAAUUGACCGAGAAAAAAGAGUUCAAAGACCUACUGACAAUUUUCGCAAAAAAUUCAAUUACUACUAUGCCUAAAUUCCUUAUUAAUUAUCAAAUCCUGCUCCAAAUCUAGUUUGAGCCAUCAUUUAUUUUUUUUGGAAAAUGCAAUGAAUGAAACCCGUUUCUUUUAUUUCACAUGUUGCCCUAUUAAUUCGUGCAUGAUGCGUCGAGUCUGCAAACUACCUCUACUUUGUGGGCCAAUGCCAACACUUGUCCCUUCAAGCUCCAUUGAUGUACCAUGAAGUUCCUAUUAGUCUUCGCCAAACAAGAUGUGUUUGUUCGAUACUCCUCAAAAGGUGCGACCAUCCAAGUGCAUCAAGUCCAUUCAAAAGAUCAAUAAUAUGAUUCUAGUGGAUGCAUCAGGACAGACUAUUGAAGUGCACGAAAUGGAACAGCUCGUCUAUCAAUUUGAAAGAGGAAAGGACGAAAGUUUUGAUAGCUCAAUGAAUACUUCGAGUGAAUAGAAACACCUCACUGUGGGUGCUGUGUAAGGCAUCUUGUCUUGCACAAUGCCUCAUAGGCAUGCAUUAAUGAGUCCACUUUGCAUUAUUGGUGCGAGGCUUGCUCUCUCUUUCUCUGAAGAAAAGUCAAAGGAAAUUAUCGAUUGAAUCUAGCCUUCGAAAAUAAUAGAUAUAAAUACAUUAAAAUCAUAUCAAUAAGUAAUUUUUGAAAGAGCAAGAAUAGAGAGGUAUUAAAAAUAUGGCAAUUUUAUGAUAAUUAUUUCACAUUCUAAUUUAAUAAUUAUGAUGGGCAUAAAAAUCAGAUAACUUCAAAUUUAUUUUGUGAAUUGAGUUUUUUUUUUUUUUUUUUCACUUAAAGGGAUGCCUGGAAGGGCUUUCUUUCAACAAAUCUGCCAAGAUAAUACAUGAAAAGUCAAGACUUACUAAUGGUUAAUAUUAGUUAGACAUAAGGAUCUAAGUUAGCCAAAGUCUAAUGUGUCAAUAAGGAGAACAUUAUCAAAAACUACUAAUCGAUAGAUAAUCUCUAUAAGGCAAAUCAUCAAGAUCACUCAUCUUUUGAACUCUAAAAGGUACAUUACAUACCUCAUGCAACAAGGGUUAACUGAAGUGAAGAGAGAAGUUUGUUCAUUUAGGCCUCAUCAAGAGAGUUGUCAGUUUUAGCUUAAUAAUUGGCAACUCUUUUGCUUAAUGAAUCAUUGCCUCAAGAGGGGUGAAGUAGGGAAGUAAUGUUUGUCGACUGUAAAAGGAAAGAGGCCAGACAAGUGAGGGCACCCGGUCAGUUCAUGCAUUUAUGAAAACUUAGAUGUUUGUCCAAUAGUGAUGGACCAAAGGACGUAGAGGUAGACAUCGGCGAUGGUGACUAGUCAAGGAAAGGAAUAGUAAAAUGCAGAAAUCCAUCUCAGCUCUUGCAACCUAUGUAGCACCGACACGGACAUGUGACACGUGACACGGCACGACACGAUACGCCGACACGUCAUUUCUUAGAAAUAGAGAAUUCCGACACGUUCCGACACGUUAUAUAUUAAAUAUAUUUUUAUAUAUAAAUACAUAAAUAAAUAAUAAUAAAAAUAGCCUAGAAUUAAUUUACAUGAAAAAUAUUAAAUAAUAUCAUUCAUUAUUUUAAUUUGUUACAAUAAUACACAAAACUUAGAGGAAAAAACAUUGUUUAAAGAAAAAUGCUGAAAUGAUAUUUUUAAAUUUAUUUAUUUAUCAUAUAUAGCAUUUUUUUAUUACUUCUUUCAUAGUAAAAGAAUUUUUUAAAAAAAUAAAACAAUUCUAAAAAAAAACUGAAAAAAAUGACCCCGUGCGUGUAUAUUUAUAGCAAUUUUAUUACUUCUUUUGUGUAUAUUUAUAUUUUGACCCCUCAAGUAUUAGAAAUUUUUAAAAUUGACCCCGUGCGUAUUGGAAUUGCGUGUCGGAAUUCUGGACUCGCGUGUCGGAGCGUGUCGGAAAGAGUUGACCACGUGUCGGAUUUUUUGACACUCGUUGACCGCGUGUCGGAGCGUGUCGGGACAUGUCGGAGCGUGUCGGACACGUGUCGGAGUGUCGGACACGACACGAAAGCUUCCGGAGAGUGUCCGUGCUACAUAGCUUGCAACCACUCUCUAUUACUCUAUCUCCCUCUCCCACAACUUACCCUAAUUAAAGCAAUCUUUCAUAUAUUUGGAUGGUUGUCCACAAGAAGUGAAAGAAAGGAGGUGGAGACUUAGACAUUAGUGAUGGGAAUUGAUCAAGGAACAAUAAAUUGUAAAAAAGUCAUUCAUUAUGUAUAUAUACUUACGUUUUAUGAGACAUCUAUAUCUAUCGCUGGGUUGUUUAUAAGACGUAUAUCGUUCGUCUUGAUGGAGGCAACCGACAUAUAGAGGCCCUCUUGUAUUUUUUUUCCUUUGGCCAGUGAUGACAUGGGGGCAAUCUACUUACCACUCAACUUCCCAAGUGGAUCUCCAUCCAUACCCUAUCUCCUCUUUCUUCCUUGGGUUUUUGAGUCAUUCUUAAAUUUCUAAAUCAUUGGAUAGCUAGUAUUAGAACUCAGUCGUUUAUUGCAAAAUGUUGCUGUUUUCCAACGCUCCCUAUCCUUCAAAAAAAUUAAAAGUGAAAGAAAAAUUAGGGUUAUAAAUUAUCAAAAGCCACAUAACUUUAUUUAUCAAUAAGUGUAUAAUUUUGUAAAAUUUUAAAACUGAUUUGUGAUAAUUGCAAUAUUUGAAAAAUAAAUCUUAAAAGUAAAAUACCCGAAAUAGACCCAAGCAUUUGAAAGAAUUGAAAGAAUAGGGGAAAACUCCAAUUGGAACGACAUAGUACUGUAAGUGGUGACUCGAAUUGUUUCCCAUAUCAAUGCUAUCCCGUAAAAAGUAGCAUUGUUCAAAAAAGUAAACUGGUUUAGAAUGUUUAAUUUACUUAGAAGUUUUGAUCUAAAAUGUUAGUGGCAACUUCAAUUGUUUCCCAUUAAUUGUGUCCCGUAAAGAGUAGUAUUAUUCCAAAAAGUAAACUAGUUUAAAAUGUUUAAUUUACUUCGAAGUUUUGCUCUAACAGUUCCAUAUGAAGUUCCGUCUACUAUAACAAUUACAAUUGACAUUCUAGUCUAAUAAUUUGCUUAGUUAUAAUGUUACUUCUAUCACAAAAAAUUCAAACUGAUAUAUUUAUGACAAAUUUACCCUAAAUGAAAAACUUCAAAUUAAUAUACCUGUAAUAAAUUUACCCUCAAUUAGUUUAUGUUAAAUUUUACCCUCAAAUUAUUGAGUUAAAUGACAUAUGACAGCUAACAGGUAUACCAAUUUAGAUUUUUACCUUAUGUCUAUCACAUUUAUACUAGUUUUGGGUUUUACCCUCUAUUUAUCACAUGUGUACCAGUUUGUCACUUUUCAUGAUAUUAAUCUAAUUUCACAGAAACUAGGGAAGAGUAACUUGAUCACAAAUGAACCAAUUUAGAGUUUUUGAGGUUCAAAAAGUUAAUUUUUGAUAAAUUUAUCACAAGUGUAUCGGUUUAAGGUUGUUGGUGGUAAAAAAAAAAAUAUUAUCAAUUUGGAGUUUUUCAUUAUAUUAACAUUUUUUAAUAUGAUUUCAUUGACUUGCACAAGGAGCGGAUUUUGGAUUAGUACCUUAUUGGUGUUUGUCCAUUGAUAGUGAAGGAAAGGAUAAAAGGAUGGUUCAAAAUUACUAUAUUAGCAGUGGGAAAGGAGGAAAGGACGGAUUACUCAUCAAUGUUUGUCCAUUAGCUGUGGAGGAAAGGAUGGAGACAAGGACACGACGGUGAGGGUGAGAGUGCAUUUAGUAAUCAUUAUAUUCCUCAGAACAAUUUAUGCUUAAAAAUAUUUUUUUUUCCAAUUCUAUUCCCUUGCCAAGUUUCUAAGCAUUUGAAUGUAUUUUAAUAACUGUACAAAAUUUUUAUUCCUGGAUUAGAAAUAUGUUUAGUACAAUCCUAAUUUUUUUUUAUUUUACUUAGAAUUUUUUAAUUUUUUAAUAAUUUUUUCCUUUUCUUUUUCUUCUUCCUCUAGCCAGUCGCUGGCUAUAGGAAGAAGAAGAAAAAGAAAGAGAAGAAAAGACAAAAAAAAAAAAAAAACUUGAUUCUUGAGUCAUUCUUAGGAACAAAUAAAUAAUUUUUUUUCUGCUUCUUGAUUCUAUUCUAAAUUUACUUUAGGAAAUAAUUCUAUAUUCCGGAACAAAAACAUUACCAAACAGGACCUAAAGGAACAACAAUGUAGAAAAUCAUACAUUUCUAUGCUCAAAGUAUUGAUUGGUGUUUAGUUAAGGCCUAACUAUAGUUAGGUUAACAAGCUCCAUGAUCUAUACCCAUCUCCUCUUUUUUUUUUUUCUCUUGUGAUUUGAGUCUUUGCUACAAAAUCAUUUAUUUAUAUGUCCAUUAAUUGAUGUUUACAUUUUAAAAUGUUCAUUCAAUAAUCAUGCCUUUUAAUCGAUCACGUAAGUAUCAUAAUUUUUUUUAGAAUUUUUAAUUUAAAUACCGGAAAUCUGACGUGAUGUAAUAUUUUGGAUGAACGCUUUGAAAUAUUUUGUGACACUUAAAUUAGUACUGCACAAUUAUUAUAACACGUGCUAUCCUUUUCUCGAGAUCUUUAGCAGCAAAAUAUGCAAUGAAUCAUGAGAUUGAUUGAUAGGUCUAGCAAGCCUAGUGUAGCAUGCAACCACUUAGACUAAUUAUCAACUUUUCCAGCAAUAACUUUGCACUUAAAUCUUUUCGCUUUCUUCUUCUUUCAACGUUCUUGGUCUGUUCCAAUCUUUCUUUCUCUAAAGAACAAUUAUAGAAAAUUCCGAUCGAUGUUGUUGUUGAGAAUAACUUGAAAAAUUAUAUUGAAUUCAUAUCAUUAAGUAGUUUUUAAAAGAGCAAGAAGAAGGAGACAUUAACAAAAUUCCUACCAGACCAUAUCCUCAUAUGACAAUUUUAUGAUAAUUAUUUAACUUUAGGAUUGGCGCAAUUUUAUGAUUCUAUAAUGACAACGAAUGCUAAAUACACUUACUCUCUUUAACAUCAAUCUCUCCUCCAUCUUUACACUGGCCUGCAAUCCGUAGCGACCUCCAAUUCAGUCGCCACCCUUACCUCAAAGCUAACGUCGAGGUUGAGGCCCACUGUAUUAUCAAAAUAUACUUAUUCCUUAUAAUAAAAAAUUGCGCUUGCUUAAUACUAGGAUUAGUGCAAUUGGGCGAGGCGUUGUGGGAUUUCUAACUCAGGGACUGGAGGUCAUUUGAAUCUACAUGCAAACUGUUCAGGAUUGAGCCACCUAUACAAGCCAAAAACAUGAACUUAAACUGUUCAUGAAACUUGCAAGAUAACUUAUGGGCUUCUAGAUAAACUGGUUAUCAUGUCCGGGCCCUUAUAAAAGAAUUGCUUUUAUUUAGGAUGAUUCUAACUUUACAUGAUAAAAUUUUUAUAUGCACCUUCUUAUUAUGCAAAUUAUCCUUAAGAACUUAAUUACAAGGAAAACGUUCCUCAUGACCUUAAUUAGUGAUAACAUUUUUUUCAUUAGAAAUUUGUCAUGACAUUUUCAAAUAGUCAUAACAGAAUAUUGAUUUAGGAGCAAUUUCACAGUCUAAUCUAAUAAUUAUGGUUGGCAUAAAAAUUAAAUAACCUUAAUUGUUUUUAUUCACUUAAAGGGGCGCUUUGAGUGGCUUUUUCUCAACCGAUAUGGGAAAGAUAAUACAUGAAAGGUUAAGAUUUAUUUUCAAUUUAUGAUUAAUUAGAUAUAAGGGUCUAAGUCAGCCCAAAUCUAAAGAACAUUAUCAAAAAUUGUUAUUCAACAUAUAAUAUUUGGAUUGGCAAAUCAUCAAGACCAUUCCCCUUAAACCCUUGACAGGAUAUCCCAUAUCCUAGCGCGACAAGGGUAAUUUGAGUUGAAGCCAAAGCUUGUUCAUUUGGUUCUCAUCAAUGGAGUUGCCAGUGUUAGGUUAAUAAGUGACAACUCUUUUGCUUAAUUGAUCAUUUCCUCGAGAGGGAUGAAGUGGGAAAACAAGGUUUCUCAGCGGUAAAAUGAAAGAAGGAAGACAAGUGAGGGUACCCGGUCAGUUGCCAUACAUUUACGUACACCUUGAUCUUUGUCCAGUAGUGGUGGACGAAACGACGUGGAGAUAGACAUAAGUGAUGGUGACUGGUCUACCAAAGGAACAAUAAAAUGCAGAAAUCCACUUCUAGAAGAGGGACCUGUCAUGUUAAAGUCCGUAACUUUGCUUGUCUAUAAUCGUGUUUUGAAAAUUUGCAAUAUUUGGAAAAUAAAUGUUUGAAGAAAAAGACUCAAAACAGACCCAAGUAUAAAGAGAAAGGGGAAACUCCAAUUAGAAUGAGAGACCAUGUAACAAAAUUUGUAGUGACUUGAAAUGUUUCCCAUAUUAUUUUUGUCCUGUAAAGAGUAGCAGUAAUCAACAAAGUAAUCUUAAUAAAGAAUGGCAAAAGUUUAAUUUACUUACAAGUUUUGAUCUAACAAUUUUAAUUGAAGUUACGUCCAAUUUAACAAUUGCAAUUGACAUGCUAAUCUAACAACUUGCUUAAUUAUAAUGUUACUCCUAUAUUUUAGAUAUGAUUUCAUUGACCUGUGCAAGGAGCGGGUUUAGGACUAGUACCAAUCAUUGUAUAUCUAAUUAAUGAUGGAAGAAAAGAUGAAAGGAUGGAUUAGAAUGAAUACAUUAGCGUUGGAAAAGGAUGAAAGGACCAUUUGCGGUGCCAAAGGAUGAAAGGAUGGGUGACUCAUCAAUAUCUGCCAUCAGCGGUGGGGAAAGGAUGGGAGUGGUGAUGGUAAAUGGUCCACUAAAGGAACGAUAACGUAGAAAAUCAUCCAAUUCUAUACCCAGACUGGUGUUUAGUUAAGGCCUAAACUAAGGUUAGGUUAACGAGCUUCAUAGUCUAUACCCAUCUUUUCUUUUUUCCUUGAGGGUUAGGUCUUUGCUAUAAAAUUCAUCCAUUUCUAUGUCCAUCUAUUGGUGUUUACGUUUGAAACUUAUUUACUUAGGUGUCAUAACUUUCAAUUAAUCACUAUCAGUCAUAAAAUUUCAAGUAGUCAUAAUAAAUAAAAGGAUUUAUGAGUAACUUGACAUUAUAAUCUAACAAUUAUGGUUGGCAAAAAAAGAUUAAACAACUUCAAUUUUUCCUUAUGAACGAAGUUGUUUUUUCCUCUUACACUUGAAGUGAUGGCUAUGAGGUGCUUUCUAUCAGCAAAUUUGUGAAAAUUUGAAGGACAAUCCACAAAAAGUCAAGACUUAUUUUUAACUAAUGGUCCAUAUUAAUUGGGCAGAAGGGUCUAAGUUGGGCCAAGUCAGAUAUGUCAAUAAGUAGGAUAUUAUCAAUAAUUGUUAUUUAAUAUGUAAAUCAAUAACACAUUUUUACAUUUUAGAGAUAUUUCGAUUUAUGUACCACUUUGAAAACUAAAUUCAAUUUUUUACCAUUCACUUAGCUUAAUUAUAAUAUUAACUUCUAUAUUUUUUAUAUGCUUUCACAACCCACACAAGGAAUGGGUUUUAGGACUAGUACCUAAUUCUUUUUUGCACCCAAAACCCUUCGCCUUCUUCGUCUCUUGUCAUUCUUGCUCUGUUGUGCUCCUUCAUCAUUCUUUUUACAUCUCUCUGUUUUUGUCCCUUUCUUUCUCAAAAAAAAAGAAUUAAAAAAAAUAUUAGAUCAAUACAAAAAUCAUAUUAAACUCAUAUCAAUAAGUAAAUCAUUGAUGCAAGGAUCUAAGUUAUGAUUCAAUGAGCAAGAACAGAGAGCCAUUAGAAAAAUUCCAACCAUAUCAUCAUAUGUCAAUUUUUAUAAUCUGAUGUGAGUAUAUAUACCUCAAAUAAUCCACCUCUCGAGGAACUCCAUCAAUUUUACUUUUUAACUCCUUUUCUUUAAAGUGGAAGUCAUGAUGGCUUUUUCUUGGAUUGCGACAAACUUUAACGUUAAAUAUUUUGGACGACAACGCAUAAUCAAUUAUGAUAUUGACAUGCUUCUCUAAUCUUUCAUUGAUGCCCAAUCAACAUUAUCAAUAAAUACCACUUUAAAGUGAAAGUCAUGAUAGGGUUUUUUUUGCACUGAAGGGUAAAAUUCACCAAGACAAAAAAGAAAAAGAAAAGAUUCCUCUAGUGGGCCUUCCAUUCCACUAAAACCUAUGAAAAAUGGUUAGGAAGAUCUUCUGAAGUUGUUGUGAUGAUUGGUGUACAAACAUGCAUGUUGGGUGGGGGCUAUUUAUGCGCCCAAUUUAGCUUAAAUCACAUCCGUCUAAGUAAACUUAGUCAUUAAUGGACCCGACUUUUAUUUCGAAAGAGAAUAAUAAAUAUGCCCUUUUCAUUUUCUCUCGUAUCUAUUGCCUUGUUUAUUUUCUUAUUUACUAUAGACAUUUGAUAAGAGAUUUUGGUUUGAAUUUUUUCACCUACUCUUUUGAUUCCACAAAUUUGUUUAUGUAAGAAUUCAUCUGAAAAACGUAUUCAGCCUUUGAAUCAUAGAAAAGAAAAGGCUGAUUUGUUUAAAAGAAGAUUGGACCUUAAGCACGUUCUGAAAUAUUAAAUUAAAUUUAUGCUUUCAUCAAGCUUUAGCUAUAAUUUUUUCAAAAUAUCAUGAUCAAACGUCCAAUUCUUUUUAUCAUUUCUAGAAGAGAUCAUUUCAACAAGUUAAUUUGGCAAUAAAUUUUAUUUAGCUGAGUCCAUAUGUUAGUGAACUAAUAAAGGAUUCUCUUUAUACAUAUGUUGGUUUUGACACAUUAGAAGUUAUUUUUUUUAUAGCUAAUUCGUUAUUCCGCGCUAAUAAUGCUAGAAAGUUUGGGAGAUCACUGGGUGAGAGUUUCAUUUUGUGCAUAUUAAUUCCUUUUGUUUCGCUGCAUCUCUAUAGUUAUAUUAAGAGUAAUGGUAGUUGCUAAACAGAAGAAAGCAAUACGGAAGCCCGUCCAUAAAUUCAACUUGUUGACUAUCCAGAAUCUUUUGGCAUAUGAUGCGCAUAAAAAAUUGAUUUGACGGCCAACUGCGUGAAGUUACAAGUCAAGUGUUCUCUCUUUGUCAAACAGUACAGCGUGGUAAGCGUUAUAACUCCAUGUCACGUGGGCGCUGACACGCCGUGUAAACUACAUAUCCCGAGGGGAGGGUCGAAUCACCUGUUCACUACUUUAACGGCUGAUAAUCAUCUCUUUAUCCAUUCAUUGCCAAUCCACGCUUCCCUUCCCUCAUCCUUUUUCUCCGCUCAAAUCUCUUGGCUUUGUUCGUCUCUUGCUCUGUUUCGCUCUUUCUUCUCCUCGGCUCAACCAUUCUUCUUCUUCCUCCUCCUCCUCCUCUUCUUUAGUUUUUGCUGCUCUUCUCCCUCUCCGUCUCUCUUUUUUCUCGCUCUUUCCUUCUCAAGAAAAAAAAAAAUCAAAGAACAAUGUCGGCAGAUCCUGUCGUUGGUAUUGGAUGGGAUGUCUUGAAGAGCUAUGUAGUUGUUCCCAUCGAACGUGGAUUCGGACACGUGAUCUGCUCCAAAUGAUUCGCCGACCGUCUUCGGGGGGAAGUCCAGAAUCUGGAGAACGAGGAUCAGAGGGUCAAAAUUCUUGCGGACGAGGCUAGAAGGAAUGUUCGGAAAUUGCUCGAUGUCUUCACGACGUGGAAGGCAAGUGCUGAGAAGGCCUUGGAAGAGGCGCGAGAGCUGUUGGAUGACUUCGAAAAGGCGACCAAUACUUGCUGCUACGGGACUCUUCCCGACCCCAAAUCUCGCUACCAGUUUAGCAGGAAGGCCGAGGGCAAGAUCGAGGCCAUUAAGCAACUCACUCAAAAAUGCAUCAGAUUCAACGGAUUGAACGACAUCUCCUUCAUCGAUCCUGCUUUCACUUCUUCUGCCUUGACGUCAAUGAAGCUUGGGGAUGAUGGUGCCUUCGAAUCCAGAGCUUUGAUGAUACGGAACAUCAUGGGCGCUCUUGCUGACAACACUAAUAGUGUGGUCGGGGUUUAUGGGAUGGGCGGGAUCGGCAAGUCCACCCUUUUAAUGGAUGUUGAAAGCAAAGUAAGCGAAGAGAAGUCGUUUCAUUGGGUCGCGAAGGCCGACGUGUCGGAAAAUCCAGACAUCAAGACGAUUCAAGGAGAGAUUGCGGAUGCAUUGGGCCUUCAUGAGAUAAAGAACAAAGAGACUAUCAGCGGGCGAGCCAAACUUCUGCACGGGAGAUUGAAAGACGAGGAGAGGGAGAAAAAGAAGGUCCUCAUAAUACUGGACAACCUGUGGGAGGGGCUCGACUUAAACAAAGUCGGCAUUCCUUGCGGACAUGACAACAAAGUCAUGGGAUGCAAGUUGUUGAUGACGUCGAGAGAUCGUGAUGUUUUGCGAAGGAAAAUGGGCUGCGACAAGGACUUCCUCCUCAAUGGGCUAAAGGAGGAAGAGGCAAAAAGAUUGUUUGAGAAGCUGGUGGGAGCCAAAGUUCAUGAUGACCAGUUCAAACCUCUGGUAAAUGUAGCACUCGGCAAAUGCGCUGGUGUGCCUUUCCUAAUUGUGGCAAUGGCAAAACGUUUUAAAGAUGCUAAUUUAUCUGAACGGAAAGAUACUUUGAAAAAAGUCGAGAAAUUUAAAGAUAAAGAAAUCAGUGACUCAAUACACCAGAUGUUGCAAUGGAGUUAUGAAAAAUUAGAAGAGGAGGUGAAGUCCUUAUUACAACUAUGUGUUGUUUAUGGUAUUUCCAAGCCUUCUCUUGAAAACUUGGUGAGGUACAGUGUUGGUUUGGGGUUAUUUCAAGAAGUUAGCAGCAUGGAAGAAGCUAGAAAUAGAUUAAGCUCACAUAUCCGCACUCUUCAAGCCUCCUCCCUUCUGUUAGAUAGUGAAGAUGCUUAUGGUUUCAAGAUACAUGACUUGGUUCGUGAGUUUGUUGCCUCCGUUGCUUCAAGAGAUCACUCUUUUUUCGUGUUGAAAGAUAAAGAUAAGUCAAUAACAGAGUUGCAGAAGAGCAAGCUCAAAAGUUAUAGGGCAAUAUGCUUUCUAUACGUCGACAUGAAAGAGCUUCCCAAAGAAUUAGAUUGCCCUGAGUUGCAGAUCUUUUUGUUGUUCACAAACAACAGAUCUCUUAAGGUCCCAGAUUCAUUAUUUCACUCUAUGACGAAACUCAUGGUCUUAAAUCUCACCGGGAUACAUCUCACUUACUCGCCUUCAUCGCCAUUUCAACUGUUAGAGAACUUACACAGUCUGUGUCUUGACUGUUGUUAUUUAGAUAAUGUAGCCGUUCUUGGCAAGUUGAAAGGGCUACAAAUUCUUAGUUUUACAAACUCUAAUAUUCAUCGAUUGCCAAGAGAAAUCGGGCAACUGGUAGAGUUGAGGUUAUUAGACUUGAACCAUUGUCAACUUCAGAUAAUUGAACCAGGGGUACUUCAAAGCUUGAUCAAGUUGGAGGAGUUGUACAUGAAGAAUAGCUUUAAUCAAUGGAAUAUCGUGGACCAAACUCCACCAGCUAAUGCCAGUCUGAUUGAGUUGAAUCACAUGAAUAAUCUCCACACUCUGCAUGUUUCCAUUCCUAAUCCAAAAGUGCUUCCAGAGGAUCUAAACCUUGAGAAAUUAAGCAAGUAUGAAAUCCAAAUAGGUAAUGUGUCCUACUGGUGGAGCAGGUGCAAAGGAUCUAGGAUAUUAAAGCUCAAGUUGGAUCCAUUAGACGAUGCUCCUUUGAAAGGAUGCAUUCAAAGUAUCUUAGGCAAAACUGAUCAUCUGUUUUUGGACAAGUUGGGUAGAAAUGAGCAAAGUAUCUGUGAGUUAUCCCAAAAAGGUUUUCCAGAAUUAAAGCAUCUACAGGUCAUGAAUAGUGCUUCUAUCCAUUGUAUCCACCAAUCACCAUCCCAUACACAUUUUAAGAUGUUGGAGUCAUUACUUCUCAAGAAUCUCAUCAACUUGGAUAAAUUAUGCAAUAGCCAUAUCUCAUCGAAGUCCUUCAGUACAUUAAAAGUAGUAGAAGUUGCACGUUGUGACAAGAUGGAAGUAUUGUUUCCUCUUUCAGUGGUGGGAGGACUUCCACAACUAGAAGAGAUUAAAGUUGUUGAUUGUAAGCAAAUGCGAGGGAUUGUAGAUGCUGAUGAUGGUGGCAAAGUUGAGUUGCAUAAUUUGCGUGUAUUGGAAUUGUGUGACUUGCCAAAUAUUAAGAGCUUUUUUGCUAUAGGGACAGCUCCUUUGAGUAGUGCAUUAUACGACCAAGUUGGCACCCAAAUUGCAUUCUUCAAUGAGCAACUGGUAACCUUCUUUCAAAAGAAUAUGAUACUUAUUUCUAUUUUCUUCCUUUGUUUAUUAGAUGUAACACAGAUUAUGAUGCUUAUUUAUUUUGUUAUUUUCAGUUUAUUAUCUUCCUAAUUGCCUUAUCCUUUCAUGCCUUGUCUAUAAUUAGUUAAAGUAAUCUUCCGUUUCACUUAACUGUGUAGAAAUCCAACUAAUUGUAUAAAAUCCAUGUAAAUUUAGUUUGUGAUAGAUUUUGAAUUAUUUUAAACUAACAUGCUACAAGUAUAUCUAUAUUUAUAGGGUUUCAUGAAGCAAAACUGAAGAGUAUUUCAACGUUCAAGUAAUUUCAUAAGUACAGUAAUUUUUAAUAUUUUGAAAUGAAUCCAUUGAAUUUAGUUAUCAAACUUUGUUAUUAUCCACGAAAUGUAUAAAAUAGGUGACUCUUUUGAAAAUCAAUAUGAAGAAUGGGAAGGAGAACCGCUUUUUAAAUUAAAGCAACUAUACUAAUCUAAUUUAUGCAUGUCUUUUGUGUAUUGUGUUUAAAUAAGCAUUCAAUCAUCGCAUAGGGCCAAAAUUAUAAGAAUACAAGUUUUUGUGCAUUUUUUUUUUAAUAGUGAAAGUGGGCCUAGGCAAUUCUAUGACUUAUAGUGAAAGCAGGCCUUGGCAAUGGUAUGAUUUUUAUUAUGCCACACCAAAGUCGUCAUUGCAAAAUUGAAAUUCUUGCCGUCGGAGUUCCAAACUGAUCUUUACAUUUCUCUAGUCCAUACAGCAGAAUUAAGGCUGAGUAGCUACAAUAUCAAAUGAUGGAACUUGAUGCCUUGAUGGAAAAUCCACUGUCUUAAAGUCCAAAUAAUUUUAUAGAGACUUAAUUCAAAUGUUUUGAUGGGCCUAGUAUUUUAAUUUGGCUACUUGGUAUGUCUUAGUUUAAUUUCCAAAGCUUCAAGUGCUCCACAAUUUAAUCUUCAAGAUAUUUGUGGUGAAAUUUGAGUUUUCUUUUUGUUGAAUCCAUCCAAUUUAGAUUGUGAAUUUUAUGUAGCUUCUAUAUCUUAUCAAGAGAAACUGGUGGUUGCCCAGUCUCGUGGGACCAUAUGUGGUCAUUGUGAUUUCUCUUUAUGGCGAUUUAUAAAUCUAAAUAUCAAGUUCUUUAACUAAAUGUCUUCACAUUUGGCCUUUAAAGUAUGUAUGGAUAUAUUUGUACACAAAUCCACAGUUUGUGUUUAAUAUCCUAUUAAAUUGGUUAUUGAUAGUGAUUUAUUAACAUUAAAAGAAGUUAAGUAAAUUGAGGAUAAAUAAUUGUCUAAUUAAGGAAAGCACAUGGCUAUUUUAUAUAGGAAGUAGUUGCUGCUGGUGGAGCCUUUUGGCUCACUACAUAAGAUUGCCCUUUAAUUGUGGUGUGAUUAUAGCUGAAGUUGAUGGUGAGGCCCAAGACUUGCGCCAUAUAUUAGUUUCCCCAUCAGUAAAGAAUCAUGGAGAUUUAAGUUGAUGGUGGGUCCCUCAAGACUACAUGUCUAAGUAUCUCCACUUCAACCUCGACUUUUCCACUUCGCAUGCAAGAGAGGAGUUAGAUUGGGAGGGUUUGCAAAGAGGCUUUGGUGCUUUUAAUUUUCAAGCGUUCGAAAUCUUUGUUAAAGAAUUUUACUCUUGCCUUGAUGCCUUCUCAUUUUGGGCGUAGAAACUAGGGCUGCAAAAAUCUAUGGGAUUAUAAUGAAACGUUUCUAAUAAUUGUAAUAAAUCUCUUCCAACGUUCUAAAGAGGUGGAGCCGAUGAAAGUAGCAGUGGAAGGUUGGAUUGUCGGGGAUGACAGUAGUUGAACAAAGAAACACACAUAAGUUAAACUUGUUGUAAUAGAUGGGAGCAUUGGGUGAUGGUAAGGUAGAUGGGAGAUUUCAAGUAACUUUGCAGAAGAAAGGAUUUUCUCAAGUUGAAGCGGUGAACUUUUGAAGAAGACUAGUUACUCUUUGCCCAAAAAAAAAAAGAGAAAAGAAAAUAAAGCUUUUGAUUGUGAUUUAUUGUUCAGAAGGAGUAAAACUGGCUCACUAAUCAAAUUAAUCUCCACAAUCAUUUUCCAAGUAGAGAUUGGAGAAAGAUUCAUUAUAUUGUUUAGCAAUAACACUAGUAUUGAGAUUUUCUAACUCCUUUUUUAUUUUAUUCUUUUUUUUCCCCUUCUGUGCAACUUAAUAAUGCCCUUCUCUUCUUGGCACACGUAUAUAUUAACAUUUUGGAAGUUCCUAAAUUCGUGAUUUAACCGAAUCACCAAUUCUAUGAGUGAAUAAUGCAGGUUGCCUUUUCGAAAUUGGAGACAUUAGUAAUAUGGGGCUUGGAUAAUGUCGAGUUUUUGUUUUUCGCAUCCAUGGUUAAAUCUCUUGCACAACUGGGAGAUCUACAGGUAUCUUACUGCAAAAAGAUGAAGGCAAUCAUUACAAAGGAAGAAGGGUUGGGAUUGGAAAUAUCAGAAACUCUGGCAUUCCCAAUGUUAACUAACUUAAACUUAAAUCAUUUGGAAAGUUUGAUGUGCUUCUCUUGCAAAAAGUGUAAGAUUGAUUUUUUGUUUUCAUCACUAAAUAUCUUCUUGUAGAUAAAUUCAUCCUUGCAAUACAAAUGGCAACAUUCUUUUCAUCCAUUGAAAAACUAAUGACAGGUUCACGAGAAGCUCGGAGUCAAGACCGCAUCAAGUCAUACUCCAUUGCACUCUUUAGUAAAGAGGUACAUGAUUAACGUUAUGCCAAAAUAUUAUAUAUAACAAAAGUAUUAAAUAUGCAAAAGACAAAACACAGCCAACAUAAGAACUAACUAAAUUACUCACAAAGUGUACUUUAAUUAAAAUAUUUUAAAGAAAAUGAGUCGCAUACAAACAUAAGUAUUGAAAGUUGCCAACACGUAUGAGUUGCAAUUGUUUAAUUUUAAUUUCUCCUAAAUAGUUUCCAUAAAGAUGGUCAAAUAUCUCUUAUGGUUAAAAGCUUGUCGAUGUUCAUGGGAAACUUAAAGCUCUCAGCAACCUCGCAUGUACAACAUCGACAUUGCACGCAUGCACAUUGAAAGCAAUUUAAAAACAAUGGAGAGGAAGUGAGCAGUAAGGUUCGAGAGGUUGUAGAUGAAAGGCCUUUAAGGUACUCACUUGACUUCAUUUGCUCUUAAAAGAUCUCUCUUUUUUCCCCCCUAAUCGAAGGAAGCUUUACUCUCCCUUAAUUGAACCAGCAAAAGGUAUCUGAGUCCUCUCCAUUGCUAAACUGAGCAAGAUCUCUAGGGACUAGGGCUUCAGAAAUCACCCCUUUUAGUUUUAACAUGAGCUGCAAGACCAAAGUGAUCAAUUCAGUGACUUCUCUAAGUGCACUGCAAUUUCAUUGAAUAAUUUCAUCCAUACUGUAACUUAAAUAACCAUCUCACAAAUGUUAUGUACACUAACUAUUUCAUCCUUUGGUUAGCAAAAAAAGCACAAAGUGUAAUUUGAUUAUUUUGGGAAAUUGACUAAAUUCAAGAGAGGGAAUGACAUAAUUUAAAUUUGGGAUUAUGAGGGACUAAUGUGACUAUGUGAUAGUUAAGGAGCAUAUCCAAAUUACCAUUUUGCCAUUAUCAACAGAAUCUAGUCAGAAUUCCUACUUUUUGACUUGUUUGCGGUAAAUUCCAAUAGCCUUCUAGUCCUAGAGUCAUCAACAUUAGUAUGGGCAUUUUUUACUCUUUUUUUUUUUUUUUUACUUUACUCUUCUUCUUUUUUUCCUUUUGUGCAACUUAAGACAUAAUCAUCAAUUUUAUGAAUUCCAAAUUUACAUCUUGACACUCAUCUAUCUUGGAAGUUCAUGAUUAACUCAAUCACCAAUUCUGUGAACGACUAUCGCAGGUUGCAUUUCCUAAAUUGGAGGCAUUAGAUAUCACUAGCUUGGACAAUAUUGAGAUGAUAUGGGAUAAUAAAGUUGCUGCGGAUUCUUUCCCCAAGCUAAAAUCCCUUUGUGUGGUUGACUGCAAUAAGCUUGUGAGCGUAGUUCGUUCUUUCAUUCUAAGAUGGCUCUUGAGCCUGGAAAGAUUGGAUGCAAGAAGAUGUAAUUCGCUUGAAGUUGUUUUUGAACUUCAGCCACUGAAUCAUCUAGAUGGACAUCCUAUUGCUCUUCCAUUUGAAGAACUGACGAUAUCAAGAUUACCAAAGCUAAAGUGCAUAUGGGAUAAGGAACUCCACUGUCAAAUUAAAUUCCAGUGUCUACGUUCUAUUAGUGUUUCAAGAUAUGAGGGCCUCACCUAUUUAUUUCCAACCUCAGUAGCUAGAGAUCUAAUCCGACUUGAGGAGUUGGAGAUCGAUGAAUGUGGCAUUGCAAAAAUCAUCAAGAAUGAAGAAGGAUUAGUUCCCAGGUUUGUAUUCCCAAUGUUAACUUCCCUCAAGCUUAAGUAUCUGAGAGAGUUGAAGUGCCUCUACAUUGGAGCACAUACUUCCCAAUGGCCGGCAUUGAAGACCUUGAACAUGCGUGGCUGUGACAAAGUGGAGAUACUUGUAUCGCACUCAGUAAAUGAGAUGCCACUUGAUAAACCGCCUUUCUUCUUGAUAGAAAAGGUACGAUCGAAGAUUACUUCUUUUACUUUUAUGGUGAAUAUUUUGAAGUGAUGAUUAAGGUCACAAUCAAGCAUCUCAUACAAGUAGGUCUACGUAGGAAGAUGUAAACUGUACGACUCACCUUCAAUUUAUAGAAAUAUUUCUACAUUGAAACAUCACAUGUUCUUCAAUUGUUGACCGAACAUUCUUGUCAGAUGUAUCAAAUGCAUUUUUAAUGAUCCCCUUUUAAUAAAGUUUUAUGCUAAUUUCGAUGGUUUAGCUCUCUCCUAAGUGCCAGAUGAAAACACAUGGCAUGUGUCGUGAUCUUAGCAUGGUACAAGUGUAUUGUCUAAUUUGAAUCCUAUAAAGAUUACCAAAGUUUUGCUAAAAAUGGAAAGAUGUGACGUUUUUGUUGACAUUAAUCAUUGAAAUUUGUGCACGUGCAACUGUAAUUAAUGCAUAGGUUAUUUUCACAAGGGAUUUAUCUUUAGAAUUGUGAACAUAAUGAGUUGCUUAAGCUCAAAUAUGGAUCCAAGUUGAAUAUAAAGAUUAUUGAUAAUGUUUAUUUGAUGUAGGCACAUUUCCUUUUAUUGAAUCACAUGAGACUCAACAUUCUAUAAAUGAAGUUAUUGCGCACAACAUGCAGGACUUAUAUCAUAGUACAUGAAUGCUCUUUUAACUAAGUUGGCUUUAAAUUAUGAUUUGACUAUUUUCUCAGGGCGGAUUCCCUAGUCUCCAAGAGUUAGAAUUGGAUUUAUCGGAAUGGAUGGAGAUAUGGCAUGGGCAUUUUCAUCAUGGAGCAUUCUUUUGCAAGCUUAGUUUGCUUAAGCUUCAUCAUCUCUCCCAGGAGUCUUUAAUAUCCACAUGUCGCUUUGUUGAGAGUUUAACCAACUUAAAAGAGCUAGUUGUAUGUGAAUCUUAUCUAGAAGACCCAAGCAGCAGUGAGGAAGCCAUAGAAGGCACAAGUCAUGAGAUGAAAGUAAUAUUACCCUUUUCAAGAUAUAUUCGACAUUUGCAAACUCUAGAUGUGUCACAUUGUGAUGGGUUAUCAAAAAUGUUCACACCAACAACUGCUGAAAAUUUGGUGGCACUCACAAAAUUGAAGAUAAGUAAUUGUAGAAUGUUGACAGAAGUCAUUAAUGAUGAGAAAGGUGGGGAGGGGUGUGUGGUGGCUUUCAAUCAAUUGAAGUAUAUGGAGCUUGAUGGGUUGACAGGGUUGAGAAGUUUCAGCUCACGGAGAUAUACUUUGAUGUUCCCUCUCUUGGAAGAUGUCAUUGUGACUAGGUGUCCCAACAUGAAGUUUUUCUCUCAAGGACCGAUAGAGGCAUCAAAGUUAAAGAGAGUUCGAGUAUUAAAGGAAGCGUGGUUUUGGGCAGGAAACCUCAACAUCACCAUCCAAAAUAUGUUUGAAGAAAUGGUAUGCAUCAAUUACCAAAUUCCAUGUAUUUGGAUGGUUUUGACCAUUAAAUGAAUAAUUGCUUUUUGCUAGCUAGAAGUUUACAUUUAAUGAUGCAUUUUUUGACAGGUUUCCUUUGCUGGAGUAAAGAAAAUGCUGCUAUCUGAGUUCCCCAAGCUGAUUGGAAAAUGGCAUAACGAACUAAAUCCCAUCAAGUCUUAUUGGCAAUUAGAAUCAUUGGUGGUAGAUAAAUGUCCAUCAUUUGUUAACGAUAUUCCAUCUAGAUUGAUGCCUGUUUUAGAAAAUCUGAGCUUUUUGCAAGUGCGUGAUUGCGAGUUGCUUGAAGAAAUAUUUGAUUUGGAAGGGCCGGGGGCAAUGGAAAGCACUAGAGUACUACCUCGGCUACAUGAAUUGAACUUGGCCAAUCUACAAAAAUUGAGGCGACUAUGGAACAAAGAUCUUCAAGAAUGGCCUCACUUCAAUUCUCUAGGUUAUCUCAUCCUUUAUAAUUGCAGCAACUUGGGACAUGCUUUCACUCCAUCGAUGGCUCGAUGCCUUGCCAAUCUUGAACAGGUGGAAAUAAAGGAGUGUGGUCAGAUGGAAAGAGUGAUUGCAGAGGAAGAAGGGCAAGGAAGCAUAGUGGAGAAGAUUACAUUCCCAAAGCUCAGGUGGAUGAAACUAAAAUGCUUACCCAAUUUGACUUGUCUUCUCUCGAGAAAAAAUCAUACAUUGGAAUGCCCCAAAUUAGAAUCGCUAAGCAUUGCCCAUUGCCCUAAGAUGAGAAGUUUGACUAGGCAAUCCCGAAUGGAGAACGACCACAGCAACCCUUCACUUUACACUCCCCAGGUCAGUCUUUUAAGCAAAUGCAUUUUUUGGCAUUUCAUUGGAAACAUAUUCUCGUAGUAUUGGACAAUGCACGGUAUGAUGCAAAUUUAGUGCUUUGUGUGGGUUUAUAUACAUAUCUUCUAAAAUUAUUCUAAUCCUCAAUAAAUAUAACUAUGAACCAUCCAUCUCCACAUCCUUUUAGAAGUGUUAAAUUGGCGUCAGUUCAUGAAAUCAUUAUAUUCAUAGUACUUUAGAAUUAAUUAGCGAGGUUCUUAAAAAAGUUACCACAAAAACCAUAUAAAGACAUUUUCUUUUUGCAAUUUCAACAAUAAAGAGCUAAACAGUAAACAUAGUAUAGCAUCUAAAAAUGACAAAAAAAUGUAGUAUUGCCACUUCAUAUUUUCUUGCACGGAAGCAAACUAGCAUCGUUCUACUAAACAUGAAGAAAAGGGGAAAAGAAAACUUCAUAAUGUAAAAGCUUAGUUCACAAAUUGCUUAGCAAUGACAAAUCAUUGUACCAUAAAUCAUCUUCCCAAUCAAUGAAAUUAAGGGAAUUGGAGAGGGCGGCACUUUUAAUUGGAGUGUUAUAAACUUCAAUGAUGAUUCGUGCAAUCAACUUUUUUAUUUCUUAAUACUCACCAAUGCUUGAGUUGGGUCUUCAUAAUAAAAUAAAUACAAAUAAAAAGGUCAAUAUGCAUGGAGCGAUUUGUCUUCUUCAUUCAUAAAUCCUACUUGAAUUGCUAUAUUCCAACAAUUUAUCAAGUUAGGUACCUGUGUUAUGCAAUAAAUAUUAACUUUGAAUAAUUAUAUUUAGUGAUAAUUAGUUUGAUAAUGUGCUCAAUUUAUAUUUGGCAAGAGAAAAGGUAGAUUGCUUUUUCCAAGAAAAGUAAUGGCGAAAGAAAGGAAAAAUAAAUAAAAGAGAGGAAAGGACAGCUGGAUGAUAAAUAGUAGCAAUUCUGUGGGCGGUUGCCGACAUUGCAAGUCUUAUUUUAUAACUAGAUGACAAUAUUUAGUCAAUGUCCAAGCUAAAAUAAAAAUUUUAAAAAUCAGAAUAAAUUAUCCAAUUGACAACAAUACCGAAGAGAAAAUAUUAGGUGCAUUGAAUAUUCCCCAUAAGAUUCGUACUGAAUAAUCCGCAGAUCAACACAUGGCAAAGCCAGGCCCGCCUCUCAAUUGAACCAUCAAAAUUUUUGCUCCCCCCUUUGUUCAUUUACGUCCUGUCACUGGAAAGCUCUGCUCUCCUCUUCCUAGUGUGGCUCUGCUCCCUCUCUCUCUUUCAUAUACGAAGGUGCAUCUCUAUACGUGAACCACACCACCCCUUUGGCCUCCAUCGGUUGCGGUGCGCUCACUGGACAAAGGGAAAAAAAAUAGAAAAAGGAAGAAAUUAGACAAAAGUCUAUUUGGUGUUUCAGCUUCUCCCCCCUUGAGAACUGUUCGCUCUCAGUCAUUUCGUUUGACCUUGUUCCUUCUCUUUGCGAUGAGGGGAAAAAAUAAAGUGAAUUAAAUCUACGUAGUCAAGUAAUGAUAAGUCUUCUUCCUCCCCCUCCUCUACCUUCUUUUUUUGGGGCAAAUGAUUGGGUGGUCUGUCCAAUGGUUGAAUUGGAAGCUUCAGAAUCACUUCUCUGAAGCUCGCCUCCUCUCUGUGCGCGUGCAUGCGUGGGUUCCGAGCGAUUACGCGAACCGGAGCUUGUUGGUUAUGGUGGGUCGAAGUGGAUCUCCGAUGCGGAAGCGAUUUUGAAGUCGAUUCGAUCGGGGCAUUGAUUCCGACGAAGAAAAAUUAAAAAAUCUUAUCUUCAGCCCUCUCUUCCUCCUCUUUCAUCCACAGCUGCCCGACCUCCGCCCCUCCUCCGUUGUCACCAAUGGCGGAGUCAUCAGCGCCUUGCUUAGGCUGAUCCUCACUACGUCCAAGCCGAGCAUGGCUGGCUUCCUUUGCUUUGUCCAUCUCAUCAUCCUACAGAUCUCGAAAUCUGGCCGUCCAUAGCGACGUAGUUGCAGAUCUAGAAGUCCACCACUAUCUUUAGCAGCCAUGGACGUGCCACUGUUGCCGGAACGAUGGCUUUAGACUUGGAAGUCCCAUCGUGAAAAAUGAUGGCUUAUGGACUGCCAUUGUCCCCUCCGUAGUCGCUCGCGAUCGGCUCAUGGUCGGCCCCGUCCAUGGCUGGCCACCCCUCCAUCAUCACAGAUGCUUGUGGUCAUUGCCCAUCCAGAUCUGGAUUGGAGUCGUGCCUCCAGAUCUAGUAUCGUCCAUAGCUCGCGAGGAGGCUCCUCCACAGAUCUAGCGACCGCUGCUUGUCCAUGGCCAUGAGCCUUGACGACAAGUUUGAGAUCCUAACGGCCAAGGACCCCAAGGUCAAACAGCGAAACAAAAAACAGAGGAAUAGAUGUCAGGGAAGAGUGGCCACAGACGAGAUGGCCGGAGCUUGAAUGCGGCCAUGGACAAGGGGCGUCAUGAACGGGCAGACCACAAAGACGACGGAGAGGGUUGGACGCCCGGAAAUGGUCGCCUUGGACACAGCGCCGGCAACUCCGCCGUUGGCAACGGCGGAGGGAGGUGGGAAGGUUGCGUUCAAUGUGGGUGGAGAUGGAGGAGAAAGCCUAGAUGGAGGAGGAAAGUGAGGUGGAUUGAGAUUUUUUAUGUUUAGUCAUCUGACCAAAAAAUGCUAAUAUUUAGUCAAUGUCCUAGCUAUAUAAAAAAUUAAAAAUAAUAGGAAUCAAUCAUCCAGUCAACAUUUCCAUUCCGUUCCAUGAAGUUCUCACGGGAAGACUGAACGCAAUAAAUGACGACCUCGACCGGCACUUCUUUUUUUGGGUCGAACCUUGAGGCACUUGAAAAUGUGCGAUAUCAACCCAAAUUUGAAUUUUUGGCGUUCAUUUUUUUUUUUAUUAUGGAUUCCAUAUAAGUUUCGGUUAUUUCUUUUUUCCCUUGAGGGAAGAAAUGCUUGUGUUUUGUCUUAUUCUAAUACUUUUGUGCAAUUCUUUCUAUCGUUGCUUACGAGUAGAAUGUUUAAUCAUGAGGAGUAUCUAUAUAUUUGUUUACUAUUUAUCGUAAACUUUAUCGCUAAUUAUUUAUUUAUUUCUAAUGUCAUUUGCAUGUAUAAGUUGUCAUGUAAUAAUAGGUAUCCCCACAUUUUGAGGAUAUUUCAAAAAGUCAUUAUUACAUUGAAUCAAGAAUACUAAUAAAUUGGGGAAGCAUAAAAAUAGUCAUAUGAUUUUUUGGUAGUGACAAGUUGUGAUAGCGUUAAUUUCAUUUUUAUGUCAAAUAUGAGCUACCUGUAAUUAUAAGUUGCUCCCACAUUGUUAGACAAUUUCAAAUACUCAUUAAAAUCCUCAAUUAAGAAUACUAAUAGAUUAAGGGAAGUGUGGAAAGUCAUUUUGUUUUUUUUUUGUUUUUUUUUUUGUGAGAAGUCAUAGGUGCGUUAACUUUACUUUUUAGUGGACAAUCAUAUUGUGGUCAUAACACGGUAAAAAAAAAAAAAAAACACGGCUGAUUUUCUCCACACAAACAUAUUGUGGUCAUCCGCUUCUUUUUUCUGUUCUUUUUACGUUUCUUUUAGCCUCCAACACCCGAACAAAACUCCAAAAGCCUCAACACAAGGCAUCAAUUAAGGAUAAGAAAUUGGAUACCAUUUUUUGCGAGCAGUUGCACCACUGACCCACCACAAGAUUCUACCACAAAAGUGAAUAAAUAAUAUUUCAAGCAAGUUAUUAAUGGUCCAAUGUAGAACUAGUAAGUUGGCCCAACUUGCUUUUUUAUGAGAUCAUAAUAUAUGUUAAUUAUUCCAAUCAUUAUAUUGCCCGUGCCUGUUACAUAUUUAUUUUUUCGAUACAAAAAUUUUUAUGCACGUAAUAAAGAAAAAACUUGUAAACAAUUGAAGUUAUUAUUAUUUUUAUCUGGUUCACCAUCUAAUUUGCAUGAUGCUUCUCAUUAGUGAACUUUAUUAAUUGAAGAUGCAUAAGUAAUGUUCGCAAUUGGUAUUAGUGUUGAAUAAGUAGCGUGCUCAUAGUAAAUAGAGGAAAUAAUCUCUAUCGUAGGAAGACACAUUUGAUGAGUGUUGGACUCGAGUUGUCAAUCAAUUGUAAGUGAAGAUGCACAAAUCUCACUCGUGCUCCCAUUUUGUGGCUUAUUGAUCCCAACUAUUGAUCUAUUUAAAAAAGUUAUUUCUAAAAUUUAUCACUCAAUGCAUCAAUGAUUGAUGAUGAUUGAGGCACCAUAUGGUAAAAAAAUGGGGGUAGUGCAUCUCCAUCCUUUCCAUAUAUACAUGGACAUGCUUAUAUAAUCAUCUUCUAAGUCCAUGCUAUUAAAAAGCAAAUAAGCAUCACUGUACAAGAUUUCUUACCUCCAUACAAAUAAACACGAUGUCCAUGCUGUUGAUUCACUUUUGCUAAUAAUUUUCGAUUAUUCUAAAUCUACUAGAGAUGAAAAUGGGAAGUUAAUUCCUUUUAAUUGAUAAGAAAUAUAUGUAGAACCUGCUUAUACCUAUCACUGGAGCAUCAUCAUCAUAUUGCACCCAUCAAUGCAGCAUUGGACCCAACAUAAGGAAGAGAGAAGAAUGAUAUGUAUGUAUAUCCCGAUUGGAUUGCAAUAUGAAGCACAUGCAUCAAAGCUUCUUUGAACCGUGCUUCGGCUACAUUCGUUCCUCGAACCAAAUAAAUUUAAGAAAUUCUUACCUUAUCUAAUGUUGCAUUAUCAAAAAAUCAGUGCAAGCAACUUUGAUAAUGAUCAGUUGAAUAAUCCAAGUAUUCAUCAUUGAACUUUCCAAAAAUUAAAGAGAUAAGGCGUUGCUAUUAUUUAAUGUCAAUUGAGGCACUUAAAAGUCAAUGCUCAAUGUACUAUUGAUUAUAAAUGCAUUUAUAAUUUCAUGCUUGUUGCAAUGCAAUAUGCUUGGCCUUAGUCAUUAGUCAACUUAAAUGAAAGGAUUAAUUAGCCGCUCCCUUUUUUUGUCAAUAACAAGUUCCCACAUUCUCAUGAUUUGUGAGAGUAAGGGAAGUUUAGAAAUUCUUUCUUUGAGGUCAUAACUCAAUGUAAUCACAUUCAUUACGUCAUUUUUCUCAAUAUGCCAGGUACAAUGUCCUAAGCUUAAGCGGAUGUUUCUCUCCCAUAUGGACAAUUUAAGCAAAAUAUGGAGUGACAAUCCUCAAGAAACUCUCACUUUUGACAAUAUAUGGAAAGUGCAAGUUCAAAAUUGUAGGAGCCUUGAAAUUGUGUUUCCGCAAUGGGUGGCUACAAGUCUAACCCAACUUAAGGAACUUCAAGUGGAGUCUUGUGGGAUUGAGGAAAUAGUUGCUAGUGGGAAUGAGACUCCACAUUCCAAUACCACUCAAGAUCUUUUCCCAAAACUAACCUUUCUAGUGUUACAUGAUAUGCCACAACUCAAGAACUUCUGCACCAACUUGCCUGCUUUGAAAUGGCCAAUCUUGAAGGAACUGCGAGUGACUCAUUGUGAUAAAGUAAACAUGCUGUCUCUUGUAGCAUCUAUGAGCAAUUGGGCUCAAAAAGAUUAUCAACGGGGCCUUUUAGACCAAGAAGCACACUCUUUAUUUGAAAUGGUAUGAUUUCAGUUGCUCUCCCUUAGUUUCUAUUUUGUUCUUUAAAGCACUCACUGAUCUCAUAUCCACUACAUAAUCAAGCCACGUUAUAUUGCUAUAGAAAACAUGAUCUCCCUUACUUAUUAGUUUGUUGACAACAUUAAAAUAUUUCUAAUAUCUUAAGUAUACUUUUCAUUUGUGGACAACCAUAAGAUAUUUCAUUACCUAUAAUUACAAAAAUAAUUAUAGAUUUUUGUUGAAGGCGCAAUAUAUUCCUAAUCUAGUCUAGUGGUGCUCCUUAGGGAAAUCAUUGAAAAUUUGACAUGAGGUCCACUUCAUUGUUGACAUGUGUUGCACAUUUGAACUUUUUUUCUCCAUUUCAUCUUCUAAAAACUCUAAAAAAAAAAAAAAUCAAUACAAACAAUUUUAACAAAGAUAAGAUUAGUACCUUAUGCACUAUUUUCUUUUGUAUUCCUUAAUUGAUCUCGUCUUAUACAUAGUCAUUCUGUUGUAUUACUUUAGACAACCUGAAACUCCUUACCUACGAGUUUGAAGAUAACAUAAGAUAUUUUAUUAUAUCUUAGGCACACUUUUAAGUUUGUGGACCCAUAUGUUUCAGUAAUAUCAUCCGUGCAUCCCAUUACAUAAGUUUCCAAAGAUGACUAAUUUUAGUUAACAAGAUAAGAUAUUUCUAAUAAAAGGUGAAGAUGAAUUUGGUGAGCUUGGAGAGAUCUUGACAAGUUCACUCUACAAACUUAACCAUACCAACCUCUAUUCGAGACUUUUAAAAGCUUGAGACUUGAAUGUAGGGCUCUUGAGAUAUAAUAAACUUUAAGAAGAUGGCCACCCUCCAUGUGAAUCAUCUUAAUAGGUUUACUUUUUACGGCACAUGAUUUAUUGUCGAAAUUUUGUUGAAUUUACUUCUCUUGUUGUAUUGGCAAUUCAACAGGAUUUUUCCAACUUGGAGAGACUUUUAUUAGUCGAUAACAAUAUUCAGAUGAUACAAGAUGGAAAUUUUCCGAAUGACAUGUUUAGCAAGCUAAAAGCAGUAACACUGGCAUGCUUUCAUGAUAAAAAGGCUACCUUUCCUUCCAUAUUCCUCCUAGAGAGAUUUCAAAAUCUACAAAGCCUUGAGGUCUUUUGUAGCUCCUUUGAAGAUUUAUUCUCGGACGAAGGGCUUGUAGAAGAAGUGAAACAUCCGGUGCUUGAAAAUUUAAGAGAACUUAAGUUAAACAAGCUACACAACUUAAAGUGUGUGUGGAGAGAAGACUCGUUAGUAUCGAAAAUUCUUCAGAGCAUCAAAACAUUUGAGGUUUGGGAUUGUCCUUGUUUGACAAUAAUAUUUCCAACCGUGACAUCCUUCCAGAAGCUGACCGGCUUAGAGGUAAAAAAUUGCUCUGGAUUGGUACAUUUAGUAACAGCUUCAGUGGUCACAAAUUUGGUGCAUCUUGAAUGGAUAACUAUAAUAGAAUGUGAAAGAAUGAAAGAAGUAAUGACAAAUGAUGGAAAUGGAGAAGAAAAAGUGAUUUCUUUUGGAAAUCUACAAUAUUUGACACUCCAACAUCUGCCAAGCCUAGAAUGCUUUUCCUCCAUCCCGAGUUGUACUUUUAGGUUCCCAUCCUUGUGGAGUAUUGAAGUGGAAGAGUGCCCGAAAAUGAAGACAUUUUCUAUGGGUACGCUAAGCACGUCAAGACCAUAUCAUGUGUCAUUGUUCAGAUAUAAGUGGAGAGGGAAUUGGGAGACGAGUGAUGAUCUCAAUACAACCAUACAAAAAUUAUCAGCAUGAACAAAUUCACAUAUAAUUGGUAAGAUCCAAUUGGCGUCAUUCUCUCAUCAAUUUUUUUUUCUUUUUCUUUAUUCUUUUGGUAGUGCCGUAAGUUUUUAAAAUUUUUCUUUUUGUGACUUUUCUAUUAUUUAUUCCGUCAGAUCAGCAUGACCAUUCCGUCAGCUCAUCCUUCAGUGAACAGCAGGAAGCAAAGCAGGGCUCCCCUUCUCCUCCUUGACGCCAGAAGCUCUCUCUUCAUCUUUCUUCUUCUUCUUCUUCUUCUUCUUCCUCCUCCUCGGUGAAGCGAAACUAGGGGGAACCUCUGCUGCCUUCACGAAGGACGGAGCGAAAAUGAAGCAUCAGGAAUUGCCAGGACUGCGAGAAGCGAAGCUGCACUUAGCGGAGCGAAGCCAAGUAGAUUCAACCAGACGCUGUCGUUGUCGCCGUCGUCGCCGCCGGAGGUGGCACAACCAAGUCAGUCGUCCACUCACUUCAUCAAAGAUGAAGAAGAUCACACUCUCUCCCCGCAUCUGCAUCCGACAAAUUGUAAGUUCAUGUUUCUUCCGAUUUUGGUGUCUUAUUGCGAGUAAAUUAGGGCUCUAUUCUUCAAAUUCGUUCUACAUUCGAGUCUAAAAUUAGGAGUUCCUCAAACUAGCAAUUUAUUGCCCUUAAAUCUACACCUUCUAUGCUUCCCUCGCGAGCAUUGGCGAGAUUUCUGCGUGUUUGAGCUCUCAUAGAUGGAGAUGAUAUGUUGUGUUCAAGGUCUCAUGUUGAAAUUUCUUUGGGUAGAGAUAUCUUUGUAACAUUAGGUACAAAUUUCUACCAGGAAAAAGGGAGAAAUCACGGAACUUGAAAAUAAUCCGAGAAUUCCACGCCUUGUCAAAAAUAUGAAAAGUCACUUUUACGCCUUGUUUGCAAUAUAGUCUAGACUGUCUGAGGAAUCACUUGUAAUCUUGAUUGGUUAAGUGUUGCUAGAAGGACAAAAUUUUAUUUUCAAUUAAUGCUAAAUCUUUUCAUAGCAAGUCAAACUAUUGAAGUGUACUUAAACUAUCUCUAAAGUAGUCAUUUUUUAAGUAUAGGCUAGUCCAAGCAUUCAAGAAGAUUGAGGCAUCAUCAGCUGGUUUUUAUGAUCCCAUGUGCCCAAAGCCUCUCACUGCUCUUACAUUGGCCAACAAAUUUCAAAUGGAGCAUCCCUUUCUCAAAGAUGGUGAUGAGGCCCUCUUAUGUUUAGUUUGGCUUGGUAUGAUCCCAUGCUUACUGACCCAAACUCGCACGUCUGAAAAUCAAACAUAUGGAUGCUGUUUAUAUCUUUGCUUAUACUCUCGUAUAUAUCCAAGUUCACUUAAUGUAGUAAAUCACAUGACAUAUUAUUCUCCUUGAACUAUUCCUAAGUGUAUAUCAAAAAUCAGAUAUAUAUCUUAACAAUGGAGUAAUUGAAGGAGGGAAAAGAAUGAAAGGACAAUUAUUGUGACCUAAGUUGGUCGUUGAGGUUCGGAAACAUAACAGUUCUCCUUUUUUGUGGAUAGACGUUUAAGAAAACAAUUGCUGAGGCGAGUCUUAAGAAUUAUAAUCCAAGUCCUCUUACAUGGAGAAAAUUGACGAUGUUAUUCAAUGCUGUAAAUUUAGAUUAUAUACGUAAAUCAUCAUACAAGGGGACUAGUUGAUAAGGACAAGCAAAUUGCAAUAAUGUCAUUACCUCCAUGACUAAAGGGAAAGACCUGAAAGAUAAGGGGGUGGCUAGUUAUCAUAGUGACGAAUAAUUUUAAUGCUAAAUAGGAGAUACUGUUUUAUUUUGUUAUACUUAUCAUAUAUUUGAGGGGAAAAAAAAAAGCUUACUUUACUUUGUCAUAUAGAACCAAUAGUUUGAUAAAUCAUUAAAUUUAGCUGUGAUUGAAAGAAUUGAACAGCUUAGUCUAAAUUUUCAAUUCCAUCCAUGUUCGACUCUUAGAUGUCUUUGCUUUUUCCCUUGCGGGUUGUGGUCUGCAUGGCUAAAAUGCAUGUCUGUUAAAUUUAUAUAUGACAUGGAAGGCUUCUUCUGGUUAUGUACCCUAUUGCACUCUAGGAGUGUAUAUUUUGACAUUUGACUUCAUAUUGCAUGUUGAGAUUGAUGACUUUCAUAUUGCAUGGCGGGGCUGGGCGAGCCUCGUCGGCAGCUGGGCGAGCCUCGUCAGUAGCUGGGCGAGGUCGAGCCUUGCCGGUGGCUGGGCGAGCAUCGUCGGCAGCUGGGCGAGGCUCGGCCUCGCUAGAUCGGGCGAGGUCGAGCCUUGCCGGUGGCUGGGCGAGCCUCACCCAGCUGCCGGUGAGGCUCGCUUGGCCACCGGCGAGGCUCGGCCGACGAAGGCGGACCUCGCCGAGGGCUGGCGAUGCUCCGGUGAGCGUCGCCGGCCCUCGUCUGGCUGGUCGCCGGUCUGGCGACCGACCAAAUGAAGAAGAAGAAGAAUAGGAAAAAGGGGAAAAAAAGGAAAAAAGGAAAAAAGAAAAGUAAAAAAAAAAUUAUUUAAAAUUUAUUUAAAAAUAAAAAGAAAUUAAUUUGGAACAUAAUCAAUUAACACAGUAUCAAACGCAAUUCUAUUCCAGAAUAAAAAAAUUUGGACAGUUACCAAACGCACUUUUUUACUCAGAAUCAGUUCCCGGGAACAGAAUAAAAAUUAAUCAUUUCUAGUCAGAAUCAGCUCCCGGGAACAGAAUCGUUGCCAAACGCGCUCUUAGCUGUCACCAUGUGGGCACGAGUCAUGAGACGGAGGAAACUGAUUGCCAAUGUCAAAUUAAGUGCUUCUUCAAUGUUUCUAGUGGCUCAACCUGACAUUUGGAGCUGUAAAGUGUAGUAACAUCGAAUGCACUUCCCUUCAGCCAUAUUACCAACUCUGAAUUUCAAGGCACAACCCAUGGUUUUACAAAGUUUAAUGUGGACAUACAUUAGAUUCUUUUCAUUUUCUCCUUUCGAAUUCAUGAAGAUUCUAUAAUGAGCCUUUUUUUCCAUGUGGGCUGCGCAAAUUGAAGUUUCUGAGUUUCUUCUCAUGUGGAGCAUUUUAGAACUUAUUUUGUCAAAUGAACUGAGUCUUGAAAUGCGUGUCAAAGCAAUUUGGAAUGAAACAACCUGGUAAGGGGGACCAGCAAAUGACAUACGUCGGCAUCGUCUGAAUGUCACAAGCAACCGGCUAUCUGCGGGUAUUUCUUGAAGCAGCAACGUUCAUCAAGGAGAGUUCGGAGUUCGGCCUGAAUGACUUUUGCUUGAGAGAGAGAGAGAGACCAUGGGUCCUGAGCUUCAUCAACUCAUUCCAAAUAUGUUGGUCGAUUUUUGCUUUGUUAUGCUUUCUUCCACUUCAUCGCGUCCUUCGGAUUCCGUUGCCGUUGUUUAGGCCCACGUGCAAAGGGGAUGUUUGGAUAUGAUAUGCUGAUUUGAAGGAUGAGAUUUCUCGGUUCCACUCUCAGUCUUCCUGCUGGUGCGGUGUACCAGCAUUGACGUGGAUAUUGGUCCGUCAGCUGACAAUUAUGUGGGCAACUAUUAAUAAUAUUUUAUUUUAUUUUUUGAUUUUUUAUUAAUUUUUUACUUCAUCGACCAAUGCAAUCGGAGGCCAAUUGAGUCAUCAUCGUUUGAGACUACAAGCCAAGGGCGUGAAGAUUGGCGGCGAGCUUGAAGAGAAAACAAUGAGAGAAUGCAGUGCAAAGCAAAGCCCGUGGAGAUGAUGGCCAAUCGUGUUCAUUUACAAAGGAAAAUUUCCACUUUUAUCUCUCGCAAUUUCAACUCCAUAGAAACAUUUUAAUUUUUCCUUAAGUCUUUCAAUUUGAGAUUUCUAUGUAAGUUCUCUCUUAUUGGAAAGCAAAUUGAACUAAGUUCAUUUCCAAUUAUCGAGAUGUCAUCCAUGUAAAUUAACAUCAUGAUAAAUGAAUUUCUUCUCCUAUUUACGGAGUAAAUCCUAACUUAAAGAAUGUCUCGGAUAAAUGCACAUAAGACCUUUCAAUAGUUUAUCUGCACUUUUUGCCUUAACUAGUCCUACAGAUUUUAUCAUACUUUUGUUGACAAAUAUGACAUGAGAACUCACAGGUCGCACAGUCUUUACCACCAUAUCGAGGUUGAGCAUACGAAUGACAAGAGUCAUGACACCAUUUGACAAAUGACAUCCUAUUCUGACAAAGUCGGCCAUAAUAAGGGUUCAAUAAGUUGAGAACAAAUCGAAUUUAUGUAAUAUCAUUAUGUGGUUUUAGGAUUGAAUCGAAUCUACAUACUAAUCUAGUUCGAGCAUUUCAUCAAACAAGUAAUAUACAUUUUGAUCAAGGAGCUCAUACGCAAAUGUACGGCAACGAUUGACUUUCAGAUCAUCACAACAAUAACAGUACAAGUCUGAAUUGCGAAUAGAGCUUCAAUCUCAACUGAUUUACUCACAGACAUUAGCUAAAGCUAACAGGCUCUGUUUCGUUCAUGAGCGGCAGAAACAGAGUGUGUGGGAUUUACCUUGACAUUUAAGUUUUUAACCUCGGACGGUCAUCAGAUCGUUGACAAAGUUCCCAGUGGUGUCGACGCCGAUGAUCGAGGCCAGCGAAAGGGGAACAACCAAGGUUCGUGAACUUGCGAGCGUCCUGACCAGAAAACAGAGCAGAACGAGAGUUGGCCUUGCUACAACGAAACCGGCAAUGGCGGAGCGGCUACAGGGGUGGCUAACGGUGCCUGAAGGACGACGGAGAAGGAGAGCCGAUCUAGAAGCCUCAAGAAUUCCCAAGAAAGAGAGUUUCUUCGUCAGGUUCAGCGUAUGCGUACUGUUGUGUUAGCGCUGAGCCUGUGGUGGCCGUCAAUGGUGGCUCAACGGUGGCUGGUUUGGCGAUUGGAGAUGGCGGACGGUGGAUUUCUGGUGUUGAUUAGUAGUGGAGAAUCUUCUGGAACUCGGUUGAUCGAGA